CUUUUUUUUUUUUUUUUGGUUGUGGUCGGGGUUUGAACCCCGGACCUUGCAUAUAUAAUGCAUUGUUCAUACUAACUGAGUUAAGCUUAUGAGGACCUUUUUUUAUUGUUUUAAAAUAGCUCAUAAGGCUUUCACUAAAUGGAUUCAUGAUCGUUUUUAAUAUAAAAUUAGAGUAAAAAUAAUUUUAUUUCGAAAGUGUUUUACGAAAUGAUAACCUGAAUUAAAUCUAUAUUUUAUUAAUCAUUUUCGGACAAUGAGUUUCAAAAUCCAAUCAUACACUUUCUAAAAAAAAUAUAUGAAAUAGUGAUAAGUAUUUAUUUUCCAUUGCAAUAUCAUUUAUAACUAAUAGCAUGUUUAGUUACGCGUCCAAAUAACCAAUCUCGCGUUUCGAUGCCGAUUUCACCUAUUAGAUUGUAUACUAUUGAUCAAUGACCACAUGGCUUAAUAUGAGAAAGGAAGGCGUUGCAAGCUUUGGAUGCCACACAACAUAUCGAGAGAUAAAUUUUUAUCACAAUUUUGGGUGACGUUUGGAACACCAUGGAGCAUGCAUCACAAGGCCAAGUUCAUCAUGUUUUGGAGAUCGUGGAAUUGAAGGGAAACAAGCUACAACCGUGGAAAACAACAACACUUGAAGAUAAAUAAAUUGAUAAUUAUUUUCUUUUGUCUUGAUUGUUUUAUUCUCAUGAAUAAGAUUAGCUAGUUUUAUAUUAAGUUUUUUAGAUGAUUUUAAUUUGAGCGGUUUUAAUCAUGUGAUUGUAUAAACUCUAUUCAAUACAAUUAUUAUCCUAAUGCUUUUCAUAUGUUAACGAAUGUAUGAAUUGAUUUACAUUAUCAAUUGACUACUAGUCCUAGCUCUUAGAUUUAAACUUAGUAUACUGUGGGAACGAACUCAAGAGACCAAAGUUUUGUAAGAAACUCAAAGAGACCUUGGUCAACCAACACCUUAUUGACUUAGCUCAAUUUAGAAAAUUGGUUUGAUAGAUUGAGCACCAAAGUUUUCCAAGAAACUGUUUGAUAUGUUAUAAAAAAGGAUAAUACUAAACACAUCGAAGUAAUAUUCGUGAAGCUGCUCGCGAAUGUGACUUGCCAGCAUAACAUCCUUUAGAUUUCACAUUUAUUUGAUGGACUGCUUCCAAAAAAAAAAGCAUGACCCCCCGUGUUUUUCGGAAAGAUCCAACUUUGAUAGGUUGAAUUGUGUUUCGCGACCAUUUCGGGAAGCUUUUUCACUAGAUAUAUAGCACUACUCUAUAAAAAAUUUCGAUCAAGAUAAUUCUGAGUUGGGAACGUAGAAGAUAUUUAUGGCUGACUUAAGAGACAACAAUCCAUAUUUUUGGCAAUCCCUAUAUACCGUAAGAGGACUCGAGGAUGAGAGAAGUUGAAUUUAGGGUUUUAGAGACUUACUUACAACGAGGACUCGAGGAUGUAUCAUAAAUGUGAAAGAAGAACGAGUUCGGAGACAUAAUUGAAGGACUCAGAUAUGAUUAUAUCCAAAAAUAAUUUGAAGAAACUCAUACUAAUAUUCCGAUCCCCUCCCUGGUUCGGGGAGAAUCACAGCGCUAAUAAGCUUGCCAAUGUAGGUUUAUCCUUAGAUUUGUAUAUAAAAUAAACACCGUCAAAUCGUUAAUUGUUGUUUUCAAAUUCAAAUUCUUCCAUGUAAAAAUCAAUUAGCAAGAGAUUUUAGACUUAAAUAAAAUAUAUAGCAUCAUUUUAUUCAGUAUUGAAUUGUUUUCGAUUUCUUCAAUGUAGAAAUCAAUUAGCAAGAGAUUUCAGACUUAAACAUAAUAUAUAGCAUGCAUGAUUUUAUUGAGUAUUGAAUUAUUUCCUUUUGUAAAAUAAUCAGAGGUUAACUUAUUUUUGCAAGUAUACUGAUGUUUCUUAUCUCAAUAAACGAUAUGUAUUUUAAUAUGCUGGUGGCAUAACUUAUGCUUUUCGGCUAUUAAACUUUUAUUUUUGGUUACAAUACAUUAAAAGAUAAAAAAAACGAAAAAAAAAAACUACAAUCUUAAAUAGAAGGAAAAAUUACUCUUGUAGUUCAUUAACUUAAUUUCAAAAAACAAUUUCGUCUUUUAAUUUUUUUCACUUCAUUUUGAUCCUUAUGGUCCAUUUGAAUAUGAAUUUUCAAGCUUCAAUUAUAUGUGUGAUGCUAAUGAUUGAUGUUUAUAUGUUGUGUAUGGUUUAUAUUAUGCGUGAUUAAUAUUCUUCACUCUACUGGUGUCAAUUUCUUCAAAAUGAUUAUUCACUUCAUAUGUUUCCAUGUGAAUAGAUGGAAAUAUGGAAACAUUUGAACCGGAGAUAAAAUCUUAAACUACUGACUUAUCUAAAUUUAAUUCCAAAACUCCAUAGAUAUUUUAUAUACAUCAUUAUUAUGAGGUAGUCGACAUAUGGAUCAACUAGCGUUUAAGUUACUUUAGAGUUGAUUUGGUACACUAUGAUAAAACAAUAGUAAGUUUUCUCGAUCUUUUAAUGAAGCAUUCCUCUUUUUGCUUAUGUUAAUUUUGCAUGUUUAUUAUGUGAUAAAAAUAUAUAUGGAGCAACAUGACGACUUUGUAUCACGUAGCACGCAUAUGAUCUCAGGAUGAUCAGAGGAACAACUUGACAUCUGAAUCCCAUCAAACUAACCACUUUAAGAAACCCCUAAUCUCAUAACUGAUAAUUGUUGAGAAUUAAUCCAACAAAGAAAUAGAGAGGAUUCAAUGAAUCAUAAUUACCGCUAAAAUCUUCAUUCAAAACCUUUAGUUGUCCACAAUAUUCAACUCAACUGUUUUGUGCAAUCAAAUGAAACUUGCAAACUCGCCCCAAUAUAUUUAUUUUUUUAUUAUUUUAAUAAGUUUAGGUAGUUGCCUAGUUGAAACGACAACUUCCGUAGAGACGAUUUUACUUACUACUCUAUUACUUGAAAACGGUUAAGUACACUUGCCGAAUUUAGUCAUUAAUGAUUCGGGUGGAUCUUACAUUCUUUUACAUGAUGUUGAUGAUUAAUGUUUAUAUGUUGUGUAUGGUUUAUAUCAUGUAUAAGUAAUAUUCUUUACUCUACUAGUGUUAUUUUUUUGGAUAUGAUUUCUCACUUCAUAUUUUCCACGUGGAUACUUACUCAUUUUGUGUAAGUAGAUAAAAAGAUGGAAACAAUUGAAGAGGGGAUGGAAUUUUAAGCUACACUGUUAUCUAAAGUUCAUUUUUCCACUCCAUAGAUAUUUUAUUUACAUUAUAAUGAGGUUGUCGAUGUAUGGAACUGCUAGCGUAUAAGUUACCUUAGAGUCAAUUUCCUAUAUUAUGUAGCAUGCCCCUUUUUAAUUAUGUUAAUUUUAUAUGUUUAUUAUGUGAUAACUUAUAUGUUUGUGAAUGUUUUAAAUUGAAAUUUUUUUCUUCUAUUUUUUAUUAUAUUCUAUAUUUAAACUCUUUAUCUGUACUGUGUGUCACAUGUUCCCAAUUUAUUUUAUUUUUUUUAUUUUUUUUUCUAUCUUGAAAGGGUAAAAUAAAAAUAUUUUAUAUAAAUGGAAUUUUUUUUAUAUAAGCUCGUGACUAAUUUUCUCCAAGUAACAAACAUAACACUUCAAUGUAGUUAAGAGACAUUUUACUAAGACUUAUAACAACUAUUUAAAGAAAUUGUGUUCUUUAUACAUUAUAAAUUCAUCAAAUCUUUUUUGGUAUGUUUCAUGCACAAGCGGAAAAUAUGGCUAAAGUCAGUAACUUUGUUUGUAUUAUGAUCCUCUUUCUUGCACUAUUUUUCAUUACAAUGAACGAUGCCGGUAAAUCAUUUUUCAUUAUUAUACAAUUUUAUUCUUUACUUCUUACCUAACCACUUAUCCCCUUUAGUUAGUAACAUUUUUAUCUUCUCUUUUAUAAUUUAUAGCAAGGUUUGAAUGUCGUGAGGACUCUCAUUGUGUAACAAGAAUUAAGUGUGUGCUUCCUCGAAAACCGGAAUGUAGGAAUUAUGCAUGUGGUUGUUAUGAUUCAAAUAAAUAUCGUUGAUGAUAAAAUAUUCCAUGUGCAGGAAUUACACAUGUGUUUGUUAUAAUACAAAUAAAUACCGGUGAUGAUAAAAUGUACCAUGACAUGUCAUUUAACUAAUGAUUCGGCAUUCAAUAAUUGAAUUUAUUUUGUAUUUAUUUCCCUUUAAUAAUUUCAUAAAUUUUAUAUUCUUUGAUGAUGAUAAUUAAAAUAAACAUAGCGCACUAAAUAAUAUUAUUUAGAUUAUCUUCUUUGUCUUAAUUGUAUAAUAAUAUAUUUAUAGUUACCUUAGAUAAUUGUAGGAUACAAUGACAUACAUAAGUUAAAUAAAUAAUAAAUUCAACAACUUUUAGUAUAGUUUAAUAUUCUCAAAAUUAAUUCAAUACAAGUAAAAGUACAUACGAUAUAUCCCUUAAAAAAAUGAUAUAUGUAAACAAUGAAACACAAUUUUUUCAAAUAACGAAUAUGUCUUUUUUUAUUAUUAUUUUAAAACACUUCAUUAGGUUUUCACUAAAAGAAUUCAUGGCCAUCUUUAAUAUAAAAUAAGAAGUAAGAUAAUUUUCUUUUAAGAGCAUUUUACAACAUAACAACCUGAAUCAAAUACUCCUUCAAAAAAAAAAAAAAAAACCUGAAUCAAAUAUCAUAUUUUAUUAAUCGUUUUCGGGCCAUGAGCUUCGAAAUCCAAUCAUCUACUUUGUAAUAUCAUUUACACCUAAUAGUGUAUAAGCAUUCAUUUUUCAUUGCAAUAUCAUUUACACCUAAUAGAAAGUUUGGUUACGCGUCCUAACCACCAAAUCUCGUGUUUCGAUGCCGACUACACUGUAAUUUCAAUAAGCUACAUAUUUGAGCUUCACACUAAACGCACGGCUGCAUUCACAACACCACUAUACCAAACACCGGCUAAGUCAUAACAUGUGAUUCCUAAUAAAUAUGAACAAAUUAAACAACAUAAACCAGAACAUGCACAUACAUAAUCGAGAGAAAGAUUAGAAUGUUCUGAAUACUUCAACACGUUAUGUACUGAGAUGAAUGAUCUCCACACACUCACAUUUUAAAGAGGAAACUACAAAAGAAUGAUAAAACUCUUUAUUAUUAAAUGUGAGAGAUAUGAGUGAUAUCAAUUACACUAUGUGACACUCUAAAUCCCAUAAUAAUUAUUCCUAUUAUUUAUUCAAAAAUAGAGUUUGAUUCGCAGCGGAGAGUGUAAAAUAAAACUUUGCUAUUAAUAUAAGAAUUCUCCCACAAGAUUUAGGAUACAACAUUGACUCAUAGCAAACAUAGUUCACAUAGACACUUCCUUGAAAAUUAUAACAAUAUUAAUAUCGAAUCCUUUGCUUUUGAAAAUACUUUCUUUUACAUCAUAGAAAAUGGUUUUCUUGCAUAAAAGUAAAUAAGUAAGUAUAUCCCUUUUCUAGUGUCACUAUCAGAGCGGAACUUUUCCCACACUUGAACUUUAAAACUCCUAAACCUGUAUUUAGACUGCGAUUUCGCAACAGCAGGACCAAUCCAACAAAGGGGUGAGUUUCGAGGACAUGUAAUACUAUAAAACAAAUGAGAAUAACGUGCAAGAAAUCAAACUGGGACCAUAUGAGAUCACCAAUUAAGAUAAUAUUCAAAACCUUAAAUAAUAUAAUAAUAUAUCACCAAAAUGCUUCUAAGUCAUAAAACCAUUAGAACAUAACAUUCAAAACUUUCAUAAUAUUAUAUCAUAAUUCAAUCCAAUAGCAGUCAUAACAUAAACAAUCACAUGAUGAUCAAAGACACUCAAGGGGAUCCAUAAUCAUUCACAAUAAAUUAAUCACGGUUCAGACAUUGAUAUGCAUGCUCUUAGACUCUAGACAUCUCUUUCUUUGGUACCAUUCUACUCCGAAGUACUUGGUUAGGAGGUCGAUAGUGCUAUGCCACCACAUUGUGGAUGGAUAAUUCAAAAAUGGCCGAGUCAUUACAGACUAUUCAAGGUUGGCCGAGUCACUACGAACUAUUCAAGUUUGGCCGAGUCCUUACGGACUAUUCAAAGUUGGCCUACUCUCAUAGACCCUCUCCUCAACACGAGACAAUAUGCCUCAUUCACUAGUACUUCCCCAAUCAUUGGGUUUGUUAGACCCUGCCUAGAUGAUGACAAAACACUCCACUAGGUCUUAUACCUUAUGACUCAAUUCAUAUUCAUUUAAUAAUCACAAUUCACAGUGUGUACUUCACACGACACUAUUCAACAAAAUUACAUAUUCAUGUAUUUCAGUUAAUCUCAAUCAAAUCUCAGUAGUUCAAACAUAUAUAAUCAUCAUUAUAACUAGUAAAAUUCUACCAGUCAGUAAGAGAUUCAACAUGCAUUGCAUUUUUAAACAUAAUUUCAGACUAGUUAACACAAAUCUGGACACACACAUCUAUCACACAAUAAUUAACAAUCAAAACAUGAUCUCACACAGGUAAAAUACUAAACAAUCUUAACAUAUUUUCAUCCACAGAAACUUGGGGGGUUUCUGAAUCAUAUUUUGAAUCCUCAUUAUUACCAUCAACAUAUUUUUAAUAAAUUAUUAUUUGUGAAUCAAACGCUCUCAUACUUCCUUAUAUCUUAAUCUAAUCUCUCCCCUCGUUGGCCUAUGAUACACCUUAAGAGCAAAUACAAAUCAAAAUCAACAACAAUUCAUGGUUUAAGGGUAAUCAAUAAUAUUCAUUCGUCUUGAUUUAAUCACAAUCUGAAUGUAAUAAGGGUAAUCAAGAAUAUUCAUCCAUUUUAUGUCAACAUUUCAUUUGUCAAACUAUAUUCACAUAUCAUAUUUUCAACAACACAUAUUCAUCGUCCAACUAAUAUCUUAGUAUAUAUGUUGCAUAUCGAAAAUUCAUUUCAAUAAGAUUCAACAUCACUUUUAUAUUCAUCAUCGAAUAAUUCAUCAAUUAGAAUAAAUGCAGCAGAUCAAACAUGGGCACAACAUAAAAUUUAUUCAUGACAUCAAUUAACACACAUUCAACGUAAUUUAAAUUAAUCAAGACCUUAAUAAUGUUUCUAAUUCCUCUUUUAAUCUCACCACUUCUAACUUUUCACAUUAACUAAUUAUUUUCUUGAAGGGCUACAACCAUCGCAGUGAGCCCCAAAUCAAUUUUGGGAAAUAUAGCUUUCCCAUUCAUUACAAUUAUAUAACACUCAUUUACUCGAACUCUUCUCUCGCCCCAUACCUGAUUUUAAGAUCUUGUACGACGUUAGGACAAAAGAGUUUCGUCAACAACGAAUGAUCAAAAGCAUACAACGAACAAGCCCGUCAUUAACCGGCUCACCGACGGAAUUGUGGAGCAAACAAAACACGGCUGAUAAAUUAUUGAUAAUGUAAAAAUUAAUACUACGUACUUAAUACAAAUAUUUGGAGCAUAAAUCGUUCCAACGUGACAUAAAAAGAAUAGCAUACAAAAAUGGUGUUGGUCUUCUAAACUGAAGAGCGAGGUGGUCAAAAUUGUUAAGUGAUAGUGGCCAUGUGGUGUUCCAAACUUGAAUUACAAUUGUCAGUAACAUCACAAGGCAUCAAAAGGCAUAUGAAUGAGUGAAUUCGUGUAGUUAUGGAAGAUUGUAUAGGAACACACUGAUCUAGGGUCAACAAAGCCAUAACAAAAUCAAGGAAAAUUCACGGGUUUGAAAAUGGGAUAUAAGAUUGGCAAAUGGAGGCAGGCAUUGAAUCAAAUAUGAAACCAACAAAUUGAUGUAUACAUGAUUGUUGAGGCUAUAAUUUGGAUCUCGCCAACAAGUCGACCCUAGUUUUUUCUCUCUAGGUUUUCUCUUUCAUUUUCUUGGAUGAGGGGUGGUUUUUGAUCAAUUUUUGACUUAAAAUCACCCCUCUUCAUCUUUUUCUCUCUAAUUCAAUAUAUAAAUAAGUGAUUUUUCACAUAGAUCUAGGUUUUUUCUUCGUGAUUUCAUCAUCCGAGUGUGGUGGUGUGUUGUUCGUCGUCUUGUGCGACGUUGUUUGAUUUCCCAUAUUGUUGUGGUGUUCAUUUGAUUCAUAUUGAAGCUUCAACGUUGCAGAUUCGAGAUAUGGGUAUUCCGGUCACUUUAAUUUUAUCUAUAUUUUUGUAGCCAUUAUGUCGUUAUAUGCUAUUAACUUCGCAGCUCAUCCUUUACGUUUUUAGCGGUUUUGAAUAAUGUAAUCUAUCGAUUUGAAUGAAUAAAUAUCAUUUUGUUUUUAUAAAAAAAAAAUAUAAAAAAAAAAAAAAAAAAAAAAGAUGAAUUGAAAGGCUAAUAGACAGGCAUAAGGUCAGCGGCGGCACUUGUAUAAAAAUAGGCUAGGUUUUUUUCUUCUUUCAAUUUGAGACCUGCUGAAUUAGAAUAUAAAGGUAGAUAAUUUUCAGCCCAAGAACAAAUGCUCUAUAAUGGUUUUAAUGACGAGUAAUUUUACUUAAGCCGAUAAACGCAACUAUAUAAAAAUUUUAGCCUUAUUCAAAACUUAUCUCAUUCCUAUGAUUUUACACUUAAAAUAUUAAUCUCAAAAUAGUAGCAACCUAAAAUUAUUAAUCAUAAAAUAACUAACUUGCAUAACAAAAUAGGAAUAUUCAUAUAGUUUUUUUUUUGUAGAGAAGGAAUAUCAAUAUCGUAAUUACUUAUAUAAGCACAUAAAAUUAUCAAUAUAAUACACAUGUCACUUAAAAUGAUAACUAGUGACUCAUAAGAUGAACAUGAAAAAUAGGGUGUUACACACUAAUCAUAGGACUAUAACUAACCAAUAACCAUAAUUAGGUUAACACCUUAACUAACUAAUUAAGAUUGAAAUAAGAAUUAUUCUUCAACAUUAACAAACACACAACAAUGACACAAUAAAGAAAAAUAGAAUGCGUCAAUUUGGAUACUUCAUAAAAUACUUUCAUCAUUUUGUUAGACAAAGAACAUACCCAAUAAUGAAAUUUUAUUAUUCUGAACAAAGUAAGCAAUACGUAUAGAUUAUAUAUCAAGUAAAGAUAAAUGAAAUGCUUGUGACUAACUUGUUAUCAAAUAAGCAUCGAAAAAAGAUAUCAUCUAAUUUCUAAAUUAAAAUAGAUAAAUGAUAUUUGUACAACCAUUUUUUAACAAUUUUUAGACAAUUUUCUCUCUCAUACUCACAUUAUAUUCUUACUCUUUCUCUUACUUUUUCUCUCUCCAUUAUUUUUGACCAAUGAAAAGAGAGAAAAAGGAGAUUGUCAUUGAAGUUGUUAGCAAAUGGUUGUUAAAAUAUCAUUCCUCAUUAAAAUAUGUAUAGCCAUUAUUGUAAAGUAAAUUGCGAGUUCUAUAUUUCUUUAAUAUAACCAUUGCAUAAACAUAAACUACACUGAUUAGUGAGGGAAUAGACAAUAUACAAUUCAAGUAAACUCAUCUUUAGUUAACAUCUAUGAAGUGAGGGAAUAGGCAAUAUACAAUUCUAGUAAACUCAUCUUUAGUUAACAUCUAUGAAACACGACAUACACGCAAAACUGACACAUACACAUUCACACUAGUAAUAAUUUUAGAAAAUGAAUUAUUUAAAUGCAAUCACAUGUGCCGUUGUAGUGUCUGACACUAAUAUGUGUCAAAUUACCCGAUGUGGAUUGAUAGAACCUAUACCCGAUGUAAUAAUUCUCAAUCAGGUAGGCCUCACAUUCAUAUGAUAGAGAAAUGAUAUUUAAACAACGAAUGUUAAACAACUUUUGUGAUAACUCUAUCUCAUACUUUCAUUGUAUUUUUAUUCUAUCUCAUUUUUUUCUCUCUAUAAUGUUAUUGUCCAGUAAGGAAAGAGAAAAAAAAUGUUGUCAGUAAAGUUUUUUAAAAUUGGUUGUUCAAAUAUCACUCAUUCAUAUGUUAUGGCCAAUUUUUAACAAUAAAUAAUAGGGUUAAUAUGUUUUUACCCCCCUGUAAUUUGGGCGAGUUUUGGUUUUCCCCCCCUGUAAAAAAAAAAAGGUUUAGAUUCCAACCCUGUAAAAUAAGAUUCUUUGGUUUUAGCCCUGACCCAUGUGACUGUGCAUAAUUGCUGACGUGGCGAGCUGACUGACAUGUUGACUGUGCAUAUCUAAUUAUGUGGCGUGCUGACUGUAUAAUUAAUUUUUUAAAUUUAUUUAAUAUAUAUAUAUAUUAAAAAAAAAAUCAGGAUUUUUUUUAUUACAAAAAUUAUUUUCUGAAAUAUAUAUUUUUCAAAAAUUCCAAAAUUUAUAAUUUAAGAAAAAUAUAUAUUUCAAAAUUUUUUAAAAUUAUUUUCGAAAAUUUUGAAAUAUAUAUUUCAAAAAAAAUAUUCAAAUUAUUUUCGAAAAUUUGGAAUAUAUAUUUUUUGAAGUUUAAAACAGAUUUUUUUUUCGAAAAAGAAGUUUUUUAAAUUUUCUCAACAAAAAAAAAUCUGGAUACAAAUUUAUUUAAAAAUUUAGGAAAAUUUAGAUUUUUUUUAGAAAUUUUUAUUACGAUGUGUUACAGAUUUGAGAAUAUUAUUUAAUAUUUAAAAAUUGAGGAUAAAAAAAAUCUGGAAUUUUUUUUAAUAUUUAAAUUUAUUCUUAUCUAUUUGUUACAUGUGUUAUUUUUAUUAAAAAUUGUGGGCAUUUUUUAAAAGAAACAGCCAGCCCAAAAGCUGAAAGGGGUUGUUUACUUUUUAUAUAUAUUUCCAAAAAUAUUAUAUAAAAAAAUUCAUACACUUACUAUAUUUUGAAACUUUCGAAAAAUUUAAAAAAUAAAUAAAUUAAAUAAAAUUUUUAAAAAUAUUCGAAAAAAAUCCAAAUUAAUAUUUUUUUUCUUAAAUUUUUUAUUUUUGAAAAGAAAUCCAAUUUUUUUUUUUCGUUUUUUAAAAAAAUUGAUUUUUUUUCUUGAUUUUAAAUUUUUGAAAAUUAAUUUUCAGUUUUUUUUUUAAUCUUUUUAAAAAUAAUUUAUUAAACCAUUACACGCAUGUCAGAUUUAAAAAAAUUAAAAUUAAAAUAAUUACACAGUGGCGUGCCACGUCAGUGUCCAUUACACACGUGUCAUAUUUUUUUUUUUAAAAAUUAAAGUAAUUACACAGUGGCGUGCCACAUCAGCGUCUGGAUGGGGUCAGGAUGUUUUGUGGAGAAUCUUCAUAUUAUAGGGGUGUUUUGUGGAGAAUCUUUAUAUUAUAGGGUUGAAAUCUAAACUUUUUUUUUUUACAGGGGGUAAAUCGGAACUCGCCCAAAUUACAGGGAGUAAAAACAUAUUAACCCUAAAUAAUAUUACUCUUUUCUUUGUUUUUCAUACUACUUCGAUCUGUUUUAUAAAAGAAAAUUUAAUUUUUACAUUCAUUCAAUAAAUGAUGUAUCUAUUAUUCUUAAGUUUCAUUUGAUUUUUCUCAUUUCAUUAAAUUAUGAUGAAAAAGAAUUGCAUGAUUAACUAUACCAUUCUAUAAAAGCAUGUUCAAAGUUACCUACAAUUAACUACUUUUUAGUUCUAGUAUUAAUUUACACUACCAAAAUGAGUGAACUGUUCAUGAAUGAAUGAUUUAAAAUGUGUUUCUUCCAAUGUACUAUCACGAAAAAUGAUUUUUCUUGGUUUUCGAUACUACAACUGAAUUCAAUUAAAACAUGGAUGCAAUUGGAAAGAAGUUUUCAUGAUCAACUUUUUAAGGGUGAUUUGAAAGACAAAGCAAUGAGUUUGAUGACAAUUUACCUAGACUAGGUUUUGACAACUAAAAAACAUCUGAUAUUUUUGCAUAGGCACAAAUAUAAAUGAAUAGUAUUUGGUCACACAUACAUAAAAAAGUUUUUUUUCAAAAUAUUAAAUUAUUUUAUUAAAAAAUUUCUUUUUAUUAUUAGAAAAAAUCUUUUGAUGCAUGUGUGUACAAAUACUAUUCAUUUAUGUUUGUGAUCAUAGUAGACUUUCUGUGUUGUAGACCAAUACUAGAGCUAAAAGUGGUGAAAAUGGCUAUUGGUGGUCUAAUUUCUACAGCAAGAGAUUUUAGACUUAAACAAAAUAUAUAGUAUGAUUUUAUAGAGUAUUGAAUUGUUUCAUUUUGUAAAAUAGUUAGAGGUUAACUUUAUUUGUUCAAGUAGACUGAUAUUUCUUAUCUCAAUGAACAACGUCAAACCAUUAAUUGGUUUAUUUUAAUAUGCUGGUGGUAUAACUUAGUAUUUUUAUUUUUAUAAACAGAUGCAGAUGCAUCAUUUCAUUAGAUAAAACAAAAAAAAAGAGUACAAGAAAGAAAAGGAGGACUAUACCAAAACCUUUUCAUUAAAAGGUGGUAUAACUUAGUAACUUACGCAUUCCUUCUAUUAAACUUUUAUUUUUCCUUAGAUACAUUAAAAGAUAAAAAGAAACGAAAAAAAAAACUAUAAUCUUAAAUAGAAUGCAAACUUACUUGUAGUCCCUUAACUUAAUUUUAAAUAACGAUUCCGUCUUUUAUUUUAUUUUUCACUUCUUUUUGGUCCGUUUGAAUAUGGAUUUUCAAGCUUCAAAUCUAUAGUUUUAUUUCCCUGUGAGCUGUCGGUAUUUAAAUCUAUGGUUCUUCAUCCAUGAUUGCAUAUGAAUCUUUGAUGUGAAGUUUGAAAAUUCAUAUGCAAACAAACCAAAAAGACUUGAAAAGAAGAUAAAUAACAAAAUCGUUAAUUCGUGUAGUAAUUUUACCUAAAAAGAAAGCUUAUGAUGCAUCGGCUGCAACAAUGUGUCCUUAAGUCCAGGAAGAUGAGAAGUGUGAAUCAAGAGCCCAUGCUCGGUAGAAGGUAGAAGAAACAAAAUUAGCCAAGAAAUCAGCACUUUGAUUGCCUUCACGAAUAGCGUGGAUGAUGUGGAAGAGGCAAUUCCGACGUUAAUUACCAGAACUUUUUUAUAAUGCUGAACAAUAUCUAUCAAUCUUUUAUAAUGAUAUGAAUUGGAUAAUAAAAUGAUUCCUUUCUCUGGAUUUGUAUCUGAGAAGCAGGAGUGAUUCAACAUGACAGCAUAACAGGGAAUACCAAACCAGUCCCAAUGUUCCAAUGCCCCACUCCUGCCAGUAACCGAUUUCCUGCCAAUUCUUCCGAUUCGCCAUCCCUUGGGUAAUAAUUCUCUUUUGUUGUAUGCUUAACCAAUACCCCGGAGGCACCGGUUAGCAGAACCCUAUAUAUAAAGUUAGUGGUGUGGGGAGGCUAAAUGCGUCCUUUUCAGUGUUUAAUCCUUGAGAUUGUGCUUAUACAUUAAGCAUCAAUCAUCCAUGAUUAGCAUUAAAAGCUUGAGUAUAUUUUGUAAAAAGUGAAUGAUUUAAACUUGAAUCUUAUAUUUAAGUGAUACUCUAACUAAAAGCUUGACCUCUACCUAAAAAGUUUGGACUUGACUUGUUUAAUUCAUUAAUAACUUUUUUUUUUAAUUUAUGCACAUUUUCCUUCAAAAUUUUGAGAUGAUUUAUAUAAUAUUAAACAAAUAUUUCAGAGUGUAACAAAAAAAAACAAAUAUUUUUUAAUGUCUCAAUGUGAAACAUUAUUAUUAUAGUCUUCGAAUGUAUCGAAAUUACAAACAAAAUGUCAAGUCUCUCUAUUACUAGUUCAUUUUGGUCCUCAAAUGUAUUUUUGCUAGUCUUUUAAGACCCAUAAUGUGUUUAUUUAGUCAAUUCAGUCUAUAAAAUUACAAAGUGACUCUUGAAGAUGUGAUUCUUUCGGACAUAAGAUGUGUGACGUGAAAGUUUACUGGAAGGCUGAAGUUGGUGGAUGUUGAACAGCAACUCUGUGGAUGUGGUUUUAUACCUGCAAACAUUUUAUCGAUCAAGUAAAAAAACAUCGUGAAUGUGAGACUUUAAGAUUAGAAACACAUAUACUUGUACAAAGGUCAUAGGUUAAACUUUAGAAUGAAAGAAUUAGGGGUUUAUGACUCAAAACCAUAGCCUGGGCAACCAUCUUCAUGGGCAUUCAUAGGCACGUGAUGUUGGGAUUUAAACCAAACAGUCUUCUUGAAGAUAGAGAAAAAACAACAAAGGGUCUACUCCCCAACUAAGCUCUGCUAGGGUUAUGUGGUGGUCUACUCCCAGAUCUAUUCUGGCUACCCCCAUCUCCUUGGUGGCUCUUCUCUAGUUUUGACUACUGGUUGGUUUCCUUUCCUUAGUGUGGGUCUCUUGUUAACUGAGCGUUAUCAUCAAAGGUAUGGACAAAGAAAGGGUGGUGCGAUUAAUGGAGGAGGAGGGUGAAGUAAUCACGGUGGAGGACGAUGUUACAGUGGAAGGGGAAGCCUUUGGUCGUACACUCGUCGGGAAGAUCUGGACUGAUGUCCCUUACAACAUUAGAGCCUUCAAACAAACAAUGAUCCAAGCUUGGAGGCUGAAAAACACUGUUGAGAUCCAAGAUCUGAACAAGAAUCUCUUUCUCUUCAAGUUUGUUUCAAGAAGAGACGCAGAAAACAUCCUCCACUCAGGCCCAUGGAGUUUCGACCGCAAUCUGUUGAUUCUAGACACAAUUUCAAGUGAGGAACAACCUUCGGAGCUGGAUUUACACACCGUUCAGUUCUGGGUAAGAAUUUAUGAUCUCCCACUUAAGCUAAGAUCUGAUUUGAUGGCAAGAAAGCUUGGGGAUCUGGUAGGGAAGUUCCUAGAAGUGGAUCAAAGGGAUACUAACAUAAUGGGUAAAUCCAUUCGCAUCAAAGUUGAUAUAGAUCUGAGGAACCCUCUGAAGCGAGGGAUUGUGUUGAAGUACCAAAAAAGAAGCCUCUGGAUUUUCUUCAAGUACGAGCGUCUUCCCAAUUUCUGCUAUAAAUGUGGGAGGAUUGGCCACCAGAUGAAGGAAUGUGAGGAGGAAACGGGACAAGAUGGUGAAGGAUACACAGACGUCGAAGAGCAAGACCAAGCUUAUGGGUCUUGGAUGAGAGCCUCUCCCUUACCAAAGUUUCAGGUGGAAUUUAAGAAAGAACCCAGUACCGGCACUUGCAGUAAAUCCCUUUUCUCAUCAACAAGCUCAAGCAAGGGUUCUGAAGCAGGGGAGGAGAAAACCUCAAAAGUGCUAGCUGUCAAUGAAGAAGAAACCCCCAUGAUUACAAAACAAAAGGAUGUGGUGGUUGUGAGUCCUGAAGCAACUAGCAAGGCCAUUGAAGGAGUGGCAGAAACAUUAGGCUCAGUAUCUAUCUCUCAAAAAUUUGCAGCUGGUGUGGAGGGGAAAAAGGAAGAAACUCAGGUGAGAAAAAAGUGGAACAGACAGAAGGGCCCUAAAGGUCAAAAGCCCAAAGCACAAACUAAAGGGAAAAAAGAAGGUGGGAAGAGGCAGAUAAGUGAAGCUAAUGUUACUGACAGUGUUUUGGAGGCGGUUGGGGGAGUGGAGAAAAAGAGACAUCUUGCUGCUAUGGAGAUUGACAUCAAUAAAUCAGAGGAGGUGUUGGAUGACCAACACCUCCUACCAAAAUGAAACUCUUAAGUUGGAAUUGCAGGGGGUUGGGGAACCCUCGGGCAAUUCGAGCCAUGUUAAGGCUCAACCGUAUUCAAAAUCCUCAAGUAGUUUUCUUAAUGGAAACUAGGUUAAAGUCUGAUGAGAUGGAGUGUUUUAGAAUAAAGGCUGGUUUCUCCUCUGGUCUGUUUGUUCCUUGUGAGGGCCAUGGAAGAGAAAGGGCAGGAGGCAUUGCUUUAUUGUGGAUGGAUAGUGUUAGUCUAUCAAUUGUAUCUUACUCUCUAAACCAUAUAAUGGGGAGGAUUGAAGAUGCAGAAAGUGGAAAAAAUUGGUGUAUCUCUGGUAUUUAUGGGCACCCUGAGGAAGGUAAGAAGAAGGACACUUGGGAACUACUGCGAAGCUUAAAGCCGGUUGAUGAGGAUAUGUGGUUGUGUUGUGGAGACUUCAAUGAUAUUCUAUCUAAUGAGGAAAAGCUUGGUGGUAAUCCUAAAAGUUUCUCACAAUUGUCUAUUAGUAGGGAUGCAGUGGAGGAUUGCAACUUACUUGACUUGGGCUUUAUAGGCUAUCCUUUCACGUGGUCAAAUGGAAGACAGGAAGAUGGUAGAAUUCAAUGCCGACUGGAUCGAUCGUUUGCUACGGAUGAAUUUGUCAAACGUUUCUCCCCUAUUCAGAUACAUCAUCUUGCUAGAUUUGGGUCUGAUCACGCUGUUAUUUCUAUUGAUUUGGAUGUGUGUCUAGAGGAUGAUCAGAGUAAGAAACCUCAUGUGUUCCGGUUUGAGAAGUGUUGGGCUGAAGAUGAUAGAUGUGAAGCUAUGGUGAGGGGUUCUUGGAAUACUGCAGCAGGUCUGGUGGGCAAAAUUGAAGCUAUGCAGUCCCUGGAUUAUGCUUUCAAAGAAUACCGUACUUCUGAGAUCCGGAAGGAGUUGCUGGUAAUUGAAAACAAACUCAACAACCAUACUUUGUGGGACAGUUCCCCGGAAAACAUUUCAAAAUUCAGAGAAUUGGAAACAAAGCAUGCAGAUCUGCUCAAAAUGGAGGAAACCAUGUGGCGUCAACGUAGCAGGGCAACGUGGCUGAAGGAAGGUGAUAAGAACUCUAAGUUUUUUCAUGCUAAAGCUAAACAGAGAGGGAAGAUAAAUUCAAUAAAGAAGCUCAAGGAUGAGAGGGGUGUCUGGUGGAAUGGCAGAGACAGACUUGAGAAGAUGUUGGUUGAUUAUUACGCCGGCUUAUUUGCUUCUUCUAAUCCAACAAGAAUUGAGCAGACAUGUAUGGCUGUCAAAGAUAGGCUCUCUCCUGAUCAUUGAGUGGUGUAACCGAUCUUUCUCCCCGGCUGAUAUCAAGGAAGCUAUUGACCAAAUGCAUCCCCUUAGAGCUCCUGGCCCGGAUGGUUUACCUGCACUUUUUUUUCAAAAGUAUUGGCACAUUGUUGGUAGUGAGGUUAUUACAUUUGCCUUGGGUAUCCUAAAUGAAGCGAAAUCUCCAGAAUGCAUAAACAAAACCUUCAUAGCCCUUAUUCUUAAAUGCAAAAAUCCUUCUUCUCCAUCCCAAUUUCGCCCCAUUAGCCUUUGUAAUGUGGUUAUGAAAAUUGUUACAAAAUCCAUUGCCAACCGGUUAAAGCCAAUUUUGCCGGAGAUUGUUGAUGAGGAGCAAAGUGCUUUUGUUCAAGGGAGGUUAAUCACUGAUAAUGCUCUCAUAGCCAUGGAGUGUUUUCAUUGGAUGAAGAAAAAAACAAAAGGUAAGAAAGGGUUGAUGGCCAUGAAACUUGAUAUGGCCAAGGGUUAUGAUAGGAUUGAGUGGCCAUUUGUUAAAUCCAUGCUUCACACUAUGAACUUUCCUGUCAAUAUCAUCAAUACCAUUAUGCAGUGUGUUUCCACAGUCUCUUACCAGAUGCUCAUAAACGGUCAACCAAGCCGCAGUUUCGUCCUGGAAAGGGGAUUGCGCCAAGGAGAUCCGUUAUCCCCUUACCUUUUCAUUUUGUGUGCCAAUGUUCUAUCAGGCCUUCUUAAGAAGGAGGAAAAGGAUAAUAAGGUUCAUGGUAUCUAGGUCGCGAGGAAUGCUCCAAAGAUUACUCAUUUGUUGUUUGCAGAUGACAGUCUCUUGUUUGCCAGGGCUAGUGUGGAGGAAGCUCAAUGUAUCAUAACUAUUCUCAAUACCUACCAGGAAGCCUCGGGGCAGAUUGUAAACUUAGAUAAGUCUGAAGUUUCAUAUAGUCGAAAUGUGCUUAGCCAUGAGAAAGAAAUUAUCUGUCAAAGGAUUAACAUAAAGACUGUGAAUGCUCAUUCUAAAUAUCUGGGUCUGCCGGUGAUUUUUGGGAGGUCAAAGAAGGAGAUUUUCUCUUUUGUUCAAGAGCGAGUGUGGAAGAAGAUCAAAGGUUGGAAAGAGAAAUGCCUCUCUCGUGCCGGGAAAGAAACUCUUAUCAAAGCGGUUGCUCAGGCUAUUCCAAACUAUAUCAUGAGCUGUUACAAACUGCCUGAAGGAUGUUGUGAAGCUGUGGAAGGAAUGUUGGCCAAAUUCUGGUGGGGUUCUGAUGAAUCUAAGAGGAAAAUCCACUGGAUGAGAUGGGGCAGACUUGGAGAAACUAAGAAGAGAGGGGGCCUUGGCUUUCGGUCUUUCAGUGAUUUUAAUAAGGCUCUGCUUGGAAAGCAAUAUUGGAGAUUAUUGUCUGAUUCUAACUCUCUUAUGGCACGUAUUUUUAAAAGCAGAUAUUUCCCGUGCUCAAGCAUUUCUAAAGCUAAUGUGGGUUUUCAACCGAGCUAUGCCUGGAGGAGCCUCCUAAAGGCGAGAGAGAUGGUUGAGAAUGGUGUCCAAUGGGUGAUUGGCAAUGGUAGAUCAAUUCAAAUAUUCAAAGAUAAAUGGAUUCCUGGUGUGCAGUCUAUUCUGGUCCAGAAUAAUGAAGGCACAAUUGAGGAGAAUGCAAUGGUAGCUGACCUUAUCAUCCAUGAAACUCGCUCGUGGGAUAGAGAAAAAGUCUUGGAUUCUUUUAACAGUUUUAUUGCAAAGAAAAUCUUGAGCAUCCCUAUCUCUUUUAGACUCCCGGACGAUAAAAUUGUGUGGCAGUGGGAAAAAUCAGGAGAAUUCUCAGUGAGGUCUGGACAUCAUUUGCUUUGCGAGACCAAAUCCAAAGAGAUGGCUGAGACAUCUACUGUGCGUGAUACGGAGGUCUGGAGCAGAAUCUAGAAAUUCAACGGCCCUAGAAGCGCGCAAAACUUCCUUUGGAGGCUAGCAAGCAAUAUUCUUCCUACCAGAUGUAAUCUCAGUAAAAAAGGUAUUUCUCUGGACACUACUUGCCCCCUCUGUAAUUCUGGUGUUGAAGAUAGGAACCAUCUCUUUUUGCACUGCUCGGCUGCGAAAGCGGUUUGGUUCUCAUCUCCUCUUGGCAUUCAUAUACCUCCCAGCGCUGUGUGUAGAGAUUGGAUGGAACUAUGGCUAAGGAAUGAUGAUACUCUAGCUGUCCAGUUUUUUGGAAUCACCCUCUGGCGUCUUUGGCAGGGAAGGAACCAACUAGUUUUCAAAAACACUCCUUUUGAUCCGGUCCAAAUUGCGCAGUCUGCAGUGUUGUUGGUUGAUGAGUUUAACUUGGCAAACAGGAAAGUGGAAUGUCAGCGCGUAACCCCUGCACCCUCUCGGUGGUGUCCUCCUCCGGAUGGAACUAUCAAGAUUAAUGUCGACGCAGGGUGCUUCAAAGAUGGCAGCAUGGGGUGGGGUUUUGCUGCUAGAAACCAUCAGGGAGGGGUGUUGUUCUCUGCUACCCGUAAGGAACUUGAUGCUGUGUCACCGUUGAUGGCUGAGACGCUUGCUCUCAGAUGGUGUUUAAGCUGGGCAGAAGCGGAACAAUUCCCAUGCUUGUGCAUAGAAACUGAUGCUGAAACGGUAGUCCACUGUCUGUACGGAAGGAAAAGAGUUACUGCUAUUGAUUUUCUGAUCCUAGACUGCCUAGAUUACUUGUCUCGCUUAAGUAAUUGUACUGUUAGCUUUGUUAGAAGAAAUUGUAAUCAAGUUGCUCAUAACCUUGUGGUUUUGGCACAAUCAGUAGGUAAUAGAAGUUGGGUGGGUUCUGUCCCCCAACAAAUCUAUCCAUAUCUUUGUAAGGAUUUCUCUCAUUAUCAAUGAAAUACCUUAGUUUAUGUCAAAAAAAAAAAAAAGUUCAGCGACCCUGUUGCGUGUAGGGUGGAUCCAUAUAUGGUCUCUUCUAGAGAUAUUGAAAUAAAAGUAGAUUAUAAUAAAAUAAAAUAUUUUGGGACAUAGACUUGAUCCAUGAAAAAGAGAGGAAAGAAAGUUAAGCAAUAAUAAAAUCGUACUCCUUCCGUUUCAUAUUAAAUAAGUUGUUUGACAAUGUGCACUUUUGACCUGACAUACUUUGAUCAUAUUUUUCUACUAAUAUACAAAUAAAGAUAUUAUAUGUUUGCCUGUGAUUUUGGCAAACGGGGGCUAGUUCUGAUUAUUACAAGCGAGAUCGAUCUAGAAAUCUCAAGACUGUUGUGCAAAGGUUUUUAUCUGAAAAGAGUUUAAAAAAGGCCACGAAAGGCACUCAGGUUGCUUAGAGAGUAGGACGAGUUUGAUAGUAAAAGGCACUGUCUCUCGACAAGUUUGAGAUUGCAAUUAAAAGCUUUAAACAAAGCAUAUAAAGGUAAGUUCAUGCACGUAAAGAUGUUUCGGUUGGUGAUGUUGGAGUGGUGGUGUUGUUAGUGUGCUACUAUUUUUGGUGAAGUUUCGAAUGGAGGUGAUGUUGGGAGUGGUGUUGCUGUCUUGGGUGAUGUCCAAGUGGUAGUGAUGCAGUCUGCGUGUGGUGAUAUAAGGUCAUGGUAUAUUGAGUUGAUGGUGAUUUUAGUGGUUGUUGGUGAUGACAGUCCGUCAUUCGUUAAUUUUAAUGUCAUUUUCAUGAUGUUGAGUUCACAAGCAAGUUUAAACAGCAAAGAAAACAAGAAAAAAAGAAGAUUUUGAUGAAAGCAAAAUUGUGUCACGAUUGUUGAAAACGUGUCACGAUUUGGAGCAUAGGAUGAGGUUCAUUCGACAUUAGCUAAAACGUGUCACGAUGGCUAUUUCAUGACACAAUUUUAGGGACAUGUGGCAAGAGAAAAUAUGAUCAAAAAGAGCAAAACAAGAGGUGUCAAGAAGCAAUGGAUUUAAGAAUUUAUGGGCUUAUGUUUGAUCAAGAGAAUUCAACGUGUCAUGCUGCUGAUUGAAAAAAGCAACCAGGUCAUUUGUGUGAUAUAUAAGGGCAAGUUGCACAACACAAUAUUCAUUCACGCUGGUGACAUCACGGUUACGGCAAGGAUCACGUUUUAUCACACAACAGGGAGCAGCAAGCACAUCACGUUUUGGAGAAUUGCGACGGGAGGCGCAACAACAACAUAAAGAGGAUGAACCUUUGAGUGAAGCAUUCACCAUCCGGUUUAAUUUUUCUUCUAUGUUGUUUAUUCCUUUUGUGAUGAGUAGCUAAUUUUCUUUUGAUUGAGCCAUGAUGAAUCUAUUGUAAUUGUAAUAUAUGAAUCAGUAGUUGAAACUCUCUUUAUUAUCAAUAUUAUUCAGUCUUUAUUCAGAAUUAUUUGUGUUCAUUGCUUUUCAUAUGAUUGUUUGCAUGACUAUUAACCCUAGCUUCUUACAAUCACAUAAAUUGAUCUUAGGAAUUGAAUGACUACUAACCCUAGCUUUUAAUCUUGAAGUAGUAAUUCUGUUUAAUUCAACAUAGGAACCUAGAGAUAUGAAAUUGAGGAUUAUGGCAUAUGAAUUAACGUUCUGACAUCGCUUCCGCGGUUAUUCAAUCGGUUUAAGAGAUUAAAAGGUUAUAACUUAGGAAAGGGUUUUGAGUCAAGAGAUUGAUCAAAACUAAUUAGUUAAUUUGUCGUAAAGAUUGAAUAAGUGUUGAGAGUAAAGAGAGAUAAGUUAUUUCACAUAAAACAAUAGAGGAUUCACUAGCUUGAUCAUAUGUUUUAAUCCAAUUAUCAAACCAUUUUAUUUUCUGUUAUUUACUUUAUUGCACACAAACCUACUGCCUCAGGCACUUAUAAAAUUUACACAUCCUAGAUAUUAACUUUAUUGCUAAGUUGAGAUUAACACAGUCCUCGUGGAUACGAACUUAUUUUACUACUUCGAUAGUUUUAGUACACUUGCUAAAAUAUCUAUCAGUUGGUAAUGAGUAUCACAAGUGGUGGUUGUUGCUGUUGAGUUGGGAGGCGAAGUUUACUGUCUCUUUCUUCUGUGGUGGUGAGUUUGAGGGUGUGGAGAUGAUGAUGAUGAUGAUGAUGAGGAGGAGGAGGAGGAGGAGCUUGUGGGUUGUGUUGUGUUGGGGAUUUUGUGAUUUUCUUCCUUGCGGGUGCUGAGUUUGCGGUUGUUAGUAAAACACAGGUUGUCUGUUGUUUUUGUGUGGUCGUUGUUUCCUUCCAAUCCAGAUCUACAUGGAGGAGGUGAUCGUGGUGUGAGGUGGAGAUGUAGGUCACGUUUUUGGUGGUAUGAGGAAGUGUCGGUGGGUCUUCAACGGUUGGUUUCGAUAAGAACCUUCUAAGCCUGUUCGACUACUCUGUUAUCUGGUGGUUUGCUGAUGUGGAUCGAUGGUGUUGCAGCUGUGAAGGUGGGUUUUGUUGUUGCGCUUGUUGUUGUUGUUACUGCAAAGGUGGAUUCGUGGUGGUUGUUGUUGUUUCAAUCGUUAUAGAUACCGGUUGUUUGGUUGUUGUGUUGGUUCUUGACGUUGUUGUUUGUGGGUAGUGUACGAGCAUCGGAAUGUAGGUGGUGGAAGUUGUUUUUGUGGUAGUUUGUGACGUUGGUUGAGUUUUUUUUUUUUUUUUUUUAUGUAUGUUUGGGUGAGGUUUUGGUACAACUUUUGUUUUCCAUUGUAUGUUGCUACUUUACGACUCCUAGCCUAGCAUUCCUUCUGCUGGUUAGGAUUCAUUGUGAUUUUAUAAAUUUCAUUUUGCCUUCUUAAAAAAAAAAACAUGUUAAUAAUAUCGAUAUAACACAGUUUUGAAUAUCCAUGUAUUCACAUGGGUCCGCAAAGUUAUGGUUAAUACAUCAUAUCGACAUUACAUAUGUAACAAGUUCAUACUUGGAUCCUUUAAAAAAAAAUCAUAUUUGAAUUUCUAACUAAUUAACAAUAUUCCUACAUACUACCUAAUAUAAACAAAAAACGAAUUGAUAUAGUAGAUCGAUAUAAUACAAUUCAAAGUCGUUAAACACACCGCACUAAGACGGAUCUACAACAUUGAUGAUGCCAAAGUUAUUGAUUGAAUUUGCACUUGAUCGAAGUUUAUCUUUCAACUUAAAUCAAAUAAGCACUACGUUAAGAUGAAAAAUAAAAAAAAACACACAGCACAAAAACAGGAAAUCAAAACAAACAAAAUGGUUGACUUUAAAUCACCAUUUUCGGUAUAUCAAGAAGAAAAGCCCAUGAGGUUUGACGACGACAACAAGAGAGAGAAAAAGAGAGGUAAUUGAUAUUUUUUGAAGAGGAAUGAUAUUUGAACAUCCAUUAAUUAGCGAUAACUUUUGCAACAACUUUCUCUCUCAUACUCACAUUACUUUUCACUUUAUCUCUCUAUUGCUAUGGUUUCCGUGUCAAUACCAAUUUUUUCUUUGUAAAAUAUGAUUGUCAAAUAAGUUGUCACCAAAUUGGUUGUUCAAAUAACACUCAUCUUUUUUGAAUUUGUAUAAUCUUCAAAUCAAAGAGAAGUAUUUGAUUGUGUUGGAACUCAAAGGCCCGUCUUUAAAGGGAAAUUUAAUUAGUCAACAACUAAUCACGGUAAUCUCUUGAUGAUUGAAAAUAUUGUUAAAACUAUUUUAACUAUUGUUCUAACGGAUUGAGACACAAAACUUGUAUACAACACAUAUAGAAAACUCGAGCAAUAGGUGGAAAUUGACAAAUCCAAAUAGAAGAAAUAGAUUGAAAAUGUGGUGCAAACACAAAUAUAUGAAAAUUUGCUGCAAGUUUUAAAAGUUAAGAAAAUUCAUGCAAAUGAAUAUGAACUAAAUUCAUAUAGCCUUGUAAGAAUAUGAACUAAAAGCGUAUAGUUGAUGAAAUGAAGCUAGAAUUGAUGCAAUCUAAUGAAAUGGAAUGACAUUUGUGAUCAGAAUUUCAACAUGUCCACUGAUUAGAUAUAUUGAGACAUAAUCAAAUCAACAUCUUUCUUGAUUUGAUCACUUCUAGCCUCUAAAAAUUGAAUAGAAAUAUUUAAAAACUUUAGAAAUUCAUAAUCAAUCAAUCAUACAAAAUAAUGUUGCAAUAUUAGUUAACUUGAUUAAUCAACAUCAUAAAAAUUAUUUAAUGGAAAUACUCUUGAAUAUGUAUAUAGAUAUAAUAUGAUGAAUAUUUACUUAUGAGUUAGGGAUUUCAACGACUGUGAGAAAGGAGUAUAUAAUAAAGGAUGCAAAAGCGUAUCAUUGUAUUCUGCUAUGUUUUAUACGUUUAUAUACAGCAAGUUAACGCCAUCGAUUUGAAUUGUUAUAUGCCAAAUGAUUCAUGAGUAUUUAGGAUUGAUUGAUUGAUUAGAGGGAAAACUAGAUUCCUCAUGAAUCAUUUGGAAUCUAAUUAGUUUUUUUAGCUCAUUUUAAUCCAUCGAUAAAUUUUUAUUAUUUUGCAUAUACUUUUUAUAAGGUUUUGAUAUAAAAUUAUUGUAAUUGUUAAUAAAAUUGUAGGAGGGUUAUGUAUCUAGAACGCAGAUGCAAAGACAACUUUUUGUACUCUAAGUUGGAGGGUUAUGUAUCUAGACUCGCAUUGAGUUUACUAGCUUCAAUAAUAGACGAAGUUGAUGCCAAACUAACAACAAUCCAGAAAUUGCACCAAUUUAUGAAUGUAAUUGUUUCUUACUAAAUGCAUCGAUCACUAUUAUGUAUGUGUCUUGCUCAUGUUCCUAACAAAAACUUGUCAUUUUAUAUAUCAAUAGCUUCUUGUGUUCAUACUUUUUAUACUCUUUUUGUGGUUUAUUGAUAUAUCCGAGGCUGAAACCAUUCAAGAAAACUUGUCUCAGUCAAUUGAAUUGAAGUGGUGAUUCAGAAUUAGCAUCAACAAUUGUAUGGAAGCAGAACUAUAGUGAUUUGUGCUUAGUUUGAAUACUAACUUGAAAGGAAAUUUGUAUUUCAAACUGAUAUAUUAGAUUAGAAUACAAAAUCCUUUCAUAUAGAAGAAAUUAGACACAAGCCUGUUGUAGUUAUUCGGUUAUCUACAUCCCUAAGAAACGUUUCAGUUGAUCUAAAUUCUUAAUUUCAAAUGCAAGGAUAGUAACAAGCAUUUGCAACUUAUUCUUUCUUGGAAGCAGAACUUAUUCUUUCUUGUGAGCGUUAAUGUAGGGUUCCACUUGUUUUCGCCAUAGGUGGAAACUUUUUUCAUCUAGUUUGUGCGCAAUCUUGAGCGAAAACUGCAGGCGAUAAGAUUCUUCAUCGGCUGCCGGCGUUUGAUGUGAUUUGUGAUUAUGUUUGAUCAAAGGAAAUAAUCAUUGAAUGUGUGGUAGACUCCUUGGUGUUUUAGCUAGGCUUGGAAUAAGAUAUUAAAAGGAAAUAAUCAUUGAAGCAACAUGACAACAAUCAGUACUAAUUACUAGCCCCUUAAAUUUUAUUUCAGGUGGUAUAAGCACGGGAGAAACUAUGUCUCACAGCUCUGAGGAGGAUACUGAUACAAGUGAUUCUGAGAUAAGUAGGUAUGAAGAUAAAUGUUAUAAAAAAAAAACAUUUUUAGUAUUAUUAUUUAUGUGUUUCUUGACACACAAAAAUCACACACUGGACAAUAACUUUAAUAAUAAAAAAAUAAUUUAAUAAAUUUUACAAGAAAGAACAUAAUGAUUUCAUUUAUAUUUUAGGAUUAACAAACUUGUAUAUAAGAAAAAAGUUCGCAAUCUUUUUCAAUAUGUUGUUUAAUAUGAAAUCUCGUGGCCUCGUGGGUAUCUCUAUAUCUCUCGUGAAAGUAAUUUGAAGUUGUAAGUUGUAACCAUGAUACCUUAUGAUUUCUAACAUGGUAUUAGAGUCUAAUUCCAAGCUUCCACAAAUGACAUUUAUCUCCACGUUUCAUAUUCGGAUUGGGCAGAAGAACAUGAUUCUUGUUCUGAAGAUACCAUUUUCAGAUUCUCUCCUGCAAUGUUCUUGAAUCUAUAUGAAUGGAGGAAAACAACCACUGUGAUAUCUUUUAUGUAUCUUGGAAGCAAGUACCAGAUAUUGCUACACACCAAUUCUAGUUAUUCCAAACAAGCCAGAAAUCGAUGAAGUUGCCAAUUCUAGUUUUAAAGCUUGGUGAAAUCACCUCGCAGAUUCAAAAACUCACAAUUGCUUAUGAACUUGGAUGAAGUUACUCGAUAAACAUCCUAAUCUCUCUAGACUUUCUUCAGGGAAAUUCAUAUUGAUCAAGUAUGCAUUUUUUGUUAUUGAGCACUGAGGAUAUGAACUUAACUCUUAUUUACUGAAUGCAAAUUUUCUAAGCAGGUGUGGAAGCAUGCCAUACACUGCUGAUUGGUGUCCUUAAAGAGUUUUAUACUGCAAUGAGCUCAAUUGAAACUAGUUCCGGUUCGUAAACACAGAACGGAUGCACCGAAACUUUAUACCACCACUUCAGUUUGGUUUAGGAAGAAGCAUUAAUAGUACAUUUUCUUUUUACCGAACUGUUGAAACGGUUCAGUUUAAUUUUCUUUCUGAACCGAACCAUAAGUCUAACAUGUCAUAAGUUAUUAAUCAAGUGUUACAUACCGAAACAAUUAUAUCAAAGGACAUUAGGUGGUAUAAUGAAAUGGAAAGCGUUUGGAUUAAUAUAGAUUAGGGGAGCUAACAAAAACCUUGUAAAAUAUUAAGUUGCACAAGCAAUAGGCAUUGAAAAAAGUUAGAUACACCUUGAUUUUAUAGGAGCAUUUGGUGAAGUUUUUGAGAGGUGUUUUGAAGUUACAAAAUUUAGUGGGCUAAAACAUUAAUCACUUCUUUUUUUGUUAAAUGAGGAAGAUGUAGAGGUUUCUUGUUAAUGAGAAAGAAGUUAUUGUUACGCAAGAAAUUGUGCUUCUAUGAGUUCAAGAACAACCAAUACACUUUCCCAAAUGGAGGAGAGAUCAUAAUAUCAAACAUAUUAUUCCUCAUGAUUAGAUCUAAAGAGUUGUGAAUGUUUUUUAUUAGAUCUAAAGAGUAGUUAUGAAUGUUUUUAAGUUGAAGCAAACAAAUAAGUUGCCAUUUGAUUCACUUUCUAAUCCAACAGAGACCUGUUUAUAGUGCAUUGGUGUCUACUACCAAGUGAAUUAUUUAUGUUUUUUGACUAUAAAAAUUGAAUUCAAAUCUAACAAGCACAAACAAAGCAGAAGAUUAGACAAAAUGAGGCCAAAAUGAAUAAUUCUUAUACCAACCAUGUUAACAGAAAGACAAAAAUAGGUGAUAAACAAAACCACCCCAAGUCUCAACAAAAUUUACUAGUUUAACAAUCUAAUGACAAGACUCAAUUCAAGAAAGCAAAAAGACUAAUAUAUGUUUUUCGGGCUUCAAUUCAAAACAGAUAUAUGAUAACUUAAUCUUCAUCAUCGAUGACCUUGGUGCCCAAACCUUUUAACUCUUCUUUAGGAAUUUCAACGACGGUGACAAGGGAGUAUAACUCUUCCUUGGCAUCUUCGUCGUCAUUCCUCUUGCGAGCAAUGCGUACCCUGAUCCUCCUUGGUACACUUCUGAUUCCCUGGCUCCAGAUAGCCUUGUUCAACUUAACGUCAACUCUAACAUCGUUAGUGCCCAUGGCUUUUUGAGCAAACUUUCUGAUCUCCUUGAUGGCUUUUGGUGCCUUCUUCUUGAAGGUGCUGUUUUACAUGAAAAAUACAAAAACACAGACAACAGCAUGAAAAAUACAAAAACCUAUCUUUCAAAUCAUGAUAAUAAUAAUAAUAAACACAAUAAAAAUGGCACUUUAGUCAAAAAAUCAAUAUGACUAAAAAAAACUGUUAGUUUAGUACACACAAAACAGUGCGAUUCAGAUGCAAUCAAAUGUCCAAAUUUUUUACACACAAAGACCAAAUGAACAGCAUACAUAUUUAGGGUCUGUUUGGAUAGGCUUAUUAGUGCUCAAUUACUCACAUAAGUUUUGACAUUGUUCAUUAGCUGUUUUUACCAUACUUACUGGCGGUCUGGAUAUGAAAACAGAUUAUGACGACAUUGUUCAUAAGCUGCUUUCAGCAUAUUUUAUAUGUUCUCCAAGAUAGCUUACACAAACAGCAAAUGACAUUGUUCACAAACUAUGAUUAAUUUACACAUCAACAUCAAAUGAACAGCAUGCAUACUUAGAGCCUCUUUGGAUUAACUUAACAUCAAAUGAACAGCAUACCUACUUAGAGCCUGUUAGGAUGAACUUAUUCGAGCUUAUUUAAUGGCAUAACAUUGUCAUGACGGCUUGCAAGAGCUCAUUAAAACAGCUAAUGAUUUUGUGCAUAAGCUGUUUCAGCUUAUUUCCAUUAGCUCUCCAAGAUUAGCUUAUAAAACAACUUAUAGCUUAUAAAAACAAUUUAAAUUUAUUUCAUCUCUUGUUAUAAAAAAAGCUUAUAACUAAGCAGUUAUCAUAACAAGUGUUAAAACUAAUACAAGAUGCAAAUUAAACUGUUUAUCCAAACAGGGCCCAAUGUAGUUUAAAUCAUGAAAUUAAUAAUUAAAGUGAUGAAACUACUGGUUAUGGAAAAGUGAGAAAAUUACUGAUUAGCAGUUAUAAGCUGUUUUAACAAGAUAUCAUGGUGAGAUUAUGAAAAUAAGCUGAAUACAGGUAAUGAAAAUGUUAUCAAUUGUUUCAAUUAGUUCUCCCAAACAGUCCCACAAGUGCUUGGGCAAAUAGAUAAGCUUAAAUAAGUUGAUCCAAACAGACCCUAGUAAAUCUACAAAAUUGAAAUGCUAACUAAAACAAUACUACAGGAAAGUGAGAAAAUUACUGAUAAGCAGUUUAAUCAUGAAAUUAAUACUUCAAAACAAUGAAUUGUAAUUUCCAGUGUAAACACAGACAACUGAAUCACAAAAGUCAAAAUUACUUAUAACAUGUGUUUUCAGCUUAUUUUCAUAUGUAAUCCAAAAUAGUUUACCAAAACAUCAUAAUUCUUAUAAAAUGGCUUAUAGUAAACACUGCAAAUUAGCCUAUUUAUCCAAACAGAUCCUAGAUCUACAAAAUUGAAACGCUUAUGUAAAACAACAAUUACAGGAAAGUGAGAAAGUUACUGAACAGCAGGCUUAUUUGGGCAUCUAUUGAAUAAGUUAUUUCCAACUUUUUUUCAUAAACUCCAAAAUCAAAAUCAAAAACAACGUAUAGCUUAUUAAAAAACCAUAAUUGUGUUUACAUUUUGCAAUAAAAAUAGCUUAUACAGAAUCGCUUAUCAUGACAAUACUUAGAAAAUUUUCAUAAUCCAUCAAAGAAUUAGGGCCCAUUUGGAUUUUGCAAUAGACAAGCUUUUAUGUAUUAUUCAUAAGUUUGUCAAUGGAGUUUAUGAUAAAAGAGUUUAUGAAGAUAUAAUUCCCGUUAGUAAAACUUAUAAAUUAACAUAAAAGCUUACUUAAUUGCAUAUGCUAUUUUUCAUAAACUCAAAAACAAGCCAAUCUAAACAGGCCCUUGGCUUAUAAAAACAGCUUAUAACUUACAAAAAAACAAUUAAACUUAAUUUUUAUCUCAUCAUAAAAGUAGCUUAUAACUAAGCGCUUAUUAAAACAAUUUAACUUUACAAUAUAAGCUGCAAACUAAGUUAUGUAUCCAAACAGAUACUAGAUCUACAAAAUUGAACUCUUACUAAAAUCAAAAUCAUAGGCAAGUGAGAAAAUUACUGAUUAGCAGUUAAAUCAUGAAAUUAACAACAAAAAUGAUGAAUCAAAAUUUGCAAUGAAACACAUAGAAUUGAAUCAUGAGAAGCAAAUGAUAGAAAGAUUGAAAUUACCAGCCAUGGAGACGCUUGUGGAGAUUGAUGGUAUACUCCCGUGUAACCACCUCUUCUUUCCUACCUGCUGCACCCUUCUCAACCAUUUUCAGCUUCUGAGAUUAACCUAAACCCUAAUAAAAAACCGAAAAAUUCAAAUUUAUAAUCAAAAGCUACGAAAUUUAUUAUUAUGAUGCGUUGAUGUUUGAAUUAAAUACUUCAAUUGAAAGAAACAUACGAUUUUUGAGGAAAAUUGGGAACUAGGGUUUACCUUAAGAGUGUGUGCAAGGUUUUCGGCAGUGAAGAAGCAGAAAAUGAAAGAGGAGAAUGAGAUAUAAAGAAACCCUAAUUUUUUACGGGUUUGGGUAAUAAGGAUUUGGGCCAAAUCAAAUUAUAAUGGGUUGAAUAUGAGCCCACUCUACUCAUACAAGGAGUACAAAAAAUUGUUUCUUUUCUCACCCUCGACAUCGCGCUUCGGAAUAUAUAAUCUGAACGGUUGUUGAAAGUUACAUGGUGUUUUUAACGUGUUUUUGUACAUUUUUUUAUUAUAUUAUCCAACACAUUGUAGGCGUUCAAGAAGCAUGUAGGGGUGUCUUCCUUACAAAAAAUAAAUUAAGCUUGUGGGAUGGGAUAAGAAACUCUCAUUAUAAUAUUUUUUCAUUUAAAAAAAAUGUUAUACGAUUUUCUCACAUAGUUAUUACAUUAUCAACUACACAUAUUGUUUCAUAAAAAAUAAUGUUAUUGAUUUUUAUUUGUUGAUGGACCCAAAGAUAGGUUGGGGUAUCGAUUGAUGUUCUCAAUUGUGAUUUCCUUUAUUCAAAUGAUUAACAUUUGGGAAUGAACUUUAUUCCUCAACUAUUGGUUCAUUAAUUACUCUAAUAGUGUUGAAUACGGAUGUUUUGAAAUUUUGCUACUAGAAUAAGAAAUGCUUGUAGAUAAAGGUAAAUUUAGUAUGAUAAAAGUAUAAAAUUAGUUUGUAUUUGAUUGAUUGUGUUCUUAAUAUAUUGUACAGAGUAGGUAUUUAUAGGAAAAACUAUUCCUAUUGACCGAAACUACAUAGCCUAAAAUGUUUAGCCUCUCUCAACUAUUUUUGUAGGUAGUGUGCUGGUUUUCCCUCGUUGAAGAGUUCAUGGUCUUUUUUUUUUUAGGAUAGAAUGUCUCAUUUAUUUAUUCAUAAAGAUGAGAAAUGUUUUCAAUAUUUUUAACUAAAAAAGUAUAAAUCUUCUAACCAAAUUGAUUUAGGAUUGGCGAGAGCAUACUUAAAUUAAAAAUGAGUCACUUUAUUGACAUGAGAGUAUAUUGAGAUAAAUGGUAAGGUAUCCCAACAUUUUAAGGGAGUGUUUGGAAGAAGAAUUUUGAAGAGGAGGGGAGUAAAUGAAUUAUUUUUCCUUUUCAAUAUUUAAAAAGAUAAAUAAUAUUUGUACAAUCAUUUUGUAACAAUUUUUAUGAAAAUUACUCCUCAAAGUCUUCUCAUCCAAAAUAAUUCAUCCACUAAUACCCCAAUCAAAUAAUCCAAUUCGAAGCACUGAUGAUAACUUUGGUUGUUUAAAAUUGUGAAUAAAGACGACUUAGUGGGAAACGUGAAAGAGUUAAAAAAAUAGAGUAAUAAGGAAGUUGAGAGUUUCAUCUACAUCAUACAUAAAAAAGAAAAAACUAAGAAUUCUAACAUUGAUUGUUUAAAAAAAACAACUUAUAUGAAAAACUCAAUUCAUGUGGCAUCUUAAUUAGUGAACAACAUAACAACAUACACAUGAAAGCACUUAAGAUUGGUCCUUCCUAACAAUCAUCAAUAUUAACCCUAUGCUUAAAAUAGAAUGAUUAAGUAGAAAAUGAUGCUUAACUAUUAAACCCUUCACAUUACUUCUUUAUCAUCCUUAUAAGAUAAGAUUGAUCAUUUUUCAUUGAAAGUCCUUAAAUCAUCAUUAUUUGGAUAAAAGCUACACUCUCUUGUAGUUUUCACUUAAAUGUGAGUUGUGGCUUUCUUAAUAGCCAACACGAAGAAGUAAAAAGAAACACGAAGCCAAAAUUUCUUGCAGACAAAUUUUGUGUUUUCUUGAACAGACUUCAAAAGAAAUGUAAAAAGAAUCGUCCUAGUCAAAGUCAAAGUCCUCUCCCACUAAGUAGACCAUUUGAUUAAGCAAUAUGUUCAUUGUUCUAUUUUGAACAGCAAAUUUAACUUAUUUUUAAAAGGCUGCUAACCAUGAUAAAUUGAGUGCAUAGACAAAUUAUUACUAAAUUGUCUUUAAUUUUUUUCAAAUUGGUAAAUACAUGUCUAAAAUUGUAAAAUGUCUAAUUCUCUAUUAGCUUUAAUCGCCAUAGACUACAACACGUUAACUGAAUAUGUGACCCCUCCAUAUUGAUUCCAAAUCAAUGCCAUCACAUUAUGAACUACUUUGUCUAUAAAAUUUAGUUCUCUUUCAUAGACUAAUUUUCGAGUAAUUAGUCCACUCACAAUGCAGUUAAUGAUAAAUUUGUAACCUAAAUUUCAUACAAAGUAGUCCAUAAUAAGUUGGAAUUGAUAUGAAAUCAACAUGCAAAUGUGACAUCUUUAGUUAAUGUGUCACAUCAUAAUCUUUAACCUUAUAAAUUACUAACAAAGUGAUUGUUUUCAGUGUUAUUAUUAAAUUUCAUGAUUAUUUGUCAAUUCACGGAUGAAUGUUUACAAUCUCAGUGACCAAUUUACUCCCUCUGUCCCUAUGUCUAAGCACGCAAUUUAUGACCAAUUUAUUUUUGUUCCUAAAUGUAAACUCCUUUUCAAAUUACUAGAUGCAUUUAUUAUUUUUUUCUAAACAUACCCCUAAUUAUUACUACUAUCUUGUCUUGAAAUAUGAAAAGUCAAAUUUAAUACACAUACAAACAAAGGAUAAUUUCGUAAUAUUAACACACAAAACAGACACAUUAUUUAUGCUGACAAAUUUUCUUAAAAAAUGUAAAAAAAACAAUGGACGCCUACAUUAAGAGAUAGAUGGAGUAGCUAUAUUUUUCCUCUAUAUUAAUUUCACCACUUCCAUAAUCCAUACCAUUAAAGUACUAAAUGCUUGAAAUAAGUAACAAUGUAACAUAAGACCAAACUUUCAUUAUUUAUUUUUUUGAAAGAUAAGACCAAACUUUCAGAAGCACAAAAUGAAACUUUAUUCAUAGGUAGACAACAUUUAUUGCAAUGAUAAAUAUAAAGUACUACUACAUCCGUUUUAAAAUAAGUGUCGUUUUAGCUAAUUGCACACAUAUUAAGAAAUGGAAUAAAGUAGCUAAAUGUCAUAGUAAAUAUUUUGGAAGUAGGGUAACAUAACAUUAAUUGAAGGAUACAAUUGAAAAGAAAAAGUUAUUAUUGCAUUGGAAACUGAAAGUUGUAACGAUCCGAUUUUUUGGACGUUAAUUAACAAAAGUAUUGAUGAAAAUAUGAAUUUCUUUUUUUUAAAUUAUAAAUGUAACGUAAAACUCAUCAACUAUAAAAUAAAACAAUAAUUAAUUUUCUCUUUGAAUUUCCAAAAUAAUAAAUUUUACAACAAAAGUAUAAUAUUCCUAAUAUCAAGACAUUUGGUCUUUUUCUACCCCAAGACUACACCUAGCUGGUCAAAGUUCCGGAUGCAUGUGAAAUGUUUUCUCAACAAGGCUAAUACCACUGUCGGAAUAUAUCAAGCCUCCAAAUGUGCACCACUAGCGUCUUCCUCUACUAUAUCACUUUGCCUCCCUGACGUCACCGCCAAGGAGGAAACACAGAUCGACGGUCAUCUGUCAAAAAGUAAGGGUCAUCUCCAACUAACAAACAUGGUACAAAUAGACAUGCAACAUAGAUUUGAUGAAAAUAAAAAUAAAUGAAACAUACAUGACACAUUACUCCAGUUUCAUAAUCAUCACCCCUAGCACCAAGUUACACUCUGACUAAAAUGCGUUAGUCCCUAAUGGUCAAUCUAUAUGUGCAUGCUCAUGAUCCGGAUUUCACCACUAAACGGAGCCAAUUGUCCCACCAUUGAACAAUAUACCCCAUCAUUGGGCAAUACCCACCAUUAGGUAAUAACUCCUAAAAAUUUGAUGUUCAGUACUCCACCAUUGGGCAUUUCUCUGAAUCAUCCAAUGCAUAUGAAUGGUCACUACCCUACCAUUGGGUAGUAACUCCUAAAACUCGAUAAGUUGUUAGAUGGAUGGUGGUUUGAUGGAUGGAGGUUUAUGAUCCUCUUUCAUAAAAAAGAGAAAGAAAAUUAGAAAAAGAAAGAAUAUAAAAAAUAAAUUUAAAGAUAAUAGAAAUGAUAAGGGAAAAAAGUAGUGUGUCUUCUGUCCAUUGAAGUGUUAGGAAUAGAGCGUGUUACUCAUAAUUUUAUGGGUAGUUGAAGAUUUAUCAGUAAUUAUUUCACACAAAAAGAUAAUCGAUUAAAAAAAGAUCACAUCAUUUUUAAAUGUCUGAUAAGCAUGUAUUUUGUUAACUUAACAUAACAGUCUACAUUUUUCUAUUACUAGAUCCCACCAAAGACCAAAAGUGAAGGUACUUAAAUAGUAGAGAUUGAAUAAUUUUUUUAUUUCAUGAAAGUGAACAUCUAAAAACUUUUUUUUUUGAGCGAUGAACAUCUAAAAACUUAUAUUUAAUAUAAUACAAUUAAACUAAUGUCAUCCAAAAACUAAAAAAAUAGUUCAUCAUAGUGUUUGAAGUUUUGAGUGAGCUUAUAAUGGAUUGAUCACCACAUUUGACCAAGAGAAACCCCAAAAAUGAGAUUGACAUCACAUCUUCACUCAAAACCUGAAAGACAUUAUGUAUAUUGGUCAUCUCACAUUCAUGUUUCUCAAUAUAUACUUUUGCUUUCAAUGUAGAAGUUUAACUGACACAUGACACAUUAACAUAUUAACAUCUCUCCAUUAAGGCUUUGUUUGGCAUAUCAAAGAAAGUGAAGGGAAAGAUAGUAAGAGGAAAAAGUGAGUAGAAAGUGUGUAGAAAGAGAGAUUUUUUUUUUUUUUGAGCAAAUGUAGAAAGAGAGAUGAUUAUUUAGUUGUUUGGUAUGAAAGAAAGAUAAAUCUAUAUUUAUUAAAUGACAUAAAUAUCCCUACAUUAAUAUGUGUGUGUGUGGGUUUGGGGGGGGGGGGGGGGGUGAAUAUAAAAAAAAAUUAAAUUUACCGCAUACUGUAUAUAGAAAAAGUUGAAGAGGGAUGUGCGACCAAAAAUAUUAAUUAAAAGGUAAUAAAACACAAAUAAACAAUUGUUAAAAAAACAAUUACUUUCUUUGCUCAAUUGUUUUAGAAAUGUGGGUCAUUUGAUAAUUUGCAAGUUUAAGACUCAAUCCCUAACACCAUGUUUGGUUUGCAAGAUUGAGGAAGGAAAGAUUGGUUGUGGAUGGAAAGCACAGAAACAAAAAAUUGUUCCACAGUUUGGUUCAAGGGAACAAUGAGAAUGGAAAGAAAGUAACGUGGGACCCAUGCCUAAAAAACAUUCCGUGCUAGUGUGGAUGGAAAGAUUGAGAAACAACUAUAUUUGUUUAAGAAAUCUAAAAUGCCCCCAACUUAUAUAUUUUUUUUUUUAUACUUUUUACUAUUCAUUCUUUUAUAGGAUAUACGACCUCUUUUUAUUUUAACCUACUUCUUUAACUUUUUUUUUUUGUCUCUGGCCACAAUUUCUUUUUCCUUGACACAUGUUUAUAUAUAUAUAUAUCAUAUGAGAAUGAGUAUCUUAUGUGAGAAUGAUGAGAACAUUUAUGGACCAUUAGAUUAAAAUAAAUGGAUUAGAUUAAAACCCUUAUUUUAUAGACUCGCGUGCUUGAUUGUUUCUCCAAUUUCAUUCACUUCCUGCACGAUUCAUCUUCCUUUGUCUCAUCUUCCAUCCUCUGAAAUCCAUUUAUUUUAAUCUAAUGGUCCAUAAGGGUUCUCAUCAUUCUCACAUAAGAUACACAUUCUCAUAUGAUAUGUCCUAUGCCCUAUAUAUAUAUGUCUUCAAGGGUAUUUAUGUCAACUAAUAAAUAUGGAUCUUUCUUUCCUUUAACUUUCCAUUCCACUUUCUUUUAUACCAAACAACCAAAACAAUCCUCUCACUUUCUAUUCUUUUUCUUUCCUCAUAUAAUCUUUCCUUACUCAUUCUUUGAUCAUCCAAACAAAGCCUAACUUUUCUUCGCUGUAAUGGGGAGAAAGUUUUAGGAUGUGGGUCCCACAAAAAGCAUACUUUCAUUCCACUCUAACAAAGCAACCAAACUAUGGAAGCCCGCAUUUCUAUAAAUUUUCUUUUCUCCAUGCUUUGUUUCCUUAUCGUUUCUGCUGUACCAAACACACCUUAAGUGUCAGACUCUCCGUGUUCGUGAUCCACCACCUAGAACACUCCCGCCCCUACAACGUUGAACUAGGAUAUCAACCCAGAAUUGGACUUUCUGGAGGAGCCAACACUAAUGUGGAUCGACACAUUGGAGAAAGGGCAACCACACAGUGAAAAUGAGACUACAAUUACAUCAAAAAAAUUUAAGGCUUAAGUAUGAUUUUUUUUCACUCUUUUGAUGUUCAACCUGCACUCUUUCAUCUAAUGUUGAAUUUUAACUGACUUUUGCUACAUCACAAUAUCAUCUCCCUUAAAUUUGACAGAAUUCUAGCCCGUGCUUGGCACAGGUGUCCAUGCUAGUAUUACUAAUAUCAAGACAUUUGGUCUUUUUCUACCCAAGACUACACCUAGCUGGUCAAAGUACCGGAUGCAUGUGAAAAGUUUUCUCAACAAGGCUAAUACCAGUGUCGGAAUAUAUCAAGCCUCCAAAUGUGCACCACUAGCGUCUUCUUCUACUAUAUCACUUUGCCUCCCUGACGUCAUCGUCAAGGAGGAAACACGGAUCGACGGUCAUCUGUCCAAAAGUAAGGGUCAUCUCCAACUAACAAACAUGGUACAAAUAGGCAUGCAACAUAGAUUUCAUGAAAAUAAAAAGGCUAAAUUACUUUUUUGGUCCUCUAACUAUUUAAUUGGUGUCGGAUUGGUCCUCUAACUAAAAAUUGAUUUAUUUCGGUCCCUUAAGUUUCUCACUGUUACAUAUUUUGGUCCUUUUCGUUACAUUUAAUUAAAAACCGUUAGGGUUCAUCAAUUUCUGGAAAAUAGGAAGAACACCAUCAACAAAACAAAAACCAAAACCCAGCAGCAAGAACAAACAAUAACAAAACUCAUCAUCAACAACAACCCAGCAAUAGCAACCUACAACAACAAUCCAGAAACAACAACAAACAAUAACAACAAUAACCCAGCAGCCACAACAACUAGAAAAAGGAGUAGGAAAAACAACAUAUUAGGGUUUGUGAAAGUUAGAGGGUCAGAAGAAGAAUAAGAAGUUUGGGAGAAAUUGAUAUCUCAACCCAAAUCGAUUGAGAAAUAGAGUUGAAGUUCUCUGAAUUUCUUUGUAUCUCUGGAUCUUAAAAAUCUGUAAAAUUCGAAUUUGGGGGUGAAUUGAAAUUGGAUGGAAUGGAAUUGGGGGUGAGUGAAUUAGGGAAGGUACUAAAAUAGAAUUUGAGAGAGAGGCCAUGGGAGAGGAGAGAGGGAGAGAAAGAAUUUUAUUGAUUUUUCUUGGUUUUUUCUUCUUAUGGGUUUUAUGUUGGAUGUUUUUAUGAAGGUGAAUGAGGAAGAUGAUGAAAAAGUUGAAUAAAGAUGAUGAUCUAACAAACCCUAACGUUUUUUUAAUUAAAUUUAACGGAAAGGACUAAAUGUAGUAACGAUGAGAAACUUAAGGGAUCGAAAUAAAUCAAUUUUUAGUUUGAGGACCAAUCCGAUACCAAUUAAAUAGUUAGAGGACCAAAAAGGUAAUUUAGCCAAAGAAAAAUAAAUGAAACAUACAUGACACAUUACUCCAGUUUCAUAAUCAUCACCCCUAGCACCAAGUUACACUCUAACUAAAAUGCGUUAGUCCCUAAUGGUCAAUCUACAUGUGCAUGCUCAUAAUCUGGAUUUCACCACUAAACGGAGCCAAUUGUCCCACCAUUGGACAAUAUACCCCACCAUUGGGCAAUACCCCACCAUUGGGUAAUAACUCCUAAAAAUUCGAUGUUCAGUACCCCACCAUUGGACAUUAUUCUGAAUUAUCCAAUGUAUAUGAAUCGUCACUACCCUACCAUUGGGCAGUAACUCCUAAAACUCAAUGUUAAAACUCCAAAUCGUUCUUCCCUUUUCACUCUCUCUCUUUCUCUAUUUAUUUCUAUAUCUAGGCAGUUGAAACAAAGCAAAGGUACUUGUGUUCCCUGUAUGAUAAACGAUAAAAUAGGGAAUGAUUUUGGUUCAUCAUUAUUAAUAAUUGACAUGAAGAGUGAUAAUGAUGAUAGGAUUCUUACUUGUCUCCCUAGAGUGAAUAUUUGUUUUCUCUCCUUCCUCCUUCAGACCCCUUUCCCAGUCUCUCUCUCUAUGUAUUUUGAUUUUGUUCUUCAAAGUAUAGAAUGGGUAUGUGUGAAAAAGAAUAGGAACCGUUAUUAUAAUAACUCUUUCACUCGCUAACUUCCUUGCUAAAAAUGUGGAACUAAAUCAUGGAGUGGAAAGUGGUGUGUCAUGGUCAUAUGAAAGUUGUAUCUCCUACUUUCUAGUAAUGAAUAAAUAUGAUCGUGUGCUUCCUAACUAGUAACUAACAUAAACUAGAAACAAUUAUAAUAAAACUAAGUUAGUAACUUAAUAAAUGUCACCAAUUUUUCCUAAUCUAAUAUAAUAAACUAUAUAUUCAUAAAGUUUGCUAAAAUAAGAUAAAAUAAAAUAAGACAUCAACUAAAUAAUUAGGAACAAAGAUUUGACCAUAUAAUAAAUAAAAAAUUUGAAAAUAUUGUUUCCUAUGAGAGAAAUAAUAUCAUCACUCAAUAAAUCAUACGAUAAAAUAUUUUUACGUCAAAUUAUGAUAAAAUACUUAAGCAUAAAAAAAAAAAAAAGAUAAAAUAUUGGGAUGUUACAAAAGUACAUUCAUUUUGAAACAAUUUUUUUUUGCUAAAACGACACUCAUUUUAAAACGGAUGGAGUAGUAGAUAAAUUCCUCGUAAUCAUACAACUUUAGGACAAAACUUAGGCAAUGCGUCUACAAAUACCGAGUCCAUCACCAACAGAAGUGAGAGCAAAUUCAACACGAGAAUCAUCUGUGAUUUUUUUGUUGAAUUCAAUUGCUGCUAUUCUUUGUGGUCUAGAAUGCAUUGGAACUUUCUCUUCAGGCCAUGCAACACGUCCACCCCAUUAAAUAUUGUCAUAUAUAAGUAAUCCACCAACUCACUUGAACAUUCUAUUUUUUCUCUUGAUCAAUAAUUCGAUGAUAUUUCUCUCAUUCUCUCGUUUUACAAGGAUACAUCGGCUAAUAUACUACUACUAUCACAAAGUAGUUACGAAGUUAGUUAUAACCAAAACACCGACUUACUUGUCCAGAAAGCUGAACAGGCCUAACUAAUUAACUUACAUAAGAUCUACUAGAACUAAACCUCGGUUAAUCAGUUUGGAGGUUCAUUAAUUUCAGAGACUAAAUUAAAUUGUAUGUUCUCAACAACUUUUAGGGAUUAAAACCAAUGAUUCGUUAAUUUCAGAGACUAGCUAAUUUUUAUUUUUAACGUUUAUUUUUAGUGUUACUAUUGUUUAAUUUAUCUAUCUGUGAUCCAGUUCAACUGUAGUUGAAAACCUAUUAAAUCAUAAUCUUGAGGUCUCACUGAUUAGAUCUUCGGUUUGAAUUUCAAAACAUUAGAUUGAAUAAUUACCAAGGAUGAUUCUCAGUGGCAUUCCUCAGCUCUUUGAGAGGCUUUGGCUCUCUAGGGUAAACAGCAGGCUCCAAUAUAUAAUGCAACACAAUUGUUCAUCAAUGAGUCAUCAAUGUUGAAAAUGUUUGUAUACUUUGGUUGUUCAUUUUUAUUUGAUCAAGGUUAGUUACUUUUACAUUUUAAUAAUUAAAAUGAAAUAUAUUAUCAACACAAAAUGUCCUUCCUAACAAAAGGUGUAACAAGGAAAAACAAAAGAGUCUGAACAAUAUUUACAAACCGGUAACAAAAAACAACAAAAAAGAAACACGAAAGAAAUAACAACUAUCAGUAGCCCAACAUUGCGAGAGGACUAAGCCACCAACCAUGGUAAUUGAGAGAUAACUGAAUAAAUUUCUCUUUCAACCACGAGAAAGAAAGUGCCUUUAUUUUGUCCACAAUCCGCAUAAUCGAGCAUUCUUUAACUUUGAAAAUGCUGUUAUUUCUUUCUUUUUAUAUUUCCCACGUGGUAGCAAACCAAAUGACGUUUAAAAUUGUGUGCCGCACAUGAGGUCCACCACCACCAAAACAAAAUUGUGUAAAAUGACCUGAUACAUCUAGCGGGACGAUAGUGGAAAUGCCAAUCCAACGGAAAAUAUUGUUCCAAACCGUCCCAAAGAUAGAGCAAUGUAAAAAUAAAUGAUUAACAGUUUUCAGAGAGCCGCAACCAGUAACGAACAAACAAGAAUCAGUAUUCAGAACACCACACCGACAGUAAGUUAUCUUUGGUUUACAAUCUAUUCUGAAACAGACGCCAAGCAAAAAUCACAACCUUCGGGAGGAUAUUCUUUUGCCAUAACACCUUUCCACUAACCUUAAUUUGCUCAAACUUAUGUUUUUGUUGAUUAAACAAAUAUGGAAAUGGAUAAACUAAACUAUCAGUGGGUUUGUCAUCGUAUCUUGUCAUAAAAUAUCAUUUAUAUAUAUACGAGUCUUCACAUUUAUGUGUUACUCAAUUUAAUGUAUUAGUGAUCAUUACUCAAUUUAUCUUGUCAUAAUUUUUUAUAUUUAAUUAUUUUUAAAAAUUUAAAUUUUGGAGAAAUAUUACCUUAUUAAUGUUAUUAAUUGGUGCCCACAAUUUUUCAAGUACCGAAAAUUCUUCUUUUAACAAGAUUGUGUAAUGCUUUUAUGUGAGUUCAUUAAGCAUGACAUAAAAUGUUUUGUUGGAUCACAUUUUUGUUACAUGAAUGACACUCAUUCAAAUUCUUCCUAACUCUCAAAUGUUUUGUUGCACUCUCAACUACUCAUUACCAACAUUUUGUAGGAAACACAUGCAAAAAGCUCCAUAAGGUUAGCAUAUUUAUCUUAUUCUUGCUUAUAAAAGGAUAAAUGGUACAUAAGAGGGAUACACCGCGUUACAGAAUAGUGAGAGAGCAUGGCAGAAACAUGCUAUAGUUAAGUUCCCUUGAGAGUUUACCUUACUAUGCUAUUUUCUAUGUUUAUAUUAGUACUAUUUACUUUCUUUGUCGGGUCCAUAGGAAUUUCUUUCAGCCAAGAACCAAUAGAUUUUGAUAUUUUCUAUAAAUUGUUAAUUUUGUCUAUGACCUUUUACAUCAAAAUUCAAAGAAUUACGUGGAUUGGUAUGAAUUUUUUACAAAUGCAACUUUUUUGAUGAGUAUAGCUUUUUUUGAAAUAUUUAUAGCGUCUUUUUUCUAUAACCAAUUUUAUCAUCUUUAAAAAAUUUGAACUUAUUUAAUUUAUUUCAAAAAAGUGUUACUAAAUUUGAACCAAUUUAAUUCAUGCGCGGUGCUAAUUCACGCAUCUGUCAAAUUCGAUAAGUUUCAUAUCUUCUCUUAUAUUUCUUGAUUAUUGUUAUUUAUUUCUUUGGCAUAGAAGUAUGAUUAAUUUUAUUUUAGAUUUGGUAAUUGAAUUAUUUGUUGAUGAAAAAGAAAAUUAAAUUAUAUUUGAGUAAGUCCCGUGAGCAUAGUCCAGUUGGUAGGACAAUGAAUUAUUAUAUCCAGGGGACGGAGUUCGAACCUCGAACACCUCACGUAUUCACCUUGGUGAAUUCUAUCCACUAAGCUACCUGACCAAAAUAAUAAUAAUUAUACUUGAGUAAUUGUAAAAAUUUUGUUCCUCUUUUUCAUCUAAUUGAUCAAUGUUUGAGUAAUUAUUUGUUCAACAAAAACACGAAAGGCCAAAAUGAGAAAGUGAUGUAAUUGCAAUGAGAAUAAAACAUUUUUACAAGUAUAUAUUUGCAAGUAAACAAAAACUCAUUUCUUUUCUUUUACUUUCAUCGAGCCAUAGAUUUUCUUAAAUUCAUAAUUUUCUUAAAGUUUGUUAUAUCCAAAAAAAUCUUUAAUUUUAGUUAAGAACAAAAAAAAGCGCCUAAAGAAUUGCACCUAAGUUUUAUCCAUUCUAAAAUUAUAGCAAUCAUAUUUUUUAAACAAAAUUUGGAAGAAAAAAAAUGAUAAAAUAUAUUCAAAAUUUGGUUAUGAAUAUCUUCUAUUUUGCUUCUUCAAUGAUCCGGAAAAAUCAUAUUUUAAAAUCAACAAAUACACACAUUUUUUACCAAAAACUACAUGGAUUUGAUUAUACCGUAAGAUACGUUAAGGUGUCAUUCUAUCACAAUCACAACAAUCAAUUACCACCACUACCAUCAAAAUGUAGGCCAAGGAGCUCAAAUGAAAGACGUAUGGAUCUGGUGGUCCACGAGUAGCAUUUAUUCCACAUUUAAACCACAAAUUCUUAAAAUAUCAUUUUUUGGCUGCAUGUUAACUACUCGCUCUUCCUAACUCUCUCAUAGUUGUAAACUUUUUAAUUCCUAUCCUGACUAGAAAGAGAGCAUUUGAAUGAGCAAACCACUCUCAACCUUUUAGGAAUAAAUUAAACAAAUUUAAACUACUCUCGUUAAUAACACAUAAUCUUUCAAACCUUAUGUCCCGGAAAUCUUUCAAACCUUAUGUCCCGGAAGUAUUAGCAAACCCAAGUUCCUUGCGCAGCUGUUCAUCGGGUUGCAAGCUAUGUGGAAUGGCACCAAAUAUUCUUCGCGAUAUUUCAAACCCAGAAGCUACAUGAUGUACAAAUGCUGAUGCAUCCUCUACUGUCUGUUGCAAAUAUAACGAAGUAGACAGAUAGUUUGAAGUAGUUCUAGAUAAUAAUUUUCUCUCAGAUGGCUUGUCGAGGUCAACGGCCUUAAGAAACCGUUCUGUGGCAGCCUCCCAUGAAAGGUCAUGUCUCUGAGCGUCGGUAGGUUGGCCGGGUUCUUCGGUCAAUGCCUUAAGUGUUAGUUCAACAAAUUCCUUGUGAUUAUUAUACGUCCAACAAUUCGGGAACUGCUUGAAAAACUCAUUUGAGCAAUGGUCCGCGCACACAACAAUUUUUCCCAUUGCUAAAGCUUCUGCUGUUGUCGUGCAAACCACAUCUGUUGUGCUCGGAUUAAUAAACAAUUUGAAACUGGAGCAGAGGAAAUAAAGUGUUAAAGAGUAAACAUACACAUGUUCCCAAUCCAUCAGCACAUUGUCAAAGAGAUGAAGAAAAAACUUUAACACACCAUUCAGACAAAAACAAAAUACAAAGCGCAAGAGAUAAAUAUGAAACUUACUCAUGAAAUAGACCAUCAGCAUGAUCACAGGCUGGAUGAACUCUAACUGUCAUUUCCAGCUUUUUAGCAGCUUCUUGAACUUCAUCAGAAUCCUCUCCACUUCCAAAUAAAUCAAGUUCAAGAGCAGAUAAUUCCUUUUGAUGAUCAUUAAGAAGUUGGAGCAGCUCCUUGUAGCCUUUGCUCCAUAUCAUUUUCCCAAUAAAAUAGGCACCUUUGGUAAAGGCAAUCUCUCCAUUUUGUUGUUGCUCCCUUUUUUUCUUGCCAAUCUCAAGGAACUUUGGAUUAACUCCAUGAACGUUACAGACGAUGGACCCAGGGUAAUCCUGAGUGGCAGCAGAGAGUCUGAUUACCUGCAAUCAUACAGCUAAUCAGUUCAGACAGAGCAAGCGCAUGCAAUGGUUGCAACAAGUUCAUGAAAGCGGUAAAUAUUAUUACUACUUUGACUCUAUUUAAUAACAUGUAUCCUAAAACACUGUUUAAUUUUACAAUGACACUUUUGAGAAUGCACUGAUCUUUUUUUGAGAUCAAGAAGAUUAAUUUCAUUUAACUAAAUUUCUUAAUAGGUGUGAAGUUAGUUAUUUUUACUAAUCAAGAUCGGAAGGAGUAUUUUCACAACUAAUCAUAAGAACAAAGCUUCAUUUCCCACUGCGGUGAUAUUUAUGAAUACAACUUGAGAAUGUAAAGCUCCCACCUCAAGAAAAAACUCAUGUUAUCUUUAGAUAAGGUGUUAGUUUUACCCACACAGAUGAAUACACCAAAAAACGUUAUGUAUAUUGCACACUCUUCAAUCCUUUUAUAUAUAUGGGAGUUAGGAGAUUACAUUGUUCAAUAACCUUGUAUGAAAUACAUAGUCAUUGGAUUGCAUACUUUUGUCUCGAUCAUGAACGUUUAACUUUAGAUAAAUUGAAUAUUCAAAAGUAUGUUAUAGUCAACACGUACUUGUAUUUUAAAAAAUAGUGUGCUAUAGUAUCAACUGGAUAAAUUCAAUGAAAUAUAAUUGAUGAAAUCCAAAGUCUAAUAAGUUAUUCAGUAGUGUAUGAAAAAAGGGUGAGCAGAUCCUCCCUGCAGGUCAAUAUCACACCACUGAGCUAUUGUUUAUCAACCAGUUGAUUCAAUAGCAUCAACUCAAUCUAAUUGUUAGUGAUGGGGAAGAUAAGAUGACCAUUUAAUUUAACUUUGCAGGUGAAAAAAUAUGCAAUAAUUUCAUGUCUCUAGUUUCUUUCAUUGCAUAAGUAAAAGACAGUAUAGUGUCCCCGUGAGCAUAGCUCAGUUGGCAGGGACAUGCAUUGUUAUAUGCAGGGGCCGGGGUUCGAGCCCCGAACACCCCACUUAUUCACCUGGAAAAAGGUGAAUUCUAGCCACUGGCUACUUGACCCAACAAAAAAAAAAAAACAGUGUAGUAUGCCAAGGUAAACACUGGAUACAUAAAUAUUGUUUGUGAAAAGAAAAAGAAAAAUUUACCUUGUGACAAUAUAUACCAACAACCCAGUUGUUUAAAUAUUUCAGUAAAAAUGCUUGCAGGGUUCCAUUCUUCUCUCUCUUCACAUAUGCUAAAUAAUUGGUGUGAAUAAUUCCUAUAACUAGCUUGAAUUUAGUUUUCCAUCUUUUCCCAUGAUGAAACCACGUCAGGUGCUCAGGCUCUUCUAGAACAGCAAUAUCUGCAUCUUUGUCGGGGAUAAUUUCUGAAAUAUCGCCAACAGCAAGAAUGCUCCUUUUAUCUCUAGAAAACUGCAUAGUAAGCAUAUCAUAAAUUAGCACUACUUGUAUAACAAAAGGUAUCAUGAUGUCAAUUGGAAAUCACUCAGGUCUCAUAUAAUUGCAAGUAAACAAAACUAAAUAAAACAGAAAUCGAGAAUUUUGAAAACCGGGAAAUGGCUCCAACUAUGGACCCAAGUAAGUCAAAGAAACACAUAUUAUUAUUCAAACAUUGGCGACUUGAAGUUGCAAAACCUCAUUCAUUAGCAAACCAUUUUUCCAAAAUAACUUUUUUUCCAUGAUGGCCUAACUUAAACUUUGGUAUUCACUUUCAUGUGUGCAUAUUUCAGUGAUUUUGUCCAAGUUUACAAUAUUUCCAGUUAAUGACAAAUAUACAAACAGUGAGAGAAGUUAACACCUUUCCCGGAUAAAACUUUAUGCUGAAACCAGAUGCAAAUCCAACUCUAUCCUCAAGCCAUUGGCGAAUAUAUUUCUCCUGCUCUGCAGGAGAAUCAAAUGUAAUAUUGUUCGGAUAUACUACUUUUUGAUCUUUCAAUGAUAACCAAGGGAUCACCAAGGUGACAUUCCUUAUCCCAGCUUUGUAAAGAUACGCCGCACGAAAGAGAGGAUUCACUGCUGUUCCGGUCAACCAAGGAAGGCUAGCAGUAGUAAAAAUCGCAGUAUGCCGUUUCUGAUCCAUCUAUUUAGUGGAUUUAAAAUAUAAAUCUAAUGGCACUUCAGAACUCCCAAAGAACAAGUAAAUCACCAGCAAAAACAGCUUGAGAAGACUAACUAACUGAUCACUUUAACUGCAUUAUGAAACAAAUGAGGAAAAAACAAAAGAUUAGCUGAAUAACUUUCAACACAAGUCCAAAAAAACUACUCCGUCCGGUCUCGUAUAUAAGCAAAGAUUCUUGUUUUAAAUUCAUUAAAUAGUUAAUGUAUCUGGUUUAUGUUAUAGAUGAGUUAUUCAAUGAAUCUGAAAAGAAAACAACAAUCUUAGCUUAAAUUGUAAUUUUUUUUAUUAAACAAAGUUACAGAACUGAAUCUCAUAUACCCUUUAAACACCUUUCUGUUAUAUCAAACUUGAACACUUAAAAACUCAAACUUUACAAACAUAUAUCACAAAAAAGAAAGAUUAAUAAUGAAAUCAAACUUUUCAUCCAAUUCCAAUUUACAAACAAAGAUAAAAGUAAACAUAAUACCUAAUAACAUUCAAAUUCCAUGAAUUUAACAAAGAAAAUUCAAUAAAAAAUAAAAAGGUUUUUAGUUUUUACCUUUUUGGUGGCGGUGGAAAGAAGGAGAGAAGCAGCGGCGACGAUUGGGUGGCAGAGAAGCAGCGGCGGCGAUUGGGUGACGGAGAAGCGGCGGCGGCGAUUGGGUGGCGGAGGCAGGUCUGUGGUGAGGAUAUGGGUGGGUGUGGUGGUUUAUGACUUUCUAACUUCUAAUUCUAGUUGUGCCAGAAAAUUUAUAGAUUAAAUAAAGGGUUUUCAUUUUUAAUUAAACAAAAGGAAUUAGUUUGAGAAAAAAAUGAUUAAAAUUAAAAUAUAUUGGGCCCCACGAAAAAGAAGAACUGUAAAGGAAAAAUAAUGUAAGAAAAACGCCGCCAAGCAGGAGUUGAACCCUUGGCCAUGCGGUCUUGCAAAUAACGCUCAACCACUGAAGUAUUGUUAACAGUUUGUCAAAUUCUCGCUUUCACCUCUAUAUAAUACUUACUAUAGGACCUUACAUAUAAAAAAAAUACAUGGGCCCCCAAAAAUUUGAGGCCCAGUGUCGUCGCCCAGCCCCGACGGGCUAUGGGCCGGCCCUGUGUACCUUGAAGGAAAGAAGAGGAAACGAAGGAAGAUGAGGAGAAGGAAUAUUUUUCUGUGUUUGUCUGAAGUAAACGAUGUCGUUUCGUGUACGCAAGUUCCCGAGGUUUUUUGGUUUGAUACUUCUGCGACCAAUCUAUGAAGAGAAAAGAAAUGACCAAUCCAAUUUUAGAAUCAUUAAUUGUCAAUUUAUUUAUUUUCUUCUUACAAAAUGUAUUAUCAAAAACACAAUUUUUGUUUAAAAAAGUUUGUGGAUUUUAAAAGAUUUAAAUCAUAAAAUUUUAAAAUAUUUAAAAUGACUUUAUUAAUUUAUAAGAUUUCGGAGGAUUCUAUAAUUUUAUGAAAUCCGUUGAAAAAAUUACUAUAAUAUACUCUCUUUCACAAAUUCUCACUAUUUUAUUUCUUUUCUUUUUUUAGAGUAAAAUUUUAAAAGAAAUAAUAAUUCAUAGAAAUCUCAUGUUUUUAUGCUAAAAUUUCACUAAAAACAUCCCCACAAAAUACAAUUUAUUAAACAAUCCUUCAAAAUUAUAAUGUUAUUGAAUGUCACAUGUUUUUUUAAUUAAAAAGAGUUUUAAUUGAAUACCUCAAAAUUAGUCUCUGUUGUUAAUUCUCUAACGGAAUGUUGUUAAGUCCGUGUUGUUAAUCAUCAAGCAAAAUAUAAAAUAUUUAUCAAGUAAAAUUAAUACAAAUUUUGAAAAAUAUAAAAUAUUAUAGAAAGUAGAAACUUAUAAAUAAAGGUGACAACUAGGGUACCCAUGGAAGAAUGGUGGGUAAUUUACCCCAACCAAUACACAUUAGUCACAUAAGCACAUUUUUAAGUGGUAUCCAUGAAUUAUCUUGACCCCACCAACAAAUUGCUCAUUUUCAUUGGUUGGUGGGUAAAUUACCCACCAUUUUUCAAAGGUAAUCUAAAAAAAACCAUAAAUAAAAUGUUUUAAGGGCAAUAGUUAAGAAAACUGUAAAUAAAAAAUAAAAAAUACUGUACUUUUCCCCUAGGCUUCAUAGGUAUCUAGUAAGUAGUAAAAUUUUGGCUAAACUGUACUUUUCCCCUAAGUUUCAAAAUGUUGCUAUUUUAGCCCCUUAUUAAAAAAAAUGGCAAAAGUGACCCUCUAUGUUUAGGGAAAUAUUUUGGCCCCCUAACAUAAAUGAAAUAUGAUCUUUUGACCCCUUAUCUUCUCAAAAAGUUGCGAUUAUGGCGACUGUUUUGGGACAUGUGAUGUCUUCUCAGCAAUUUUGGGACGAAAGGGGCCAAAAUUGUCAUUUUUUUAAUAGGAGGCCAAAAUCGCAACAUUUUGAUACUUAGGGGGCAAAAAGUGCGUUUAGCCUAAAAUGUGAGUUGGGACUUGAAUAUUACUCUUCUCACCUUACUUGUUUCUCGAGCGUCCUAUUUUUUUCUUCCGAAAAUACCCUUGAAAUUUUCGGAUUUCUGAACUGUAUCAGCACAAAUUAUGAACAUGUUUGUAACAUGGAUAUUCAUUUCAAGGAUAAUAUUAAUCUUUCUAACUCUCAUUCUUCUGUUUUGGGUCAUUAUUAGCUGUUCUUAGUCAAAAAUCUGGUUUUCGGUCUACUUGAUCGGAUUGCUCCAAAACUUCCUCAUAAAAUCAGGAAAAAUCAAGGAUCAAGACUUCUGUAGAAGAGACUUCGUCCUUCAAAAUUCAAAAUUUCAUCAUUUAGACCCAUUUUUCAUUUGUUUUAAUUUUUUUUCUUCAUAUUCUUAUAUAAAUCCGGAAAAAAAAUUGCAUAAGUUUUAUUUGACUUUUUACAUUUUUUAGUGGUAUUUUUAUAAUUUUAUUUGACAGGUUUUUAUCAUUUUUACUUUGUUUUUUGGUUAUUUUUAUAACCAAAAUCCAAAACUGCUGAAAUGAGGGAGAUUCUGAUUGCUGGUGAUUAUACAUAAGCAUAUUUAACAUUAUAAAAUCCGAACUCAGUUCAGAUGUUUUCAAAUUUUAUAAUCCAAAAAUCCGGGGACAUUUUUAAAUUUUUUACAGAAUGCAUGAGAAUGUUAUAGGUUGGAAAAAGUAAUUGUCUUGGGAUUUUUUUCAAUAGCCAACACGAAAGCCACACAUUUCUUGUAUACAAAUUUUGUGUUUCUUGCUCAUACUUCAAAAGAAAAAAGAAUCGUCCUAGUCAAAGUCGAAGUCCUCUCCCCCUUAAGUAGACCAUUUGAUUAAGAAGCCUGUUCAUUGUUCUAAUUUUGAAAAAAGGCUUCAAGUCAUGUAUUAAUCGAGUGUAUAGACAAAGUAUUACUCGAAAUUGUAAGUGUCGGUCAAAAUUGUUGACUUUCAUUUUUACAAAUUGGUAAAUACAUCUCUAAAACUGUAAAAUGAAACUUAAAGUAAUCUUUAUAUUAGCUUUAAUUUUUUUUUUUUUAAGAGCCAAAAAUGAAGCAUAUAUUAACAACAAAAGCUUCCUUUCUUCCGCACAAGGAGUGCUAGAAGGAAUCAAGCAUAAUUACAAUAGAAUUCAGUCAAAGGCUCAAAAACAACUACCCUAUACUCAAACACGGUAACGAGCAAGCAAACCAAUUAUGAGUCCCUGACUCAUGAACGACGUUAGCUACCUUCAGCCACCAAAAAUAAUGGUUCUGAACCUAUACAAACAACUGAUAAAUAGUAUUUUCUGAAUUGUUGAACCUGUACGACGUUAGCUUUAAUUGUUAGAGCAUUAGACUAUGAUACAUUAGUUAAAUAUGUGACCCUCCACGUUGAUUUCAAAUCAAUGCCAUUACACCAUUACACCAUGAACUACUUUGUCUAUGAAAUAUUCAUCUUUAGGUGACUAUUUUUUCAGUAAUUAGUCCACACACAAUGCUAUUACUAAUAAAUUUGUUCCUAAGGUAACCUAAGUUUCAUACGAAUCAUACACAAAGUAGUUCAUAAUAAAUUGGAAUUGAUGUGGCAUGUUUAAUUAGUGUGUCAUAUCAUAACCUCUAACCUUAAAAAUAACAAAGUGAUUGUAUUCAAUAUUAUUUUAAAAUUUGAUGAUUAUUUGUCAAUUUGCAAAAAUAAAUGUUUACAAUUUCAAAUAUCAGUUUGCUUAUUUGCUCUAUAUUAAUUUCACCACUUCCAUACCAAGCCAUUAAAAAAAAAACCACUUCCAUACCAUUAAAGCACUAAAUACAGGAAACAAGUAACAAUGUAACAUAAAACCAAAUUUUCAUAAGAAGCACAAAAUGAAACUUUAUUCAUAGGUAGACAACCUUUAUUGUAAUAAUAAAUAUAGGGAAAUGUUAACGAGUGCCCUAAGAGCAUUCUUUAAGCACUUUAAAUAGUAUGUUUUUAUGGAAAAUUGUACAUUCAAUACAUUGAAAAUUGAUUAUUGACAUUCAUAUAACUUUAGGACAAAACUCAUGCAAUGCGUCUACAAAUACUGAGUCCAUCACCAACAGAAGUGAGAGCAAAUUCAACACGAGAAUCAUCUGUGAUUUUUUUGUUGAAUUCAAUUGCUGCUAUUCUUUGUGGUCUAGAAUGCAUUGGAACUUUCUCUUCAGGCCAUGCAACACGUCCACCCCAUAAAAUGUUGUCAUAUAUAAGUAAUCCACCAACUUUGACUAGUUUUAUCAGUCUUUCAUGGUAGUUCAAAUAGUUCUCUUUGUCAGCAUCAAUGAAAGCAAAGUCAAAUGUUCCUUCAUUUGUAGGCUGCAUCAAUAACAUUCAGAAUGAAAUUAGUUACCAAUUUAGUUUAUGAAAUUAGCUGAAUUUAAAAUGAUUUUUAAUGUUACGUAGGUCGAAAUUGGACACAAUAAUAAGAUUCUUGAGAACCGAAUUGAAACUUAAACACGCGCAGAAUAAAAGAUUCUAAAAGACACAAGAUUUAUCGAUAUUUGGAUCAACUUUGAAUCCUACAUCCUCGUUGAGGUCGAUCUCAUCAACUACGAUCAUGUUGAAUGUUGUAGUGCUAAUGUUACAAGACUUUUUAGAGAGAAAAUCACAGCCCGCUCACUUGAACGUUCUAUUUUUUCUCUUGAUCAAUAAUUCAAUGAUAUGUCUCUAGUUUUACAAGGAUACAUCGGCUAAUAUACUACUCCUAUCACAGAGUAGUUAUGAAGUUGGUUAUAACUGAAACACCGACUAACUUGUCCAAAAAGCUAAACAGGUCUAACUAAUUAACUUAACAGAAGAUCUACUAGAACUAAACUAACACAAAUUGAAAACCCUCGGUUAAUCAGUUUGGAGGUUCGUUAAAUCCAAAGAACAAAUUGUAUUCUCAACAACUUUUAGGGAUUAAAACCAGUGAUUUGCUACUAGGCCAUGUUUGGACAAACUUUACAAUUAAGCUUUUAUUAACAUGUGCUUAUCUGUAAGCUAUUUCUAAAACAAAAGAGGGCAUAAAGUCAAAUUUUUUCAUACAUGUCAUAGGUUGUUUUCAUAAGUUCUCACAAAAGUGUUUAUGCUAGGAGAUAAGCUCAAAUCAGUCAAUCCAAACAGAUAAUAAACAGAAAAAAACACGCUUACGUCUUCUAGCAGUUUAUCCAAAAUUGGUAGAGCUGGAGACUCUAUGUAAUCAAUCUUGUGCUCCACUCCAGCCUUUCUUAUGACAGGUAGUCCAAUUUCAUAUGUUUUCCUGUCAAUAUCUAUGGCUGUAAUCUGCAACAUCAAUGAACUUUUUCAUGUCAAAAAUGAGCCCUAGUAUUGAGGGCAAUAUCAAAUUAAAUCUAUGGAAAUUUAAGAAUGCAAACCUUUCCAUCGUCGGGAAUGUUGAGUGCAGUGAGGAGAAGAGAGUAUCCAGUAAACACUCCAACUUCAAUUGUCUUUUUGGGAUUCAACAGCUUCAAAAGUAGAGUGAUUAGUUGACCAGCCUCAGGUGCAGUUGCUAUGAAACCCCUGAAUGAAUAUGAAAACCAAGUUAACCAUCACAAUAUACUAAUGUUUUAAAAUUGAACAGAUCGGUUCAACCAGUUGAACAAAGAACCGACCAACUCGUCGGUAGGUUGGUUCUCUAUAUUGCAGUCUGGUUGAACCAUAUUGAAUCGGGUCAAACCUCUUAACUACGGUUUAAUCGUAGCUAGUUUUUAUUUUUAGCAUUUACUUUGUUACUGUCAUUUUAUUUAUCUAUCUGUCGUCCAGUUUAACCGUAGUUGAACUGAUUGAACCUAUUAAAUCAUAAUCUUGAAGUUUCACUAGUUCCAUAUUCGGUCCGAAUUUCAAAACAUUGCAGAAGAUAGAAUAAUUACCAAGGAUGAUUCUCACUGGCUUUCCUCAGCUCUUUGAGAGGCUCAGGCUCUCUAGGGUAAACAGCAGUAUCCAAUAUAUACUGCAACACAAUUGUUAAUCAAUGAGUCAUAUAUAAAUGAAAUUUCAAGAUAGUAAGAAAAAAAAUGGAAUUAGAUUUUCAAGAUAAAUUUGUAUACUAACAUUUGUUAAGUCCUCACUCUGCAAUAUGACAGGAUUUUUGUAGAUUGAUGGAUCUUUAACAUGUUCCAUUUCUCUACAAUCAAUCACCAAAAAGACUACAAUUUGUAAGUUCUUUCAAAGUCCAAAUCCAAAGAAAAAAAUAAGGAAAAGUGAGAGAGUAAAUUAAAUAUGAAUUGGAGAAAGUAACAAAACUAAUUAAUAAUUGUUUAGUUUAGAUUUGGUCAUGCAAUGAUCAUUAGUAGAAAAAUAUGCUUAAGAGAUACAUGCAUAUUGCAUACCUUAAUUAUGAGAGCUAAGAAUAGAUGUGUAGUUGAGCUCAACAAGACUCGGUAUAUAUAGCAUUGUUAUGGACAUAAUAUCACUGCUUUUUAUGACAGAGGGGUGUAAACAAAAUCUAUAUAAGUCAACAAUUUUCUUCUUGUCAAUGGUGGCGGCUUAGAAAGACCCUCCUCCAUUACCGAUAUUAAUGACCGGUCAUGAAAACAUUGAACUUUGAAAAUUACAAAUAAAAAGAACAAUUUUGCUACAUAAAAUGAGAAAAGUCUAACUUUGAAUGAUAAAGAGAUUUAGAUUCAACCUUCCCUCUAACAAAAAUAACUACGUUUGUAUUUGGAUUUUCUCAGUUCUCCAUGCAUUUUGAUGUAUAUUUACCGAAGCUAGUACUUGGAGAGUUUGUAGGAUAUACAACAAGAUCCGGUUUCUUUAAAGUGAGCAACCCAGUAAUGUAAAGUAGAUAAUAUUAACCAUUAAUUAUUAAAUUAAAUCCUAAGUAGAUAUUAUAUAUAUUUUUAUUUUUAAGAAUAUGUAGAUAUUACAUGUACGUAACAAAUCAUGAGUUUUUUAAAAUAAUUUUUUAUUUGCUCACCGACUUUAGAAAAUUCAAGUCUCAUUCAGCAACACUGUUAUUCUUAUAUGCCAAACAAAUGCUAAAAAGGAUAAAACAGUCACCUUAAAAGUUGUAUUCUCUCUAUAUUUCAUAGGAAACUUUCUUAUAUUUUUCCACAACUAAACUGAAUGAAAAUAAUAUGAAUCCCAAUCCAUCUUCUCAUCCUACUUUAUUUUAUCAAAAAAUAAAUAAACUUAUCAAAAUAAUUAAUGAAAAUUAUGUAGACAUUGGUUCUAAAGUGACAUCGGUGGCAUGACUUCUCCAAUACAAAUACUAGGAUAUAACUAAUUCUUAUGAAAUGUAUGAAUGGACAUAAAAAGCAAUUGAAUAUUCAAUCAUUUAUAGCAGUCCUGAAACUGAAAUAGAGAUGUACAAAAAUAAUAGAUAGUUAAACCUAUACUCUGACUCAAUUUACACAAAAAAUACAUGCAACAUCUUUAUUCCUCACGUAUUUUGAAUCUAAAAUCAUAUAUCUAUAUGUAAUGAUAUAGGCUAUAAAAAAAUUCAACCAUCAAAAAACAUGUACGAGGAGCUAUGUUGCUAGAUGAAAGCCAGCGAAAUUCAAGGACGGCCUUUCUUAAGAGACAUGAAAUGGGCAGCAAAGGAAUCGUAAUCAGGUAACUUUGGAUGAACGUGAUCUGCUUUCUGCUUAGAUGGAGGGUCACUGUCUUGUAUACCUGUAUUAGGAAGAGAGCUGGAAGGUUGUACUCUUGAAGAUGAGGUCACAAUUUCCUCAUCCAAGGAUCUAUUUGGUUCUGAAAUUGGUUUUGAAGCUUCAUUUUCUGCUGAUCCAGGCUUAGAUCCUCCCCGAUUUUCAGAGCUCUCAUAAGAAACCCUUGAAGACUUCCAUCCAAGCCUUGAACCAGGAGUCACAGGAGCUUCAGAUGAAGGAGCGUGAUCAGAGCUUAAAACUGUACCGGUUUUUGGAGAAGCUGAUGUUCUUCGAGAUACUCUACUAACAGGACGCGCAACACUAGCUGAACUCUGUUUAUGACGCACAGCCUCAGAUUCACUAUCAUCAGAAUCAAAGAAGGGAAUCGAGGUCCGUGAACUUGAUUUCUUUUUUGCGUCACUCAGCUCAUUCUUAAUGCGAGGUUCAUGAAUGCUAAUGGACUCUUGUGAGUCUGCAACCAGAUCAUAACUAUCAGAAUCAGAAGAUUUAUUGUGUGCUUUCGAGCCGACAUUUCUAUUUCCUCCACUUUCGGUUGUAUAUUUGUCAUGAACAGGAGCAUCAAAAUUGGUUGAAGUCCUUACUGUAGGCAAUCUUUCAUUCUUGAUUGAAAUGUUUCCUAAUGAAGUUGAAACAUCAUCUGAUGUAUUUUUAAUAUAAGGUGGUCGAAUAUAACCUUUAUUGCGAAAACCACCCUUCAGCGUUCCAUAGCUUAAUUCCAUACCACUAUCUAUGUGAGAUUUAUCCGAAGUUUCAGCAUCAUCAAAAUUAUUAGGUGGCUGCAAUGUAUGGAUAUCUGCCUUGGAAUUCAAAUGCAAAUUAGAGUUUCUUGCUGUUGAAGAUGGCUCACUAGUUGGCAAGUCAUUAUAACCAUAACUUUUUUCUGACGUAUUAGUGACAUCUACCUUUUUCACAGAAUGCUCUUCCACAUAAUCUGAACCAACUGAAGAUGGUGACGACCAAGAAUUUCUGUCAGUACCAAGAUUCUUAACUUUUCCUGAUGAGGACCCUAGAGUCCCAUGGUUUGCAAUCUGAUCAAGGACAGAACUUCCAUCAUCAAAGGUCCUAGAAACUCUAGACUUAACAAGAUCUGUCUCACUAUCUGAGCCUGGGUCAUCUGAAUCAUCAAAAGUGGCAGGCAGUGGGUCUUUGUCAAAAGAAACUUCAGACGUCAUAAAAUUUUCAGAAACGGAAAAAUGCGAUUGUGUACCAGAACUCGUUUCUUUCACAUCAGUGUUUUUUCCACUGUUCCAAGAAUUUGUAUUUUCAAAUGGAUCAACUUGGGAUUUGCUACUAGGAGAUGAGAACAACAAUCCAGAUCCACCACUAUUGUAUUUCUUAUCAUCAUCAAAUUUAUAAUCACCAUCAUCUGAUUCGGAAUCAUCAAAUACAACAGAAGUAUGAUUGUAUGAAGUUGGUUCCUGUGUGCUUACUUCAGUAACAAAAAGGUCUUCUGCGGCCUUGUUCCCAGUUGUCCAUUCAUACGAGUUCAAAUUAUCGUCGGGAUCAUUACUUGGAAUAAAGGGAUGAGAAGAGGAAGAAUGCCCAGAUUGUCUAUUUGUGCUUGCAUCUUCAAAGUGAUAACUGUUUUCAGUAUUCCUCUCAACGUCAGCAUGUUCAGUGUCAAAAUCUUCUUUAGCUCUACUUGCUUGCUUUUUCAUACUCAUCGCAUAUAAGUUGCUACUCUCUUGUUUAAAAAAGGUAUCAUGGUGAUCUGUAUCAGCCAUUGGAGAACCAUGGGCAAAUGGAUUAUCAUCACCAACAGAACCACCAAUUGUUGAAGCUGGCCGGGAAUCUUUCACCACAUUCUGAUGACUAUUACUGUAAUUUUCAUUGGACCUUCCACCCAGAUUAUCUUGUUCUCCGGUAAUGAUUUGUUCAUUGUGAAUCCCUGAACUGCUUUUACGGAUGGGGCUAUUAACAAAACCAGAAGAGUCUGUAGGUGCUUCAUCUCGUGACCCUCUUCCAGGAGAGCUAUGUGAUCCACUUGAAUGCUGCCUUUUCAUGUUUUCACGAUUUGAAAAUUCUGCAGCUGCUCUUGCAGCCAUGGUUGCACGAUCAGCAGAUUCUGCAGCAGCCUGUGCAGCAGAGGCAGCAUCCUUGAAUUCCAUAUUCCAAUUCUGCCGACCAGUAGGAAAUGAACUUCUGUUUUCAGAAUACGAAUCUCUAAAAUCCAUUUCUUGACUUCCACCUCCUGCGAAAAGAACACAUAUUCAGGUGAUGGGCAGAAAAGAAGCCUAGAUAUUCAAUUGUAAUGACGUUCUUUUAAAAAAUACCUGAAGAUCUGGUUUCAGUAAUAGGCAUGCCUGAUGUUGUAGAGUUAUUAGCAUUUCUAGCAGCAGCAUUUGCACUCUGCUCGUAUGAACUUGUAUAUGCAUCAUGCAUUGGUUUAGGUUGUGAGGUAGCAUGUGAACUAGGAGGACGCGCUUCAACAUGAACAGGUGGUGGAACAUGGGCUUGAAAAGGUUCCUCGUAAGCAGGCUUCUGAAGAGUACUUGGCCCAUCCUUAACAUAUAAAUAGUGUCAAAAUAAUAAACUAGUAAACUACAGUAACAACUUUUUUUUAUAUAUCAAAAUAAACUAGAGAAAAUCCAGAAUAAACAAAGCCUACCAGCAAGUCAUGAGAAGCCUUUGUAUCAUUAUCUCCAAAUGACUUGGGUUCCCAAUCGAUAUUAUGCUCCUCAGCUAUUGCAGUCAGUAUUUUUAUCUUCGUUGGACCAUCGGGUGCUUUGGCAGAUAAUUUCUCAACCAACUGUAAAGACAAAAUUAAAUUAGAAAAAACAAGCACAAAAUGAUCUUUGAUAUGAUCCUGUUCAACAUCAAGUAGGUAGAGAAACUUGCCAAGCGAUUUACACCACAGUCAGGGCGCAGUUCAAGUGCUGCUGAGGUAAAUUCUUUUCCAUACUUUGAAGUCAUAUGCUUCUUCACAUCUGCGAGCUCAGGUAUGUCUGAACAUCUUGGAGUUGCAAAUAUUACGGUAGCAAUUGCUUCCUUCAAAUCGAUAGGGCAAUUUCUGAAAUUUUUUAAGGGUAAAAGAGAAACGAAAAUGAGAUCAAUACAGUGAUAAUGCACAAUCAUAAUGAAAAACCUUAUAGACUGCAAGAUCAAUCAUUUCAGAAUGACAAAUUCUAAUGCAUGCAUCCCUUAAGACACGCAAGUAAGGUCAAAGUAGAAGAUACAGUAAAGCUGUAACUGUGAAGUUCAGGCAUUCUAAAUAUUCAUGAUUUUAACAACAAAGUUUCAAAUAAUUGGCAGGUCAUGCCUGAAAUCAUUAUGAAUGAACAGUUAAGGUGUCCCCUAGCAUGAUACGAAAACAGUGGAGGAUGGUUAUUGAUAUGGGGGCUUUGCUCCUGUACAUAAACCAUUUAAUACUCUUCCAUAACACUUUAUGCAAUGGAAUAAAAUACAUAAACACAUUGACCAAUGGGAUUAUAAUUACAAGGAUUGAGAUAGUGAGAUGUUUUUUUGAACAAGUGAGAUAGUGAGAUGUUAUUUUGGCGCAGGGAUUCUUUAUUCAAGUAAUUCCAUGUGAUAUGACGCUACAUUUCAGAUUGAGCCCUUGGCUUGAACCACCUAAAUUGUACAUUUACUUUUCACUCUUUAGGGUAUAAAUAUACUAUCCUAAAGUGAUCAACCAUUUGGCUGACAAGACUAAACAAAAUACUAAUAUACAAGUAAAUUCAAUGGUAUUGCUGAAACUACAUAAUAUAAACUUCCAGACAGAUCAACAUAUAAACAGACAAAAAAAAGAUGAUAUAUCUCCAAAAAUAAUAAAUGAUUAUACUAAGGUAAGGAUUCAAAUCGCAAUCACAGUUCCUUUGAAAACAGAUGAUGCAGCCGCAAAUCGCAAUACAGUCUCAGACAUAAAAACACUGAAUGUAGCAAGUAAUGUAGGUAACAUACAAUAUGCUAAAAAAAGAAAGAAAACAAAUAGUGAGAGUUUGAAAUUACUUCUGUGCUUCAAUCAUGGGCAAGCGAGCUGCGAUAAGUUCACAGUAUAUCUCAACAAGCUCAUAUGCUGCCAUCGUCUUCUCCUCCCUCACAACAUGUUCAACCUGAAGACAAACACAGAUAAAAAAUUAAACAAAAACAAUUACGGCAUGUUUGAAUUGACUCAUUUUUUCUUAUCUACUCAUAUAAGCACUUGUGAGACUAUUUGAGAGAUCUUAUAAAAACAGCUUACGACAUGUCCAUAAACUAUUUUCAGCUUAUUUAUACAAACUCUCUAGGAUAGCUUAUAAAAUUCAAUUAUAUCAUUUUUUUUAACAAUUAUCCGUGUCGACGUUUCAGUGUCAGGUUCUUGUACUCUGUACAAUAAAAUAACGUCUCAGUUGUCCAACAUGUGUCACUGUUUGACACAUGUUAAUACAUUCAAUUUAUAUAGUUUUUUCAAACAAGACGUGUUAGUGUCAGGGUCGCAUCCGAUGUCUAAACAAUACAAACCUAACAAUUAGUAACACAAAUUUAAUCAAGAAAAUGAUGAUAUUAGAAAUUGUUAAUACCCGAAUUCUAGCAGUUUGAUCUUGACCAUUCUCAAGCAAUUUCGCCAAUUCUCUCUUCAAUAGAUUAAUCUGUGUUUGUCUCUUAUUCCUCAAUAGCUUUAUCCUCGAAACGGCAAGCUUCAAUGCCGUUUUGCUGCAUUAAACAAAACCAAGCACAAUCAAAACAAAUUAAUAAAAUUGAUUAAUCUGCUUCAAUUCAAAAAUCGAUUAGUACACGUUUAGCUUAACUCUAAAUCAUGAAAUUGAAUUGAAAUCGAUGGAAGAUUUUUUUUACCACUUUGCAGGUUUGAAGCUUCUGUGCAACAUGCUCUGUAAAAAAAACUAACUGAAAAGAAAGAUUAAGAAGAAGAAGAAUAAGAAGGAUUAAGGAAUUUAAUUAUUGAUUAGUGAUUCGUUUUUAUAAAGAAGAAGAAGAAAAAUUUGGACACGGAGAAGAAGAAGAAGAAAAAAGAAUUGGAUCUUGCGAACGAAGAAAGAGGGAAUAAUAAAAAUAAGAAGGAAUAUUAUUUAUAUUUUAAUUGGGAUUGAACUUUCGACGAAAGUAUACGUGACAAACAUAUACGAGUGUAAGAAAACCUUUUUCCACGGGUGGGUGACGAAAUUAACUAGUAAUUAAUUCAUCUUUGAUUAUGACAUUUUUGGAUUAACUUAGUAAAUGAAAAUUAAUUAAAAUAUAUGAUUUUUUUUAGUGAAUGAAAAUUAAUAAAUCAUAACAACUCAUAUACUACUAUUUGGUUGUUUUUGUUUCUAAUAGUAUAAAAAAAAUAAAACUUCAUGAAUAAAAGUGUAAACUAUAGGCCGGAUGCCAUGACCGGGGUUCGAAACCCGGUACCUCCACUUAUGUGUGUGAGUUUAUAAUAGCUUUGUCAUUUCAUCUAUCUAAAAAAAAAAAAAAAGUGUAAACUAUAAAGUUAAAAAUGAUUAUCGUGUCUAAUAGAUAAACUAUAGUACACGCUAUUAAUUUCUGUGUCAAGAAGCUACUUCGGGAGGGCAAGACGCAUGUAAAUCCUAGGAAUUUAUACACGCUUUUAAUUUCAUUCGUGGACCUCACUUUCAUUUUUUUUUUUAUUGAAUAAAGUUUAAUUGUUCUUCCGGAAACAUAGCUGAUUUGAUAGGAAUAAUAUGGUAUAUAAUGAUUGAUGUUUGAAUCUCAAAUUCUUUAUUUAUUCAUUUUAAAAAGUGAAUAUUUAACUACUAAUAAUGUGUUUGAAAUGGCGUUUGUAACACAAUUUAUGCUUUCCAAUGGAACUUCAACGCCACUUCUAUGAGGCUGGAAAUCCUAACUUCAACCUAAACGUGGUUUUGCUGACUGUUGUUUAUCACAAUUUAAAAACAUAGACUAAAUUGUAUAGGAAAAAAGUUAAAAUAAAUUAAACUCUGAAGACUCACUAGAGGUGAGGAGUCAGAUAAAUUUACUUCAAAACUCAUUUAAUAUUUAUAGAGAGAUACAUACAAAUCAUAUACAAAAUAUAUUGUCGCAACGACAAUAAAAAUAAACACAUAACAUUAUAAAUGAGUCAACCUCGGUUGGUCUCACCUCAGUUUCCUUGUCUCUUACCCUAACAAUUUCUAUAACUUUGGUAAAUGACAGAGGUAAAUAACAAAGAAACUAUGGCCAGCCAUAAGAAGGCAACACUAGCAAGUGAAUCACCCCUGAGGGCUAGUAUUUAUUUUUGGUUUACUUCACAUCUAAGUCUUCCCACUUGUUAUAUUUAUUUGUUUGUUUAAUACACACGUCUACUACAAUUUUUUGGAAUAAUACUAGACUGCAAUUACUUGCAGACACGAACAUAAAUAUAUUAAGGGUAUGCAUGUUUGAUAAGACACUUAUUUGAGUUUAUAGUUUCUAACUAAAGUUUUUUUUUUCUUUGAGAACUUAAAACGAUAAAAAAUAAAUGAUUAUUACUUUUCCCACCUUAUGUCUUUCCUCGCGCGUCCAUUUUUUUUCUUUCAAUUUUAUCCCUAAUUCGGAUUUCGUUUUCCGGAUUGUAUUGUUAGAAUUUUACAGAUGUUUCCGGAUUUGAAAAUCCAAAAUAAUGUUUUACCAGAACUUUUGCAAUUUUAAGCUUUACAAUUCGUAAAAUAAAAUGCGAAUAAAAUAAAAAAAAAACGGAAAUAAAAAGACAUAAACAUAAAAACAACUCAUUUUAUUAAUAUAUGAACAAUACAUUACAAUAAUUUUCAAGCUUUUUAAGCUUAUUACAUAAGAUCCUAAAUCUAUUUCUAAUCUCCUAAGAGCCUAAUUCUAAUCUCCCAAGAGUCUAACCACUGGUAUGUGAUAUGACAUACCCUUUUAAUCAUUUGAAUGUAUUUCUUCAUGUAUUUUUUGUUGCAAAAAAUUUAUUCAUAAUCAAGAUUAUUUAAAAAUAUAUUUUCAAUAGAACUAAUCAAAACGAGUUAAUAAGAAAUAUAUCUAUAUAGUAUUAAUUACUAAGUAAAAAUAAUAAUUUUAGUGUCCCUAAAUAAAUUGUGCUAUGGGUUGGAGCCCCUUUUGCCCACCUUCAGGGCCACCCCUGCCACUUGCCAAUUGAACUAAACAUGAUGGCCAAGUCCAUGCCACGUAUCAUGGUAGGCGCUGCGAUACUGACCGGACACUCUUUUGAAAAUCCAACCUUCCCGGCUCUUUGUACCCUAAUUAAACAGUUCUUUAACCUUUUAUGACAUUUCACAUGAGUCACUCCUGUAAAAAUCAUGUUUAAUCAUUUGGCAUGUGCCUUUUAACAUAUGUAGCAAGCUAGCUAAUGUAUCUUUCAUUUCUCAAUUCCUUCUGUAACAAUUUGAAAAUGCACAUCCACAUAAAUGAAAAUAAAUGAUAAAAUUCAUAAAGAAGCUGCACAAAAUUAACAAUUUCCGGCAAUACCAGAAACUAACAUAACAACUAAUUGCCAACACUUGUCUAUAAAAAAACAAACAAAUUAACAUAAUUAAGAGAAAGAAGGAAGACAGUCGAAUGUACCGAAUCUGCCAACGCAAUCGUCAUGACCCAUGCAGCAAGCAUCGAUAUCAUCACAUGGUUUCACGCCUGGACAACCAGAAUAACCCACCCCGCAAUACCUUCCAUAUUUGAUGGUCAUCGCUGUUUUUUCACACAAUAACAUUAACAAUUAAUAAUGUAUUUGUGUAUGUGCGCGUGCGCAUUAAGAUUGAAACAUAUAAUCUCUAUAUCACUGACACUUCUUAUCCAAGACGUGUCAAACUGUCCGUGUCCAACACCGACAUGACACAUAUGAUUACAUUGAAUUUUGUCAUUUUUUCUAAUUAUUAUCAGUUUUUGUGUGGUGUUUAGUGUCCAUGUGCUUCUAGUAUAAUAAUAAUGAAAUGGGAAUGAAUUAAUCUUACAGUUACACUGCUCUACAAUGCAAUCCCUGCCGCAAUUAGCCUGUGAUUCACAACAGAUAAUUUGGUCAACUCAAUGUUUUCAAUUGCGCAAAAUACAAUUUACAUAUACUCCCUCUGUUUAUAAACACGAGAGACAGUUGCAUCAACAAAAGUUGGUGUAUCUAGUUGCACCAGAUAAACCAAAUACGUAAACUUUUAUUGACUAUAUGUCUCUUAUAUUUACGACCGGAGAUGACAAUACAUACCGAGGAGGAGGGGAACACGGCGGAGAGGAGGACAGUGAGUAGGGCAAAAGCAGCAGUGGCACGUAAGAUAUUGAUGUGGGAAGUCAUUUUUUUAUUUGUAGGUGGGCAGGAAAGAGUGGUGAUUUGGUAUUCUCCUCUCCUUAUACCAUCGGUUUGUGUCUUGAAAGAGAAGGCAGUGCUCGAAUCAAAGGAUCCUUCAGAUUGUUGUAACGUGAUUGGGGGUGGGAAGUAAUUAUUUUUCAUUGCACAUGCAAUUUUGUUUAUAUUUACUAUUUACGGUGUUUUUUAAGUUAAAAAUGGAGUUAGAUUCAUAAACUUCAAUGAUAAAAAUACUUUCCUGUUUUAUAUGAGAGAAAAAAACUACUAUUGGUUUAUAUUAACGAACUGCUAUUUUUAUGUCAAAAAAAAAAAAAAAAACGAAUUGCUAUUGAUAUUUAUUCCUAAUUAUUAAAUGGUUGUUUUGUUUGAAAAUAAAAAACUCCUAAAUAGUAUUCCCCAAACAAAAAAACUCCUAGAUGGUAAAUUAAUAUUGAUGAUAAAAAGUCACGCGGGAGAAUGUUCCCAUUGUUUAUGAAGUUCAUCCUCAGAAUCACUAUCAAAGAAGGGAAUCAAGGCCUGUGAGGUCAUUCAGAGUGUGAAGUUCAUGGGUACUGGUGGUCUCUUGUGAGUCUGCAACCAGAUCAUAGCUAUCAGAAUCAAAAGAUUUGUUGUGUACUUUCAAGACGACAUUUGUAUUUUAUCGGCUUUUGGAUGUAUAUUUGUCAUGAACAGGAGCAUCAAAACUGGUUGAAGUUCUCAAUGCACGCAAUCUUCAUUCUGGAUUGAAAUGAUUCACAUUGAAGUUGAAACCUCAUUUGAUGUAUUCUUAAUAUAAGGUGGUCGUGCAUAAACUUUAUUGUGAAAACCACCAUUCAAUGUUCCGUAGCUUAAUUCCAUACCACUUUCUUCAUGAGAUUUCUCCAAAGUUCCAGCAUCCUCAAAAUUAUUAGGUGACAGCAAUGUAGAGUUUCUUCUUGUUGGCAAGUCAUCAUAACCAUAAUUUUUUCUGACUUCCACCUCCUGCGAAAAGAUCUCAAAUAUUCAGGUAAUGAACCAAAAAGAAGCUUAGAUAUUCAAUUGUAAUGGCUUUCUUUAAAGAAGUACCUGAAGAUCAGGUUUCAGUAUUAGGCAUGCCUGAUGUGGUCUUGGGAUCCGAAUGAUUGUUUGUGUCGGGCAGCGGUGUAGUGGGGUGGCCAACUGCUGGUUUUGUUGCUGGUGUGACUUGUUGAGAUAGUGAAAUAUUAUUUUGGUGCAAGGAUCCUUUGUUCAGGGGAUUCCACCUGAAAUGUUACAACUCUAAUUGAACCCGUGGCUUGAACCACCUAAAUUGUACAUUUGCUUUUCACUCUUUAGGGUAUAAUAUAUUAAUUUCUCCUAGCGUGAUCAAACUUUUGGUCGACAUGUUUUAAAAAAAUAAUAAAAUACAGGCAAAUUCAGUGGCACUGCCAAAACUACAAAUAUAAACUUCCAGACACAUCAAUCUACACAGAAAAAGAGAUGAUAUUCCCCCUAAAAUAAUUAACUAUUAUGCUACAGUUUUAAACGGACCAUCAAAGUCAUGGUUGCUUUACAAACAGAUGACGCAGUCACAAUACAGUCUCAGAGACAUAAAAAGCAUUGAAUUAUACAUUGAUGCAGCAAACCACGCCAGGAAACGAUUAAGAGAUGGCAUGUUCAGUGACAUUAACUUAGUAGCGAGUAAUGCAGGUAACAUCAAUAUACUAAAACAGAGAAAGAAAACAAAUAACGAGAGUUUGAAAAUACUUUCGUGAUACAAUCAUGGGCAAGCAAGCUGCGAUAAGUUCACAGUAUAUCUCAACAAGCUCAUAUGUUGCCUAGUCUUCUCCUCCCUCCCCACAUGUUCAACCUGAACAAAAAACACAAACAAAAAUAAUUACGGCAUGUUUGAAUUGGUUUAUUUAACAUUAUCUACUAACACAAGCACUUGUGAAACUAUUUGAAAGAUCUUAUGAAAACAGUUUAUGACAUGUCCAUAAACUAUUUUCAUCUUAUUUCUAUAAACUCUCAAGGCUUAUGAAAAGAGCUUAGCAGAUAGAUUAUACCUUAUAAGCUCAUAUGACUAAAACAGAGCUUUUUUGAAACAAUAGUUUUUCACAAGCUUAUCACCUUUUUUUAUUAGAUUAUAGUGUUUUUUUUUUUUAUAAGCUACUUCGACUAGCGUUUGAACUUAUAGCUUAUCAUUUUUUCUGUCAACUUUACCUUUCUUGUCUUAAUUGAAAAAAUAGUAAUCAAAAAUAAUUUUUUAUGUCAUUUCAUAUUUAUAAGCUAGUUCAACCACUAAUUGUAUCAAACACUACAAAUUCAACCCGCUAGCUUAUCCGAUAUCUGCUAUGCGCUACUUUUUACCAAACAAAGCCUGACUUUAGUUUAUCUUUUGUUAUAGAAAUAACUUAUACAUAAAUACCCAAACACUUAUACAACAAAUGUUUAUACUAUAAGUCCUUUAUUCUCGAACACAUAGAACACAAACACAUAAACACCUUGUCUAUUCUUCAUCGACGCUAAAAUACCCCACAAAAGUCAAAAUCCCAAUUGUGGCACCUAAGAUAAGAACUAUGUAGCACCAACACUUCUAAUCAAAAGUUUGUCUGGUGUUUGACACGUGUCAGCGUCAGUGUCCGACAUUGACAUGACGCCGACAUUGACACAUAUUUACAUUCAAUUAUAUCAUUUUUAAAAAUAAUUGUCAGUGUCGAGUCAAGUAUCUCUGCUUCAUAUGAUAAGAACAACACAAACCUAAAAUUAGUAACAAAAAAUAAAUUAAAAAAAUUAUGCUACAAUCGUGUAUGUUACAAUUGUGGCAUCUAAGAUAAGAAAUACGUAGCACCAACACUUCUAAUCAUAAGCGUAUCCAGUGUCCAACACGUCUCACUAUCUAACAUUGACACAUGUCAUCACAUUCAAUUCUCCAUUUUUUAUUAAAAUUAAUGAACAAAAAUGGCGUUAGAAUUGUUUAUACCUGAGUUCUGGUAGUUUGAUCUUGACCAUUCACAGGCAAUUUAACCAAUUCCCUCUUCGAUUGCCUAACCUGCGCGGCAAAAGCUUCAAUGCUGUUUUGCUGCAUCAAACAAAACCACAAAUCAAAAUAAAACAACAAAUCGAUUAAUAUGUGUUUGGCUUAUAUCGAAAGCGUUGAAUUGAAAUCGACGGAAGGUUUCUUUACCACUUGGCAGGUUUGAAGCAUCUGUGCAACAUGCUCAGUGUAAAAAGGAUAUUUUAUUUGAAGCUUCCGUCAUGACUGCAUCGUUUAAACCAUUGCUAUGAAGCUAUCAUACUCAGUUCGCAGGACCAACCCUAACCCCCGACUGCCAUGUGAACAUCCACGUUGAGUUUUAGGAAACUCUUCUGUGUAAUAUCGCUCCCCCAAACUACCAAACCACCUUAUGACUCCCAUGGAAUUUGAUAUUUUGAAUGAUAAAUGGUUAAAAUGAUUGAAUUAGUUCAAAAGUUUUUAGUCAUUAAGUUCGAGCAAACAAUUAUUUGUGGACCAAGAUUGCAUAUAGGCAAAACAAGAGAAAUUAAAAGUAUUAUCAAGUUUAGAACUUAUCCAAAUAAGUACUUCAUGUUUUAAUCUGAUUAGCAGGAACUAUAUCAACCCAUUAAGAAUAUAACGACAGAUAUCGAGCAUCGAGCAUAACAGAUCCAAUCCCUUCUCAUUCUGAUUCUCCCACAUUAAUCAAACCAUGAAUAUGCAUAUGAUAGCAAUAUGUAAUAUAAUAUGGCAGAACCUUGUGCAAAAACAAUAUUGGAUUCUUUUGAGACAUCACAAAUUAAAUCACAACAUUCUCUCAAAAAAAUAAUAUUUAAAUCACAACAUCGUAACUAGAACAAAAUCAUAGGUUAACUAAUUACCAAGCACAAUAGGAUCAUUAAAAUCAACAUUCUCAAAUCAAGAGAAGUUUAACAAUGGGGAUAUGGCCUAUAUCAAGGGGGUUAGAAUGUUUUUACAGUUCAUGAAAGUUGUCACCCAAAUCGCUCAACAUGAUAGCUAAGUCCAUGCCUCUUAUCAUGGUAGGCACAGUGGUACUGACUGGACACUCCUUAGAAAAGCCAACUUUCCCGGCUUUUUGUGCCCUAAUAAGGCAUUUCUUGAACUUCUUAUGACAUUUCACAUGAGUCAUUCCUGUAAAAAACCAUGUUUAGUCGGUUUAAAGAAGCUAAAGAGAGGUCUCAAAAGGUAAUAGAAAAUGUGAAGGAGAAUCCGAAAAAAAUUUCAUUUCAAUGUGGCAUGUCCAUGUUUACACGUAGCUAGAUAAUAUCUUUUUUGUUCCUCAAUUUCUUCUAUGCCAUUUGAAACUUCUUAGUUUCCAUAUUAUAUUACUAUGGUGUUAUACUUCUAUAAAUGUGCAUGUAAAUGAGAUAAGAUAAACUUAAAGGACACCACAGCAAACAUAAAUCAGAUAGCAGCACAUUUUAUCCGAGAACAAAAAGUAUAUGACAUAACAUUUGAGUGACUCAUCUCAAAAAUUGGAUUCUCAGCAAUCAGACAUUCCACCAAUGACAGAAAAAACUAGCAAACAACAAAAUUGUAAUGACAGAACACCCUAUAGCAAACAACAAAAUUCUGAUAACAUCAAAACAAAACAAUCAAUAGGCUUUAAUUUUUAGCAUCUAUGGAUAAACAACAAGAAUUAGCUUCCUAUUCAAACAAUUUACAGAAUUGAAAUGAAUUGAUUCAACAAAAACAAAACACGUACACAUUCAUAACCACUGAUUACUAACUUUUUUCUAUUUAAAAAAGCGAACAAAUUAACAAAAUUAAGAAAAAGAACUUACCGAAUUUGCCAACACAAUCGUCAUGAGCCAUGCAACAAGCAUCAAUAUCAUCACACGGUUUCUCGCCUGGACAACCCGAAUAGCCUACCCCACAAUACUUCCCGUAUUUGAUUCCCAUCGCUAUAGUUUUUCAUCAACACAAUAACAUUAACAAUUAGUCAUGUAUUUGUACAUAUAUUAAGAUUGAAAAAUAUAAUCCAUGUAGCACCAAUACUUCUAAUAAAAAACGUAGUUCGAUAUCCAACACCAGACACUCACACAUGUGAUUACAUUAAAUUAUGUCAUUUUUCAAAUUAUUAUUCUUGUCUAGUGUCUGGUGUUCGUGUCUAUGCUUCAUAGCUGAUAUAAUAAAAAGUGAAAUGGGAUUGAAUGAAUCUUACUGUCACACAGCUCUGCAAUGCAUUUCUUGCUGCAAUUAGCCUGUGAUCCACAACAAUAUAAUUUGGUCAACUCAACCUUUUCAAUUCAAUUUCUCCAAGUCUAAUUUACAUAAUUAACCACAAAAUAAUUACUACUCCCUCCGGUAUAAAAAUAUAAGAGACAGUCGAGUCAACAAAAGAGUAAAUGUAUCUAGUUGCACCAGGUAAGCCAACCAGAGUACCAGAUACAUCAAUUUUUGUUGACUAACUGGCUCUUAUAUUAAAGACAGGAUAAGACAUACAUACCGACGAGGAAUCGGCAAGAGUGUCGUGGAAUGCAGCAGAGAAGAGGAGAGAGAGGAGGGCAAAUGCAGCGGUGGCGCGUGAGAUAAUGCAGCUGUGAGAAGUCAUUGUUUUGAUCUGUGGGAAUGAGUCGUGAUUUGAUCUUCUCUUCUUCUUAUACAAUUGGUAUGUGAUGAAAUUACCAAAACACCCUUUAGAUUGCUGCAACUUGAUUGGAUAGUAACUGGCAAGUGAUUGUGGUUGGAUGGCGUUAGAUUCGUAGAAUGUUGGAAUUACUUUCCUGUCUUUUAGGAGCAACAAACAAAGGCUAUUGGUUUGUUUUUUAUUUUUCCGCUAAAAAACACUUUUUUGAACUUCAAUUAUCAUGACCUCUUUCUCCUUGUUGGAAAUCGGUUAACAAAAAAAUAUAUUAAAAAUUUGUGUAUUCAUACAUUCGGUAUAUUUGCAAUUUGACCUCUAUAGCAACUAGGUAGGAUGUCACGUAUGAAGACUCGUUUGUUAUAGAUUAAAAUUAAAAUAUAAGACAUUUUGAUAUUGAAUAAUUUAGAGAUUAUUUAUUUAUUAGCGAUUUUAUUAAAAAAAUCAAAAUCUAUUUUACGUUUAUUUAUCAUAAUAAUUUUUUUAAAGUAAUUUAAUUUGUUUAGAUUCAAUAAUAUAAAAAAUAAAAUAAAAAUUGCUACAAAGUUAAUUCUAUCUUUUGAAAUUAUUUUUUCCCUCCCUUAAAAAAUAUAUAUUUUGUGAGAAACUACUCUUAAUAGUUUUUCAUUUGAAGUUUUUUCUUAAUUUUUUUUUUAGAUAUUGUUUUUUUUUUUAAAUUGUAACGAACGAAUGCAAUACUCUUAAAAGUGAUAAUUUUAAAAAGAAUGCGAUUUUUUUAAAAAAAAAAGUUAUAACAAAGGGGCUUUGAAUCAAGUGAUUAAUGAACUUCAUCAAAGACGAGUCGUUCGGAAUAACCCGAAUUCGAUUUUUGGAUGAAACAAUUUUAGUUAGAUUACAUCUUGAUCUAACUUUGUAUUGCUAGGGUUCUAUUAUCUUAAAAAUCAAAGAGUUAACAUUAAUUAUUCUCAAUCUUCCACAUUGAUCAAACCAUGAAUAUGCAUAUUACAACAUUAUGCUUAUUGAUUUCAUUAUUCCGUGAGAAAGGUUUUGUCAAUAAUCUCUUCGUAUAAUAUGACAGAAUCUUGCACAACAACACUAUUGGAUUCCUUUGUGACAUCAAAAUUAAAUCACAAGAUGGUAACUCAACACUAUUGGAUUAUUUUGUGACAUCAAAAUUUAAAUCACAACAUGGUAACUAAAACAAAAACAAUGGCUUAAUUAAUUAAUUACCAAGCUCAAUAAAAUUAACAUUCCCAAAUCAAUAGAAGUUUAAUAAUGGUGAUAUGGCAUGUAUCAAGGGGGUUAGAAUGUUUUUACAGAUCACGAAUGGUGUCACCCAAUUCGUGCAACAAGAUGGCCAAGUCCAUGCCUCUUAUCAUGGUAGGCACAGUGGUACUAACAGGACACUCUUGAAAAUCCAAACUUCCCGGCUUUCCGUUUUUUAACUAGGCAGUUCUUGAACUUCUUAUGACAUUUCACAUUAGUCAUUCCUGUAAAACCAUGUUUAGUCUGUUUAAAGCAGCACAAGAUAGGUCUCAAAAGGUAAUAGAAAAUGUAAAACAACAUCAGAAACUAACAUAACCACUUAUUAUUAACAAUUGUCUAAAAACAAAUUAAGAAAAAGAAUGUACCGAAUUUGCCAACACAAUCGUCAUGAGCUAUGCAACAAGCAUCAAUAUGAUCACACGGUUUCUCGUCUGGACAACCCGUAUAACGUAUCCCGCAAUACUUCCCGUAGUUGAUUAACAACGUUGUAGUUUUUCAUCCACACAAUAACAAGUUAAAAAUGUAAUUGUACAUAUAUCAAUAAAUAUAAUAAGAUUUAUUUAAGAAGAAUAUUAAGAUUGAAAUAUAUAAUCUAUGUAUCAUGGACACUUAUGGUAAGUAUCUGACACCGAUCGACGCAGAUGAAUUAUGUCAUUUAUUAAAUUAUUAUUAGCGUUGACAUGUGUGUCGUGUAUGGUGUUUGUGUCUUUGUGUCCAUGCUUAUGAUAUAAUAAUAAUGAAAUGAGGUUGAAGAAAUCUUACAGUCACAUAGCUCUUCAAUGCAUUCCUGCUGCAAUUAGCCUAUGAUCCCUAACAAUAUAAUUUGGUCAACGUUUCAAUUCAAUUGCUCUCCAAAUCCAAGUAUACAUAAUAAUUAACCACAAAAUAAUUACUACGUCCUCAUAUCUCAUAUAUAAAAGACGGUUAGGUCAACAAAAGUUCAUAUGUAUCUGGUUGACCAGCUAAACAUGUAGAAUAAUUUUUGUUGACCAUUCGUCUCUUAUAUUUAAGACCGGGAAAGACAUACAUACCGAGGAUGAAUCGGCAUGGGAGGAAGGGAAUGCAAUGGAGAGGAGGAGAAAGAGGAGGGCAAAUGUGACAGUGGCGCGUGGGAUAUUGCUUAUGCGAGAAGUCAUUGUUUAGGGUUUUGUGGGAAAGAGUCGUGACUAGGUCUUCUAUUAUUCUUUACUAGUAUUGCAAAAACACCUGCAUAAAAAGUUCAUACAUAGUCAUAAUGUGGAGAGUAAUAUGUGAAGUUUAUGAAAGAAAAUAAACAUAGGGACAAUUAUGAUUUUAAACAAGAAUGAGUGGUAUGCUACCUUAAGAAACAAAGAAAAAAUGUAUAUAAAGAAGCAUAUGCGAAGAACUUGAGAAGAAGAAACAAAUUACGUACCUUCCUUUACUACAAUUUUCUUCUGAAAGUUUUUUUUUUUUUACUCUAAUACAAGGUAUUUAUAGAGCUUUCAAUUAGGAUUUUAUUUUUAUUUUAGCACCAUAUCUUUUAUUUUUUUUCCCUGUAUUUUUUUGUUUAGUUUUCUUAGCAACCAAGUUUAGGAUUUAUUCUCUUCCCCCGUAUCUUUUUUUAUUCCUCACAUUAUAACUGGAAUUUUAUUUAAAUUAGAUUUCCACUUUGCAAAUAUUUUUUAAUUUAAAUUCUGUUAGGAGUAAGUUUUAGGGAUUUAUUUCAGUUUUAUCUUUUAUUUUAUUUUAUUUUAUUUUCAAAAUCAGUUAGGAUGCCCAUAAUAAGUAUUAAGUAGGAUAUAUAUCUCAAAUAUGUUGCACUAUAAAAUAUAAAUAUUCCCAACAAUUCUUCCUUCCUUUCAAAAAAAUGUUGGUCUUCCUUAAAAGCACAAUUUUUUCUUGCAUCACUAUGUUAAUUCAUUAUUGGGUGAAGCAAUUUUUUUUAUCGAACUCUACUUAUCUUUUUAAUUUUAAGAGCAAACUCUACUUAUCAUUCGACCAAAUGUCGGAUUAUUAGGGUCUCAUUCCCUAUAUACCAGAGGGUUAACAUAAAAAAUAAAAAUAAAAAGGUCAUAUGUGGUUGCUAAAAAUAGAGAAUAUCAAUUUUGUCAAUGUUCAAAGAUUUGAACAAAUUAAUAGCUUAGAGCAAGCCCAUUGCUUCCGUUGUGGUCGCAUCAUUUAUACCAUUUUAAAGGUGAGCCCCCAUUUGCACAAUCAACCCUUUAAAUAGUCAUCACUUGUUAGGUGAGAAUCCACGUCGAGUUUUAGGAAACUCAUUGAAUUGUUAUUUUUGUUGGAGGAAAGAGUUUUUUUUUUUAUGUGAAGGUCAUAAAAAAACAAAAGCUAACUAGAAAUCGAAAGCAUCAAAGUUGAGCAACGAGAGCAGCUCAUUAGGAGGUGUCACCCAAGUUGUUACUCCAAGAGUAGAGUUCCUCCCCAACCUAGCCAAAAAGUCUGCACAUACAUUGCCUUCACGGAGCACAUGUUUGAACAUCAAACCUGGGAGAUGAUCCAACAAACUUGUUAUUUUAGCUAGUAAAGAAAGCAUAAGCAUGGAAUGAGUGAGAUUGUCUGUCCAUAAGUAGGUUUAUGAUCUCAGUGGAGUCUGUCUCACACUCAACAUACAACACCAAAUUGUUUAUCAACAAGACCAAACCGUUAUAAAUUCCAAACAACUCAACAAUAAGCGCAUCACCGCAACCAUCAUUAGAUGAGAAUCCUACCACCCAAUUUCAUGUAACGUCUCGAAGAGUUUAACCUCGAUGUGUACCUCUCCAACCAUUCUAUGACUCCCAUGGAAUUUGAUAUUUUGAAUGAAAUACAUGUUUAAAAUGAUCGAGUUUUAGUUAUUUAGAAUGGAAUAUGAUAUUUUGAAUAUAAUAAAUAUUUAGUUAUUAAAAAAAAGAAACAAUUUUUUUUUUAAUUACAAUCACAUAAUUUGCAAUUCGCGUUGGUAUACGCGACAUAUGAAGGAGUUUGAUACGUAUGAGAGUAUAUAGCUUCGAUUUGUGUCAGAUCGUAGUACUAGUACUUCUUUGUUAAGUAUAGGAAACUAUCAAUAAAAAUAUUUUACUAAGAUUUUUGAAACAAAACUUAAAAAUCAUUAGUAAUAACUAAGUAUUUACAUCUCGAGUCUUUUUAACAACUCAACAUUAUCUCUGCUGCGUUAUUGAACACCUCAUAAUAUUUAAUCAAGGGAAAUGUUAAUUAGUGUCUCUCGGGGCACUGGUUAAGGACUUUAAAUGAUAAUUUUUAAUGAAAGUUAUGUAAUAAAAUGCAUUGAAAAUUGAAAACUUUAAUAUUUUUAAAGAAUAAUUACUAAAGAGUGCAUCGGGAAUAUUAAGGAAAUGUUAACUAGUGCCCCCGGGCACUCGUUAAGGACUUUAAAUGACAACUUUUUUAUGAAAGUUGUGUAAUAAAGUGCAUUGGAAAUUGAAAACUUUAAUAUUUUUAAAGAAUAAUAUUUUUAACAACUCAACAUUAUCUCUAUUGCGUCAUUGAACACCUCAUAAUAUUUAAUUAAGAGAAAUGUUAACUAGUGCCUGAGAGCACUUGUUAAGAACUUUAAAUGGCAACUUUUUAUGAAAGUUGUGUAUUAAAGUACAUUGAAAAUUAAAAACUUUAAUAUUUUUAAAGAAUAAUUACUAAAUGUAAAAUGCUUAAAGUGUGUACCGGGUGCACUCGUUAGCAAAUCGCUUUUUUUCUUCUUCUUAUUCAUCAGUGUUAUUUUGAAUUAAACGUUCUCUUUCUCCAAGUUUCACGGAGGUUUUCUUGCAAAAUGUAUUUGCUUCAUCGAAUGUUUUUCCUUUUUUUUUUUUUUUAAUCUCAUACUCAACCUCUUCCUCUUCUUUCUUCGAUCUUCACUCAUUUUUCUCUUGAUUCGUCGGUUCUUCGAUUUUCACAAAUUACAUGAGAAUUUGCGUAACCAACGGGCAAAAGUAACAUAAAUCGGUACACAAGUACCAAUUUAUGGUUCACAACAUGUCAAAAGAAUUAUGUGAUUAUGAUUUUAGUUAUUAAGUUUGAGCAAACAAUUAUUUGUGGACCAAGAUUGCAUAUAGGUCAAACUAAAGAAAUUAAAAGUAUGAUCAUGUUUACAAAUUAUCCAGGUAAGGUAUUUCAUGUUCAAAUCUGAUUAGCCGAAAGUAUAUUAGACACUAAAGAACAAAAUGACAUACUCCCUCGGUCCUAAAAUGUAAGUAAAAAUUGGUCAGCAUAUAUGUUGAUGUAUCUAACACAAAUUUUGAAGAAAAUACAUUGACUUUUAUUGAACAAUUUUUGCUUACAUUUUAGGACGGAUUAGAUACCAGUACUAAUAUGAAUGUCACGCACAUAUCACUUAUAUGGCUCCUUAAUUAAAUUGUUGAGCCAUGUAAUUUCAUCCUUGCUCAAGUGCAGCUAAAACUAGUGGUAAACAAUGGAAACAAUAGCCACAUCCAAUCUCCUCUCAUUCUCCCACAUUAAUCAAACCAUGAAUAUGCAUAUGACAACAUUAUGUGUGUUGAUUUCAUUAUUCUGUGAGAAACACUUUUGUCAUUAAUCUCUUCCUAUAGUAUGAUAGAACCUUGCACAUAAACACUAUUGGAUUAUUAUUGUGACAUCACAAAUUAAAUCACUGGCUUAGUUAAUUACCAACCUCAAUCAAUAAGAUCAUUAGAACAACAUUCCCAAAUUAAGAAAAGUUUAUUAAUGGAGAUAUGGAUUGUAUCAAAGGGGUUAAAUAAAUUUUUCAAUAUCAGGCAUGUUGCCACCCAAUUCGCUCAACAAGAUGGCCAAGUCCAUGCCUUUUAUCAUGGUAGGCACGGCGACAUUGGCCGGACACUCUUUCGAAAAUCCAACCUUGUUGGCUUUUUGUUCCCUUAUUAGGCAGUUCUUCAAUCUCUUAUGGCAUUUCACAUGAGUCAUUCCUGAAGAAAGAAAAAAAAAACAUGUUUAGUCAGUUCAAAGAAGUUAAAGAGAGGUCUCAAGUGAAUAGAAAGUGCUUGUAAAAAAAUGUGAGUGGAAAAUGUAAAGGAGAAACGGUAAAAUGAUCAUUUCAAUAUGGCAUUUCAAUAUAAUUAUAAUGUCUCUUUCAUUCCUCAUUUCCUUCCAUAACAUUUGAAACAUCUUAGAUAAUUAAUAUAUGUAUGUGUAAAUAGGGUAUAUGUAUCUACUUAUCUUAAAUACUCCACCAAUGUCAAAGAAAAGUACCAAACAACAAAAUUCUAAUGGUUUACAGAUAGAUAGGAGGAAAACAAGCAUAUGUGGAUUUGAUUGGGGUUUCACCAAUUGUGGGAUUAGGGAUCAGGGCUUUUAAAGUAGGUCAGACAACACUAAAAGUUGCGUCAAGCAAAACGACCAAACAUGAGAAAGCGUGUUCUGAUAAUCAAGAUGUUUUUAUACCAUUUACUUUUGACACAUUCGGCUUCCUAGCACCAGAUGCUAUUGACUUUCUACAUAGAGUUUAAAAGGUCAUGUAUAGCAAUAUCAUGUCUCGUAAGUCAUGAAUUUUGUGUUUACGAGGAUUGAUUUUGUCAUCCAAAAAGGCCUAGUGGCACAGCUUAUUGCUCGCUUAUCUUAUAUGUGUAAGUAAUCCUUUAAAUGUUUGCAAUUCACAAUUAUGGUUCUUCAAACAUUGUGCUCUUUUAUGAAUGUUUUGAAGUGAAGUAACUAUAGUUUAUGAUAAAACACACUAUUACAAACAACAAAAUUCCCAUAACAUCAUAAGAGAACAAGUAACAAGCUUUUUAGGACCCAAUGAUACACAACAAGAAUUAGCUUCCACUUGAACAAUAUACAAACUGAACUAAAUUGAUUCAACAAAAACAAAACACCUACACAAUCAUUAAUAUACAAAAGACAUAAAUUCUCAAGAAGAAUCCAUGCAAUGAUAAAAUAAAAAAUAAAAAAUCAAGGAUGUCAUAACAACAAAAGAUUUGAAAAUGCAAUUAUCAUCAAACAUAAAUGGAAAUAAAUAACAAGAUUAACAAAUUUCCCGCCAUCCCAAAAACUAACAUAACCAUUAGCUACUAACUAAUAUUUGUCUAUUAAACAAACAAACAAAAUAAUAAAAUUAAGAGAAAGAAUGUACCGAAUCGAUCAACGCAUUCGUCAUGACCCAUGCAACAAGCAUCAAUAUCAUCACACGGUUUCUCGCCUGGACAACCCCAAUAACCUACUCCGCAAUACUUCCCGUACUUGAUUCCCAUUGCUGUAGAUUAUUUUAUCAACACACUAACAUUAUUAAUUACUCAUUCAUGUGUAUAUUAAUAAAUAUAUUAUAUUUUCUACCAAAAUAUAUAUUUUAGGAUAGAAAAAUAUAAUCUAUGUGGCACAUGCAUUUAUCAGCAAAAUGUUUCCAAUAUUAAACACGCAAAAUCUAUGCAUGUAAUUAUAUUGAAUUAUAUAAUUUUAAAAAAAAAUUAUUAUUGUUGUCGUUGUGUGUCAAUAUUGGUGUCUGACAUCCGUAAUUCAUAGCUAAUAUGAUAAUAAUGAAAUGGGAUUGAAUGAAUCUUACUGUCACACAACUCUGCCUUGCAUGUCCUGCUGCAAUUGGCCUAUAAUCCAAAACAAUAUUAGUUUGUCAACGUUUUCAAUUCAAUUGUUCUAGAUCCAAUUUACAUAAUAAUUAACCACAAAAUAAUUACUACAUCCUCAUGUCACAUGUUUAUAUAAAGAGACAUUGAGUAAACAAAAUACAUUCCGACAUCUUUUAUAUUUAAGACCGGAGAGGACAUACAUACCAAUGAGGAAUCGGCGACUACGGCAUUGGCGGCGACUGGGGCAUUGGCGACCGGGGAAUUGGCCACCGAGGAAUCAGCUACGGUGGAGAGGAGGAGAGAGAAGAGGGCAAAUGAGGCGGUGACGCGUGAGAUAUUGAUGCUGGAAGCCAUUUUUGUGGGACAAAACAGACGUGAUUGUGUCUUCUCUUCUUAUAUCGUUGGUGUGAUUUUUUCUAACGUUUGUGUCUUGAAAGAUCGUUGCAACGUGGUUAUGAUUGAAUGGACCACAUGCACUUUCGUUUAUAUUUAGGAUGUUUUCUGAUGUAAAAAACGGAGUUACAUUCAUAGAAUAGAAUGGUACAAUACUCUCCUCUUUUUUAGGCGAGACCAAAACUGCUAUUCUUGGCACUCCGUGUCCAUUUAUGGUACUCACGAAAACUGCUGUUUUAUUGCUCUAUUUUCACUUCCUAAUUAUCUUUCGGGUCUUGUUAACGAGUGCUCUGAGCAUUCCUUAUGAAUAAAUUAUUCUUUAAAAAAAAUAAAAACUUCAAUUUCCAAUACAAUAAAUGUACAAACUUUCAUAAAAAUUUUACCAUCUUGGGUGCUUAAAGAGUGUCCUAGGGCACUCGCUAACAUUUCUCUUAUCUUAAAUGAGAUGUUUUAUUUGAAUAACAAUUUUUCGAGCAAGGGUGUAGGACAAUCAAAAUAAACAAAAAGGUUAAUUAAUUAAAUGGUCCUUAUAAAUAUUCAAUAUUCAUUUUUAGUCCCUAUAAAAUGAAAUCGCACUUUAUGGUCCCUGUAAAAUAUUAUGUCAACAUUUUUAGUCCUUGUAAAAAAUUUCAUCAGCAUUUUUAGUCCCUAUAAAAAAUUUCCAUCAAUAUUUUUGAUCCCUAAAAUGCUAAAGGAAAAUGUCACAGGGACUAAAAGUGUGAUUUUAUUUUGUAGGGACUAAAAAUAAAAUUCUUAAUAUUUAUAGGGACCAUUUACUUAAUUAACCCUAAACAAAAAAAAUGUAGGUAUUGACAUAAAAAGCAAAGUAAUUGAGAGAGAGUAAAAACACAAUGUGAAUGUGAGAGAAAAAACUUUCUUAAAAGUUGUCAUAAAAUUGUUGUACGAACAUUAUUUCUUUCAUUAAAUGGUUGUUUUGUUUGAAAAUAAAAAAACUCCUAUAUAAUACUCCCUCCGAUCUCUAUCAUAAGAAGCGUUAAAAAAAUAUUAUUAUUGUUUUUCUCAAAUUUGUCAUCGUAAAACUACAACUGCAAAUACUUUGGAGAAUUUUGUUUCCGCUGCAUUUUUUGUUUUUGUGUUUACGUGAUAAUUUUUUAUUAGUUAAGCCCUUCAUUUAGGUUUUGUUUGGGAUUUUGGAGGGGAGGAGAUGGGAAGACUUUGGAGAGUUGGAAAUAUAGGAGAAAAUGGUAAAAUCUUUCACAUAGUUUGAAAGAAUAACUUUUUAGAGAAUGGUAAAUUAAUAUUAUGAUUAAUAUAUUUUUAACUUUAAAAAUAUUAUAAAUACAUUGAUUAAAUUUGAAGAAUUCAUGUAAACGCUUCAAAAUUCUCCUCCAAAACAAUUUUUGAGUUCCCUAAAAUGAGAAGGAUAUUGUAUUAUAAAGAAAAAUUAACCAUUCAAAGUCUUUUCCUUUCAAUGUCAUCUAUUUCUUCCACUUGCUUAUUCUUUUUUUUUUUUUCUUUUCAAAUCCCUCCCUCUCUUCCGCUCAAACUCGGAAAUAAAGCUUUAGUUUUAGCAUCUACUUCCUCUGUCCUAAACUAUAAGUCACACAAAUAAAGAAAAAUAAUUAAUUUUGUAUGAGAAAGGGAAAUUAUAGGUUAUUUUACAAAAUUAUUCUUCAUCUGUGAAAUGUAAAUUAAAGAAUUGAAAGAAGAGAUUCUAAUAAACAGAUAAGGUAUAAUAGAAAAAGUAGUUUUUAAUUAGUAUUGUAAACCAACUAUUAUAGGACAAGUUCAAAGCGGCUUAUAAUUUAGGAAAGAGAAAGUAUGUAAUAUCAUUAGCAUGCCUAACACUUGAUGCCCAUAAUCAAGAAUCAACUCAUAUAUAUAUUUGAGUAUGGUUAAAAGAAUGAGUUAAAGAAAAGUUUCACUAAUUUUAUUUAUCUUCAUGUUUUCAUCUUCUGGAGAUCAUUUUGUGUUCAAAAGGGAUGACCAUUGAGCCAAUGCCUAUAUAUGUGUUCGGAUUUGGAUUUUAUCUUAGCUAAUUCUCUCAUGAUAUACCCAUUGUGCUUUAAUCUCAACAAUUCACCAAUCACCUAAUUAUAUUAAAAAUUCAAAGUUAUCAAACCAGCAUUAGCAUCCUACAUAAGAUGGGUUACAAUGAUAUCAUUAAAACUAAACACCCCAAAUCUAAAGACAACCCAAUUUUUGCUAAUUUUUCAGCAAUUUUGUUUUAUAUUUUAGGCAAACUAGAAAAACUUAACAAAAACAAAAGAGUUUUAAAUUUUUGUAAUCAUAGAAAUCAAGACAAAACAAGGAUGAGUAGCCAGUUGCCAUAUAGUAACUUAAUGUUAAGUGGAAUAAUCCAUGAUCUAUAGCAAUCUUCAAGCCCCAAAAUAUGGACCACAAUUCUGAUUUAUAGCUCUGAACUUUCAUGCACCUAGCACACAUCAAUGACCAUUUCCAUGCAGAUAUCUUAAGUCAAGUACUUGGUUUGAGCAACAAUUGGUGAGAGUGUGAGAUAUUAUUAAAAACAAAUUCAUUUAUAGUACUCCAAAUAUGGUCAAGUGCAGUUCCAAAAUAGUUCUUCACUCAUUUUCAUUCUCAGUAAAAAAGUACCUACAAUAUUAAGUUUAAAAUUGUCCCACAUCUGUAAAAUAUAAUGUAGUACCUUAAAGUAUGUAGAAAUGUCUCAUUAUGCAGAUUAAAUUUGAAACUUCGGUCUGCAAUUAUGCCCUUCUGACUUCUUAUCACUUUCAGUUUUCACCAUUGUUAGCCUUUUUUGUAUGUCAAGAAUAUGUACAUGCAUCAAAUUGGUUGUAAAAGACACCCCAACUAUGUAUCCAAGGGUGGAUCCAGACUUUAGGUAUAUGUGAAACUAAAAUUUCAAGGGUUAAAUAUCCCUAUAAAUAUGUCAACUUUUCGUUUUAGUCCCUAUAAAUUUUUUUUUUAACUUUUAGUCCCUAUAAAAAUUUUCAUCUUCACUUUUGGUCCAUCUUUAAAGUAAACUCAUAUAUAGAUGGGGGCUAAACCUAAUUGAUCCCACAAAAAAAAACGUUUCGGACGAAAGGAGGAUGCUCAUCCCAACAAGAUGAACCAACAUUAGAGUAACGAUUGUCAACACCCCGAAACAUCAGUUGGAUUUAGAUAAUGUAGCACCCUUGGAGCCAGUGUUAUACUUUGUAUUUGUUGUUGAAGGUGUUUCUAAGACUUAACUCAACUAAGAAUACCAAUAUUGCUAGUUUUGAUACCUUCAUCUGAAUUUGAACUUCGAAUCUCAAAAUCAUAUGUAUGUGUUUUAUGUGAUGUUUGACAUUUUGGUCUAGAGAUCCAAAAAUAAAUUAAAGAGAUUGAAGAUUUGAUCUUCCCCUACAAAACAAAACAAAAUUGAUAAUUAAAUUUUUACUUUUUUUAAUUAUAAACUUCUUAAAAAUUCAUGCUAUUAUUUCCAUAUCGUUGGAGAACAAUAAAAGGAAAUUUUUCUCUAAUUCAUAGAUAAGUUUUUGAGUUUAAUUGUUAUGUGUUCAAUCAUGUGCCAUCUGGUAUAACACAAUGGUUGAUAUGUAUGGUGUGGAAGAAAUAUAAUUUUUGAGAUAUCGACUUCGAUUUCAACUAGUUAAAAAAACAUGCUUCCUAUCAUAUUUUAUAAAGAUAAUUGUAGAGUCAUUUUUUAAUCAAAUCUAACAAUGUGAGAUACUUGUUAGAUAUAACUAAAUGCAUUUACACGAAUAUUUGUAUAACCAUUUUGUGAUAACUUUUAACAAUUUUUUUUUUCUUUAAUGUUUUUAAUCAAUAAAAAAAUAGAAAAAAAAAGAUUAUCAAAAAAUAGUUGUACAAAUAUCAUUUUUCUUACAUAAAAUGAAUAUCAAUUGAAUAUUUAUUUUUAUUACCAACUAGAGUUUAAGUUUACUACAAUGAAUUAUAGUCUUCCACAACAACAGAAAGAAAAAUUGUCCAAUCAUCUCUCAAAUAGGAUUAUCUCUCACGGCGAAAAUCUUACUAAACACCAAUAAAAAGAUAAUUUUAUCAUGUUCUUGUGCAGAAAGUGCUUAGAAACUUGAAAACAAUGGCCAGGGAAAACACUUGAACCACAGAAAGAAAGAAAGAAACUCAACCUCAUUCCUCAAAACAAUGUCCUUGUUGAAGAAUUUAUGAUGUUGACCAUAUUGAUCUACCACAUUAAUAGUUUAUGUGGUGCAAAUAGUACUUUGCUUCUUGGUCAACUCUUUAUACUUUCCCAGACAUUGCAGGCUUGCAACGGCUUCAUAUAAAAAUGAAAAAGACCAUGGAAUGUACGAAAUUUGCAACAAUUAUUAUUUGCACCUCUUCAUUACUUACCCAUCUCACUCUUUUUAAAAUAUUUCAUUUCCAAAAUAUAUUUUCUCCCCUCCAUCCACUUUAGAAAACACUAUCAAAGUCGCUACAUCACACUCAACAUCGGAAAACAAGAUCAAAUACUACAAUUUUCUAUGGUUUUAAUGGAUUCAUAAUCUUCUAUUAAAACAAAAGAUGACAUACAAAGCAUUGCGAUGGAAUAUAAUUUGCAUGAGAGAUUCCUUUAUGUAAUCUUCAUUACUUAUCCCAUUAUGUAGAGCCGGUUAAAUUGAUCAAAUUAUAUAAUAAUCUUCUAUCAUAAAUCAUAUUUAGAUUCAACACACUAAUCUCUGAAUCAUUCAUAAUAGUUUCUCUUAUAUUGUUCAUGUCUUCAUCUGCAUUUAGUGAUAAGAUAUUUAUCCUUCAUCUGAUAUACAUGUCUUCUCUCUAUAUAUACAAACUACUUAAGCCUAUUUUACAACAUCUUUUUUAUUAUAGGUGCUAUCUGAACUCUCUCUAAAGUUGUUAAUCAUAUUACAUCUAAUCUUGUCACAUAUUCAACACAAUAUCCUCAAGUAUCACAUACAUAAAGAUAUUGUUUUUAUUUGAGCAAAACAUAAAAGACAUUUGAAAACACAAUGGAAUUAAUUAGAUUUAAUUAUAAUAAUAGUUUUUGUCCUUGUAGAAUUUUUUAGGGCAUUGAUUAUUAUGCAUAUCCUAAGCCUUGGUCAUCCAUAAUUAAUCAAGUCUUCUUUAAAAAGGGCCGGCUAGCUAGGUAAUCAAACAAAUAUUAAGGCACCUAGUAAUAAGUCAUAGGUGUUAAAAAAUUAAAAAUACCUUCUUCACUCCACAAUAUACCUUUGAAAAGUUAUUAAAAUUUUCAAAUACCAAUGAAUUACUCGCCUUCUCUUUCACGUCGAAAUAAAAGUAUUGCUAAUAUAUGUCUAAAAAAAGGUAUUGCUGACAGAACUCAUAUUGUCAAGAAAAUCAUGGAUCCCACAAUGAUGUUGGAAAAAUAUUUGGUAAAUGAUGGCAUUUUGGGUGAAUGCCAUGGCAGAGAUGUACGACGGUGAAGAUGUAUCUAUAAACAUUAUGACGAUCAAAUCAGUUUAAUAGUUGAAUCUCUUAAAAGGUCUACAAUAAGAGAGAUAUUUAUAGGUGACAAUGUGAGACAAUUAUGGCCUUAAAGAAGGGUAUUGGGAUUUUCCAUCCCAAAAGUCUACUCCGAAAUAGUUUUUCCCAGGCGUUUAAAAUUAAGGACAAAAUUUUGAUGGCAACUUGCACAAUUCAAAACGGUCACUACCUUAGAAAAGUGGUUGGACAAACUUGAAGUUGGAUAUUGACAUCAUAUAUAAAAAUCAUCAAUGGUCUAAGCCACAUAUGACGGUUGAUAUACUCUUUAACCUCUUAUCUUUGACAAAUAGAUUACUUUUUCGGUGCACCUAAAAUAUCACACUACUUUAUAAUCGACACUAGUCGUAGUUUAUAAACAAGAUUCACACUCCUCUACCUCGCUACAAAUCUUUAGACUUUGCGCAAGACAAUAUGAAUAAUAUCUAAAAAAAUGUGUCUUCAGUUCAAAACUUCUAUACAUUAUCAUUAGCUUGGAUGACACUUCAAAAAUGGAUAAAAUAUAUUUCAUUGUUGGUUUAACCUUCAAGGCAUCAAUUACACAUAUAUUUCUGUGUUUUCUGAUGAUUUUAUCUAUUUAGACUUUAGUUAUGUUGGUCAAUGCAAACAUUAAUAUAUUUUCUUUAAAAAAAGUCAAUGUUAUAAUUAAGCAUUAUUGAUCACAAUGUGGCAUUUUGGCAGCGUUCAUCACGGAAACAUUUUGUACUAUAUAUGUUUCAUAUAUGAAAUACCAAUGCUUUCAUGGCACGUUUGUUCUUCUAAGAACUUAGUAGCCCUGCAUGUGUUCCAAACAAGUAGUUGGGGUGUGUUGACUGUGAGAGAAUCACUUAAUUUUACACCCUUGAGGUCAAACCCUCUUAUCUUCAUGACCCACAUACACAUGGCUCUGUUUUGAUUAUAUAUACUUACUUCAUUGUUGUAAGGGGGACAAAUGAUUUAAGGUUGACUAUCUCAUUUGAUUUGAGUUAAUGGUUAAAUAAGUUGGCGGUAUCGAAAAAAGAAGUUGACUAUGACAUACUUUAGAUAGACUCUGGUAUUAUUUUAGAUUUAUGGUUCGUAAGGUGAGAACAAUCUUCAGUUAUAAAUAUGAGUUUAAUCUUAUCUCAUCUAACAAGGUCUAAUGGCGCAGUUUGUUGUCCGUUUGCCUUCUAUUCAAGUGUAAAUAAUAGUUUAUAUAUAUAAUUACACACUAGAUUAUAAAAUACAAUAAAAAAUAAUCCAACAUUAAACCAUUAACACACUCCUCACAUUUAUGACUCGACAUUUGGAGUGUGACUUAAUAGUAGGAGUUUGAGCCGAGUUUGGAUAGAGUCUAAUAUCAUUUUAUAAUUUAGGUUGAACUUUAACUAAACUUUACAAAAACAUCUUAUAAGGCAAAAAUUAUCCUAUUUAUAAACACAUGUUUAGACCAUGUCUCAUUCAAUUUGUUUAAACCAACCCUUACCAUUGGGGUACAACCUCUGCUACAUCUUGUGGGACGGUUUUGUUUAUUGGAAGUAAUAAAAAUGUCAAGACAUAUAGUCAACAUGAACACUAAAUUACAAGCAAUUCGAGUGAUCAAUGCGGAUAGAAAAUUUUAGCACUUCUUAGAGUCAACCUAAUGUGUUGAUUCCACGCAUGCUAGUUAGGUAGGGCAGUUCUUGAUUAAUUUCUAAUGGUUUCCAAGAUAUUUGAGUAUAGUAACAGUACAUUUUUUUUUUUUAACAGAUGAGAUGUGAAACUUACACAUACUAUGCGAAGAGAAGAGUAUCGUGAAUUCAAACCAUUGCUCAACACUCAGAUGUGGGUCACAACAUUUUAUCAUAUAAUUUGGCGCAUUUUCAGAAAUAUCAUAAUAUUUAUUUAUUUAUGCUAACUUGCACCCACAUGAAACUAUAAAGAGUAAUUAAGAUAUAUACUCGCACGCUCACACUCACAUUUAAAAUAGCACAUCAAAUUCAUAAUUUACAUGAACAUUCAAACUCGCAGGAACGACUCUACGCUACCUUAUACUCCAACACAUUAAUAUUUAAUAUUGCAUGCCUAAAGAAGCAUAUUGAGUAAUUCAACAAUUUGUACCAUAUUAUCUCUUUAUCAACCAAAAACCUCCAUCUUCGCUUAGCCUCUAACACAAUAUUAAACAUAUCAAGAUUUUUUACAACUCUCCCACCACUAUUUUUUGUUUGACACAUUCGAUCCCAACUAAUCCAACAAAUGACUUUCAUUUAGGAGAAUGGAUGUAAAGUCAUAGAAAAUAAAACCUCUAACCCAAUCUAUGCCGAUCAUAUAAUCCAAAAAAUUUGACAUAUAUAAAACUAGCAAAUUGCUCCAAUCUUUUGAUAUCAAAGAAAAUGGUUGACUAAAUUUGAUUGGAUAGUAAAAAAAAAAAAUUGAAGUAGAUUGGAUAGUAAAAAUUGUUUAUUAAGAUUUUGAUUAAUUUAAUAUUUAAUGUCAUAGGAUUGAAAGUCUGCGUAAAUCAGGUCUGCACAACUGGUUAAAACCUUUUUUUAAAUAUUCUCCAAAAUGUACUAAUUGAAAACUAUAUACAAGUUAUAUAUUAUUAAUUAAUAAAAGUCAAAUCAUUCUCCAAUUAAUAAAAUUACUAUAAGCAGGCCAUUAAUACCUCUAUAAGCAAGGUUCUACAUGAAGUAACAGUGACAAUCUACAAAUUAAGGUUGAAUCGAUUAUAUUUUCUUUUCAAUCACACCAUAUGCGGUGGUCAUGGUCAUAUGUAUAAUUAAUAAUGCAGUGUCUUAUGGCUUAUGCUUAACUAUAUAGUGGUAUUUUAUUUAAGCAACUACAUAUGCUCUUUGAAAGCUGUUUUUCAUUUUUUUUAAGUGCCAAACACCACUUGAAAUUCAGGUACGCAACCGCGAGAUUUUAGAUUUUUAAUAAGGAUAAAUAUGUUCAGUCUAACAUUAUCAACAUUAUCAGUUGUGUUACGGCUUGCAAACAACUCAUUUUCAUUUUAUUAUUAUACACAAAGAGGGUUGGAUCCAUAUUUUUUUCUUUUUGUCUUAAGUGUCGGAUUCUUAAGAGAAGGGUGUUUAGUAACUCGAUCGAGUGAGAAGUAAAAUCUAAUUAAUGAUAGUAUCAAGUAGUAUAAUUAAUUCAUGUGAAUUAACUAAAAGAAACUAUGUUGGUUUUAAUUAAGUUUAACGAUGAGCCGACUUAUCAAUUAGUAUAAUGAAUUCCCUUUAACAAUUUUUUUUGUUUUUUUAUGAAGUAAAAAUUUAUAAUAUCUUUGCUUAUCAAAAAAUUAAAAUAAUUUUUAAUCAAGAAAUCACGAUUUCUUUCAAUCAAGAAAUCAAGCCCAUUAUCUACUUGGGUUGACUUUAUGGUGUUGACUUUGAAUUUUGGAGUGUGGUCAUCUCAUGGUCUGUCUUAUGUUUGAUUCUUUAUGGUAUCAAUUUUAGGGGGCUAGUUUGACUUCUUCAACACCCAAAAAAUGUAUGCCCAUUUAUCAUCUUGGCUCGACAAUUCGAUCCAUGGCAGAUAUGAUUGUAUUCACACGUCUCACAACAACAGACUUUAAGGUGGAAAUAUUAAGUCGAACUCAUUGAAUCUAUUCGGCUCAAUCAUCAAUGUUGAUGGAAGUUGAUUUCACAUUACUUUUUAGAAUGGCAUUGGUGAUCUCAUUCGAAGCUCUAAUGGUCUUGGCGUGCUAUAUUUUUAGUUAUCAACGUGUUAAGUUGGCAUCCUCGAAGCAGAACUUUAUGGCAUUCAUCAAGGGCUAACUCUUGCUAAGGACAUGUGCUUUUAUGAUUUAGUCUGCUACACUGAUUCCUCUCUCUGUUUGAAGCUCAUUGAGGCUCCAACUAACAAAUUCUAUAAGCAUUUUGUGCUGAUUGAAACAUCAAAGAUUUAUUGCAUGAUAAUUGCCUCUUCCGCAUCUUCCACACUUUUCAUGAAUGUAAUCAAAGUGCUGAUUUUAUGGUCAAAUUUGACGCUUCUUCCUACUCUGAGUUCUUGGUUCACGCUUCUCCUCUAGAGCUUAAAGAUAUCCUUAUAGUAGAUGAAACAUGAAUUUUCUUUUUAAAAUUGUAGUCUUUUUCUUUUAUCUUUUGAUUUAACCUUGUAAAAAAAAUCAAGAUACAUAAGAUUUCUUAAGUGAGAAUAUUAGUAUCAUUAUUCUUGUAAAAAAAGAAAUUAGCAUAAUUAUGAAAGUAAAAUACGAAAUUUUAAUAUCAAUCAAUAUCAACAUCAUUUUCCUCACACACACACAACACAACAACAACAACAAAGAGAUGCAGUUAUAUAUACAAAUAUAAAUUCAAGCAGUGUACAUCACGUGGGGUGGACCAUUUUUAAUUUGUUCUAGAAUAUCUCCCGACACUACUAUAGGAAUUAAUACAAAGUAUAUACUUAUACUAUACUUAUAAUUAAUUACAAUGUUAUAAUCAAAUCAUACUUAUAUACUACUAAUUAUCCAAUAAACAUGGCAAUUAGACUUGAAUUAAAAAUAUGCACAUCAUCAUGUACUGUAGGGAUUGAGGCAUGUUAAUAUUUUAUUCAUACCAAGUUUCCAACCCUUUCAUGAAGCUGAAAGCUAUAACUGGUUGGUGUGUUUUGCUAGCUGUUACGUACUUUAAACUCCAAACUCUAAGUCAACUAUGAUAUGAAUUGAAAUUAAAUCAGUAAUUACUAAGUCAAAUGAUGUUGAUAAAUUCAAGACCAAUACUCAUUCAAUAAGGAUUAAUUUUUUACUACACAACCAAUCAAGAUGUUCAAGAUGAUAUAGACACUAUACUAACUCAUCAUACAAAUAAUGUAGUAAUUAAGACACAUAAUUUAAUAGUAACAAAUUUCAUUCAUUAUAAAACAAAAUAAUACAAAAGAUUAAUUUUGUAAUAAAAACUUGCUUAAGUAAAUUAAGCAAGCAAACAAGGGAUUGAUACACUUCAAUUGAAUAUUCACCUUUACAUUAUGUGCUUUUAAAAGAAUAUACCAAAAUGGCCUCAACCAUUUGAAAAAAAAUAAAAAUAAAUAAACAAAGACUCUAAUGUUUUGGUCUUAUCCCUCCCAUUUCAAGGCGAAAGAAACUGGUAAUCGGAAUUCGUUUGGGAGAUAAGUAAAACUUGACAAAUGAUUAUUUUUGUCAUGAUUCAAACUCUGACUCUUCUGAUUGAUUUGACCCUAAAAAAAUACUAUUUAAUCAUGGUAGAGUGAUGGUAAAAAUUAUAUUCCUAUAUCCUUUCUGUCCUUGUUAUUCAUGAAAUCACGUAUUCUUUUGAGUGCAAGUUCAAGUGUUUCUUCACUCAUAUUUGCAAAACAAACCCUAAACCAACCGGGUUCGGAACAAUGACAAGAACACCCUGGUGAAAUAUUAAGCUUAACUUCAUUCAAAAUCUCAUUCCAAAGCUUCAAUUCACCUUCUCUUGUAUUACUUUCCAACAUUGGACUCAUAUUCAUCCAACAAAACAACCCUGCAUUACCUUUCAAGCAUUCAAUUCCAGCACUUUUCAAACCUUCAAUGAUCAUUUCAUAUCUUUUCCUUAAUCUUUCUCUAUUGACCUUGAUGUAAUUAUCAGUGAAACUUUCAUCUGACAACAUUGAUGCUAAAAGAUGUUGUGUUUGUGAAGAUAUUAAGGUAAAACUCGACAUUCUUCGUGCUGUUGUAACAACUUUAUCGUUGUAGGAAUAAAUUGUUCCGACUCUGAAACCUGGUAGACCGAGAUCUUUAGAAAGACUAUAAACAAUGUGACAUCUUUCCGCGUCUUUGUAUUGACGAGAUUCAAGAAUCUCGGCUAUGCUUAUGAAUUCAUGUGAAGAGAAAACUGAGCCCGAGUAGAUUUCGUCUGAGACAAGGUGUAUGUUCUUGCGAGUCACGAAGUUCAGAAUGUCCUCGAGAACUGAACGUUGAAUCGAUAUGCCUAAUGGAUUUGAUGGGUUGGUUAUAAGUACUGCUUUUACUUUCAUGUUCAUGGAUUCUGCAUUUUUGUAUGCAGUUUCUAAUGCUUCAAGUGUGAUUUGAAAAUUGUUUGAGCUAUCACAAUGGAUUGGAAUUAUGUUUACACCAGUUCUCCAUCUCAAAUCUCUAUCAAAUCUGCAAAAUCAAAAAAUAUAUACAUUAGUUUAAUUUUCCAAUUAUUGUACUAAUAUUGUCGCGCGAAUUUUAUGCUUAGAUGAUUACUCGUUUCAUCUUUUUUUUAAAAGAUUCACAAUUUUAGUCCUCACUAAAUUUGGAAAAAUGGAGACCAUAUUUUCGAAUUUAGAAAUACACGAAAUAAAAUCAUGAAUUAGUAAAAAUAGACGGCCGAAAAUGCAUUUAAGCAAAAAUAUUAUAGAAUAUAUUGUACUCAUAGAGCAAAUAGUUAAGUUGCAAGUUCCAAGAAAAAAAAAAGUUUGACAUUUUGAAACUAUAUUAUAAAAUUUUUGGUAUAGGAAGGUUCCAUUAUUAAUUAUGGUAAGAGAAAAAUAUAAAAAUGUAUUGAAGUGUGAAAAGAGAAAAUUUCUUACCCAGGAUAGUAUGGUGUUGGAACAAGUAAAGCAUCUCCUGGAUUUGCAAGAAUGAAAGUCAAGAGCUCAUUGGCAGCAGUAGCACCAGCAGUGAGGACGAUUCUUUCAUAAUCAAAUUUUGCUUUAUUUCCUCUAAUUUUUUCCAUGAAACUUGCCAUUGCUUUUCUGAAUGAUUUAAGUCCAUGAUAGUCUUGAAAUAAUGCAUUAUCUCUAAAACUUGAACCACCUUUUCCCCAUGUUGAAGCCUCUGAGUGUUCUUCCAAGUAUUUUUCAAGUAAAUCAAAUGAUACCUAAAGAAUUUCAAACAAAAAAUAUUAGUCAACUAGUAAAAUAUAAGCUUCGAAAUUAAUGAAAAUAAUUAAGUGUCACAUUUUUUUCCUUUCUUUUCUUGCAUGUAUAAGCAAAAAAAGUACAUAUAUCUGAUCAAAAUUUUGAUGAGAUACACGUGCUUUUUUUUUUCUUAUAUCAUUGACACAGGUCAGACACCGAAAACGUCUUCGAUAUUUAUACACUUACUUGAUUUUCUGCCAAGCCCAUUUGUAUAACUCCAGAAGGGUUAGUUAUUUCAUGAUAAGGGUUUUCAUCAUAGGCUUUCCAUCCAGCAAAGUAUGGAGAAUUUUCUCCAUGAGUUUCAGAAGUUGCAAUAUUUGAAAGUUCAACACAAGGGUGUUCUUGUUCAAUCUCAAGACCCAUACUAACUAUUUUUAGAAGGAGGGGAAAGAGAGAGAAGGUAGUUAGAUAGGUAGAGAGAGAAAAUGGGUGAGAGAGAGUUGAAUGAAAAGUUUGUGUGAAAUUUCUCUAUAUAUAGGCUUUGAGGCUUAAAGACAAGGAAAAAAGGUCCCUUUUCAACUUGGCUGGCUUAUUCAGCAUAAAUAAUGCAUAAAAUGUAUAUAAUAUAAAUUAUUGAUUUUGUAGUGUAAGCAAAUCAAAGCUUUACCUUUUAAGCUUUAAUUUAAUUUAAUUUCACAUAGUUUAUCUGUUGCUACUUGUGACAACUGUGACAGAUCCACACGGAAAUUAUAUGGUGGUUGUUUGGAGAUGGAUGUUUUGAUUAAGUUGCUAUUAUAGUUCCCUAAUUUUGCUUACAAAUUACCAACUUUGUUUGGUGAAGUUGAUAAGGAUUCCGCUCAGAUUCUUCAAAGAUCUGGGUUUGAUGUUCAUUGUUAGUUUAAGAACAUCGUUAUUAGAUGAUAUGUAAGUACUUGUAUCUGUGGUCUAUGAAUCUUGAAAUUUGUCUUGAUCUUCGUUGAUAAGGAUUCCGCUCAGAUUCUUCAAAGACCUGAGUUUGAUGUUCGUUGUUAGUUUGAGAACAUCGUUAAUAGAUAAUAUGUAAGUAUUUGUAUUUGUGGUCUCUGAAUCUUGAAAUUUUUCUUGAUCCUCGCAACUCUUCGGGUUCAACUUACUUCAACAUUUUAUAAAAAAAUAAAAUAACCUUUGUUUUAAUGGAGCAGAUUGUUCAUAACUUUGUUUGUGGCUUAAUUAAUUUAUGGUUUCAUACUUGUUUAUUAAAUUUACAGGUGGUUGAGUUCUUGAAAAAACAAUUCUACUAUUCUCAACCUACGACUAAUCAAAUCCAAUGCCAAAUAAACACCAAAAAUUCCAUUGUGGAAACCAAAUCAUGAUUUAAGAUCUGAAUUGGGUGUUUAGCAUAUAAGAAAAAAAUGGAGAAAAUUCUAGCAAGGAGUAGUUAAGUUUUGAUGACCAGACAAAGAUACCAUGUAACCCAAAAGAUAGAUUAAGAUUCUGAUUUUGCAAGAAGAACUAUGACAAAAGAGAACAUCUUGGGAUAUCUUGUGACCCCACUUUUGCAUCAAUACCAAACAACAAAAUUGAUCAAUGAGUUUUGUGAGAUUUAAAUAAAACAUCUCCCUUAAUUUGAAGAACAAAUUAAGAUUAUUGGAUAAAGGAGCACAAUGAGUACUCCAAUCCAAUCCAAUACAAUCAAUUUCUAUAUGAUUUUUUUUUUGGGUAUAAUCAAAUAUAUUUUUAGGGUUUAUGCAUCAAAUCUCUUCAAUAUAUACAACCUUUAAAGUUUGUAGUUGUAUCUAAUCUAAUUGUGGUGCACCUUGUUCUAAUUAGUCAUUUACUUGUGCACUUCCUAAAUAUUUGGAGCACCAUUUUUUCCUUGGUGAUGAAAUGAAAGGCAAUCUAGAGGCAAUCUUAUUUGAGUAGAAAUAGGACACUAAAUAUGGGUGCCACUAUAUAUAAUGAGUAAUCAAAUUGUGGUUUGCGAAAUUGUAGGAGACUAACUCAUUCUACUAGACUUAACUAUCAUCGGAAAAAAUUAUAGGCGAUCAAUAAAACUAAAUGAUAGGCAUCUCACAAACAAUAAUCAUAAUUUACAAUUAUUUCAAUAAUAGAUUAGUUAUCUAUGGAAAAUAUCACAUAAUUCAUCAUUUCAAAAUUAUAUGUUUUAUCAUUGGCCUUAAAUAAUAUUGUCUUGUUAAAUGAAAAAUAUCACAAAAUUUUCAUAUACUUCUAGAGUUAUUUUUUUAUAAGAUAAAGUUUAUAUGGGUUGGGCUCCGGGAUUCAUUAGGGUUAAGGGCAUACCUAUGACUCAGAACAUUUAUCCGGAAUUCAAAACCAACAAUAUUAAUAUUUUUGGUACAAACAGCUAAACAUAUGUAAUUAUAGCUGUCUGCUUGAUUAAUACUAGUGUUAAGACUUGGGAGAGUAAAAUUCUUUAAAGGGAUGGUUUAACUUUUGCUAUUUUUGGCAUAUUGUAGUUCUUUUUUAUGAGGUGUAUAUUGAUUUUAUUUUUUAAGGAUGAGGUGUAUAUUGAUAAAAGAGGUGUGUUAUUUGAAUAACCUUUUGAUAGACAAUUUAUUUGACAACCAUAAAUUUAUAAAGAAAAAAUAAGUUUUAGCACAAAUAUCAAAGCAAUAGAAAGAUAAAAUGAAAACAUAUGUGAGUAUGAGAGAGAAAGUUGUCACAAAAGUUAUUACAAAAUGGUUGUACAAAUAUCAUUUAUGGGACGUUUACUUAUUAGGAAUAUAUAUAUAUACACCGUGGCUCAAUGAGAGCUUUAUAUUAAAAGCAAAAUAACAUCAUUAAGAAAAUGAAUCCUUUAAGAAAAAUCAUUAUGAAAAUGAAAGCUAUUUUUCUUUUAAUAUUAAAAAAUUAAGAGAACCACAACCUUAUUGAGAAUUUACGUAUACUUAUUCAUUAAGUAUAAAUUAAUUAAUAAGUAUACUAAUAUGAGUGAAAUGCUUAAUCAUCUUUGCACAUAAUUCACAGGUUCACACAAACUUUCAAUUUGAGAAAUUGAAGAAGUUGUAUUCCAUGCAAAAGUCAACAUGAAAAAUAAUAAAUAAAUAAACUAAUGAGCAACGACAAAAGAAAAAAGUAAUAAAUCUGACGAAAGACGAAGAAUUUCAAAACGAAUAUAGGCUUGGAAAUUGUUUCAGUUGAAUUUAAUUAUUAGAAAUGAUACUAAAAAAAAUGAAUUCUCAUUUUCUAUGUCAAACUUUUUUCUUUUGUGACAAGACAAACUUUUAGAAGAAGAAAAUGUACACUUUUAGUAUUUUGGCAAAACUAAUUUGGAUUACAUCAGUCUUUUGUAAAGUUUCUAACGUAAUCAAUUUUUUUUCUUUUUUAUGAUUUUUUAAACUAUAACAAUGCCUCCUUUCAAAAAUGAAAAAAAUAAACAUACUACGACAAUAAAUCUCUUAAAUAUAAUUCCGGUGAGCAUAGCUCAGUUGGAAAAGAUAUGCAUUAUUAUAUGCAGGGGUCCGGAUUUGAACCCGGACACCCCACUUAUUCGCUUUGAAAAAAGGGGAAUUCUAACCACUAGUCUACUUGACCAAAAAAAAUCUCUUAAAUAUAUUAAAUUUUUUUUUUUUUUAUAGUAUUAAAUAUAUUGAAGUAUUAUAGAGUCCACAACGCGUACCACCGUCCAGUGGUCGGUUGUUGACCACUGUUGGCCAACUCUUAUCACCUAUCUGACCAUUAUUUUGACCACCUUCUACCACCACUCAUGUUACCCCCAGUAAACCCUAACCACCACCCACCAUUGACGACCACCACUUUAUCCACCUCUGAUUAGGAGUGUUUGGAGGUUGGGUUGGGCUAAUUUGACCAAACUCAUUACUGAAUCUGAUCAAUUGUCUUUGGUUUGAGUUGAGUGUCCAAUUCAUAUUUUUAACGUUAAAACUGAACCAAACAAUUUGUUAUUGUUAGGAAAUUAGGGGGUUCUUGUUUGUAUUACGAAUGGUUUUUGAAUCUCUUCUUUGUAGAUUAAAUACAUUUUGUACUUCUUCAUAUUGUAAUAGAGUUUGAUGUUAAUUUUUUUUUAAUGAGUUUACCAUAAGCAUAAUUUUCACACACACACUUAGACAUUCUCAUGUACAUAAUUUUAUUUUUAUAUGAGUAAUAAUAUUUUAUCAUUUAGAGAAGUAAUUAAGACAUGUUCAUCAACAAAAUAAAAAACAUGUCUACGCAAGCAUAUGUAAAAAAGUUAGGAAUUUAAGAUAUUUGUCGGGAUUGUGUUGUAUAUACGGAUUUCAACUACUAAUUACUAACUAGCUUAGAGUAGUUAAGCAUAGAUAUCAAUCCAUAAUAAAUAAUAGAAUGAUUAUAAUUAUAUAAGAAUGGCAAUGAUGAGAAGAAUAUGGUUUUGUUGAAUUAUAUCCAUGUGCAAGAGAAGAUCGAGUUUAGAUCUGUAGUUAAUAUGGUGAACGUGAUUGAAGGGAUCAUAUGACGACUGUGCGGCUAUUUCAACCUCUAAUGUUGAGACAGGUAUCAAACAAUGGUCUCACCAUAUAUGGUACCACAUUUUUAUUAUAAUUGAGUUUUUGAGUCCUAGUUGUGGACUUAUUCUUACUAGCUAGAGUCUAGAGUCUAGAGUCUAGACCCUUUUCUACCUAGAUAAAAUUAACAUAUGUAUCCAACAUGAUUGGCUGGAAUGUAUCCAAAUUGAUCUAUUUCUUCAACAAAAAUAAUAUUCCUCACAAGCUUCAUGCAUGACUCAUACCAUAAAUUAUCAUUAUGAGAUUAAUAUGGUGUGACACAAUUGUUAGAUAGUUGGUUUUCUUAAACAUGUGUUUAAUAUCAUUAUGAUGUGUUGUUUUGGAUCGGUCAGAAGGUCAAUCUCAUACUGACACGUGGACUAAACGUCCACCAUACUAAGGCACGAUGCAUGAAGGAACGCAUCGGUAUCAAUGCAUCGAAUCACAUUCGAGCACGCCUCCAUGUGCCAAUCACCCUACACGUGUCCUCUAAUCACUCCCUAAUCACACGUCGCAUAUCAUGGAGAUGAUUAUUCUCACACGCGCCUAUAUAAGGGUGACUUAACUUCACCCUCAAUGUAUGAUUCACUUUUCACCACACUUUCUACACACUUUUUCUUAGUUCUAUUACUAACUUGAGCGUUGGAGUAUUAAUGUGUCUGCAGACACCUUUAGUCCCUCAAAGGUCGGUCUUAAGAUUUUUGAUGUCCUAGACAAAACAAUAAAAUUGUGCCCUUUAAAAUAUUCAAAUAUUUUUCUUUUUGCAUUCUUUUUUAAAAGAUUCAUUUAUAAUCAAAGUUCUUUAAAAAUAUAUUUUCAAUAAAAUUAAUCAAACCGAAUUAAAAAGAAAUAUAUAUCUAUAUAAUAUUAACUACUAAAUAAAAAUAAUAAUUUUGGUACCCUGAGCCGCCGCCCACCCUGAAGGCCACCUCUGGUUAGUUCAUUUUGAUUAUAUGCGUGUGUAAAGAAAAAAUGGCAUUAUCUAAAGCACAAAGAAUAAGAAGUUGCAAAGCUAGCUUGGAUUUGUCCUUUACUUAAUAUACUAAUUGCUUUGAAAAGCUAUAACUAAUAAAGUCAUUAAAAAUUGAUUUCAAGAAUUGUAUUAGGGUUAUUUGAUGUUAAUUAAUUGUGUGUUAGGUGGAACAAAAACCAUAGAUGAUAUAUUAUAGUAUAAUGUUGCUAAUGAAGCUCAAUGUCAAGAAAGUACUCUCUUAAUUCCUAUACAUAUAGGAUUCCAACUGAGACACACCAAGUAAUGGAAGUAGCCAUGAAAUUAAUGAGAGGAAGAUUAUGAAAAUGACUAAUUGGUUUAUUGUCUACAAGGAAGUUUACAAGGACGGUGCUUGAACAAUUGAUUAAGAUCUUCUCCGACAUGAAAUUUUAAAAAACAAAAAAUAUGAAAGUAGAAUCUAGUAAUUACGUGAGAUAGGGGAUGUGUUGAUGAACUUAAUUGUUAACAGCUGUGACAAAUCAAAGUUAAGAAGUGUAGAUCCAACAUAAUUUAAUUUGUCAUGUUUUUUUGAAUGAUGUAUACAUUUAAGAGAGGAGUCAAAUUACACUAGGGUUACAAAUAGGUGUUUUUUUUACAAGAUUACAAAUAGGUGUUAUAUUACACCUAUCAAACUAUUUUGAACAUUUCCUUACGAACAAUAUUUUUUUUUAGGGGUUUUUUUUUUUUUUGUCUAGUAGUUUAGUGACUACAGCUCACACAUUUAAAUGUGGAGAAGUGGGGUGUUCGGGGUUUGAACCCCGACCUCUGCAUAAAUUUAUGCAAUGUCCCUGCCAAUUAAGCUAAGCUCGCGGGGACUUUUUUUUAGGGUUUUAACAGUAUCUUUUACAUCUACUCUAUUAUCCACUCUUUUUAACUAUAACGUAUUGUAUGUUAGUUAUAGUUAAAUAUAAAACAUUUCUUUUAAGAAAUAUAUAUAAAGCGUUUAUUAAAUAAUAAAAUAAAGCAUGAUAGUUUUUUUUCAAAGGAGAAAAUGUGGCAGUUGUUUUAUUAAAAAAAAAAACUAUGAACUUGGCCGUUAUUUUUAAGCCAUAAACAUGUUGUUUUAUUAAAAAAAUAAUUAAAUUAAAUUAAUAGGGUUAAAAUUGGAAGAAAAUAUAAAAAAACUACCAGUUAUAAGCUCAAAAGCUACUUGAAAUAGCUUUUCAAAAACAUUAUAAGCUAGUGGAAAAAACUUUUUACCAAACACAUCUUAUUAUAUCAAAACAAGCUUAUAAGCUAGUCCAACAAGUUAUAAGCUAACUUACUCGUGUUAUCAAACACAACCAUGAUGGGUUGAAUUUGAUGUGAAAUUUUAAUUUUUACAAGCCCUAUAGUGUAAAUUAAUUAAGAUUGUAUACCUAAAUAUAAUUAAAUAAAAAUUAAAAGUUAUCUUAUUAAAAUUGAUUUUUUUUUAUAGAAAAAUUGACUCAUUUAUUUGACAUUUAAUGUUACAUUUGUAUACAUUUUAAUUGGUUGAUAUCUUGAAGGGGUAAAUACCUUCCAAACAAGAGAGGGUAGUGUAGAAAAAACUUUGAUAUAAAGGUUUUAGACAAAUCUAAAAUCAUUUGAUAUAUUAUUGAAAUUUAUCAAAGUUAACAAUGUGAUAAAAGCAUAAAAGAAGUUUAUUUUAGUGGGUUUAAAUAACACUAAACUUCUACCCCGCGGGUCAUUAUAUUUUCUUACAAUCAAUAAUGAAAUCGUUAUUGACAUAUGAAUCUAAAGGUAAUAAAGCAUAAAAUUGACAUCUAAUUUUUAUUCAACUUUUAUUGAAUUCAUUAGUCUAUUGUUGAUGCUAAUAAGCACAAAUAGGUCACUUUGAGCUGCUAACCACAUAAAUGAAGUUUGAUAGUUGUUGACUUAAAAAAUGCAUUCUUAUCGGCAUAGGCACUUAUAGCUAAUCUUGACGAAUUUUUUUAUCCAAUGAACCUUAUCACAUUAAACAUACAAAACAGACACAAUACUAUAUGGCAUUAAAUGUCUUCUAUGAGGUUUGCAAGCACACAAUUAACUGAAUAAAUGUUGAAUUAAUGGUUAUUCUCUUUGACAAUGAACAUGCCAGGUUUAGGAUGCAAUCUUAGCAUAAUAGGCACAGAUAGGUUUUGCUCAUUAAUGAAGUAGUUGAUAGUUAAGUCUUGGUUAAUGAGUUCUUGAAUAGCUACAUACAUCGUUUAUAGCAAACAUGGUUCUUUUAUUCUUUGAGUGGCUCAAGACCAAUGAAAAUCGUGUGAGUAGACCAGAGUUUGAAUGGUUUAAGACUAAUGCAGGAAAGCAACAAAUUGAAGGGAAAUAACUUGAUGUUCAGGGAUAAAUUUGUCAUUUUGAGUGUUAGGGCUGCAAUUAGGGUUAGGGAUUUGGAGUAAUCAAACCACCUUUGAUUUAUAUUAAGUAAGAUAUCAAAUAGUUUUAGUUUUGUGUAAAACUUUACAUAAAUAAUUCAUAUGAGAUAAAUUUUCAAUCCAACUGUGAAUUUUAUAAAAUUUAUAUUAGUUAAAACGUUAUUGAACGAUUUAAAUUUUUUCAAAAGUUAUACAAUGAUAUAAUUUGAAUCCUCGCCAAACAUUGUCUUUUGACAGAUUGAAAGCAAGAACUUGGAUUUAAAAAUUUGCAUAUUUGUUUUGGACUCUUUUUAAGCGUAUUAUGGACACUCUCUCUUCCUGACAAUAUCUUUUACGUGCACUCUUUUUAUUGGGUUAAAUUUAUACGGGAAUCACACUUUAGAAAUAUGUCUUAUAUAAGAGUUGUGUUAUAUAUACAAUCAAAAUUGAACAACUAAUGCAACACCUUUUGAUAAUGUGAGAAGCACGCAAAUCAAAAUCAUUAAAAAUAUAUUAAAAAAUUGCAAAAGAGUUGUUAGUUGUAUCAAAAUGAUGUUCAUAUAUCAUUACUCCUCAUAUAAAGUGAUGAUUUUCUCGUAAAUUGCAUUAAAUAGGAGAGUAAAUGUUAAAAAAAAAAAGUUCAUAGCAUUUUCGUUUACGUAUACAUUUAGUCAAAAGAAUAUAAAGUUUUUUUUUUACAGAAAAAGAAUGUAAUGUUGGUGGUUGAAUCUCCAUAUGAUCCUCCUUAAUUAAAUACUACUCCCUCCAUUUCAAAAUAAGUAUCAUUUUAGCAACAAAAAAAAAAAAAAAAAAAUUGUUUUAAAAUGAAUAUCAUUUUACAUUUCCAAUACAACUUUAAUUUUUUUCUUCCAACUUUAUCCUCAAUAAAUACUUCAACUUUUCUCUCUCACACAAUUUUCAAUGCAACUUUAAGUUUGUCUUGUUCUUGUAAAGUAAAGUUAUUUUAGUAAAAUUGUUAUGACAUCUGACUACUUUAUUUCAUUCAUAUAUGUGCAAUUGGCUAAAACGACACUUAUUUUAAAAUGGAAUGAGUAGUAUAAAAGCAUCUUUGAAAUGAAACACUUCAUUUCUGUACUUAAGUGUACUUAACCAUCUAAGCAUGGGUUGACCUUGAUUAUGUGUCCCGUUGAAUACUGUCUUUAGCUGAAUUAUUAGUGCUAAUCAUCCUAAUUUGUUUUCCUUAGUCUAAUCCAAACGUGUGAAUAAAGGUUAUGGAGCGUGGCUCUAAUUAUUGGCAAAGGAUUAUAUAUAUUUUUUUAUAAUAAUAGGAAUACUUUUUUUAUUUUAUAAUAAAAAAAAAACAUUGGCAAAGAUUUUACAAUAUGAUUUAAUUGUAUCUUAAUUAGAGGGCAUAUGAAUAUUCUCAAAAGAUAUAUAACCAAUAUGGUGAAGUAUUUGCCCUAGUCAUGCUAAGAUUAUGUUUAAGAGAGAUAAAUAUAGAAUAUUUAGUAGGUCGGAUUAUAGUAGGCAUGUUAAUAUUUCAAGAUUCUAUUUCCUACCCUUUUCAUUUCCUUCCAUUUUUAUUUACUUAAUUUGCAGUGAUCUACGUAUAUAUAUAGUAUACUUUGAAAGUGUUGAGUUGCAUUUUGUAUAUUCAUAUGAUUAUAAUUAAUUUGCAUGCAUCACUAUACCGUGUUAGUACACACGUUUUCAAGGAAGAAUAUAAAUCUGAAUACACUUAGAGAAAGUCCAACAAGGCUCCUUUAAUUUACUCAAACAUGACAGCCAAUUGUCUCUUGACUAUUAUGCAUGCUACAAAUUAAUUUCCUUUAGGUUUAUUAUACAACAAUGCUUAGCUAUAUACUCUCAUACACAAAGGGACAAAUAUUGUUGUUAAUAUCUUGAUUUCUUUGCCAAGAUUUGUUGUAAAGGGAAAAAAUGUGGCCUAUUCGUGUCCACAUGUUAAUUUACAUUGAUGCUAGUAUGAGAUAAAGGGUCGGCCAUUAUAUUCAUACAACCAUCUAAUAAUGAAUGAGAAAAAUGAUCUUCUAAUCAUAGGAUAGGAUGAAUCUAAUGAUAGCCCUCUAACAAAAUAGGAAAAUUAAUUAUCGUAUAAUCUUAUAAAUACAUAUAUGUCAAUAGUAUUAAUUAUAUUAACUAUACUCAUACAUCCCCUAAAAAAAAUUAACUAUACAUACAUGAUUUUUUGUUGUUGAAAGAAUUAUUCAUACAUGUUAAAACAAAUAAAAGUUUAAUUUAAUUUUCAAAUGUCCAAUAACUAGGUCGAACUUUAGAACGAUGAAUCGAGCAACUAAGCUACAAACUUUUAUGUGAUUAUUUACUUGCCACUUCCUUAGGUUUGUCUUUUAUACGAAGAGUGUUAAAGUUAAUAUAUGUAGCUUUAAUUUAACACGGUCAACUUAAGGGUAAGACCACCAAAACUCUUGCUUUAGGUCUCCAACAAAAAAAUAUUUUUUAUUAGAUUUUACAAGCAAAAUUGUCUCAUAUAAUAAAAAAAGGCUCCAUAUAUUCAACCUUGCUUUAUGCCCCACUUAUUUUUAAAAAUUAUUAAGACGAUCCUGACACAAUGUCAUCGUCACUAUAAUGGAAAAACAAACACGCACUAAAAUAGUCCAUGACCUUUUUUUCUUCAAUUUGUUUUUGUUGAUUAGGGUUGACCCAAUGUGUUUUUAAUUUAAACAAAAUUUGAGCUAAGAUUUUUUAAAACUAAUUAAUAAUAUGUAAUAUUUUAUUUAAAAAAUAUUUAAUUCAUUUAACCUCUGUGUAAAUAUUUUAUACUAUCAGUAAAUUCUAUAACUAAAAAAAAUAGACUUUAAUCAUAACUUCUCAAAAAACAAUUAAAAAACUCAUGAUUGAUUGGUUUUUUAAGAAGUCAAAAUAAUACAUCAAAAUUGAUAUUGAGGAUAAUCGAAUUUAGAACUUUGAGAUGAAUAGUCUUAAAGUCUCAAGUUAACACCACUACUAGAACAACCCCAAUGAAUACUAUGUUUACUUUUUAAGAAGUUCACAUGAUUGAUUGUUAUUAGUUGAUAUUGUAAAAAUAUAUUCAACGAUAUUUUAUCAAAAUUAAACUCUAUUGAAAAAAUAGUACUAUGUUUACUUUUUUUCGUUUAUUACAAUUUGUAUAUGUGUAUUAUUAUGGUUGAUAUGUUUAUUCUCUUUUAAAAAAAAACAAAAAAAAAAUACUUUUUUUUUAUUCAUGCACAUAUAACUACAUGUAUAUUUUCUAAUUACAUGUACUUUUUAAUUAUUCUUGUAAAAAAAAUGUACUUUUUAAUUAUUAUUUUUGUUAAUCUCAAAAAACAAAUUUCGAUGACCUAAAAGAAAAAAUCCAAGACCUAAAGCACUACCUGGUUUUUGGAUGCUUCCUAUGUGCUGGUCUAUGUUAACUUCUAAUGUACUAUACAUCUGCUCCAAAAAUUGCCUUUUUGUGUGAGAAUUAAUUUUAUAUAUUCCAUUCAUGCAAUGAUCAUAUGCAAGUGUCCCACUUCUUUAGUCCUCUCUCACAUCAAUUAAGUGUAAUCUAUAUAUAAAAAUUGUGAAACUUUUUAUUUUUCUGAAGAAAAAAAAUUGUGAAACAUUAUUUAGCCGUACUAUUGAUUAUGUCACCCAAUGCCCAUUUGUAUUUUUCAAAAUAAAAAUUAGGGUUCUUGCAUUCCCUAUGUUAUGUGACCAUGGAAGCUCCACAAAGGCUAUGAUUUAUAUGAUGGACAUAACCAAUUAAUUGCUUUAAUUUAUCCACAAUAAUAUCAUACACACGUGUGACAAAAUAUAUUGCCAAGAAUUCCAAGUAUUUUUUUCAUAAUAUUCAUAACCUUUUAAUUUGUUUAUUAUUAUUUCCAUCCAAUUGGUAUGUUUUCAUGAUAUGUACUAGUAUUAAUUCUUCUUCCUCCUUCUAAAAUAGUUUCAAGUCCAGCUAUAUGCCAACCAAGCAAUAAUAUCAAUCACAAACUCAGCUAUAAUCGUUGUUGCAUAGUCAUAGUCAUGCUUCAUUACAUUGGAACUCAUGAAAUUCAUUACUUUUAUAACCUUAUGGUUAUAGAAGUAUGGUGUGUAUUAUGUAACUAUAUAGUUGUAGAUAAUGUUUCUUGUAUUAUUUGAAAAAUUGUAAGUCCACCUGCACUUAAUGAGAUAUAUAUGAAUUGCAACAAAUAAGUCAAAUGAUUGAAUACUGAUGAGCAUGCAACUAGCUUAAGCUUCUACACAUUCAUAAUUUAUUUAUGAAAAAUGCUAACCAAUACCGUCAGAAACCGGUCAAGGAAGGAAAUAUAAUAGUAUUGUAUUGAAGUUUGUGUAAUCAAUUCCUCAAACGUGUAAAAAAUAUUGUUUCAACUUAAAACGUGUUUUUCUACUACCUUAAUUAGUGUUUCAGAGAUACUGGUUAGUAGGACCCUUUAUUUAUUUAUUUCCUUGCUAUGUUCCAAUUUGUCCUUUUAGAGCAAGUUGCUCAUAAUGUCAGGUCAAUAUUCUUGUUUUACUGAUCUGAGUUCCGAUAUUUUGGGUUGAUUGAAGUAUCUUUAAAGCAACUUGGUGAAUUUUCCAUAUUAAUUACAAUAAGUAAUUCUCAUGUGGUAUAAUGUUUGCAUAAUUUUAUACAUAUAUAGCUGUUACAAGCAGCUAGCUUACUUGGUGAACUGAGUAUGCAGAAUGAUUUCUAACCAAAUGGAUUUGAUAUAUAUUGUUGAGACGCCAUCUCAAUAACGUAGUAUAAUGGUUGUAUAAAUUUUGCUAAAUUACAUUUUCCGUGCUUUGAGUUAUUUUUAGAUUUCUCAUUUUGGUCCUUAACUAUUUUUCUCGUUUAAUUUUGCUGCAUUAAGUUAUUAAUGUUAGACACUGUAUGGCCAGAAAUGGCACCAUAAAUUUACUGUUUUUUGAGAUAGUAAAUGGUUGGGGUUUGUGGAUUUGCUACCGUGUUAGUGGUCGAGUCCUAUCCCGGCACUCAAAGUUCUGGUCCAAAGCUUGUCAACCUACGCAACACUUCUUUUUUUGCAAUUUUGUUUUGUUCUCGUACGUGGGUUCCUGGAUUGUACUUUGUGAUGUGUAGCGAUUUGUUUUGGAUUGAGUUCUGCUUUUUGUAUUACUCUGUUGGACUGUUUUGUUUAACUCCUUGGGGUUGUUUUCCACUGCUUUUACCAGGUUCGGUUUUAUGUCCCCUCGAAUGUUUUGUAUUUUUCUCUUUUAUUUUAAUCUACUUAGGGUGUUGCGGAUUCUUUUGCACCCCAUUUGCAAAAAAAAAAAAAUGUUAGACACCGUUGUCGUUCAUUUUAGUCUCUUAUGUUAUAAAUAUUAUAUAUUUUAAUCUCUUAAAUUAUUAACUAGAUACCGAAAGUGAAGACUAAAGUGUCUAAUGUUUAUUAUUUAAGGGAUUGUCCUGGCUUAGGAUUGUAGCUUAAAAGACUAAAAUAUGAAACACAAAAAACUUAAAGAUUAAGAUGGAACGUAAAAAUACUUAACGGAUGUUAACGUUUGUAAAUUAAGGAAACAAAAUGGAACCAUUUUUUAUAAAGACCAAAGUUAAACUUAAAAAUGAGUUAAAGGAGCAAAAGUAUAAUUUAGCAUAUAAGUUUAAUACAUAUUUUUGUCCCAUUAAUCAACUAAUAUUUUUAUGUAAAAAAAAAUCAUAUAUAUUAUUCUUUAAUGUUUAUAAUAGACAUUCAUAAAUGGAAUGAAUUCAUCAAAGACUUUUGCUUCAUAGUCAUGAAAGUUGUUUCAUAGGGCCUUCAAGUUGUUCAAAAACCCUUCAAAUUUAUCGUAUUAUAACUUUUGAUCGCAUAAAUUUAUCGGGACGUACAACCCGAUCGUUAUUUUUCGGAUCGAAUAGUAAAUCAACUUAUUUUCAGAGGUUGAACAACUUGAGGGGUUUAUAAAGCAAUCACCCAUUAUUAGAUCAAGGGAAAUGUUAUUUGGGCUGAGAUGUGGCCCCUUUGUAUUGGUAUUAAAGGGUACCAUCUUUUCCCACCUCUUUAAUUUCUCCUAUAUGCUAUAUAGUUUGGAUUAUACAAUCUGAAUAAAAAAAAAAUAAAAAACAUAGAACUAUCUAAAAUAUGUUGAACAUUUCAGAUUUUAGAAUCCAAACUGCAUGAGAAAGUGGAAAAAUUAAUAGCCAUAUUAAAAUGGUUCAAACUCUAUAGUUCAAAUCCAAUUUACAUUAUAUAGCUCAAAAAUUAUAGUCGAUAGGAUUCAUUCUAGUUGAUAGGGUAAUGUUUUUCUUCUUCCCUCUGCAUCAAUUGUACACAUUUAUCAUGAAGUCAGCUGUUGUCCUGGUUACAUGGCCACUCAUAGUCACUUUGCUGGUGUGUUUUUAUCGUGUAUUUUGGGUAUGUCGGUCAUGAAGUAACGAAGAGUUAGUUUUUUUACCAAAUACCAGAGAAACCGGUUUAUGGUAUAUCAUUGGCUCUAUUUUAUAUAACGGUUUUAAUGAAUGCUCUCGGAACACUUUUCAAGGAUUUUAAAAGAGAAAAUCAUUUUAUAAAAAAGUUAAAUAUUAUGAUUUCCACUUCAUUGACUACACAUAUCUUCAUAAUAUUUAUAUCUAUUAGUGUACGCCCCUUAAAAAAAAAUCUAUUAGAGUACACAUCACUAAGUAAAAAGAUUAUGUUUAGCUGAAGGAGGAUUCUGAGUCCCACUACUAAAUAAACUAAUGUUUAAUUUUUGAUUGAGAAAUGUUUUCAUAGCUAGAUAUCUUCUUUUUUUAUGUACAAGGCUAAAGCAAAACAGAAAAAAAAAAAAAAAAAAAAAAAAAGAGCUACUCUCUCAAAAAGAAAUUUGAUUUUUUUUUCACAACUAGAUAUUAUUAAAAAAAUAUAUAAGUAACUUUAUGGCUAAAAUAUGGUUUUAGUCCCUGCAAAUAUGCCUCGUUUUGGUUUUAGUCCCUGUAAAAAAAAACUUUUGUUUUUGGUCCCUGCAAAAUUUUUUGUUUUUGAAAAUAGUCCCUGAUCCCACUUUUGUGAUGAUUUGCAUACGUGGCACAUUAUAACUGAACCAAUUUUGUAGUUUUUGAUCCCUGUAAAAUAUUUUAUUUUUAAAAAAGGUCCUUGCAAAAUUUUUUGUUUUUGAAAAUAGUCCCUCCAGGGACUAUUUUCAAAAACAAAAAAUUUUACAGGACCAAAAACAAAAGUUUUUUUUUACAGGGACUAAAACCAAAACGAGGUAUAUUUGCAGGGACUAAAACCAUAUUUUAGCCUAACUUUAUUAAUGUUGGUUGAACCUUGAAACAUUACCUUGAUUACGAGUGAGUUUUGAAGUUCAACUCACUUAAUCUUUAGCACACAUAUUUUUUAUUUUGUUAAUCCUUUAAUUCCUACAAUAAGUGGGCUAUAUUAUUCCAUAUUUUGACCGGAAGAUAAGUUAAAUUUGCUUAAAAAUUAUUUCAACCGAAAAUCAAAUUUGGAUUCUUCGGAACAAAUUGUUCUUGAGAAGAUUAUUAAUCACUUGAGUCAAAUUAUUGAUUUUAUUUAAAAUGAAUAAACCAUCAAAUUGUUCUAUGUCUUUAUAAGUCACUAUCAAAUUAGUCCACAUUUUAUUCAUAUUUCAAAAUAGUAUUUGUUUUUGUCAAAAGUUUCUCAAUUAUGUUCAUCAUUAUCCAUGCAACAAAAAUAGAGAUAUAAAUCUAAUUGAUAAACUUUUGACAAAGAUUGAGAUUGUUUUAAAAUAUUAACAGAGUUGGAAAUUAAUUUGAGAUUAACUUAUCAAGUCCGAGAUCGAUUUUAUCGUUUUAAAAUAAAAUAAUCUUAAAAAUUUAAAAAGUUAAAAAAGUUUUAACAAGUUGAUAAUGUGGAAGCAAACGUUGAUAAAACCUAAAAGCUAAAACCCUAAUUUCACAAUUUGCAGUCUCUACUAGUUCAUGGGUAGCCGAAAAAACAACAAUCAAACAAACAACACAAACAUGGACAACAACAACAACAACAACAACAACCACCUUCGAUUUGAGGAUGCUGAUGAAGUAAUUGAAGAUGUUGCUGAAACAUCUAACCUUGACCAAUCAAUGGGUGGUUGUGACCUUGAUGAUUCCAAUGACAAAACUAGCGCUGAUUACUACUUUGAUUCUUACUCUCACUUUGGUAAUUUUCAUAAAGUUUCAAUUUUUUCAUUUUUUUUUUAUCUGGGUAUGUUUAAUUAGUUUUAUUUGUUAUUAAUUAAUAAACUUGAUGACUAAUUUUGUGUCACUGUUUUUGUUUUUGUAGGGAUUCAUGAAGUAAGUGUCUGCUCAACUCAGAUGCAGCUUUGUUUUGUGUUUCAAGUUCAAUUUUUGUUUAUGUCCUAUCAAAAUUAUGUUUAUGUUUAUGUUUUUGUUUGUGUCUUUGAUUUGCAGCUUGUAUAAACAUUUUUAGGAUUUAAAAAUAAGAACUAAUGUCAAAGAGUUGGUUAGUUUGACACAAAAUGGUAUAAUUAAAUUCAACAAUAAUUUGGUUGGUUAAUUAUGUUUGGUUGAUGAUUAAUGAGUUGUAAUUUUCUAAUGUUUUGCAUUAUAUUUCGAAAACAAAGGGUUAUUUGUAUAUUUAUUGUUUUUUAGCUGUUUAGAAUUGGUUUUACUAUAGCCCUGUUUGGAUAAACAACUUAUAGCAUAAGUUCUUACCAUGUAAGAGCUUAUGUGUAAUCUAUUUUUAUAUUAAAAGUUAAAAUAUACACUAACUGUUUUCGUAUAAGCUGUUUUCAUAAGCUAUCAUGGAGUGCGCUUAUGGAAAUAAGCUGAAAACAGUUUAUGAGAAUGUCAUCAACUGUUUUCACAAGUGCAACUGUUAUAGUCUGAAUACUCAUAAGUCCGAUACCAUUGAUGUCCAAUAGCUUUGAUAUAGUCAUGGCUGGAUCUACUACUACCUAGUAGAUUAGUUCGAAUAAGCCAAUGCAAACAGGACAAUAUUGUUAAUUUUUAUGUAUGUUGUGUGUGUACAUUGAAAACAUUGGCUGCACUUGUGUAUUGUAUCCUGCUGUUUGUUUCCUGUGAUGUUUUGAAAGAGCUGUGUUAAUUUGACACAAUGGUAAAACAAAUUCGACAACAAUUUGGUUGGUUAAUUGUACAAUUCAAAAUCAUGGUUAAUUAUGUUCUGUUGAUGAUUAACGAGUUUACACUUUGUUAUAUUCAUUGAUCAUCUACUGAAACUAAUUAACCUUGUAUUUAAAUGGUGUCAACCAUCCAAAUUGCUGUCAGCUUUAGUCGUCAAAUUUGUAUGUCAAAAUAUCAUUUAUGUCUUCGAGCUGUGUUAUUGACACAAAAUGGUGCGAAAAUUUGGUUGGUUAAUACAGUUCAAAAUCAUUGUCAAUUAUGUUCAAUUGAUGAUUAAUGAGUUGCGACAUGUUGUUAGAUUCAUUAAUCAUCUACUGAACUUAAUUAACCUCAUAUUUAAACCGCGUUAACCACCCAAAUUGCUGUUAAUUUUCGUUGUCGAAUUUGUAUGUCAAAAUAUCAUUUAUGUUUUCAAAAGUUUUGCAUUACAUUAUAUUAUGUUGUAAAUACAUGGAAAACAUUGGCUACAUUUGUGUAUUGUGUACUGCUUUUUAUUUCCCGUGAUGCUGUUGGAUGUAUUCUUUUCAUGCUUAAUCUGGAUGGGUGUGUUCUAAGACCAGGAUUAACCUGUUUUCACAUUGCAGGAAAUGUUGAAGGACACCGUAAGAACCAAGACAUAUCAAAACGUUAUUUAUCAGAAUAGGUUUUUAUUCAAGAAUAAAGUAGUUCUUGAUGUCGGUGCUGGGACUGGAAUUUUAUCACUAUUCUGUGCCAAAGCAGGGGCAGCACAUGUCUAUGCAGUGAGUUUCCGACUUUGCUUUUAUUAUUUUUGUGCUCUCAGUCGUCAUAAUGAUAUCUGAAAUUAAAAAAUCGUUUUCAAUUCAACCAUUUUAAAAUUUGCACAUGCAGGUCGAGUGCUCUCAUAUGGCUGACAGGGCAAAGGAAAUAGUUGAAACUAAUGGUUAUUCUAAAGGUAGUAUCAUUGAUGUGUUUGUAUUAUUGUAUAUUUAAUUUUAAUUUUCAGUAUAUUACCUUUUCGUGGAGGGAUUGAUCGUGAAGGGCACUAACUAUAAUUACCAUGAUGUUUUUUUCUACAGUUAUAACAGUUUUGAAAGGGAAGAUUGAAGAACUUGAACUUCCUGUUCCCAAAGUUGAUAUAAUCAUUUCCGAAUGGAUGGGAUAUUUCUUGUUGUUUGAGAACAUGUUAAAUUCUGUGCUCUUUGCACGCGACAAAUGGCUUGUGAGUUACAUUUUCCUUACUCGUGUUGAUAAGUAUUUGAUUAUAUAUCGCAUGUACCAGAAUCUGGUGGUCAUCACUUUGACACAUUCUUUUUUUCUUCUUUUUGUGUAGGUGGAUGAUGGAGUUAUUCUCCCGGAUAUUGCAUCACUCUAUCUUACCGCCAUUGAAGAUAAAGAUUACAAAGAAGAUAAAAUUGAGUGUGAGCUUUUGACGUCUUGCUAAAUAUGAUUAUGAGUCUUUUAUACAUGAAAAGAUGUCCAAACCAAUACUUAUUUGCCUGUCAAACUGACAUGCAAAUUUCUUGUCUCAUUCCAAAUACGGAAUUGAGAAAUUGUGAAUGACUGCUGUUGUUGAAAACCUUGAAAUUUCUAGUUUUAUUUAAACACAAAUGAUAUUUGUGUCAUCAGGUGUAUUUAAUUUUCUUGUUAAUUAUAUUUCCAUUUUCCAUAUCAGUUUGGAACAAUGUAUAUGGAUUUGACAUGAGCUGCAUCAAGAAGCAAGCCUUGAUGGAGCCUCUUGUUGACACAGUUGACCAGAAUCAGAUUGCAACGAACUGUCAGCUACUCAAGGUCGGUAAUAUCAGUUCUUAUGAUGCUUUUAUGUUUAAUGUACCUUGCAUUGUAUGUUUCAUACAAUAAUGUCUACAGCGAUGAAUUUUUCUUUUCAUUUGAGGCAAUAGUUUCUUGUUGGAAUCACAAGAUUUGUAUUUGUGCUGACUUGUUCAUCUUUGUUCAGUCCAUGGACAUCUCAAAAAUGUCUUCAGGAGACUGUUCAUUCACAGCACCUUUUAAGCUCGUUGCUGCUCGUGACGAUUUUAUUCAUGCUUUUGUGGCAUAUUUUGAUGUAUCAUUUACGAAGUGUCAUAAAUUGAUGGGCUUCUCAACAGGUUAGUUCCUUUCUACUUCAGUUCUUUAUUGCUUUGUCCACUUAAUAUUUUACGAUAUUAAUCAAAAACCUAAAUGAGGCGUAAAAUAUUGAUAAAGGUGUAAAUGAUUAGAUACUUAAAAGGAGGGAAGGGGGAAUACAAUAGGAAGGAUGAACAUUGAGGGUCUGUUAAUUGAUUCUUCUUGAUAAUUUGCAUGUAGAAGUACGAUCAUACUCUUCAAAAAAAAAAAAAAAAAUUGGGGAGGGGGGAUUAUUAUUAAUUAGUGUGGCACUAAUUACAAUUUUACAAUUGUUUCAAAUGGGUUUUGAAUUAUGUCACUUGAGGUUAAUUAGCUUUUAACUGAACUGAAAAGAAUUGUUAUUGCUUCUGAAACUCUGUUUGCAUGUAUUUGCUCUGAGAAUCAGUUGCUAAAAACUUGUACGCAAGAGUUCUUUCAACAGCCUUCCCAGUUGUGGUUCCGUCUUUGUUAUAGAUUAGUUGGGACAUUCAAUAAUAUCAAUUUAGUGGUGAAUGUGGAUUCAUUUUUGUGCACAUAUGUAUUUGCAGGGCCAAGAUCGCGGAGUACACAUUGGAAACAAACAGUCCUAUAUCUGGAAGAUGUCUUGACUAUUUGUGAGGGGGAGACAAUUGUAGGGAGCAUGACUGUGGCCCCAAAUAAAAAGAAUCCUCGGGAUGUUGAUAUAAUGCUCAAGUAUUCAUUGAAUGGCAGGCGAUGCAAUGCUUCGAGGGUUCAGUAUUAUAAGAUGCGUUGAAUCUUGCUUUCCAUAUGCUCUCCAAUUUUGUGAAAUUUUGGAAACAAUUUGAUGCUGCCGAUUAAGGACUGUAACUUUAUUGUUUUUUCAUUUGAAUUUUCUUGUAUUUGUGCCCAAUUCUGUUCUGGUUCUUCUGGAUGUAACGAUGAAAUUUCAAAUUCUAUUUAUUGUUUACAAUUUAUUUCUGAGCCAGAUAAUGAUUUCAACAAAUAUUGCCUCAAGUCUCUGCCAGUUUGCCAGUGUCAUUGUUUUUAUUUACAGAUACUAUCACUUGAUGGCUAUGAUCCUGAGACCAUGUGGACUACUUGAACUUGUAUGUCCUGUAAUAUGAGAUAAUUUUAACAAACAUGGAUUUGGUGGUUUCAUUGAUGUGCAUAUGAUCUUGACAUCUCCUUUUCAACCUCCCCUUACCUCCACCUCAAUCUUUUAACUUUCACAUUCCAUGCACAUAAUAAUUCACAUAAUUUGUAGUGGUAACUCAUUCAAUAACGACCCAAGUUUAACAAAUAUGAAUCAUAGACAAGAUGUGAGGAGAAGGAACUCAAAUUUGACAGUGGGGAGAAAAAUCAAAGAGGGGAUGGGAGGAAUAUGAAACUAGUCACAAACUCCAUGGAUGAACCACCAUCCAAAAAACAUUAAAACAAAGAGGUGCAAUGGUUGUGGAGGCAUAGAGGUUAAUGCAAAAUAUUUUAUAACAUGUAAUAUUUUAUAGAUCUUAGAAUUCUCCUAUUAAAACAAGCAGGUUUUAGCCAAAUAUUUUAUAAUCAACAUGUAAUUUUUCCUUUUCAGCUUAAUGUAAGAGAUAGCAAAAGAUUAUAUUAUGAAACUAUACUAAUUUUUCUUUUUUUGUUUACAAAAUCUUAAAUAACAUAAAAUAGGAUGAGCAUCAUGUUCAAGUAUUUAACAGAAUUAAAAACAUUUGUUAAUAGUCAUUAAUGAUUAUUGAAUUAUUCGAUCGAUGGCAAUACAUAUCAUAUCUAUUGAUUGUUUCUUUACUCUAUUAAUACAUAAGGAAAUUCAGAUGUGGUGGCAAGACUGUAAAUUGAUUGUCAAAAUUUUCAAAAAAGGAUGUCAAUAAUCUCAACAUUUAACACCCGAGGGAACAUCUUAAACAUCACUAUAGUUUAGCUGGUAUACCCUCACUCUCAUACAUAAUUGCCUCACUGAUAAAAUACAUGCAGAUAGCAAAUCCUUGAUUGGAAUAUGAAUCACUCAAAAGUGGUGAUUGUAAAGUCCUCAUUUGAUUGCUUCAGAAUAUUCCUACUUCCAAUCUCUCUUGGUCUCUUGGGUGUAGUACAUGUAACAAAACACUGGAAAUGCCUUGAAAAUAUUCCAUAAUCAGAAGAUGCAGAUUUAGUUUAUGAGGAGCUCUAAAGCUCUGACUUCGAAUUCUUCUUUGAAGAGGUUGUCUUCUUUCCCUUCCACCACCGUUGAAUAUGAUUGGAAACUUUGGUUGCAUGUUUCUUAAGUGUCGUGCUCGUGUCCACAAUUCCUUUUCUUAUCUUCUGUUUCCAAUCACCUUUUUCAUUUUCUUUUGAUUUCAAAAUUUUUCCCUAUAAGUUGCAGUUUACUCCAAACAUCAGUUAUUCUAAAACAUUUUAAGUCGAGGUAAUCUUAGAAAAACACAUUUCAAUCACAGGAUGAAAUAGAUUAUUGUACCAAUUUUGAAGGAAAGUCUGCCUCAUCUUCUUCCUCAUCCUCGUCUUCAUCGUCAUCUUCAUUUUCAGCACCAAAAUUCUUUUUCAUUAAAUCAUCUCUUGAGUACAUUUUCAUGCCGGGUGCUCCUGGCAUGCCCUGAAGCAAUAAUUGAGUGUGGUAUGAUCAUAAUGUAUUACUAGCAACAGAAUGUGUCACGUUAAAUCAUGUAGAGAUAUAAAAGGAAAGAAAAAAGCAAAAUACCUCCAUAGAUUUUAGAAGUUUUUCCAUUUCAGCCUCCUUAGAAGACUUCGCAACAAAUGGUUCACCAGGAGUCCUAUCCUGUAACACACAAACAGAACUUCUGAUGAAAACUUAAGCAAAAGGUUCAUAGGGUGAAACUGAAAUACCUAAUUCAAACAAUAAUACUAGAUGCAUGUGAAGUUAAAUACUAUCAUAACAGAAAUGAAGUUCUAGCUUCCAAAUCACAUAGUCAGAAGUAGGGAGUCCAAAGUAAGGAUAGUCUAACUGAUGUAGUAGAGAGUUUGGGUCCUAAAGUGCAUACAAGGUGAGUGUAGAGUGGGGUGUUGUUUGCCGAUAGAAUAAUCACAGUUUAGAACAUAAAAUCCAAAUAAAUCAUCAUUUUAGUCCUUAAAAUUGUAUUGGUCGGUAAAUUUAGUCCCUCAAUUUUGUGAACUAGCAAUUUAGUCUCUUAAACUGAACAAUGCCAGUCAAUACAUUCAUUUAUUCAAAUUUAACUCCACAAUUUUGUGCUUAUUUUAUUGCAACAAAAGACUAUUCAAGUCAAUCUUUAAAUUUUUCAGUGAUCAUGGAUGAUUACUAAAGAGAUAUUUUGAAAAACGAGUGACAAAAUUGAUUGGUGUUAUUUAAUUUAAAGGACUGAUUUGUUAUUUUGUAAAUUUAAGGAACUAAAUUACUUGACUCUUACAAUAUCAAGGACCGAAAUGCUGAUUUACUCCAUAAAAUCCAAACACAUGGACAUAAAAUCCAGUUCAUAAGAAAUCAAAAGGAAGAGUGGAGAAACAGGGUUCCUUUGCACAGGAGUUAAGAACUCAUUGACGUGCAAAAGUAUUUCUCGGAUUGCAUUAGUGUCUUGUGGCAUUUUUUUUUGAGAGGGUCUGUUGUGGCAUUGAAAAAAAUAAGGUAGGAAACACUUGAUAUAAACUUCACCUAUAUUCGAAUGAAAUAAAAUAAUAUUGAUUUAAAAUACCCAAGAUAAAGCAAUAUCAGUGCCAACACACAUACUCAACUUUCUUUGUUUUUUGUAUUUUGUGAUUUUGUUUUCGUUUUCUUGUUUGACAAUGAACCCUAUAAACUCAAGUUGAAUGCUACAUAAAGUGCAUAAACCAUACAAUUCUGAUUUACUACAUAAUAGAGAAUUAAAAAUAUCUAUCACAAAUUCGCAAUCAAGCUUCAAAUAAUCAUAAAAAAUAUUACCGGGAGCAUCAAUUUCAGUUAAUAAUUACCUUAGGGACAGGGGGUGGCUUGGUAUUGCAUGCUUUACUAAGGUCUUUGCACAGAUAAUUGGUCAAUGAGUCAAUAUCAGGCUUGGAACUAUAUAGAUAUUCAGCAACAUCGGUAUCAGAAUAUCCCAUAACCUGCAAUACCAAAUCACUAAUUUAGUAAUCACAAAACCAACAAAGAAUUGGAAGCGAAGAUAUUUGAAAUGUACAAAUACAUAAAAAAGCAGAGAAAGCACAAUUCAGAUCAUGAAUGGUGCACCAUCAACACUGUUCUCAACUGACAGAGAACAAACAUUAAUGAAACUUAUUCCUUUUUUUCUUUUAUUUUCCCAUAAUUUUGCCAUUUCUAAACUAAUAGAGAACAAAAAGGUGCAAUUUGUUGGCAAGAAAGUACCAUACCUCCUGACAAGCACGCUCAACUGUCUUGCAUUCAGAAUUGCACUGUCCUUCAGAAUCAUGUUCCUCCAGCUGAUGAACACCAAAAAAUGGCAUAGCAAUGUCAAACUACAAAACAAAUAAUCCACAUUUUAUUGAUCAUACAUAAUGAAAAGUUGGAUCCUCUUACCUCCAACCUAUCUGCUUUUUCUACAAUAUCUAUACGCAAUAUCCAAUCUGCUUCAACCUUUUUUAGAUUACAAACAUUCUCUGCUAUCUCAAUGAUCUGGUACUCCGAGAUCUAACAACCAAUAACACACAAAAACAAUUAUAGUGCAUACAAUCCACAAAAAAACUUACACCACACAAUGAAGAACAGAAUAAAAAUAAAAGGACAAACUAACAACCUUCUUGGGGGAAAUCUCAGCUUUCUUGCUUUGAACUUGCUGAUACAACUGUUUUGCGAGUAUCUCACAAACUUGACACUUUAUGUAUGGUACAUCCUCCUUUCUAGCGAUCCCAACCGGUUUUUUGGCGCAGUGUGAGAGAGGAAUCCAUGAUGCAAUCACCACUGAUACAACUAGAAACCAAAAAACUCCCUUCAUCUUCCCAACUCGUAGUGCGUCUUGGCUUCAGAGUCAGCGGGUGCAAACUAUUUAAAAAAAUUAUAAUUAUAAUCAUGCAUAGGAAAAAGAUCUACAAUAUGUAUUCCGAUUUAAACCAACUUCUCAAAAAGAUGCCUAAUUCCAACAAUUCCGUUUUGCUUUUUAGCUACCAAUAUUGAACUUAGCUCUGAUAAAUGAAUCUAACAUAAUUAAUAACAAUAGCAGUAAAUACUUCUGUUCAUCCAAAAAAAAGGCAGAAAAUACUCCAUCUUUCAAUUUAUUUUUUUGAUUAGAUGCUCUCGAUUUAUAGUACAUGUAUAUAACAACUUAAAGAAAGAGACAAAUCAAGAUGAGUUAUCGAUUAAAAUCAAUAUAACAUUCAAGAACAGAUACAAGGAAAAGAACUAUAUAAUCUCAAAGAAUACAUAAUGUCAUAAGCACAAGACUAGCCAAUGUUUUGGUUAAAUUCCAAAGUUCGACUUUUGUUGCCUAAUCGAAUUUAACAGAAUGAAAUUUACCUACAAGUUAACCUUGAUCCUUCUUGAACCAAAGGAUAUAAAUAACAAACAUCGAAACCCCUCUAGACAGACACAUACCAAAAACCUAAUACUAAUAGUAUAUGUAGUCAGAUAUUUAUGAAUAUAAAUCCACUAUUUGAGUUUACUGUUAGGAGAAAUGCAUAAAUCACUUAAUCAUAUAUAAUCAACUAAAUACCCAAGUUACUCCUUGAAAUUGUAGGGCUAUAUCAACCUAGUCCCCUACAUUAUCAUUAUCCCAAACUAAUCCAUGAAAUUUCAAAUGCAUUCUCGAUAUUUUUCACUUAGUUUUGAAUUCAUCCUCAAUAGUACCAACUCAAUGUCAUCCUAGUCCCUAAAAAUUCUAACAUAGAGACAAAUUUGAUAAAAAAAAAAAUCCAGUUUCAGGGAUUGUUUUUGAAUAUUGAUAAUGUGAGGAGAGGGACAAGAUUUAAGUGAUUAUACAUUUCUCCUAAUAGGAUUCUAAUCAACGCCAAUCAAUUUUUUUGUCAGAAGCAACAAAGAAAAUAAGAACACUACAAAACCAGGACAGAUUAAUCAUAAGCUUAGUAUAUAUUAGCCACUUAAAAAAUGAAGAAAAAACAAUCCUUUAUAUUAAUUGCAUAACAAUAACAAACAAUGCAUAUAUAAUUUCAACAAACUAAGCAAAUAAGGCAAAUGUAGGGUUUAACAGUGAAAUUGAAAUUGUAAAGUUCAUCAAUUGAUUCAAUUCAACCAAUCAAUUAGCUAUUUUUAACCAUAUGAAAUAAAAAUUAAAAAACAGAUUAGGAUUGAUUCAUUAAUCUAGGGUUUAGUUAAAAUCAAAUUGGGAAAAAUUGAAAAGGGUAAUGGGAAGAAGAGAACAAACCAAGAUGAAGGAGAAGAGAGAGAUGGCGAAAGCUUGAAGAGAGUGACACUGAAGAAGGAAGAAAGACUCAAAGGUUUCUUAAAAAUUGCAUUUUUAUUCAUUUGUGAAUUGUGAUUGGUCCAUGGAAGCAACAAAAUAGUGGGUCCCAAUUUUCAACCAAUAAGGAACAAGAUACCACGUAUUAUGAUUCAUAUUUCCAAAUUUACCAUGAAUCAAAGUCCAUGUUUGAGUCAAUGCUCCAAAUCCAAUGAAAAAAAUGUUGGAGUCAAUGCAAAAAACUAAGAAAAUGUACUUGGGAAAAUCAUGACAAAAAUGUUCGCGUGCAUAUCCGUAGAUAAAAUCAACCACAAAUACAAUGAUAAUAUUUUAACGAGUUAUGUAACACAAACAAUUUUAAUCGAAUAUGUAUAAAAUGCCUGAUAGAUAGUAUAUUAUUGUUUGAUAUUGAGACAUGUACUAACAUUUAAUUUUUUUUCUUCGCAAGAUAAUUAAUGGUGUCGACAUGUGCCACUUUCUCCAAAAAAAAUUAAAUAAAUUUUAAUAAAUAGUUGAAAGUUUUUUCUCUUCAAUUUUUUGAGUUUGUAGGGGGUACGUAGAGUAAUUGAAGGGUUCUAACUUUAAGUAAAUUUUUCUAAAACUAAACCCAACAAAAAUAGAACUAGCCCAAACCCUAAACCAUGAUAAAUUGCAAAAUUCACAAUUCAUAAACCCUAAAAAAACAAACUUUAACAAAAAAAAAACACCAAAAAACCAAAACCCUCGCAUCUCUGUCUUUGUUCUCAUGGAAACGACAAGUUUGAUUCCUCAUGUUGGUGAAAACUACACCCUCAAGCUGAAAAACACCAUGCAAGAAAUUCUAUCAAAACUUCCCAAAGAAUCCCCUGAAUUUUCUCAUUCCAUUGAUGCAUUACAUGAACUGAUGCAAACCAAAGUUGACCCACCUUUUGAUGUGAUAUGGGUCUAUUCUGCAAUCAAAUUUGGUUGCAGAAAAUCUCUUAAAGGUGAUAACUUGGAACAAAUUUCAGCUGCAAAAGCACUUUUUCAGCUGAUUUCUGCUUGUUCAGCUUCUGUUGGUGGUUCAAAGAGUAUUGCUUUACUUGCUCCUGUUGUUUUUAUGAUACAUAGUGUUGUUAAGGAACUUUUUGAAUUGAAAAGGGAAAAGAAAGCAAUGAAGGAAGUGAAAUCUUUGGUUGAUAUGAUUCUUGGGUUUAUGAGUAUUUGUUGUAGUAAAAUUUCUGAAGAGGAAGAUUUGGAUUUGGUUUUGUCUUUGAAUGAUUUGGCUCGUCUUUGGGUCGAUGAUGAUGAUGAUGAUGCAAAUGAUGGGUUUGAAACGUUGUUGCCUCUUGUGAGUAGUGAUGUUUGUGGUUGGAUUUGUGGUGGAAAGUUUCAUGUUGGUUAUUUGGCUGGUGCUGUUAUGAUGGAAGUGUUUUUGCUUAAAUUGUGUCUGUUUUUUGAUAUGGGAAUGGAAAAGGGUGAAUUGGAAAUGUAUCUUAAGAGUUGGAGUGUUGGCUCAAUUUCUAGCUUUCAGAAUGUGUACUUUUUGGGUGAGGUUUAUUUUGUUUUUGGUUUAAAUUUAAAUUUGUAGUCCAUGUUUUAUUUUUUACCUUAAAACCUAUGAAACAUUGGUACUAACACAUUGACAUGUUGACACUGAUAAUACUUCGAGAAAAUGAAAUAGUUGAAUGUAACUAUAUAUUUGUCUGUGUCGUGUCGGUGAUGUACAUUAUCGACACGUAUUGGACAAUAGGCAUACAUUCAAUGUGAAGUGUCGGUGUUGCAUAGCUUAAAACUUUCAUCGGAUGAUGGAUAAAUUUCAUUCAAUGUCCUUUUUGGGUGAGGUUUUAUUGUUUUUUUGUUUUGUUUUGAAUAUCAAUUUCCUACUACAUAUUUUAGCUUAAAACUACAGAACACUGAUAUAGACACCUACACCACACAUAUUAAGACCGAUACUAAUUUGAGAUAAUGUAUCGAUCCAUGACGUGUACCAGAUAUGCCUUUAGUGUGAAUUGUCGGCAUUACAUAGCUUAACUUUUUAUCUGGAUGAGGGAUGAAUUCGGUGUAUGUUUGGAUUGACGGCUAUGAAGCACGGACACCGGACACGACACGGACAAUGACACGCCGACACAACUAAUAAUUUGAAAAAAUCACAUAAUUCAGUGUAAUUACAAGUGUCGGUGUCGGACACGACACGUGUCUGACACCGGGACACACCUAAUCCGAGGAGUGUCCGUGCUUCAUAGAUUGACGGUGAGUUUGUUAAAAUUACGGUGAUGUUUUGUGAUGCUCCAAAGUAUAGCUUUUAGCAAAAUCACGAUGACUCACGGUGAUUCUGCCAAUUUCACCGCCAAUUCGAACAGACCAAAUUAAACAUACUUAUAUUUAGUUUAGCUUGUUUCAAUUGUGUUUCUCAUCUGUGUUGUUCUUUGUUUAAUGUUUAACGUGGAUUUAUCUUUUGUACAAUCAGAGGUUCUUAUGAGGACAACAUUAGAGACAUCUUUGCCUCUGAACUCAAUACUGGUUAGUAUUUCAUCCUUGUUUUUUAUUCCAUAUCUGCAUUUUAAUCACACCAUACAUUUUCCUUGUGUAUUGCAAUAAUGUCCAACACCAUUAUUUUUAUGGAUAUUGAUUAUCACUUGUACUAUUAGUUUUUUCUAUAGACUUUUAGUACAACGUUCAAGUAUUUAUCUCAAUUCAUUAUGCAAGCCAUUAAAGCUGCUAACAUUUGGAUAUGUCUUUGCAGAAAGCUAAAGAUGAAUUUCUGUUAAAGAAAGUUUUGCUUGAUGCUGUACUAUUGGUGGAGUAUUCUUUUAUCUAUGAAAAUGCCAAGAACAUAAAAAGCCUUGCCUUGACCAGAUUGAUUCUUACACAUGUGGCUGUAGAGUAUCUUAGGUAUGAAGAAUUAGUUAUUGUAUGGUGUAUUUUAUUUAUACAUACAUAUAGCUCUUUAUUUAACAUUUGAAGCAUAAUUUCUGUUAAUGGUUUGAUGUAGGGAAUUUGAUCAGAAUAGAAUCAUCUCUUAUAGUAAGGCAUUUUCUACUUCCAAUUUACCUUCACAAAUAAUUAAACUGGUUUCAAACCAGAAUGGUAUCGAGGAAAAUUCCGGCAAGACAUUUGGAUCCUCACCGAGAGCACUUAUAAGUAAAUUGAUUUUGUUCUUCUAAUAUCUAUGGUUUCAGAAAUGGUACCUAAUGAAGUACGGCUAACAUAUUUCAUAAUUCAUUCUAGAUUGGUUGCUGCGCCUUGAGAAUUUAGGAAUUAGAGUUUUUGAAGACGAUACUUUGAAAAGUCAUGCUAAGUUAUGUCCUGACAUUUCCCAAAUGGAGCAAUCCGCUGCUGGUACCUUAGACGACAAGGUAACAGAUGAAGGCCUUUUUUUUGUUGACAAUGUUGGAGAAGAGGAAAAUGCAGGUGAGGAGGAUAACCAAAGUAAAUUGAUUAGUGACGCGUUUGUAGCAGCUGCGCAAACUAUGAAGUCAAGUGACAAUGAAAGUCGAAAACGAAAAGGGAAAAGCAGUGGAAAGAAGGUUAAAUUUGUCAAGUAUGACCUUAAUCAAAAGUCUGUUCCGGUCAAAGGUGGGACUUCAGCUUCAAAUGACAGUUCAAGUGAUGAGAGUGAAGUGGAGGAUCCAAAUUCAGAUUCAGAUGCCUAAGCUUUAAGUUACAAACUGAUAUUCAGAUUCACAAUCAUGUUUUGCUAUUACAUGAUGGGAGGUCUUAGGGGCAGUGAGAAGUUACAUGUGGCCUCAUAUUUAAGUUUUGUCAUGAUUAUAUUUCCUGAGCUUGAUGAUUUAAUGCAAGGCAUGCUGUAACAAGUUUUGGCACAGUUACAUUUCAUUUAACAUUAGAACUAUCUUGUUGAGUUAGUAUUUUCCUAGUAAUUCGUUUUUAGAUUUUUUUUUUUUUUUUUUUUCUUCGACCGAGUUUGACUCCACUCCUUAUCCCUUAGCUCAAGAUGAAGACCUCAAAUGCAAUUUUGUUAUCUUUUUCCAAAAAAAUUAUUAAGUAUUUUUAAGAAUAAACAAUCAAUUUAGUUGUCAAACUUUUUCUUUUGCCAAAAGUUAAUUCUCAAAUUAUCACCAAUGCUUCAAUUUAUUUCAUUAAACCAGUGCGCACUAGUUAACAUUUCUCAUAUAUUAUGUUUUUAUUAACCGAGUUAAAUUCACGAGAAUGCUUCACCCUAAAUUUAUAUGAGAAAUGUUAACGAGUGUUCGUGACACUUUUUAAAGGUUUUAAAUGAUAAAUUUUUAUGAAAAUUUAUGUAUGUAAUAUAUUGAAAAUUAAAAUAUUUUACUUUAUUAAAGACUAAUUUCUUAGCGUGAAAUUCUUAAUUAAUUAUUAUCACAUAAGUACUUUUUAACGAGACUCAAUUUUUUCUCUAAUAAAAUAGUAAAAAGUUACAUGUUUUUUUUUUUUUGUCAGGAACUCACAUUUUUAAUGUGAAGAAGUUGGGUGUCCGGGAUUCAAACCCCGACCCCUACAUAUAAUAUGCAUUUGUCCUUGUCAAUCGAGGUAAACUCACGGGGACCAAAAGUUACAUGUUAUAUUUAUAUGGUUUGGAGUGUGAUAGUUUAUAGAUUAAAUUGAUAGUUAAUUCUAUUUUAAUUUUUAUAAAAUUGACUUUAAGAUCUGACAAUAGUUAAGACCUAAGACAUGAAGUGAAUGGUGUGCUACAGACAGUAAAGUACAAUAGACUUAGUCUGAGAUGUUUUCUUCUGGUUGGUUGAAUAUUCAAACCACAUACACACUCAUUUAAAAAUAAAAAUAUUAAAUAAAUAAAAAAAAUGACGCACGCAACGUAGUAACACACAUCUACACCUACCUAAGCUAAGAAUCAAUUGAAUUGAAUUAUUUGAAUCACUAUUCUUUCCGUAUUCUUGUUUUGAAGGACUUGUUUUUGGACUUUGAAUAGUCCAAAUCCAAAUUCUCUCUAAUGGCAGCAUCAUCAGAAUCCAUACUCGAUCACAUCCCUCUCUUUGCCAAAGAACUUCUAGCCGGUGGUCUUGCUGGUGGCUUUGCUAAAACUGUUGUUGCUCCUCUUGAACGUCUCAAAAUUCUUUUUCAGGUACUUUCUUUAAUUCUCCUUUUUAUGUCAAGUACAAGUACUCACUCACACAUAAUGAGAAAAUCACACAAUUCUUUAAUCACAAAUGUCCGUGCUACAUACCUUACUUCUUUGCUUUUUUGUUUUCGAAAUGCUUUUGUGUGAUUUCAUUUAAUGUUUGAUUAAUCUUGAAUCCUAGACACUUAAUGAAAUAAUUUAGAGAAUCACAAAAUCCGAGUUUUGCAUUCCCUAAGUCCUAACCAUUACUUUUACAUAAAAGGGGAACUUAACUUUAACUGCUUAAACUAACUCACCUGAAUCAGUAAGUUAGUUACAGUUACAGACAUAAGGUGUGAUCUUGGAUACUAUGAAGCACCACCCACACCAAACAUGGGCACCAAAGUUGACACAAGUAAUAGUUUGAAAAAAUGAAUUAAUUGAAAACUAUGAAGCAUGGACACCAAACAUGAAAUUGAUACCUCUGACACCGAUAAUAAUUUGAGAAAAUGAAUUAAUUGGAUGUAAUCACAUAUGUUAUGUCGUGUCGUUGUCCAACAUCAGGAUAUCAGACACGUCUUCCUCAAGAACUGUCGGUGCUACAUGUAAUGUAAUACUUUUGAUUAUACAUCUCAAUUUUAUUCUUUCCCUUAUAAUUAUCAUUCUCAACUUUUCACUUCUAGCAGUAUGGAUGUUUUCCCUCUUUUUUCUUAUGCUUUUUCUGUUAUGCAUAGUUGCAUACACUAGUAAAGUAAAGAUAUUGUGUAAGAUUGCGCGAGUGUGGGGAGAUAAUGGUUGGAAACAGAGACAUGGAAUUUCACUGCGUGCAAUUAGUGAAUGGCUUUUCUUAAACUAAGCGACCAAUUGACCAUAGAUUGAUUAAUCACAAUCAUAUUUUGCAGACCCGAAGAACUGAGUUUCGUAGCGCAGGACUGUCUGGAUCAGUUAGGAGAAUUGCCAAAACCGAAGGCCUUUUGGGGUUCUACAGGUAUAUAUAGAAAUCAUAGGUAGGUGAUUUAUCUUUAAUCAAUUAAUCAGAAUCACCAAUGUGAAGUUAUUUGCAGGGGAAAUGGAGCAAGUGUGGCAAGGAUUAUUCCUUAUGCAGGUCUUCAUUUUAUGUCCUAUGAGGAAUACCGAAGAUUGAUCAUGCAAGCCUUUCCUAAUGUUUGGAAAGGUCCUACCCUUGACCUAAUGGCAGGGUCACUCUCUGGAGGGACGGCUGUGCUUUUUACUUAUCCACUUGACUUAAUUCGGACUAAGUUAGCUUAUCAGGUAAAUUAUAUUUCUGCUCAGAAAUCAAAUCAGUUUUCAUCCAUGACUUUGGUUGUAUUUUGUGAUCUGCAGAUUGUUAGUCCAACCAAGUUGAAUGUUUCCGGGAUGGUAAAUAAUGAACAAGUUUAUCGAGGGAUCCGUGACUGUCUUUCAAAAACCUAUAAAGAGGGUGGCAUUAGAGGUCUCUAUAGGGGAGUAGGUAUGCAUUUAAAUCUGCUUGUGUUUGGAACUAUUAAUUCAGCAGCAGUAUUGUAUUUCACUGCUGUGUUGUUAUUGUAGAACUCUUAUGUUAAUCAUGGCCACAGCUCCGACACUCUUUGGAAUAUUCCCAUACGCGGGUUUGAAAUUCUACUUCUAUGAGGAAAUGAAGCGCCGCGUCCCUGAGGAUUACAAGAAAAGCAUCAUGGCGAAACUGACAUGUGGAUCCGUGGCCGGUUUAUUGGGUCAGACAUUCACAUAUCCUCUUGAAGUUGUCAGGAGGCAAAUGCAGGUAACGUGCUUUAUUUGGUCGGCUGGAAAUUAUAGAUGGAUAUUGAGUAACAUGAUACAAAGUUAACCUGUCUAGGUUCAAAACCUUGCGGCAUCUGAAGAAGCCGAAUUGAAAGGCACUAUGAGAUCCAUGGUUUUGAUUGCUCAAAAGCAAGGCUGGAAGACCCUGUUUUCAGGGCUGAGUAUCAAUUACAUAAAGGUCGGAAAAUCAUAGAACAUUAAAGUAAUUAACACUCUAGAACCGUUCUGUAUAACUAAGCAUUUUUGUUUGUUUGUUGCAAUUCAGGUUGUUCCAUCUGCGGCCAUUGGCUUCACAGUUUAUGAUACUAUGAAAUCAUACUUGAGAGUACCAUCAAGAGAUGAAGUGGACUAACAAAAGAAUCAGUCAACCAUCCUCACAUUAGGAAUAAGCUCCUAACUCCUCCAGGCUUCAAAACUGGCUUCUUCUUCUCAUUAUAUUCACAUUGUUUUCACACAUUACUUUAGCUGCACAUUGCAUUCUUUCGGAUUGUAAAUAGAGAUUAGAGGUUGUUACACACUAUACCAACAAACAAUACCCUGAUUCAGAUCUCAUUGAAGUAGGAAAUAGUUUCUUUGUGGUUUAGACAGGACAAACUGUUUAUGUACAAUUAACAAAUAAAUUAAUUGCACUUUUUGAAUGUGCAAGUAGAGAUAAUGAUAUAGAAAUGUUGACACAGUCACAUCCUUUCACUGUAUUCAGUUUAUCUAUGCAGCCACUGAAAUUCUAUUGCCUUCCAAUUAUCAUUAGUUAUUUUAGACAAGCAAUGCUGAAUAAUAUAUAUCCGAGACCGAUUCAGCAUUGCAACAUGCUCAUAUUUGUGUGGAAAAGAGGAAAGGAAAAUUAUUUACCAACACUUCACCCACCCACACAUCCGACCAAAACCAAGUAUUCUCCCCAUUACCAACACCACAAUGAACAUUAUCCAUAAACCACUCCUCCCUACUCAACACCUCUACAUCACGCCACCACAAAGAUGAGUUGCGCCCCCCACACCGCAACCGCCCCUCUGACAAGGCAUACCGCGCUGACAGCACCCUAAACCACAUACUCUCCCUCUCCACCAACAUCCGCCAACACCACUUCCUUAACAACGCACUAUUAAACUCCCUAAUUCUCCUUACCCCCAAACCACUAACCUCCUUAACCAGACGACCGCUGAAGGAUAAAUGUUUGGAGUUCCAGCUAGAUAGUCUAGAUUUAAUUCGAUAAAGUAAUGGUUCCCAAAAAGCCAACCGCCUCGCAUUACCACCAAUGGGAAGCCCCAGAUACACAAAAGAGAUGGAACCAACCUUACAAUUCAACACCAUAGCUGCUUCCGCUAACCAGGAGGCUGACACGUUAACCCCAACCAACUAGCUCUUAGAAAAAUUCACCUUCAGCCCAGAUAGAGCUUCAAAGAGAAUGAGAACCGCCUGCAUAGCUCGAAUAUUGCCCCAAGACUUCUCACCCAAAAUAAGAGUAUCGUCCGCGAAUUGAAGAUGAGACACAACAACAGGGGCGCUACUACCCACCUUAUAACCAACAAAUAAACUAUUGUCUGACAUAGAAUUCAUCAACACAUUGAAACCUUCUGCAGCCAAAAGAAAUAGGAAAGGAGAAAGAGGGUCACCUUGCCUCAAUCCCCUCCACAAAGAGAAUUCAUCCGUUGGAGAGCCAUUUACCAAAACAUAAGCGGUAGCCGUCUCAAUGCAUUCUUUUAUCCAUUUGCUCCAAAGAGCCGGAAACCCCAUUUUCAGCAUCACAUUUUGUAAAAAAACCCUAGUCAAUAGAGUCAUAUGCCUUUUCGAAGUCCACCUUAAACAGUAAAAGAUCCUUCUUGAGUCUAUGAGCUUCAUCAACUAUCUCAUUAGCCACCAGAAUCCCAUCAAGAAAUAACUUAAGGAAUCACUGACCGAAGUCUAUUAGCUAACACCUUAGCCAAAAUUUUAUACAAGCUUCCCACCAAAGAAAUGGGGCGGAAAUCAUUCAAACGUUGAGGACUGUCAACCUUCGGAAUGAGAGCAAUAAAGGUACUAUUUAUCUCCUUAGCCAAUUUCUCAUUCCUAUGAAAUUCUUGCAAAAAAACGCAUCACAUUGUCUUUCAGAAGGUCCCAAUUUUUUUUAAUGAAACUAAACGAUAUACCGCCAGGACCCGGACACAUAAAAUUGUCACAAUCCUACACUACUGCCUUCACUUCAUCAAAUGAAAAAAGCUUAAUCAAACCAGCCCCCUCUCCACAAGACAAAGUGCGAAAGUGCACGUUAUCCAUAGAGGGGUGAACAACACCACUAGGACGAAAAUGGGUAGAGAAAUGGGAAAACACUACACUCGAACAUUAUUGACACCUUCAACCAACACCCCAUUCACCAAAAAGAAAGGAAUAGUAUUUCGACUGGACAUAACGCAAUGAAAAAACUUGGAAUUUGCAUCCCUUUCACGCAACCAUUGCAUCCUCGAUUGUUGCCAACAAAUACUAGAAUUCAAGCGCGAUAAUGAAAACAACUCCUCAGAAAAACCAUGAAGGUCCUCGACCUCCUCCUCCAGUAAAUCAACUGAUUCACCUUUUAAAUCAAUAGCUGAAAUUUUAUCUUUCAAAGACAAAAUUUUUGCAGGUAAAUUUUGUGAUGAGUCUGACAAAUAUACAUCAGGGCCGAACAUUUUUCAUGCAUCUGUUAACAGCAGCAGUUCCCCUAUUUGGUCUUCCAUCAUCCGUGCUAAAGAGAUUCUAAAAAAUGGCUAUUCUUGGCGCGUAGGGUCUGGCUCUUCUUCUUUCUGGUUCAGCCUUUGGAGUGAUUUUGGCAUUCUUGGAUCUCAAAUCCCCAUCAUAGACAUCCAUGAUCUUCAUCUCAUUGUUAAAGACGUUCUCACCUUAAGUGGUAAUAGAGCUCAAUUGAUGUAUACCACUCUCCCUCAAGCUGUGUCCGAUUUCUUCAACAAUGCCACAAUUAUGUUUAAUGACGCAAUAGAGGAUGCUUUUGUUUGGCCUCUCAACAAGAAUGGAGUCUAUACCACCAAAAGUGGUUACAAAUGGCUUCUCUCUCUUCCUGGUUCGAACAAUAAUACCAACUUGAAUUCUUCUUGGUCCUGGAUUUGGAGACUUAAAAUUCCUGAAAAAUUCAAGUUUUUCAUCUGGCUUGCCUGUCACAACUCUAUCCCCACCUUAUCUUUGCUUAACCAUUGUAAUAUUGCUCCUUUAGCAACCUGCUCUCGUUGUGGGCUGCAUAAUGAGACAUUUUUUCAUUGCGUUCGUGAUUGCAAAUUUUCUAGAAAUAUUUGGCAGCAUAUGGGUUUUAUUGAUCAUGCUUUCUUUGACGAAGAUUGUGUUGCUAAUUGGCUUAGGGAGGGAACAUCUCAGGUACUCACACCAUUAUUUUUUCAGCAUGUUUGUGGUGGGUUUGGAGAUGCCGCAAUUCUAUGUGUCUGAGCAAUGAGCAUAUGUCGUUAACGCGGUUGUCAGCAAAUAUUAUGAGCUUAGUUGAGGACAUUAACCUCGCCUUUUCAUCUCCAAUUCUGGUCUAACUUAAAACAUAUUUAAUAAAACAUGUGUAACAAUUAUGAAUAAAUAGCGAAGCAAACAAAGCAUUGAACAUAAUUAUGAUCGGAUCUAUGGCAUGUUUGAUUUAUCAAGGAUAUUAACAAUUAGAUCCGCUAUGUUUUUUUUUUUAUUACACUAAUGCUUAUACUUUUUGUUUUAGUGUUGCAUAAUAUAAUAUGUAUAAUUAUUUUUAUAAAAUUUAGAUUUUAAUUAAAAAUAUAAGUAUAGAUGCCUAAAAAAGUUAUACUUAUAUAUAUUUUUCACCUUUAUAUUGUAACAAACUAUGCAUAUCUUUUUCUUAUUAAAAAAAUCCAAACAUAUAUUUUUCAAUGACAUCAACAAUGUAACAAAUAUAAUAUUUAAAUUAAAUUUAUUCUUAUGUGUUAUUUGUGAGGAAAUUUUUAAAAAGAAAAAAGCGGAACGGUUGUUGGGUCGGUCGGUUUCUUGUUCUUUUUUUAAUAACCCUUCUUAUCUCGUAUCUAGCGCUGAGUUUUUGUUUUACAACAACAACAGACGCAUCGCAUCGGAUCGGAUCUGAAUCUCCAUGGCAAACGAACAUGAACAUGGAAUUCUGGGGUUUGUGGAGGAAGUAAAAUCUGUGUUUCAUGGUAAGAGGGAAGAGUAUGAAGAGUUUAUAAAAGACAUAGAUGCUUUUAAGACCCUGAUGAAUGAUCAUCGAAUCACCAGACUUCCAGUUCAAAAUUUCAAAGGAAGGAUGAAAAAGUUACUUAAAGGGCAUAAUCGUUUAAUUUUUGGAUUCAACGCCUACAUGAAGGAUCGUCGUAUCACACUUCCAAUUCGACAACCAGUACGAGGAGGUCAUAGUAAUGGUUAGUACUUUUUUUUUAUGAUUAUGUUGAUUUUUUUUUUCUUUCUAUAUUAUUAUAUACACUUUCCUGGGGGAAAUUUUGACUCACUUCCAGUGUGUUAUUUGCAAAAUUGAAUACAAUUUCUCCAACAAAUAACUGUCUGCUGUUUGUUUAAAUAUUAUUAUUCGUUUGUAGCUAGGUAUGAUAAUAGAUGAGUUUCCUACAUGAGUGAGUUACUGUAUAUAACAACAUUAUCAACCCCCUCAAUCUAACUUUUUUAGUGUACCAAAGCUUAAAUCAUGAACUAUCUAAUUCUUUUUCCUUUUCACCCAACCAUUUAGUUUCUUAUAUGCACAAAAAUAAUCUUCCUUCUAGUCAUAUAUAUUGUCCACUAUUUUCAUAGGGAAUUCCAUGUCCAAAAAUCAAUCCUACUUUCACGAACCCAUGUCUUUACCCACACCCAUUCAUGAAGAUGUUCCCGUUCAUUUGACAUUGUACUUAAGCUAUACAACACAUUGUUUCCGGGAUACGACCCAACAUUCACACUAUUAAGUAAAGUUUUACCGUUGUUGUUGUUGACGCCUAACACAACCCUAUCAUUCCAUCUGGAAAUGGGACCGGCUAUUCAUUGCAAUGCUAUAACUAGGUAGGAUUGGAAAUUAAACAUCAAAAAAUAAGGAUAAUACAUAAUUAUAUUGUAUUAUAUUUAUAUGUUGGUCUCAAUAUUUGUUUAAAAAAAAUGGGAAAAUAAUAUUUCUUUAUCUCCUCAUUUUCUAUGAUAUUAUGGGUCCAUAAUAAUAAUAUAGAAAGAAAAAAAAACAUGUUUGUAAAUCACCUAACAUCGUCGUUUGUUGUGAUACAAAGGACAAAAAAAGAAGAAGGUAGAAGAGAACUGUCAACUUCCUUGGGAUUUGCUUGACAUCAUUUUGAGGAAUCUAGAUUUUGAUGACCUCUUUCAAUUUGGUAGUGUAUGCAAAAAUUGGCGAGAAUUUCAUAAAAUUUAUUGGAGGAAUUUCAUGGCAUCCGAAGAACCAUUACUUAUCCAAUGGUGCGCUGUUAAGAGAUCUCUCAACUUCUUCAGCUUACCUCACGAUAAAGUUUAUCACUCAAAGAUGAUCAAUAACUACUUCCGAUUUGUCUAUCAUGGGUCUUCUAGCGGAUAUUUCAUCAUGACACGAAAAGAUAAUUCAUUUAUACUUAUUAAUCCAUUUACAAGAAGAAAGAUGCUAAUCAAUAACUCAGUCUUCCAAGUUAAUUUCAGUUAUUUUUCCUGCAAAGUCUUGCUUGCUUUUUCCAAAGGCUCAAAGGAAUUUGUCUUGGUGGUUUCAUGUAAAAAUUCUGAUAAUUUGCAUGUCUAUCAAUCUCGAAAUCUUUGUUGGACUGCUUAUUCGACACCACAGAAGGUUGUUGACUUUGCUGUUUUAAAUUCUAUCAUAUAUGUUGUCACUGACAAGGCCAGCAUAGGGAUACUCAGCUUGAAAUAUGCAAAUAUAAAUUUUUUAGAACUGAAGAGUACUCCUGGUGUAACUUCUAGUCGUUAUUGGUCACACGUAGGGUUGGUUAGUUGUGAUGGAUAUCUUUUAGUGCUUAAUUUUAUGUCAAAGGUAACGUAUAACGUGUACAAGAUAGACUUCUCUACCAUGGAUUAUGUCAAGUUGGAAUCUUUGGGUGACAUUGCAAUAUUUUGUGUUCCGCCGAAAAGGUAUUAUGCAUUGAGCAACCCGCACAUGUGGGGUUAUGAGAACAAUUCUAUAUAUGCCAUCGAUGUUCCAUGUGGCAAAUACAGGGUGUAUAAAGGAGAUAACAAAAAAAUGCCAGAAUUCAUUAUUCCUGGUUUUAAACGUAGUGAACUUCCACAUCCUAUUUAUUGCCGCUCAAAACAACGUUACAUAGAUUGGUGUUUUAGACAUCUACAAUAUGAGGUAGAUUAUACUCUCGUUGAGUAGCAUGCUUAUUACCCUACACUUUGGGUUGGACCUUGUUCUAUUUGUUUUUCUUUUGAUUUGCAAAUAAAUGGACAUGAUUUAAUGGUUUACGGUGUUAUUAUUGGACAAGUUUUGAGAUAGUAUAGAGGAUUUAAUGUACUUUUUCCUAACUUGUAGUUGUAGCAUUUCUUGUCGUGGAUUGUGGCACAUUGAGGAGAAGCAUAUCAUGCACCAUGAAAGUUUUGAAUAUGUUUUGACUUGGAAGAGAACCGAUUUUAUAAUAGAAUUUUGAUAUGAUUUUUUUUUUACCAUUAUAUUUUUCUCGAAAAUGAAAUUAAUAGUGAUUCCUUUCCCUUUGCCUUACAAUACAACAAGCAUUUUACGAGAAUCUGAUAUUAAAUUUUGAGAACUAAUGAGAAUCUGAUUAAAUUUGGAAAACUAAUGAGAAUCUGAUAUUAAAUUUUGAAAACUAAUGAUUUAUUUAAUUUUUUCUUAGAGAACUAUUGAUUUUUUAUAUGUAAAUUAGUGAUAUUAAGAGAUUCAAAGAGGUCCUUAAAUAAAAAGAAGAUGAAAUGAGAUUAGAAUAAACUAUUUUUCUAAAUUCAUGGCAUAAAAUAGUAGUAUAAACUUUUUUCCUAUAUUAUUUAUGCCAUAAUACAUUACUUUUUUCCAUAUAUUUAUAGAAAUUGGAUAACAAGGAGGACAAAGUGGAAACAAAACAAAUUGGUUUUAUAUUAUGCAAAAUGAUCAUUACGCACAUAAAAUCAAUAUCAUGAAUUUUAAAAAUGAUUCCGUCAAGUUAUCUUUAUUAAAAGAAAAGAAUUAAUGUUGGCAACUCAUUCCGAAGUUAUCUUUCUCUUUUGUUCUCAUCGAUUGAAUAAAUCCUGUUUUUGUUUUAUUGUUCUCCUAUAUCAUGUAUUUGUAGAUAUUUUAAUUUCAAAUUUUUGGGAUAUGGUGUUCACAUGUGUGUAUAAAUUCGAUUGGGUAAAUUCAAUACUCGCUCCGUUCCUUUUUAAGUGUUUCUUUUGAACAAAUAUUUUGUUCCAAUUUAACUGUCACUUUUAAAGUUCAAUGUAAUAUUAAAUGGUGUUUUACCAAUAUUAUCCUUACUUAUUUAUUGCAGAGAGAGACAUAUAUGAAAUUAGAUAUUAAACGAAUAAGAUUAUUAUAGUAAAAGUAUACAUUGUUGUAUCAAAAGUAGUAACAUUCAUUGAAUGUCUUGGUUUGUAUAAAAUGUCAAAAAUUAACAAUUAAAAAGGAACGGAGGUAGUAACAUAUGAAGUCAUCAUAAGUUAGCUUCAAUCGGCACACAACCAUCAUCAUCCAUGGCCUAUGAUGAUUUCUUCUCUCUUAUGUUUUUGUAACAUGGCCUCUAAUGAUUUUCUUUGAUUCGUUGUGGGAGGAAUUGCUAUGUGAAAUAAAAAAAAUUACAUUGUUCAGAUAAAUAGUUAACAAUCUGUGGCUUUUCUAGGCAUUAUUCAAUGAAAGCAGUGAACUAUGAUAAUCGAGAUAUGAAAUAAGGAAAGGAAAAACAAAUAUAAAAGAAAAACUUACAAACAAAUGGCAGAAAUAUUUGUUUAUUGGAAGAAGAUUUUCUUCAUCCAUAGAAAUAGAAAAGUAGUACACUUAGCAGAAUAGUUAACAAUGUUAAGUUGAAGACGGAGGUGUUUAUCUAUUAAAAAAACCUUAAGGGUUUCAUAUUUUGAAGAAAAAUAAGCUCCCCAGAGCUCCUCCUUUCAAUGUCUUCUAUUUCUUACACUCACUCCUUUUUUUUUCCAAACCCUCUCCCUCCCUUUCCCCUCCAAACUCGCAAACGCCUAAAGCUCUGGCUUUGGAUUUUUCUUUGAAGAGAUCGCCUUCUUUCCCUUCCACCACUGUUGAAUAUGAUUGGAAACUUUGGUUGCAUGUUUCUUAAGCGCCGUGCUUGUGUCCACACUCCACAAUUCCUUUUCUUAUCUUCUGUUUCCAGUCACCUUUUUCAUUUUCUUUUGAUCUUAAAACUUUUCCCUACAAGUUGCAGUUUACUCCAAACAUUAGUUAUUCUAAAACGUUUUAAGUCGAGGUGAUCUUAGAAAAACACAUUUCAAUCACAAUGAAAUAGAUGAUUGUACCAAUUUUGAAGGAAAGUCUGCCUCAUCUUCAUCCUCAUCCUCAUCUUCAUUGUCGUCUUCAUUUUCAGCACCGAAAUUCUUUUACAUUAAAUCAUCACUUGAGUACAUUUUCAUAUCGGGCACUCCUGGCAUGCCCUGAAGCAAGAGUCAAGUGUGGUAUGAUCAGAAUGUAUUACUAGCAACAGAAUGCGUCAAGCAAAGUCAUGUAAAGAUAAAGAAAGAAAGAAAUAAAGCAAAAUACCUCCAUAGAUUUUACAAGUUUUUCCAUUUCAGCCUCAUUAGAAGACUUUGCAACAAAUGGUUCACCAGGAGUCCUAGUCCUGUAACACGCAAACAGAACUUCUGAUGAAAACUUAAGCAAAAGGUUCAUAGGGUGAAACUGAAAUACCUAAUUCAAACAGUAAUACUAGAUGCAUGUGAAGUUAAAUACUACCAUAAAAGAAACGAAGUUCUAGUUUCCAAAUUACAAUAUUACAUAGUCCAAAGUAAGGAUAGUCUAACUGAUGUAGCAGAGACCUUACAAUUUUGUCCAAAUAAAUCAGCCUUUUAGACUUUACAAUUGUAUGGGUCGGUCAAUUUAGUCCCUGAACUUUGUAAACUAGCAAUUUAGUCUCUUAAAUUGAACAACACCAAUCAAUACAGUCCUUUUAACACCAAUCAACACCAAUCAAGAUAGACUUCUCUACCAUGAAUUAUAUCAAAUUGGAAUCUUUGGGUGACAUUGCAAUAUUUUGUGUUCCGCCGAAAAGGUAUUAUGCACUGAGAAACCCACGCAUGUGGGGUUAUGAGAACAAUUCUAUCUAUGCCAUCGAUAUUCCAUGUGGCAAAUACAGGAUGUAUAAAGGAGAUAACAAUAAAAUGCCAGAAUUCAUUGUUCCUGGUUUUAAACGUAGUGAACUUCCACAUCCUAGUUAUUGCCGCUCAAAACAACGUUACAUAGAUUGGUGUUUUAGACAUCUACAAUAUGAGGUUGAUUAUAUUCUCGUUGAGUAGCAUGCUUAUUAUUCUACACUUUGGGUUGUACCUUGUUUUAUUUGUUUUUCCUUUGAUUUGCAAAUAAAUGAAUAGGAUUGAAAAAUGUUGCAAUGGUUUACAGUUUUAUUAUUGGACAAGUUUUGAGAUAGUAUAGAGGAUUCAAUGUACCUUUUCCUAACCUGUAGUUGUAGCAUUGCUUGUUGUGGAUUGUGGCACAUUGGGGAGAAGCGUAUCAUGCACCAUGAAAGUUUUAAAUAUAAUUUGACUUGGAAGAGAACCGAUUUUAUAAUAGAAUUUUGAUAUGAUUUUUUUUUUUGGGACAUUAUAUUUUUCUCGAAAAUGAAAUUAACAGUGAUUCCUUUCCCCAUGCCUUGCAAUACAACAAGCAUUUUACGAGGCAUUUUGGGUAUGGGUGGAUUCCUUUGCUACAGCUUACUCUCAAAAGAGGAUUUUUAAUACACUGUUUCUAUCAAUUUUAUAUAUACAACAAUGAGAAGCUGAAAUUAAAUUUUGAAAACUAAUGAUUUAUUUACUUUUUUAUUGAAAACUAUUGAUUUUUUUUUUUUAUAUGUAAGUUAGUGAUAUUAAGAGAUUAAAAGAUGUCCUACAAAAAAAUAGAUUAAAUGAGAUGAGAAUAAACUAUUUUUCUAUAAAUGGCAUAAAAUAGUACAGUAGUAUAAACUUUUUUCCUAUAUUUAUGCAAUAAUACAUUACUUCUUUCCCUAUGUUUAUAGAAAUUGGAUAACAAGGAGAACAAAGUGGAAACAAAUUUGUUUUAUAUUUUGCAAAAUGAUGAUUAUGAUUGACUAUAAAACUUAUUUUGUCGAUUAUGGCAAGUUUUCUCUCAGAAACCGUUCAACCACAACAGAAUAAUGUUGAAACCACAACAAAAGGAGUUUCUUUUACAGGUGAAAAAGCUAUGAUUUCAACACCAAGAAAGAAGAAGGAUCUCAUCAAAGAUAAGUUGGCUCACAUCGAGUAUGCAGAUAAUCAUCCUUGCUUACCUAUGGUUCACUUUGAUGCAUCAGUUUGGGAGGGAUUAAGAUGCGCUAGUGAUCAAACUGUUGGGGAAAUCAGUAGGUUACAACACCAUGAGGGACAGACUUCACAAACUUUGGAAGCUCUCCGCCGGUUUUCAAAUCAUGGAUAACGGGAAUGGUUACUACAUGGUUAAAUUUGACCAUGCAGCGGACAGAGAGAAGGUGACGGAUGGAGGACAUUGGAUAAUGUUUGAUAACUAUUUAACUGUCCAAGAGUGGUCAGAAGAAUUUGCCUCUUCUACCGCCAAAGUAGAGAAGACAAUGGUUUGGACCGGUCUCAAUCUUUUUUAUUAUGAAGAAAGUGUGUUAAUGGCUAUGGCCUCUGCUGUGGGACGUCCCAUUAUGGUGGAUACCAAUACAUACGGUAUGCUCGUAUUUGUGUUGAAGUGAAUCUGAAUAAGCCAGUUGUGGGUAAAGUAUGGAUGAGAAAUCAUUGGUACAAGGUUGAAUAUGAAGGUUUGCAUAGGAUAUGUACUCUGUGGUUGUUACGGUCAUUUGUCCAGGGAGUGCAACAACCAUACGCAGAAGCAAGAAGCUGUUGCGCAAAUGCAGCAGAGUGUCUCUAAUCAUACCAUAAACAAAGACCAGCCACCAAUUGACUUGUUAUCGGUUCAGCACCGCUGCCAAAGGGUCACUCAGAACCCUUGCCACCAAAGAUGAUAACACAACUAACGCUAUUGAACGACAUUGAAGCUUUCCGUUUCGAGGAUAAAGCUAUUGAGGAAUAAGAGAGAUGUGCAGACUAAUCAAUUGAAGAGAGAAUUGGCGAAAUUGCUUGAGAAUGGUCAAGAUCAAACUGCUAGAAUUCGGGUAUUAACAAUUUCAAACAUCAUAUUUUCAUUAAUUUUGUGUUUCUGAUUGUUAGGUUUGUAUUGUGAUGCGACCCUAACACUGAAUGUUUUAAAAAAAAAACUAUAUAAUUGAAUGUAAUGACAUGUGUCGGUGUCAAACAGUGACAUGUGUCAGUGUCAAACAGUGACACUUGUGUUGGACAUCAGACACAUUUUUUUAUUGUUCAACAAGAACCUGACAUGUCGACAUUGAUAAUUGCUAUAAAAACUGAUAUAAUUGAAUGUAAUGACAUGUGUUGAUGUGGUGUCUGUGUCAGACAAUGACACGUGUUGAACAUCAGACACGUUUUUUUAUUACAAGUGUUGGUGAUAUGUAGUUCUUAUCUUAGAUGCCACAAUUGUAACAUAAUUUGUUGUUUUAUUAACUGUGUUACUAAUUUUUAGGUUUGUGUUGUUUUUAUCCUAUGAUGAAGCACAAACACCGAAAACAACACUGACACACACUGAAUAAUGGAGAUUUAUAAUUGUUUUGAAAAAUGUUAGAAUUGAAUGUAAUGACAUAUGUUUGUGUUAGAUACUGACACUUGUUGGACACUUACAUGCUUUAGAUUAGAAGUGCCGGUGCUACAGUUCUAAUCUGCUACAUAUGGGAUUUUGAUUUUUGUGUUAAUGAAGAAUAAACAGGGGGGAUAUUUGGAUUCAAAAAAACGUAAUCAUGUGCUUAUGGUAUAAACAUAUGUGUAAGUGUAUUGAGUGUUUGUGUAUAACUUAAUUUACAGCUUAUAGCAUAAGCGCUUAUAUUUUAAGCUCUUAUUAAUAAACUAUUUCUAUUAUGCAAGAUAAAAUAAAGUUAAAUUGUUUUCUUAUAAGCUAUAGGCUGUUUUAUUAAGUCAUCUUGAAGAACUUAUGGAGGUAAGCUGAAAACAGCUCAUCCACCACCUGUUCAUGAUGAAGCGCGUCCUCCUAGUUCACAUUCUACCUCACAACCUAAACCAAUGCAUGAUGCAUAUACAAGUUCAUACGAGCAGAGUGCAAAUGCUGCUGCUAGAAAUGCUAAUAACUCUACAACAUCAGGCAUGCCUACUACUGAAACCAGAUCUUCAGGUAUUUUUUAAAAGAACGUCAUUACAAUUGAAUAUCUAGGCUUCUUUUCUGCCCAUCACCUGAAUAUGUGUUCUUUUCGCAGGAGGUGGAAGUCAAGAAAUGGAUUUUAGAGAUUCGUAUUCUGAAAACAGAAGUUCAUUUCCUACUGGUCGGCAGAAUUGGAAUAUGGAAUUCAAGGAUGCUGCCUCUGCUGCACAGGCUGCUGCAGAAUCUGCUGAUCGUGCAACCAUGGCUGCAAGAGCAGCUGCAGAAUUUUCAAAUCGUGAAAACAUGAAAAGGCAGCAUUCAAGUGGAUCACAUAGCUCUCCUGGAAGAGGGUCACGAGAUGAAGCACCUACAGACUCUUCUGGUUUUGUUAAUAGCCCCAUCCGUAAAAGCAUUAAUUUUAUAUGUUUUGAAUAUGAUUUGACUUGGAAGAGAACCGAUUUUAUAAUAGAAUUUUGAUAUGAUUUUUUUUUAACAUUAUAUUUUUCUCGAAAAUGAAAUUAAUAGUGAUUCCUUUCCCUUUGCCUUACAAUACAACAAGCAUUUUACGAGAAUCUGAUAUUAAAUUUUAAGAACUUAAUGAGAAUCUGAUUAAAUUUGGAAAACUGAUGAGAAUCUGAUAUCAAUUUUAUAUAUACAACUAUGAGAAUCUGAUAUUAAAUUUUGAAAACUAAUGAUUUAUUUAAUUUUUUCUUAGAGAACUAUUGAUUUUUUAUAUGUAAAUUAGUGAUAUUAAGAAAUUAAAAGAGGUCCUUAAAAAAAAAAAAAAGAUGAAUAUGAUUGGAAACUUUGGUUGCAUGUUUCUUAAGCGCCGUGCUUGUGUCCACAAUUCCUUUUCUUAUCUUCUGUUUCCAGUCACCUUUUUCAUUUUCUUUUGAUCUUAAAACUUUUCCCUACAAGUUGCAGUUUACUCCAAACAUUAGUUAUUCUAAAACGUUUUAAGUCGAGGUGAUCUUAGAAAAACACAUUUCAAUCACAAUGAAAUAGAUGAUUGUACCAAUUUUGAAGGAAAGUCUGCCUCAUCUUCAUCCUCAUCCUCAUCUUCAUCUUCAUCUUCAUCUUCAUCGUCGUCUUCAUUUUCAGCACCGAAAUUCUUUUACAUUAAAUCAUCACUUGAGUACAUUUUCAUAUCGGGCACUCCUGGCAUGCCCUGAAGCAAGAGUCAAGUGUGGUAUGAUCAGAAUGUAUUAUUACUAGCAACAGAAUGCGUCAAGCAAAGUCAUGUAAAGAUAAAGAAAGAAAGAAAUAAAGCAAAAUACCUCCAUAGAUUUUAGAAGUUUUUCCAUUUCAGCCUCAUUAGAAGACUUUGCAACAAAUGGUUCACCAGGAGUCCUAGUCCUGUAACACGCAAACAGAACUUCUGAUGAAAACUUAAGCAAAAGGUUCAUAGGGUGAAACUGAAAUACCUAAUUCAAACUGUAAUACUAGAUGCAUGUGAAGUUAAAUACUACCAUAAAAGAAACGAAGUUCUAGCUUCAAAACAGAACUUCACAGUUUAUGAUACUAUGAAAUCAUACUUGAGAGUACCAUCAAGAGAUGAAGUGGACUAACUAAAGAAUCAGUCAACCAUCCUCACAUUAGGAAUAAGCUCCUAACUCCUUCAGGCUUCAAAACUGGCUUCUUCUUCUCAUUAUAUUCACAUUGUUUUCACACAUUACUUUAGCUGCACAUUGCAUUCUUUCGGAUUGUAAAUAGAGAUUAGAGGUUGUUACACACUGUACCAACAAACAAUACCCUGAUUCAGAUCUCAUUGAUUUCAUUGAAGUAGGAAAUAGUUUCUUUGUGGUUUAGACAGGACAAACUGUUUAUGUACAAUUAACAAAUAAAUUAAUUGCACUUUUUGAAUGUGCAAGUAGAGAUAAUGAUAUAGAAAUGUUGACACAGUCACAUCCUUAGAAAGAAAGAAAAAUACUAUAUAGGUUAAUUCAUACAUGAAACAAAACUUUGCUUGGUCUUCCCAAACUAGGAUUUCAACCUUACACAUUUUGGAAGCAAACAAAACGAUCUAGCAAUAUAUCAUCAUAUCAGAGUAUCUACAUUUGAGUGCUUUUUACCAACACUACCAAUAAUCUGCACAGGAACAUCCUCUUCUUAUUCUAUUCAAAUUGUUGUUCACAUAUGUUAGUUGCACAUUGCAUUCAUUCAGAUUGUACAUAGAGAUAAAGGUCGUUAUGCACUAUACCAAGAAAAAGAGCCUUGAUUCAUUGAUUUCAUUGAAGUAGCAAAUAAAUUUUAUGUUGUUCAGACAGGAUAAUUAAAGGAUAAAUUGCACAUUUUAAAUGUACAAAUGGCGAUAAUGUAUUCGGUUUAUUCUACGCAACCACCACCAUAUUUCUAUUACGUUCCAAUUUUCUUUGGCUAUUUAGUUCUCAACUCAAUUAGACAAGCCAUGAUCAAUAAGAUAUCUGCAGAAACUGAUGUAAUAUCACAACAUGCUCAUGUUGUUCAAAAAUGAGGAAAAGCAAAUAAUUAAUUAUACUGUUGGCCUUUUUAACUCUUCUAGUCUAACAAACAUGCACGACAAAGAAAAUAAGCUAUACAGGUUAAGUCAUAGAUGGAAUAAAAUUUUCUUUCAUCUUUCCAAACAUGGAUUUGAACCUUACAGAUUUUUGGCAGCAAACAAAAUACAAUCUAGCAAUAUAUCAUCAGAGUAUCUACAUUUUUACCAACACUACCAAUAAUCUCCACAAGAGCAUUUUCCAUCUUUGAAAUGAUGGAAUCUCUUGUUGUCCCUCACAAUGAGCUCCCUUCCAACAAUCUUGGACAUGAUUUUGAUAGCAUUGUGACAGUCUCCACAUAUACGUAGAUUCUUGAUAAUUCUAAGAGUAGUCCUCGGCGGAGUACUGAUGAGACCAUAAGCAAUUGCCAAACGUUCACUAUGAUACUGCAAAGCCUUUUCCUUUUCCUCCUCAUCAAUGUCAUGGAGAACGUAUCUCGUAUCAGGAACAUAACCUGCUUCCCUCAUCUGCCCGGUCAAACCUCUCAAUUUCACAUCACCCUCUUCUUUAUACGGCAUAUUACACCGAUAUUCACUUACUCUAUUCUUCUCCUCCAGCAUGUUAAUUGCAGACUGUUUCUUUCUCUGAGGGAGUGGCACUUUAUCAGCAGCAGCUUUCGAAGGAUCAAGAACAGUUAACAACUCAUCAGCACAAUCCUCGCGUUCUAAGUCUCCAUGAAUUCUCGCAAAAUUUCGAAGAGUCUCCCAAAGCUCAACUCCGGCUUCAAUUGGCAUAUUCUCAAUAAACUCGUGAGCUUCAUCCAACCGACCAGCACACCCGAAAAUAUUAACAACUCCCAAAUAAUGCUCCAUCCCUGGAACAAUUCCAUACUCCUUCAUCGAUUCAAACUGCAUUAAACCUUCUUCCACACCGUCAACCAAUGCACACACAGCCAAAACCAACGCAAAAGUUUCCUCAUCAGGCACUACCCCUUGUUGCCUCAUCUGCUUAAAAACCAACAAACCAUCAAUCCCUAAACCAUUCACAUUAUAUCCACCAAUCAUCAAAUUCAACGAACCGACAUUUCUGUCAGGCAUUUUAUCAAACACUUUCCGCGCAUCCUUCACACUACCACAUUUCACGUACAACCCAAUCAAUCUAUUACACAAUUCAACAUUCCCUCCGAAUUUCGACCUUCUCAAGAAUUCAUGAACCCUUUUCCCUAAUUCAAGCGACUUCAAAUCCUCACAUAAUUUCAAAAGCGAAAGAAAAUCACUGUAAUCAGCAAAAGCACCUUGACCCAUUAGUUCUAAAACUUGAUUUACGUUACCCUCUUGAAGAAAAUGCGCAAAGUUUACAUUUUUAUGUUGAUGGGGGGCUUGAUGAUGGUUCAAUUUUGGUUGGAUUGAAGGGUUACCCAUACGUAAAGGUUGAGUUUUUCUGGGAGUGAAACGAGAGUUGUUAGUGCCGUUUUGACGAGGGUGAAGGUUGGUGGCAUGGUGAAUAGCAUAGGUGCAGAAAGGAGUGGAAGAAGAUGAAGAUGAAGCCAUUGAUGCUUGAAGUUUAAGCUCCAUGGAAAUGCUACUGUUACUAUCUUCUAUCCAUUCGUGAAAUACAAACUAAGAUUAAUUUUGAUGAGUAAAACUCCUUUUAUUUUAACAAAAACAACUAAUAACCAAAUUUUUAAAAGGUGGCCGAAGUUUGAAUCAGAUAUAUGCCUUUAUCAACUGUGUUAAGUCUCAUGAGGAUGAAUAGUUGUUAAAUUUGUUUGUAUCGAAUUAAUUUAUAGCAUAGACUAACUUAAAAGAUUUAAUAUAGUAAUGUAGUCUAGAGAUUUGUACAAAAAAAAAAUAUAGUUUAGAGAUUACUUAAUAUUUUUAUAGUUUAUAGAUAAAAUUGAUUGUUUAAUUUAUUUAUUUGGUUACAACUUAUUGUUUAUGCAAUGCUCGAGAGAUUAGUUGCGCGUAGAGGAUAUCUGAUUUACACUAAACUGAUUGUUUAUUCAAUAAUAAGAGUUAUUUUAUACCUCAAUUAAAUAAGUUUUUUUUGUUAACAAAUCAAAAUGAGAUUAAAAACAACCUUGGAUGUUUCCACCCGUGCAAAGAGGAGGAACACCAUGUUCAAGUAUUUAACAAAACUAAAAACAUUUGUUAAUAGUCUCAUUAAUGAUUAUUGAAAUAUUCGAUCGAUGGCAAUAAAUAUCUAUUGAUUGUUUCUUUACUCUAUUAAUACAUAAGGAAAUUCAGAUGUGGGAUGUGGUGGUAAGACUGUAAAUUGAUUGUCAAAAUUUUCAAAAAAGGAUGUCAAUAAUCUCAACAUUUAACACCCGAGGGAACAUCUUAAACAUCACUAUAGUUUAGCUGGUAUACCCUCACUCUCAUACAUAAUUGCCUCACUGAUAAAAUACAUGUAGAUAGCAAAUCCUUGAUUGGAAUAUGAAUCACUCAAAAGUGGUGAUUGUAAAGUCCUCAUUUGAUUGCUUCAGAAUAUUCCUACUUCCAAUCUCUCUUGGUCUCUUGGGUGUAGUACAUGUAACAAAACACUGGAAAUGCCUUGAAAAUAUUCCAUAAUCAGAAGAUGCAGAUUUAGUUUAUGAGGAGCUCUAAAGCUCUGACUUCGAAUUCUUCUUUGAAGAGGUUGUCUUCUUUCCCUUCCACCACCGUUGAAUAUGAUUGGAAACUUUGGUUGCAUGUUUCUUAAGUGUCGUGCCCGUGUCCACAAUUCCUUUUCUUAUCUUCUGUUUCCAAUCACCUUUUUCAUUUUCUUUUGAUUUCAAAACUUUUCCCUGUAAGUUGCAGUUUACUCCAAACAUCAGUUAUUCUAAAACAUUUUAAGUCGAAGUAAUCUUAGAAAAACACAUUUCAAUCACAGAAUGAAAUAGAUUAUUGUACCAAUUUUGAAGGAAAGUCUGCCUCAUCUUCUUCCUCAUCCUCAUCUUCAUCGUCAUCUUCAUUUUCAGCACCGAAAUUCUUUUUCAUUAAAUCAUCUCUUGAGUACAUUUUCAUGCCGGGCGCUCCUGGCAUGCCCUGAAGCAAGAGUCGAUUGUGGUAUAAUCAGAAUGUAUUAGCAACAGAAUGUGUCACAAAGUCAUGUAAAUAUAUAAAAAGAAAGAAAAAAAGCAAAAUACCUCCAUAGAUUUUAGAAGCUUUUCCAUUUCAGCCUCCUUAGAAGACUUUGCAACAAAUGGUUCACCAGGAGUCCUGUCCUGUAACACACAAAUAGAACUUUUGAUGAAAACUUAAGCAAAAGGAUCAUAGAGGGUGAAGCUUUAAUACCUAAUUCAAACAAUAAUACUAGGUGCAUGUUAAGUUAAAUACUAUCAUAGCAGAAACAAAGUUAUAGCUUCCAAAUUACAUAGUCCGAAGUAGGGAUAGUUAUAGAUAGAGUACAGAGUCCAAAGUAAGGAUACUCUAACUGAUGUAUUAGGGAGUUUGGGUCCUAAAGUGCAAACAAGGUGAGUGUAGAGUGGGGUGUGUUGUUUGCCGAUAGAAUAAUAACAGUUUAGAACAUAAAAUCCAAAUAAAUCAGCAUUUUAGUGCUUAAAAUUGUAUUGGUCGGUAAAUUUAGUCCCUCAAUUUUGUGAACUAGAAAUUUAGUCUCUUAAAUAGAACAAUGCCAAUCAAUACAUUCCUUUAUUCAAAUUUAACACCACAAUUUUAAUAGUCUUAUGCUUAUUUUGUUUUAACAAAAGACUAUUCAAGUCAAUAUUUAGAUUUUUCAGUGAUUAUGGAUGAUUACUAAAGAGAUAUUUUGAAUGAGUGACAAAAUUGAUUGGUGUUAUUUAAUUUAAAGGACUACAUUGUUCUUUUGUGAAUUUAAGGAACUAAAUUGCUUGACUCUUACAAUUUCAAGGACCAAAAUGCUGAUUUACUCCAUACAAUCCAAACACAUGGAUAUAAAAUCCAGUUCAUAAGAAAUCAAAGGGAAUGGUGGAGAAGCAGGGUUCUGUUGCACAGGAGUUAAGAACGCAUUGACGUGCGAAAGUAUUUCUUGGACUGCAUUAGUGUCGGUUGUGGCAUUCUUUUUUGAGAGGGUCUGUUGUGGCAUUGAAAAUAAUAAGGUAUGAAACACUUAGGUAUAAACUUUCCCUAUAUUUGAAUAAAAUAAAAUAAUAUUGCUCUAAAUAUCCAAGAUAAAGCAAUAUCAGUGCCAACACACAUAUUAAACUUUCUGUUUUUUGUAUUUUGUGAUUUUGUUUUUGUUUUUGUUUUCUUGUUCGACAAUGAACCCUAUAAACUCAAGUUGAAUACUACAUAAAGUGCAUACACCAUACAUUGCUGAUUUACUACAUAAAAGACAAUUAAAAAUAUCUAUCACAAAUUCGCAAUCAACCCGGAUAAGUUAGUUACUGGGUGUAUUUAUUUCAGUUAAUAAUUACCUUAGGGACAGGGGGUGGCUUGGUAUUGCAUGCUUUGCUAAGGUCUUUGCACAGAUAAUUGGUUAAUGAGUCAAUAUCAGGCUUGGAACUAUAUAGAUAUUCAGCAACAUCGGUAUCAGAAUAUCCCAAAACCUGCAAUACCAAAUUACUAAUUUAGUAAUCACAAAACCAACAAAGAAUUAGAAGUGAAGAUAUUUGAAAUAUACAAAUACAUAACCAGCAGAGAAAGCACAAUUCAGAUCAUGCAUGGUGCACCAUCAACACUGUUCUGAAUUGAUAUAGAAUAAGCAUUAAUGAAACUUGUUCCUUUUUUUCUUCUCUUCCUAUACUUUUUUCGUUUCAGAACCAAUAGAGACAAAAAAGUGCAAUUCAUUGGCAAGAAAGUACCAUACCUCCUGACAAGCACGCUCAACUGUCUAUCAUUCAGAAUUGCACUGUCCUUCAGAAUCAUGUUCUUCCAGCUGAUAAACACCGAAAAAUGGGGUAGCAAUGUCAAACUACCAAACAAAUAAUCCACAGUUUAUUGAUCAUACAUAUUGAAAAGUUGGAUCCUCUCACCUCCAACCUAUCUGCUUUUUCUACAAUAUCUAUACGCAAUAUCCAAUCUGCUUCAACCUUUUUCAGAUUACAAACAUUCUCUGCUAUCUCAAUGAUUUGGUACUCUGAGAUCUAACAACCAAUAACACACAAAGUCAAUUAUAGUGCAUACAAUCCACACAAAAAACCUACACUAGACAAUGAAGCACAAAAUAAAAAUAAAAGAACAAAAUAACAACCUUCUUGGGGGAAAUCUCAGCUUUCUUGCUCUGAACUUGCUGAUACAACUGUUUUGCAAGUAUCUCACAAACUUGACACUUUAUGUACGGUACAUCCUCCUUUCUAGCGAUCCCAACCGGUUUUUUGGCGCAGUGUGAAAGAGGAAUCCAUGAUGCAAUCACCACUGAUACAACUAGAAGCCAAAACACACCCUUCAUCCUCCCAACCAGUAGCGUGUCUAGAACCCUUGGUCAGCGGGGGCAAACUAUUUAAAUAAAAGUUAAUAAUUAUAAUCAUACAUAUGAAAAUAAGAUCAACAAUAUAUAUUCCAAUUUAAACUAUUCUAACGAUUACGUUACUUUUUUCGUUAUCAAUAAAUACCUCUGUUCAUGCAAUAAAAAGGCAGUAAAUAUUUCAUAUCAUAGCUCAAUUAAGUGAUAACACCUUAAACAAAGAGACACAAUCCAGAAACUGUCUUUCAAAUUUUUCUUAUUAGGUGCUCUCGAUUUAUAUUUCACAAACCAAGAUGAGUUAUCAAUUAAAAUCAAUAUAACAUUCAAGAACAAAAAUAAGGAAAAAAAACUACAGAAGUCUUAAAGAAUACAUAGCCAUAAGACUAGCCAAUGUUUUGGUUAAAUACCAAAGUUCCACUUUUGUUGCCUUAUCUAAAAUCAACAAAUUGAAAUUCACCUGUUAGGAGAAAUGCAUAAAUCACUUGAUCAUAUAUGUAGUCAGAUAUUUAUGAAUAUAAACCCACUGUUUAAGUUUCCUAUUAGGAGAAAUGUAUAAAUCACUUAAUCAUAUAUAAUUAACUAAAUACCAAGUUAGUCCUUGAAAUUGUAGGGUUAUAUCAACCUAGUCCCCUACAUCAUCAUUAUCCCAAACUGAUCAAUGAAAUUUCAAAUGCAUCCUUGAUACUAUUCACUUAGUUUCAAAUUCAUCUCUAUAGUACCAAUUUAAUGUCAUUCUAGUCCUUACAAAUACCAACAGAGGGACAAUUCAAUUACAAUUUCACUAUUUCAGGGAUCAUUUAGGAAUUUCGAUAACGUGCGAGACUAGAUUGAUUCGGUCCUAUAAUUUCAAGCACCAACUUGGUCAUUUAGUCAAUUAUAUAUGAUCAAUGUUUCGUUCCACUUUUGGAGGACCCAAAAUUGAUUCUAAAGGUGUAGAAUUGAUUUUGACAUGUUUGGUUCCUAUAAACUAGAAUUAAUUUUGCCUCCGGAAUUGAUUCUACAUGAAGCUAGAAAUCAUAGCUUCUGAUUCUAGAAUUGAUUUUUACACUAAAAUUUAUUUUUCAACUCACUUUUACAUAAAUGUAUCCAAACAUAAAUCACUUUACCUUCAACUCAAUUCUAGCCAGAAUCCAUUCACUCAAAAUCAUUCUUUCUCACCACAACCAAACAUUUCUCCCAACAGAGUGGCUUUAUACUCCUAUUUUUUUUUUCAGAAGCAACAAAAAAAAAUAUAACACUAUAUAACAAGGACAGAUUAAUCAUAAGCACAAUAUAUGUUGACAAAAUCAAAAAAGAAAAAAAUAUAUCAAUUGCAAAAAAAAAUAAAAAAUGCCAUAUAUAAUUUCAAUAAACUCAACAAAUAAGACAAAUGCAGGGUUUAACAGUAAAAUUGAAAUUGUAAGGUUCAUCAAUAGAUUCAAUUCAACCAAUCAAUAAGCUAUUUUAAACCAUAGUCACAUGAAAUAAAAAUUAAAAAACAGAUUAGGGUUGAUUUAUUAAUCUAGGGUUUUGUUAAAAGAAAAUUGGGAAAAAUUGAAAAGGGUAAUUGGAAGAAGAGAACAUACCAAGAUGAAGGAGAAGAGAGAGAUGGCGGAAGCUUGAAGGGAGUGACACUGAAGAAGGUAGAAAGCUUGUUGAGGUCAAUUCAACCUUCAUUAGCACCCAUUAGCAAAUAUUCACAUGAAUAUUUCGUCAACAAGCAUACACAUAGGUCAUUUUAUUGCGUUUGUAGGGGUAUGAAAAAUAAUUGAAGGGUUCAAAUUAAAAUUUUCAAAACUAAACCAACGAAAAAUUGAACUAGCCCAAAUCCUAAACCAUGAUAAAUUGCAAAAUUCCCAAUUCAUAAACCCUAAAAAAACAAACUUUAACAACAAAAAACCAAAACCCUCGUAUUUCUGUCUUUGUUCUCAUGGAAACCACUGGUUUGAUUCCUCACGUUGGUGAAAACUACACCCUCAAGCUGAAAAACACAAUGCAAGAAAUUCUAUCAGAACUUCCCAAAGAAUCCCCUGAAUUUUCUCAUUCCAGUGAUGCAUUACAUGAACUGAUGCAAACCAAAGUUGACCCACCUUUUGAUGUGAUAUGGGUCUAUUCUGCAAUCAAAUUUGGUUGCAGAAAAUCUCUUAAAGGUGAUAUCUUGGAACAAAUUUCAGCUGCAAAAGCACUUUUUCAGCUGAUUUCUGCUUGUUCAGCUUCUGUUGGUGGUUCAAAGAGUAUUGCUUUACUUGCUCCUGUUGUUUUUAUGAUACAUAGUGUUGUUAAGGAACUUUUUGAAUUGAAAAGGGAAAAGAAAGCAAUGAAGGAAGUGAAAUCUUUGGUUGAUAUGAUUCUUGGGUUUAUGAGUAUUUGUUGUAGUAAAAUUUCUGAAGAGAAAGAUUUGGAUUUGGUUUUGUCUUUCUCGUCUUUGGGUCGUUGACAAUGAUGAUGAUGAUGAAACAAAUGAGGGGUUUGAAACUUUGUUGCCUCUUGUGAGUAGUGAUGUUUGUGGUUGGAUUUGUGGUAGAGAGUUUCAUGUUGGUUAUUUGGCUGGUGCUGUUAUGAUGGAAGUGUUUUUGCUUAAAUUGUGUUUGUUUUUUGAUAUGGGAAUGGAAAAGAGUGAAUUGGAAAUGUGCCUUAAGAGUUGGAGUGUUGGCUCAAUUUCUAGCUUUCAGAAUGUGUACUUUUUGGGUGAGGUUUAUUUUGUUUUUGGUUUUAAUUUCAAUUUGGUAGUAAAUUUUUUAUUUUAGACCUUAAAACCUACGAAACAUUGAUGCCGACACGUUGACACCAAAUAUACUGAGAAAAUGAAAUAUUUGAAUAUAACUGUAUAUUUGUCUGUGUCAUGUCGAUGUUGCAUAGCUUAAAACUUUUAUCUGGAUGAUCGAUAAAUUCCAUUCAAUGUACUUUUUGUGUGUGGUUUUAUUGUUUUUUCUGUUUUGAAUAUCAAUUUCCUACUACAUAUUUUAACUUAAAACUAUGAAACAUUGAUUCGUAUUAAGACCGAUAGUAAUUUGAGAUAAUGUAUUGAUCCAUGCAUCUGUGUACCGGAUAUGCCUUUAGUGUGAAUUGUCGGUAUAGCUUAACUUUUUAUCUGGAUGAGGGAUGAGUUCAGUGUAUGUUUGGAUUGACGGUGAAUCCGUUAAAAUCAAGGUGGUGUUUUGUGAUGCUCCAAACCAUAGCUUUUAGGAAAAUCACGAUCUCUCGCUGUGAUUCUGCCAAUUUCACCGCCAAUCCAAACAGACCAAAUUAAACAUACUUAUAUUUAGUUUAGCUUGUUUCAAUUGUCUUUCUGAUUUGUGUUGUUCUUUGUUUAAUGUGGAUUUAUCUUCUGUACAAUCAGAGGUUCUUAUGAGGACAACAUUAGAGACAUCUUUGCCUCUGAGCUCAAUAUUGGUUAGUAUUUCAUCUUUGUUAUUUAUUCCAUAUCUGCAGUGUAAUCACAGCAAACAUUUGUUCCCUCGUGGAUUUUGAAAAUGUCUAACACCAUUAUUUUUAUGGAUAUUGAUUAUCACUUGUACUUUUAGUAACAGCGUUCAUGUAUUUAUCUCAAGUCAUUAUGUAAGCGGUUAAAGCUGUUAACAUUUGGAUAUGUCUUUGCAGAAAGCUAAAGAUGAAUUUCUAUUAAAAAAAGUUUUGUUUGAUGCUUUACUAUUGGUGGAGUACUCUUUUAUCUAUGAAAAUGCCAAGAACAUAAAAAGCCUUGCCUUGACCAGAUUGAUUAUUACGCAUGUGGCUGUAGAGUAUCUUAGGUAUGAAGAAUAUGGUGUAUUUUAUUUAUACUUACAUAUAGCUCUUUAUUUAACAUUCGAAGCUUAAUUCAUUCUAGCUUAUAGUAAUGGUUUGAUGUAGGGAACUUGAUCAGAAUAGAGUUGUCUCUUAUAGUAAGGCAUUUUCUUCUUCCAAUUUACCUUCACAAAUAAUUAAACUGGUUUCAAACCAGAAUGGUAUUGAGGAAAAUGCCGGCAAGACAAACGGAUCCUCACCAAGAGCACUUAUAAGUAAGUAGAUUUUGUUCUAAUAUCUAUGGUUUCAGAAAUGGUACCCAACGAAGUACGGCUAACACAUUUCAUAAUUCAUUCUAGAUUGGUUGCUACGCCUUGAGAAUCUAGGAAUUAAAGUUUUUGCAGGUGAGGAGGAUAACCAAAGCAAAUUGAUUAGCGAUGCGUUUGUAGCAGCUGCGCAAACUAUGAAGUCAAGUGAUAAGGAAAGUCGAAAACGAAAAGGGAAAAGCAGUGGAAAGAAGGUUAAGUUUGUGAAGUAUGACCUUGCAGUAAACUCUGUUCCUGUCAAAGGUGGGACUUCAGCUUCAAAUGAUAGUUCAAGUGAUGAGAGUGAAGUGGAGGAUCCAAAUUCAGAUUCAGAUGCCUAAGCUUUGAGUUACAAACUGAUAUUCAGAUUCACAAUCAUGUUUUACAAUUACAUGAUGAUGCAGUGAGAAGUUGCAUGUUGUCUCAUACUUAAGUUUUGUCAUGAUUAUAUAUUCCCUGUGCUUGAUGAUUUAAUGCAAGACAGGCUGUAACAAAUUUUUUCAGUCACAUUUCAUUUACAUUAGAACUUUCUUAAUUUGUUGUGUUGAGUUAGUAUUACAUUAUUCUAGUAAUUAGUUGUUAGAUUAGUUUUUUUCCUUACUCCUUAUCCCUUAGCUCAAGACAAAGACCUGAAGGGCAAUUUUUUUUUUCUUUCUUUCAAAAAAAUAAAUAAGUAUGUUUAAGAAUAAACAAUCAAUUUAGUUGUUGAAGUCAAAAUCAAAAUAAGUCAAAUUGAAGUCAAAAUCAAAAUAACAUAUUUUAUUAGAAAAAAAAGGUUAUAAAUUUAUUAUAGAGAGAUAACACUAAAAUGAAACAUAUUUUAGAAAGAGAAUGAAUUGAUAAUUUAUUUUUAUAAAAUUGAGUUUACGAUCUGACAUGAUGAAGAGAAGUGUGUGCUACAGACAAUAAAGUACAAUAGACUUGGUCUGAGAUGUUUUCUUCUGGUUGGUUGAAUAUUCAAACCACAUACAUACACACUUAUUUAAAAAAAAAAUAUUAAAUAAAAAAAAAAUGACGCACGCAACGUAGUAACACACAUCUACACCUACCUAAGCUAAGAAUCAAUUGAAUUGAAUUAUUUGAAUCACUAUUCUUUCCGUAUUCUUGUUUUGAAGGACUUGUUUUUGGACUUUGAAUAGUCCAAAUCCAAAUUCUCUCUAAUGGCAGCAUCAUCAGAAUCCAUACUCGAUCACAUCCCUCUCUUUGCCAAAGAACUUCUAGCCGGUGGUCUUGCUGGUGGCUUUGCUAAAACUGUUGUUGCUCCUCUUGAACGUCUCAAAAUUCUUUUUCAGGUACUUUCUUUAAUUCUCCUUUUUAUGUCAAGUACAAGUACUCACUCACACAUAAUGAGAAAAUCACACAAUUCUUUAAUCACAAAUGUCCGUGCUACAUACCUUACUUCUUUGCUUUUUUGUUUUCGAAAUGCUUUUGUGUGAUUUCAUUUAAUGUUUGAUUAAUCUUGAAUCCUAGACACUUAAUGAAAUAAUUUAGAGAAUCGCAAAAUCCGAGUUUUGCAUUCCUAAGUCCUAACCAUUACUGUUACAUAAGAGGGGAACUUAACUUUAACUGCUUAAACUAACUCACCUGAAUCAGUAAGUUAGUUACAGUUACAGUUACAGUUACAGACAUAAGGUACCCUAUGGUAGGUUCUAUACUAGCUAGUAAAUAAUGUGAUCUUGGAUACUAUGAAGCACCACCAACACCAAACAUGGGCACCAAAGUUGACACAAGUAAUAGUUUGAAAAAAUGAAUUAAUUGAACGUAAUCACGUAUAAAACACUGUGAUCUUGAAAACUAUGAAGCAUGGACACCAAACAUGAAAUUGAUACAUCGACACCGAUAAUAAUUUGAGAAAAUGAAUUAAUUGAAUGUAAUCACAUAUGUUAUGUCGUGUCGUUGUCCAACAACAGGAUAUCGGGUAAAUUAUAUUUCUGCUCAGAAAUCAAAUCAGUUUUCAUCCAUGACUUUGGAUGUAUUUUGUGAUUACACGAAGUGUUAACGUCAAUGCAUUUGAAAUUGAAACUGCAGGUUGUUAGUCCAACCAAGUUGAAUGUGUCGGGGAUGGUAAAUAACGAACAAGUUUAUAGAGGGAUCCGUGACUGUCUUUCAAAAACUUAUAAAGAGGGUGGCAUUAAAGGUAUCUAUAGGGGAGUAGGUAUGCAUUUAAAUCUGCUUGUGUUUGCAACUGUUAAUUCAGCAGCAGUAUUGUAUUUCACUGCUGUGUUGUUAUUGCAGAACUCUUAUGUUAAUCAUGGCCACAGCUCCGACACUCUUUGGAAUAUUCCCAUACGCCGGUUUGAAAUUCUACUUCUAUGAGGAAAUGAAGCGCCACGUCCCUGAGGACUACAAGAAAAGCAUCAUGGCGAAACUGACAUGUGGAUCCGUGGCCGGUUUAUUGGGUCAGACAUUCACAUAUUUUCUUGAAGUUGUCAGGAGGCAAAUGCAGGUAACGUGCUUUAUUUGGUCGGCUGGAAAUUAUAGAUGGAUAUUGAGUAACAUGAUACAAAGUUAACCUGUCUAGGUUCAAAACCUUCCAGCAUCUGAAGAAGCCGAGUUGAAAGGGACUAUGAGAUCCAUGGUUUUGAUUGCUCAAAAGCAAGGCUGGAAGACCCUGUUUUCAGGGCUGAGUAUCAAUUACAUAAAGGUCGGAAAAUCAUAGAACAUUAAAGUAAUUAACACUCUAGAACCGUUCUGUAUAACUAAGCAUUUUUGUUUGUUUGUUGCAAUUCAGGUUGUUCCAUCUGCGGCCAUUGGCUUCACAGUUUAUGAUACUAUGAAAUCAUACUUGAGAGUACCAUCAAGAGAUGAAGUGGACUAACAAAAGAAUCAGUCAACCAUCCUCACAUUAGGAAUAAGCUCCUAACUCCUCCAGGCUUCAAAACUGGCUUCUUCUUCUCAUUAUAUUCACAUUGUUUUCACACAUUACUUUAGCUGCACAUUGCAUUCUUUCGGAUUGUAAAUAGAGAUUAGAGGUUGUUACACACUAUACCAACAAACAAUACCCUGAUUCAGAUCUCAUUGAAGUAGGAAAUAGUUUCUUUGUGGUUUAGACAGGACAAACUGUUUAUGUACAAUUAACAAAUAAAUUAAUUGCACUUUUUGAAUGUGCAAGUAGAGAUAAUGAUAUAGAAAUGUUGACACAGUCACAUCCUUUCACUGUAUUCAGUUUAUCUAUGCAGCCACUGAAAUUCUAUUGCCUUCCAAUUAUCAUUAGUUAUUUUAGUUCUGAAUUCAACAAGCAAUGCUGAAUAAUAUAUAUCCGAGACCGAUUCAGCAUUGCAACAUGCUCAUAUUUGUGUGGAAAAGAGGAAAGGAAAAUUAUUUACCAACACUUCACCCACCCACACAUCCGACCAAAACCAAGUAUUCUCCCCAUUACCAACACCACAAUGAACAUUAUCCAUAAACCACUCCUCCCUACUCAACACCUCUACAUCACGCCACCACAAAGAUGAGUUGCGCCCCCCACACCACAACCGCCCCUCUGACAAGGCAUACCGCGCUGACAGCACCCUAAACCACAUACUCUCCCUCUCCACCAACAUCCGCCAACACCACUUCCUUAACAACGCACUAUUAAACUCCCUAAUUCUCCUUACCCCCAAACCACUAACCUCCUUAACCAGACGACCGCUGAAGGAUAAAUGUUUGGAGUUCCAGCUAGAUAGUCUAGAUUUAAUUCGAUAAAGUAAUGGUUCCCAAAAAGCCAACCGCCUCGCAUUACCACCAAUGGGAAGCCCCAGAUACACAAAAGGGAUGGAACCAACCUUACAAUUCAAAACCAUAGCUGCUUCCGCUAACCAGGAGGCUGACACGUUAACCCCAACCAACUGGCUCUUAGAAAAAUUCACCUUCAGCCCAGAUAGAGCUUCAAAGAGAAGGAGAACCGCCUGCAUAGCUCGAAUAUGGCCCCAAGACUUCUCACCCAAAAUAAGAGUAUCGUCCGAAUUGAAGAUGAGACACAACAACAGGGGCGCUACUACCCACCUUAUAACCAACAAAUAAACUAUUGUCUGACAUAGAAUUCAUCAACACAUUGAAACCUUCUGCAGCCAAAAGAAAUAGGAAAGGAGAAAGAGGGUCACCCUGCCUCAAUCCCCACCACAAAGAGAAUUCAUCCGUUGGAGAGCCAUUUACCAAAACAGAAGCGGUAGCCGUCUCAAUGCAUUCUUUUAUCCAUUUGCUCCAAAGAGCCGGAAACCCCAUUUUCAGCAUCACAUUUUGUAAAAAACCCUAGUCAAUAGAGUCAUAUGCCUUUUCGAAGUCCACCUUAAACAGUAAAAGAUCCUUCUUGAGUCUAUGAGCUUCAUCAACUAUCUCAUUAGCCACCAGAAUCCCAUCAAGAAAUAACUUAAGGAAUCACUGACCGAAGUCUAUUAGCUAACACCUUAGCCAAAAUUUUAUACAAGCUUCCCACCAAAGAAAUGGGGCGGAAAUCAUUCAAACGUUGAGGACUGUCAACCUUCGGAAUGAGAGCAAUAAAGGUACUAUUUAUCUCCUUAGCCAAUUUCUCAUUCCUAUGAAAUUCUUGCAAAAAAACGCAUCACAUUGUCUUUCAGAAGGUCCCAAUUUUUUUUAAUGAAACUAAACGAUAUACCGCCAGGACCGGGACACAUAAAAUUGUCACAAUCCUACACUACUGCCUUCACUUCAUCAAAUGAAAAAAGCUUAAUCAAACCAGCCCCCUCUCCACGAGACAAAGUGCGAAAGUGCACGUUAUCCAUAGAGGGGUGAACAACACCACUAGGACGAAAAUGGGUAGAGAAAUGGGAAAACACUACACUCGAACAUUAUUGACACCUUCAACCAACACCCCAUUCACCAAAAAGAAAGGAAUAGUAUUUCGACUGAAAAAAUAAUUUAUAUGAAAGAUAUGUUUAUAUGGUUUAAAAAAUGCUCUAAAAAAACUAUUAACAAAAAAAAACUCUAAUCAAGGAAUAAAGUGAAACAAAAAAUAAAACUAUUUCAAUAUAUAUCAUGAAUAUAAAUAUUGUAAUAAAACUUAUUUAGUGUGUGUGUGUGUGUGUAUAUAUAUAUAAUAUUUAUUAUUUAAUAAAUAUUAAAGAUAUUAGGGUCAUGUUAACCAGUGCCCGGGCACUAGUUAAGCAGCUAAGAAUGGAAAGAAAAAACAAAGUAAACAUUAAAAGCAACACUUUUUCAAAUUUCAAAAAGUAAAAUACACUAUUUUCAAGAAAACAUUUACUUUUAUAUUUCUUUAACUAGUGCCCGUCAACAUUUCCCAAGAUAUUAUAAUAGCAGUCAUUCUGCGACACACUAUACUGCUAUCGAAGUUUUGGGGUCAGAUGCUCUGUGCCGCUAUCAUGAAUUGACAACCUAACAUAACAGUACAGCCAACUCGCUUACAAACUUAGAAUGGUGGAAUACUAUUCACCAGAUUAAAGAGUGCUGUAAAUAUUAGAUAUGUUGUCGUGUUUGAAGUAAUUGGACGUAAAUUUUGUAAUCAUUAAUAAUCCUUUUAUACAGCCCAUAAACAAGACUUGUUAGGUUAUCAUAACAUAUAAGCAAAUUUGUGCAUGCACUCUAUUCCCAAUAAAUAUAUUUCCCAUAUUUAAUAAUCCAAAUAACAAUUUAUAUAUCCAUCCAGUUCUUAUCGGUCAAUACAUGCAAAAAGCGAGAGGUGAGCAACAAAGCCAUGAAGAAAAUACAACUGAAAAUAUUAGAACAGUUUACUUAGUUUCUUAUCUUCACCUUCAGUUGAUGUUUUCAAAUUCAUUGUAAAAUAAAAAUGUUACAUUACAUAUUUUUACCUUGUUUUCAAAAUUGUCACAAAAUUGUUAGAAGGAAGUGUUAUUUUCACCACUUCCUGAAGAAAAUUUUCAAUAUAAAAAACAAAAUGAAAACGGAGUUAAAAAGACCAACUGAAAAUGGAAAAUAAAUCAAACAGUCCCUUUUAUGACCAACUGAAAAUGGAAAAAAAAUCAAACAGUCCCAUUAAUAAUCCUUUUAUAUCAAACACAAACAGGUGCCAGUUGAUACAAAAAGAUGAGUAUUUAUCUCCACGUGCAGCAUGUUGCAUAAGAAUUAAAAAUCAAGAGAAAAAAAACACUUGAACUACUUUGAACAUUGUCAUAAUUUAUAUGCCAGGUGACCAAAUCACAUGAUCAACUAUAUAAAAGCAUAUCUUCUUUCAUCAGUAUAUUUUUUUUGAAAUAAGGAAAAAGAUAAUAUGAAGAAAAAAGAUGAAUAGUCAUAGUUACUAUUUUAAAAAGAAAAAAGAAAAGAUAAGAGAAAGAACACUACCUAGAAAUUCACCAAAAUCAGGGAAAAAAGUCCCAGCUCCCCAAAGGCCAAGACGAACCAUAUAAGCCAUAUUGCGAGGUUCAGAUGCACCAGUAGCUGAGCAAUAAACAACCCGAGCUUCAGGUAGUUGAGCCUGUCAAAUUUUAAUGGAAGAACUUUGAAUAAUUUAUACACUCAAAACUAAUUAUUUCAUUUUGAAGUGAACAAUAACACAACUAGAGUACAAACCUGUAUAUCAAGUACUGCUUGACCAGUUUUCGUUGGCUUCUUAUCCUUUUCGGGAACCAAAUUUUUUGCUUUAUGACACUGUAAUGAAGCCACACACACACUUCAAUAAUAAAGAGUAAUAAAUAUAAAUUGAAUACUUAAAAUACCACUUAAUAACAAUAUCCCUCAAAAUUCAACAGUGGAAAUAUCAAUUGAGAAUAGGAAUGAUUUCCAUUUAAAAAAGCCUAAUACCUCAUCAAAUAUUAUAAGACCAUCAAACUUGGGUCCACACCACUGCACAAGCUGUUGCAUACGGGUACGACCUCUGUCAGAUGAUGCUAUGAGGCUACUGUAUGUCGAGAAAAUAACUCCCUCCCUAACUCCAACAGACUUUGUAUCAAGCUUAGUAUAAGGCAGUUUAUUCAAAGCAUGCACUGGACAGAUUCAAGAAAGAAAUAUAUUUAAAUGCAUAAUGAAUCUUGUAAUAUACAAAAACAAAAUAGUGAAGAAAAAGAAUUGCAAUAACAAUCAAAGAAGACUCUUAAUUAACCAAGGAAGCCAACAAAAUAUCAGAUAAAAUUAUUUUUUGGAUAACAUAUGAAUUAUUAGACACAAGAAAGCAAAAAAUAAUAGGAGGAUAUGUUAUAUUGUAAACAAAAAUACAAGAAAACGCAAGAGACAAAAAAUAAUGUUAAAAAAGUGAAGCUCUCUGGUCCCUUGCAGUAUCUGCAAUUGGAAGGAAAGCGUCCUAGAAUGACAAUGUGUGUGUCAAUCUUCAAAAAGGUUCCAUUAACCUAAUAACAAUAUACUCGCUCCGUCCCUAAUUACAAGAUCGUUUAUAAAGGAAAAAAAAUUGUCCCUAAAUAUAAGAGCAUCUACAAAUUUAUAAAUGCUUUUAUUACUCUUAUUCCACAUAUGCCCCUUAUUAAUUCUAUCAAUGUAUCUUGGAAUAUGAAAACUUAACAUUGAAUAUAUCUAUACGCAAAGGGUAAUUUGGUAAUAAUAGUCACAAACAUUUCUAACAAAUUUAUUACUCCAACAUUUUUUCCUUAAUAUCUGUGAUUUUUGUUAGAUAGUCCUAUAAAAAGGGACGGAUGGAGUAUGUAGGAGUAGCAUAACAAUUGAAGUGGCACCGCACACCCAAGACUUUUCACUUCAUUAAUAUUAUUACUAACUUUAAACUCUUUCCUUAACAAACUGAACCCCUUCUAUCCCUGAUUAAUACCAUUUCUUUUAUGUUAAUGGUAUGAUAAUUACAUCAAACUACCAAAGAAGUUAAUCAUAUCAUAGGACUUCAGUUUACAGACCCAAAAAGCAUACCUGAAAUGCAACUUGCACCCAUAUCAUCCAAAUCUCUCCUGGCAUCAAACUUCAAGUCUGAGCCAACAGAAAUCCACCUGCGUAAGAUCAUUGGAACAUGAAAAUAGGAAUUAAAAGACCCACUCCAAGUUGAAAUUACAAACGAGUAUGCAUGCAUGCACAAUAAAGCACGUUGAAAAGUGAAUGUUUAUCUCAAUUCUUAAAAGCAUGCCCAUGAUUACAUGCACAAAUUGUGACUUAAACUUACAGGGUUUUUCUCCUUCCAUGGUGCCAGUUCUCCCAGAUUAGCCCAGCGACUGUUCGACCUUUACCUACACCAGCUCCAUCUCCAAUAAAGAAUCCUGCCCUAGGACCACUGGGAACAUGUUGAAGGUGUCUCUACCAUGGAAACAAACAUCAUACAUAUGAAAGUUAAAUUGUAAUUAUUUAUAAUUAUUUACUAUCGAUAUUCAAUCAUGUGGUGAGAGAAACCUGACAAGCAUAAACCAAUGUCUCGAUCUGCAAGCAUGACAAAGCCUUUGAACGUUCCAAAUCAUUCUUAAUCUUUGGAUCAUAAGUAGGCUCGGGUGGCUGCACUGCAGACAAGGAAGAUGUCUCCACAAUCGGAUCUGGGUGUGGAGAUCCAAUAGAUAGCUUGGAUGGUCGCUGCAUAACAAGAGACGUUGGUAUCAGUAAAAUGUACCAUUUGAUAAAUUAACACAAAAAAGUUUAAUAUAAAUUGCUCCCAAGAGUAUUUAACUCACAUAAUCUGUAAAUGUUUCUCCAGCGAUACCUCCAUCGCCUUCUUCUUGCUCCACUUCAUUAACCAGCUGAUAUAUUUUAAUAUUGACAACAAAAAAAAAAAAAAAAAAAAAAGAAAAAAACAUGAGAUACAAAUACAAGGAUAGGAAAAAUAGAAAGACAGUAACUUUAAAAGGAAAUUUGCACACACAUUCCAUAGGAAAAUAAAAGAAACGAAGAAAAUAUAGAAAUAACGGAGAACGAAGUCAUCCAUUGAUUUAUUUUUAGUUUCUUAUAUAGAAACUGAUAGAACACUAAGAUAAGGCACAUUCUAAAAGAUUGUAGAAGUAUAGGCAAUAAGAGUUAGUUGAGAUGUUUCCUUGAUUUUAGGGAUAUUUCUAUUAUAAAAGAGAGGGAAGGGUAUUGUGUAACUCAUUCACGAAUACUGUUAGAAACUUGUUAGGAGAGUUCCUCUCUGGUCUAGGGGCCUAGCUCUGGUAGGAGUUCAUGGAACUUGGGUUUAUCUCUUGCGUUUUCUACAUUUCACCAUUGGAGAGCCUUUCGUUUAAAAUCAGUUGUUGAUUUUACGGUUUCUAUUAGAAUCUCUCUCCAGCACAUUUAUUGGACAGAUUGUUUUCCAACUGUCUCUCUAGGAUUCUGGAGCAUAUCUAGCUCCUGUGACACCGUUUGGGAAAACUUAUGAAAACAACUUAUGACAGGUUCAGAGUCUAUUUUCAGCUUAUUUCCACAAACUCUCCAAGAAGAUAGCUUACAAAAAUGGCUUAUAUAUUAUGUAAAAACAGUUUGACUUCAUUUUAUCUUGUUUUAUAGAAAUAGCAAGCGCUUAAUUAUAAGCUGCAAAAUAAGUUCCAAACAAGCCCCUGAUAGCCACCGUAAACCAUAUAUAUAAUGAUAAUAACAACAUCAACUAAUCAAAACUAGGUGCCAUAAACAAUCUAAAAUCUUUCUCUAAGCAACACAACAAUCAUUAUUAGGACCCUAAGAAAUAUCUUAUUCAUAAGCAUUUAUUUUAUAAGCUGCAAAAAUUAAGAUCCAAACAGCACAUACUCGUCAGUUAACUCAACAGCAACUAAUCAAAUCAAAGUCACAUAAACAAUGCAAAAUCACUCCCUAAUCAACACAACCUUCACUCCAUAAGAUUCCCCCAAUCUGAAAAUUAGGUCAAAAUCAAAUCAAAUCAACUACAGUAAAAAACAAAGUAACGAAAGCACAAAACCUCGUUAACUUCUUCAACAUCAGCAUGAACAUCAAUCCUCACAUGACAUUGCGGACACGGAAACUUCGAAAGAUUACUUGGAGCAUUCACAACCGCCUUACACGAAGAACACCGGAUUUUCACUGCGGAAGAGUCAACGAAGAACACAUGCGGCAUUUGACAGUUCGGACAAGGUAACUCCGCCACACCUUGCGCGGCGGAGAAGUAGGUCCGGCAACCGGCGCAACGCGCGCGUGCGGUGGAAGGUGGUGGUGGUUGCGGUUGGCGAUUCAUUUUCUGUUAGGGAGAGAAGGAAGUUGAGAGGUUGUAAAAUGUGAGCGCCAAAAUUGUUUUGUUAGCGGGUGGGUUUGGUGUUAUAUAUAUGCGUGAAUUUUUCCUCUUGGCUAUACGAAGUUGAAGAGUCGAUGAUGAUGGGUCACUAACUUUUUUUUACUCUUUCCACUGAUUUUGAUGUGAAAAUUGUUGUUGAUAGAUUUGAUUUGGCGGCUGAGAAACAGGAGUAAUUUAUCCAAAUAUUCUUCGGAAUUUUGAAGGAAUCGAUUGCAGUUAACUGUCGAGGAUCUUCUGCUACAAGAUCUUUCAUCCAUUAUUCAUUUCAUCUUCCAAUUUUUUUUUUCUUUCAAAUCUCUCUCACAAUCUAGCAGAAGCUCUCUCAUCCAUUAUUUAUCUCAUCUUCCAUUCUUUUUUUCUUUCAAAUCUCUCUAAAAAAUCAAAUCAAAUCAAAUUUAUUCAACAGGUAAGUAAUUAUAAUGUUAUUAACUUACAUUUUAGUUGUUAUAAAUGUUCUUAUUUUUUAGUUUUUGAGUAGAUUUAUUUUAUUUUAGUUUUCGAGUAGAUUUACAUAAUAUAAUUCAUUUUUAGAGUAAAGGUUGGUUGCUUAAUUUAGUUAAAAUGUUUGUAUGAUGUUUAUGUUAUAGUUCAAUAUUUUAUGGAUAUAUUUUAAUUUGGUGUUUUAUAUUUAUUUUUUAAUUUUAAUUUUUAAUUAAAUUUACAUGUUAUAAAUCAUUUUUAGAUUAGAUGUUAGUUGAUUAAAUUAGUUAAAAUGUUUGCAUGAUGAUUAUGUUAUAGUUUAAAAUUUUAGGGUUAUUUUUUAAUUUGGUGUUUUAUAUUUAUUUUUUUAUUUUAGUAAGAGUAUAUGAUUUAUUUUAAGUGAAAAUAUAUGUUGAAUAAUUUUGUUAAAUUCUACGUUAUAACAAAAAAAAAAAUAUGCUAAACAUAAGUUGAAUGAUUUAUGUUAUAAUAUAUGUUUAAUUUUUUUAUUUUAGUAAGAGUAUAUGAUUUAUAAUUUUAGGGUUAUUUUUAUGAUCUUUAGAGUCUAUGUAUAAUUUGUACAUCAAAUGUUUGAUAAAAUGUUUAAAUGAAUUUUUCGUUGAUUGUUUUUAAUUUCUUAUUGUGUAGAUUUCUUUUUUAGUACUGUAAGACCCCAAAAUUUUAUUUACAAUUAUUUUGUCUCUAUUUGUAAUAAAAUUAUUCUAGUAUCCUUUGAUCUUGUUUUUAUGAAGAAACUCUACCUUAAUUAGUUUUCUGGAUUUCUAGUUUCGAGGACGAAACUAUUUUAAGGGGGUAAGAAUGUAACAUCCCGAUAUUUUAUAUAUGUAUUUUUUUAAAAUAAUUUUCUUGACUUGCCAUUUGGUUGUUCAUUAAUUUAUUUUAUGUGCGAGAAACUUUACAAAAUCUUGACAUUCUUUACUUUGGUUUAUUAAUUGAAUCUGAUUUCAUCUAUUUCAUUUUUAUUGAUCAAUUUGGUAUGACAAAAAUAGGCUAUCAUUCCUUACAUAAUUUAUUUUUAUUCAAAUCAUUUUUUUUUUAUUUGUAAUCUAUUUUAUAGUUAGUAAUUUGGAUUAAAUUAAUUAUUUUAUUAAUUGAUUUUCUAUUUUGAUAUGGUCAUACCACACGUUUUUCUUGGUCUAAUUUCCUAAUCAAAAUGCUUCAAAAUAUCUCCUAAUUACUUGGGUGUAGUGGCAUUACUUGAGAGAAGUAAUAACAACUUCCACUAUUUAGGAAUUGAUUUCUUCUCUACAUCCCACGUUCGGUUAAUGGGGUUGGUUUAGUGGAAUAAUAAGCUCUAUAAAGCUACUAAUUAAUUUUGUGGUCGAAGAAAAACAAGUAUGCUUCCUCUACUCCCUGUUCAAUAGAUCGUUUCAUAUAAGAAUUGAUUUCUUGACUACAUUCUCCUAUUAUACAAUUGUUGGUUGAAUCAAUUCCUUCUAUUGCAGUAGCCUUGUCAUUUUUAAAUCUCAUCUAGCAGCUAUUUCCAAAUCCACCGUGCCUAAGCCUAAGAAUUUCCAAAGGAACCACUACUAAAAAACCUUUUCACGCCAAGCAUCAACAUCACCCACCUUCUUGUUCUUGGAACCACCUCAUCUUUGUACAUAGUCUUUCAGAGCUGGUCUUGUCUCAAAGUACUAUUACCAGGUUUCAUUCCAAGUCUCCCACUCUAGUCCAACUCGUUUUAUUGGUGAGUUUGGGGUCAAGAAACUUGCUCGUGCUUUCGGUUCAAUACAACCUUAGGAAUGUCUUGUGAGGAAGAAAAGUGUCUCGGGUAAGGGCUUUUUCCCCAUACGUUCUUACUAAGUACUAGGAUUAUGUUAUGAAUUAGAGGUAGAGAUUCUUGUCUGUUGAAAAGAACAAAACAACUAAAAUAUGAAUUCAUAUGGUAAAAUUUAACCUUUUAUAAAAGUUAUUAGUUUAAUUAUAUUUUAUAUGAUGUCUGUAUGAUAAUGUUAUGUGGCAUGACAUUUUUUCUAUUCAUAUAUGUUUUUGUGGUAUUAAGUGUUAGACUUUGCUGAUAAACUAAAUAAAUGAAAAUAUUUCAGUUUGGUCCAUGUGGAUGAUGAUGUGUUAAUAUCUGACUGUAUUUGUCUAUGAGUUUGCCUUAGUGGCGGGUUAAUAAUAUAUUUCUUUGUGGGGAUAACAUCAUAUUGCAUUAUUGUGCCUUAGUGGCGGGUUUUAGUGUGCAUUUUCAUGUUCGUGCAUGGCAUAUGCAUCUGUGUGGUGCCUUAGUGGCGGGAUUUGCAAUUAUAUUCUCUGUGGAUGCCUUAGUGGCGGGAAUUGCAAUUAUAUUUCUGUGUGGUGCCUAUGUGGCGGGAUAUAUCCGGAUCAUGUAGUAUUUAAGAGCAUGCAUUUUGCACAUCAUUGCAUUGCAUUGGGUCUGUUAUACAUUUGUGUGUUGAUAAGUGAUUAAACUGUUAUAUAUACAAAAGAAAUGUGUAUGAACUUUAUCUUAAAGACUUAAAUGUAUUUUUCUUAUUUCUUUUUGAUUGAGAAGUUUUGAUACUAUCUAUUUUGUGGCAUUGUUCUUGUGCUUUGGGUAUGAACCAAUUUGGAUAAGGAAAUUGACCCUUACACUAACAUUUUAGGUACCAAAGAAGAGAUGAUCUAUGCUUUGAAGUUUUUGCUGGAAGUGUAUACGGGGGACGAAAUUGGAUUUUUGAUUGAAUUGUAACUUUAGUAGAAAUUUUUGAAGGAUAUUAGUUUAAGAGUUUUAAUUACAUUAUGUUAAGAAUUUUGUAUAGGUUUUGCUAGAAUAUAAUAUAGAUGAAAUAAAUAAAUAGUAGUGUUUUUCAGAAAAGGAAAAUGAUUUAGGCGUAAUGUCUUGGACCAAAAUCUGGGGCGUUACAAGUACUGCCUCGUCCCUAAUUAUAAAUUUUUCUUAGUUUUUUUCUUUGUUCUUUUUAUAAGAUUAUUUUUAAAUUUUAAAGCAGAUUAAUUAUUUCUUCAUCAAUAUACGCUAACUUUUGUUAAAUAUUUAAUAUGUAUUAAAUACUCUUAAAAACAUGGGUUAAAUAAGUAAAUAGUCUCCAUAAAUAUACCAACAUUUGAUUUUAGUCCCCUAAAAUAUUCUUGAGACUUUUGGUCCCUUUAAAAAAAUUCAUUUAUGAAAUUAGUCUAUGCUCUACAUUGAGUAUUACACUAAAUUAGGGACUAAUUUCUUAAAUGAAAAAUUUUAGAGGGACCAAAAACCUCAAGAAUAUUUUAGGGGAACUAAAAUCAAAUGUUGAUAUAUUUAGGGUGACUAUUUACUUAUUUAACCCUAAAAACAUUAACAAACUCUCUCUCUAAAGGCUAAAUUUGUAAAACAAUAGCAAUUAUCAGCAAAAUUAAUACAAUAAUCAACUUUCUUAAUUCUUGUGUUUUUCGUAAAAGGGUCUUAUAUUUAUGGUAAAAGGUGAUAACAUUUAUAUUUAUAUAUACUACAUAUAAACAAAAUAUAUCAUGUUUUGACUUAAAACUCUUUCCAAAAUUAUCCUCAACUUUCAAUAAAAAUAUCACCUAAGAGUAAAUUCAAAAAAUAUUAAAAUAAAAGUGUAACAAACACGAUGGGUAUAUAUAUACUUCACUAUCCCAAUUACACCCUUAAACAACUUUUUUCUAUAAUAAAGAUUGUUGUUUGUGUCAUUAAAAAAAUAAAAAUAAAAAUUAUAUUUUUUUGUUACAUUGUUGGUGUCAUUGAAAUAGAUAAUCAUGGUUAGUUUGAUUUGUUAUAAUUUGAAAACAAAAAAUAUUUAAAUUUUUACUUUUAAUCAAAAUCAAAAUUUCAUAAAAAAAAAUACCGUUUAUAACUUUCAAACGUCAGUACAGUAAAAAAAUAGUGGAAAAACGAACUCGUGAGUACCCCUCUUUCGGUAGUAUUUAUAACAUAUGUAAAUUUUAAAUUUGUGUACAAGUAUAUAAAAGAGUGGAAAAAGGGUUAAAUCGAAUUAGAUUUUGUAAGAUUUAAAUUUAGUUUGCGUUCACCAAAAUAAAUAAAUAAAAAUUAGUUUCUCAAAAAUAUUAAGAUUUAUAUUUGACGACUUACUAUUUUUUAGACAUCAACUUGAUUUUUUGAAAGUCUCAUUUGGGUUGAUAACAUGUUUAAAAUUUUAUUUCAUGUGAACAUCUUUAAAUAAUGUGAUCAAUAAGAUUAAACUUCUUUUUUAUAUUUAUAAUGAUUUUUUAAGAAUAUCAUUAAAUAUUAUAUCAUGUUUUAAUUCUAAUUUAUAAUAGGGUUAAUUGUUUUUUUUUUAAAACAAUAAUAGGGUUAAUUGUUGAAAUUGACAUUGUAAUAUAUGUGAAAUCUGAAAAAAUGAUCAUGUCAAAUAAGAAACGUAUAUUUUAAACUUUUAAUUUGGGAUUCUUUUUAUUUUUUACUCUAUAAUAUAUGCGAAGUUAAAAAAAGUGACAUGAAAGUUGAAUUUUUUCAAACAUGUUUAGGACGUAUUAAAAUAUGGUUUUACACAAAAAAUUAGAAUUUUUCGAAUAGGUACAAGUUAAUUAUAAAUUUUUAAAGCGCCAUAAAACAAAACAACGGAAAUCUCAACCUAUACAUCAAACUUUUUUUUCAACCAAAACGUGCAAAACUGUGAUUUUAUUCAAAUAUGGGGAACUCACGGUCACAUUUAUAACAAAAAACUACUUCCUCCAGUCCUAUUUACAAGAGACAGUUGACUUUUUAGAUACAUGCAAUAAUGUAUGUAUCUAGUCAAGAACCUAAACCAAAUACAUAAAUUUUUCAAUGUAUCUAAAAAGUAAAUUGUCUCUUAUAAAUAGGACCGAAGAUAGUACUUUUUAGAUUCAGUGAAUAUUUAAUAUGUUUGAUCUAUAAUAUAGACUAAAUACAUUAUGUAUUUAAUGAAUCUAAAAAAAUAGGAUUUUCGCUUAUAAAUGUGACGGAUAGAGUAUAAUUUACCCAAACAUCUUUGUUAAUUAUAGUCAUGGAAGUAGUUAAAUGGAGUGGAAUUCAAUAAAUCCUUUAUUUAUUAAAAAAGAAUAAUAUGUCACUCCAUCCGUCUCACAAUAUUAAUCGUUUGAGGUUUGUACACGAUUAAUAAGGAAAUAAUUAAUUGUGUUAAUUUCAAUGGUGAAAUUAGUAGUACUUUGUUGGGUAUUUGGAUAUUGGCUUUAUUGUUGCUAAAACAAAUACUCAUGUAUGUUGGAUACGAUGUUCCAACAUCUUGGCACGGUUCAGUGUGCCUUGUUUAUGUGGCUUGGUUUACGUGUAACGCCCUAGUCGUUAUUUUAUUAUUUUUGGAAUUAUUUAGAGUCUUUUAUGUAUUUUAUGACAUAUGUGUGAUUUAUUUGGUGUGUAGUAUUUAUUUAUAUAAUUUAUUUAAUAUAAAUAGGAUAAUAAGAGAAAAGGGAUUAUUUUAGGAGGUUAGGGAUUAAUUGGAAAUUAAUAGUAAUUAGGAGGGGUUUAAUGAAAUAAGGGAAGUUACACUUUGAGGGAAUAAGGAAAGAAAAAGGGAGAAAAACUGUUUUACGUAAAAACAAGUUGGGGAGGAGAAAAGCUAAGGCAAGGAGAGAAGACCAAGAGAGAAGAACUAGAGAAUCGAUUGCUGUGUUUUCUUUGUCUUCGCAAUUCUAAGGUAAGGGUGAGACUAUCUCUCAAUAAUCUUAAUCUAUAAUUUCUGAAAAUUGACCUAAUUGAAUAGUUUUGGAAAAUAAUAAGAAAAUUAGGGUUUGAUGAUGGUUCUGAUGGAAUGAGUAAAGAUGAUGUUAGUUUUCUCUGAAUUUAACGUUAAGAAUGAAAACUUAAUCCAUGUUGUUGCCGCAAUCCACUUAUUGACUGAAUUUUUGAUGAAUUGUAUGAAUUGAUGAUUAUUUGAAUGAUGGUAGAAUGAUUCUGUAAUUGUUGUUGUUGUUGGUUGAAUUGUGUUUCUUUAUGAUGCCUAGUUGUAUAUAGGACCUGUAAACAUCUGUUGGAAAACAUUUUGGGUAAUCAGGGGAUUGAAAUGGAGUUUUUGGAGUGAGGAGUGGUCUGAAACCGUAGGUUUUGCACUGUCCAGACGAAUGGUCGCUUAAGCGAAGCAUCCGUCGCUUAAGCGAGCAGUCAAGCAAGCUGCCCAGAAUGCGAUUUUUGCCCGUUCGCUUAAGCGAACCGUGAGCGAACUGGUAAGCGAAAAUUAAGUUUGGUUCUGCCAAGAAUUCGCUCAAGCGAAUGGUAAGCGACCCUGUGAGCGAAAAACCAUUUUGAUUCUGUCCAAAGUUCGCUCAAGCGAACCGUGAGCGACCCGUAAGCGAACUGAGCCCAGAGCCUACUGUAAGCUGGUCGCUUAAGCGAACUAGCCGUCGCUUAAGCGAAGUGAACCUUAGUCAGCCUUUUCUGAACCCUGCUUGUGAGCUAGGAGACCCCUUUUUGUACUUCUUAUGUGUUUCCUUAGCUUGUAUAACUCUUGUUUAGGUAUCUAAUCCUACUUUAAACAUAAUGAUGAAUGGUUUGGUUGAUUUCUAUGAAUUUUUGGGGGUGUUGAAAUGUGUGAACUAAGUGAAUGAACAUGUUGCAUUGAGAGGGUGAUGAGUCAUAUUAAUAUAUAUGUGAUAGUAGAGUUGUAUGUAGAUAUACACUGGUUGGGUAGUUGCAUAAACAUCAAGUGGGAGAGCUUCGGCUCUGGAACGCCUCGCCGUUCAAAGCGGUGGAACACUAGUUGUUCAAAGCGGUGUGGAGCGGUGAGGACUUAGGUCCUGUUGAGAAUGCUUUAACCAUUCGACAGCGGAGUGGGUCACGGCCCUGAAUUACGGUACCACAUGCAUAUUUGCAUUUAUUGAGGAGUUCUAGAUGGGGAUGUCGUGUCAUAACAUGAGUUGCAUUUUGUUGAAUGGAUUCUAUUAUGAAUGACUGUUGUUGAUGAUAAAUAAUUAUGCUUAUUGAAUAAUCUUUGAUAUUGUAAGGUGUUAGAUUUUCAAUUGAUGUUUUUAUAUAUUAUUUUUAUUGAUUGAGAAUCUCACCCCUUCUGCUUGAAAAUGUUGCCCUUCCUAUGGGUAACUUGCAGGUGAUCCUGAGUAGUAGGUGGUGGCUCAAAGUGUCUAGGGCUCUGAUACGUGGGAUGGGAUUUUAUUGUUUUAUUUCAUUCUAUGUAUCAAAUUUUGGUUAAUGACGUUGUAGCCCUACGAUUGAUGAAUUAUUCUGGUUGAGGCUUUUUAUGCCAAGAUAUUGUUUGGAGUUUUAAAUAGUUGUUGACGUUUCUAUGAUAAUAUUCCGCUGCAUAUUAAACGACGAUUUUCUUUGGAUAUUUUAUAAAUAGAUUUUUAUAUAUAUUCUAUUUCAGAAAUUUGAAAAAUGAAGUGUGACAUGCCCAUGUGGAUUUUAUGACUCUGAUGUAUGUUUAUUUAUUUAAAUAAAGUAUAUUUGGGAAUGGGGUGUUACAAUUGGUAUCAGAGCAGGUUGGUCCGUCCGACCGUGUAGUAGAGUCGUGUUGAGCCACCUAGGUUAGAGUGUCAAACUCUAAUGUUGUUUUGUUAUGUUCUGAAUUGUUAUUUCUUAUGUAGAAUUUAGAAUGGCUGGUCGUAAUGAUGCUGCUAUCGCUGCUGCACUUGAGGCUGUUGCUCAAGCUGUAGGACAGCAACCCGCUGCUGGUAACGGAGAGGUGAGAAUGCUGGAGACCUUCUUGAGGAAUCAUCCACCGGCAUUUAAGGGGAGGUAUGAUCCAGAUGGUGCCCAGACUUGGUUGAAGGAGGUGGAGAGGAUCUUUAGAGUCAUGCAGUGCUCUGAAAUUCAAAAGGUGCGGUUCGGGACGCACAUGCUAGCGGAGGAGGCCGAUGAUUGGUGGGUAAGUCUGCUACCGGUACUUGAGCAGGACGGUGCGGUGGUGACCUGGGCUGUGUUCAGGAGGGAAUUCCUGAAUAGAUAUUUUCCGGGAGAUGUCCGUGGCAAGAAAGAAAUAGAGUUUCUGGAGUUGAAGCAAGGUGACAUGUCUGUCACGGAAUAUGCUGCAAAGUUCACGGAGCUGGCUAAGUUUUAUCCUCACUAUACUGCGGAGACGGCUGAAUUCUCCAAAUGUAUUAAGUUCGAGAAUGGGCUGAGAGCUGACAUCAAGAGGGCCAUUGGCUAUCAAAAGAUCAGAACUCUUUCUGAGUUGAUAAGUAGCUGCAGAAUCUAUGAAGAAGAUUCAAGGGCUCAUUACAAGGUGAUGAGUGAACGGAGGGGCAAGGGACAACAGAGUCGUCCUAAGCCGUAUAGUGCUCCUGCUGGUAAGGGAAAGCAACGACUGAAUGAUGAAAGGAGACCCCAAGGGAAGAGACACUCCUGCGGAGAUAGUUUGCUUUAAGUGUGGCGAGAAGGGCCACAAAAGUAAUGUUUGUACCAAAGAUGAGAAGAAGUGCUUCAGGUGUGGACAGAAGGGUCACGUGUUAGCUGAUUGUAAACGUGGUGAUAUUGUAUGCUACAACUGCAAUGGGGAGGGUCAUAUCAGUUCUCAGUGCACUCAACCGAAGAAGGUUAGGACCGGUGGGAAAGUGUUUGCCUUGGCUGGUACGCAAACCGCGAAUGAAGAUAGACUUAUCAGAGGUACUUGUUUCUUUAAUAGUAUCCCUUUAAUCGCUAUUAUAGACACUGGUGCUACACAUUGUUUCAUUGCUUUAGAGUGUGCUUAUAAACUGGGUUUGAUUGUGUCUGAUAUGAAAGGAGAAAUGGUCGUUGAAACUCCGGCUAAGGGUUCAGUGACUACUUCUCUUGUUUGUUUGAGAUGUCCUAUAUCUAUGUUUGGUAGGGAUUUUGAAGUAGACCUAGUUUGCUUACCUUUGACGGGGAUGGAUGUUAUAUUUGGGAUGAAUUGGUUAGAGUAUAACCGAGUUCAUAUCAACUGCUUUAAUAAGACUGUACAUUUUUCUUCUGCUGAAGAAGAGAGUGGAGUUGAGAUUUUAACUACGAAAGAGAUGAAGCAACUAGAACGAGACGGGAUUCUGAUGUAUUCUCUGAUGGCAUAUUUGUCGUUGGAAAACCAAGCUGUGAUCGACAGGUUACCAGUGGUGAAUGAGUUUCCUGAAGUUUUUCCGGAUGAGAUUCCAUAUGUACCACCAGAGAGGGAGGUUGAGUUCUCCAUUGAUCUAGUACCAGGAACGAAGCCGGUAUCGAUGGCACCUUAUCGUAUGUCGGCAUCUGAACUUGCUGAGUUAAAAAAACAGUUGGAGGAUUUACUCGACAAGAAGUUUGUAAGACCAAGUGUCUCACCGUGGGGAGCGCCUGUGUUGUUGGUAAAGAAGAAGGAUGGUAGUAUGAGGUUGUGUAUUGACUACCGUCAGUUGAAUAAAGUUACGAUAAAGAACAGAUAUCCUCUUCCGAGAAUUGACGACUUGAUGGAUCAGUUGGUUGGUGCCAAGAUUUUUAGUAAAAUUGACUUGAGGUCAGGUUACCAUCAAAUCAAGGUGAAAGAUGAAGACAUGCAGAAGACUGCCUUUAGGACACGAUAUGGUCAUUACGAAUAUAAGGUGAUGCCUUUCGGUGUUACUAACGCGCCUGGGGUGUUCAUGGAGUAUAUGAAUAGAAUUUUUCAUGCUUAUCUGGAUAAAUUUGUGGUUGUGUACAUUGAUGACAUUUUGAUCUAUUCGACAACGGAGGAAGAGCAUGCAGAACAUCUAAGAAUUGUGUUGCAAGUAUUGAAAGAGAAGAAGUUGUAUGCCAAAUUGUCGAAGUGUGAGUUCUGGUUAAGUGAAGUAAGUUUCCUUGGCCAUAUUAUUUCUGGAAGUGGUAUUGCAGUGGAUCCUUCAAAGGUUGAUGCAGUAUCACAAUGGGAGACUCCAAAGUCAGUGACGGAGAUCAGAAGUUUCUUGGGUUUAGCUGGUUAUUACCGCAGGUUUAUUGAGGGAUUCUCAAAGUUAGCUUUGCCGUUGACUCAGUUAACCUGUAAGGGUAAGUCUUUUGUAUGGGAUGCUCAAUGUGAGAGUAGCUUCAAUGAGUUGAAGAGGAAGUUGACGACUGCCCCUGUUUUAAUUUUGCCUAAGCCGGAUAAACCGUUUGUUGUUUACUGUGAUGCGUCUAAACUGGGUCUAGGAGGUGUGUUGAUGCAAGAUGGUAAGGUAGUGGCGUAUGCUUCUAGACAGCUGAGAGUACAUGAAAAGAAUUAUCCUACUCACGAUUUAGAGUUGGCUGCGGUGGUCUUUGUUUUAAAGAUUUGGAGGCACUACUUGUAUGGUUCCAGGUUCGAAGUGUUUAGUGACCAUAAGAGCUUGAAAUAUUUAUUUGACCAGAAGGAGUUGAACAUGAGACAGAGGAGAUGGCUAGAGUUAUUGAAGGAUUAUGAGUUUGGGUUGAACUAUCAUCCGGGUAAAGCUAAUGUAGUUGCAGAUGCCUUGAGUAGAAAGACGUUACACAUGUCGGCCAUGAUGGUGAAGGAAUUUGAGUUGCUUGAACAGUUUAGAGAUUUGAGCCUUGUUUGCGAGUUGUCACCCCAGAGUGUGCAGUUGGGUAUGUUGAAAAUCAAUAGUGAAUUCUUGGAUAGUAUUAGAGAAGCGCAACUAGUGGACGUCAAGUUUGUGGAUUUAAUGAUUGAUAGCAAUCAAACUGAAGAUGGUGAUUUCAAGGUUGAUGAACACGGUGUGUUGAGAUUCAGAGGCAGAAUUUGCAUUCCUGAUAACGAUGAGAUGAAAAGAUUGAUUUUGGAAGAAAGUCACAAGAGUAGCUUGAGUAUCCAUCCGGGAGCUACGAAGAUGUACCACGACUUGAAAAAGCUGUUUUGGUGGGUUGGUUUGAAGCGUGAUGUUGCUCAGUUUGUAUAUGCGUGUUUGACUUGUCAGAAGUCAAAGGUUGAACAUCAGAGGCCUGCAGGGUUGUUGACACCAUUGGAUGUACCGGAGUGGAAAUGGGAUAGUAUUUCUAUGGAUUUCGUGACGAGUUUACCAAACACUCCGAGAGGACAUGAUUCUAUAUGGGUUGUAGUCGAUAGAUUGACGAAGUCGGCGCACUUUAUUCCGAUAAAUAUCAGUUUUCCGGUGGCGCAAUUGGCAGAGAUUUAUAUCCGGGACAUUGUGAAGUUGCAUGGUGUUCCGUCGAGUAUUGUAUCAGAUAGGGAUCCAAGGUUUACUUCAAGAUUUUGGAAGAGUUUACAAGAUGCGUUGGGAUCGAAAUUGAAAUUGAGUUCAGCUUAUCAUCCGCAGACUGAUGGUCAGUCGGAGAGGACAAUCCAAUCUUUAGAGGAUUUGCUAAGGGUAUGUGUACUUGAGCAAGGUGGAGCGUGGGAUAGCCACUUACCGUUGAUAGAAUUUACUUAUAACAAUAGUUACCAUUCGAGUAUUGGUAUGGCACCGUUUGAAGCAUUGUAUGGUCGCAGAUGCAGGACUCCUUUGUGUUGGUUUGAGUCGGGAGAAAGUGUGAUGUUGGGACCAGACAUAGUUCAACAAACUACAGAAAAGGUUAAGUUGAUAAGAGAACAUAUGAAAGCGUCGCAGAGUCGACAGAAGAGCUAUCAUGACAAGCGUAGGAAGGACCUUGAGUUUCAAGAGGGAGAUCAUGUGUUCUUGAGGGUCACUCCUAUGACAGGUGUGGGUCGUGCAUUAAAAUCUAAGAAGUUGACUCCAAAGUUUAUUGGCCCAUAUCAGAUAUCUGAGAGAGUUGGAACUGUGGCGUAUAGAAUUGGAUUACCACCUCAUCUUUCGAAUUUGCAUGACGUGUUUCAUGUGUCACAGUUGCGGAAGUACGUACCUGAUCCUUCGCAUGUUAUUCCAAGAGAUGAUGUGCAAGUUAGAGAUAACCUGACGGUGGAGACCUUACCUUUAAGGAUUGAUGAUCGUAAGGUGAAGUCUUUAAGAGGUAAAGAGAUACCCCUUGUAAGAGUUGUUUGGGGUGGUGCAACUGGCGAAAGCCUAACUUGGGAGUUGGAGAGUAAGAUGCAAGAAUCGUAUCCGGAGUUGUUUGUUUGAGGUAAGAUUUCGAGGACGAAAUCCUCUAAGUUGGGGAGAGUUGUAACGCCCUAGUCGUUAUUUUAUUAUUUUUGGAAUUAUUUAGAGUCUUUUAUGUAUUUUAUGACAUAUGUGUGAUUUAUUUGGUGUGUAGUAUUUAUUUAUAUAAUUUAUUUAAUAUAAAUAGGAUAAUAAGAGAAAAGGGAUUAUUUUAGGAGGUUAGGGAUUAAUUGGAAAUUAAUAGUAAUUAGGAGGGGUUUAAUGAAAUAAGGGAAGUUACACUUUGAGGGAAUAAGGAAAGAAAAAGGGAGAAAAACUGUUUUACGUAAAAACAAGUUGGGGAGGAGAAAAGCUAAGGCAAGGAGAGAAGACCAAGAGAGAAGAACUAGAGAAUCGAUUGCUGUGUUUUCUUUGUCUUCGCAAUUCUAAGGUAAGGGUGAGACUAUCUCUCAAUAAUCUUAAUCUAUAAUUUCUGAAAAUUGACCUAAUUGAAUAAUUUUGGAAAAUAAUAAGAAAAUUAGGGUUUGAUGAUGGUUCUGAUGGAAUGAGUAAAGAUGAUGUUAGUUUUCUCUGAAUUUAACGUUAAGAAUGAAAACUUAAUCCAUGUUGUUGCCGCAAUCCACUUAUUGACUGAAUUUUUGAUGAAUUGUAUGAAUUGAUGAUUAUUUGAAUGAUGGUAGAAUGAUUCUGUAAUUGUUGUUGUUGUUGGUUGAAUUGUGUUUCUUUAUGAUGCCUAGUUGUAUAUAGGACCUGUAAACAUCUGUUGGAAAACAUUUUGGGUAAUCAGGGGAUUGAAAUGGAGUUUUUGGAGUGAGGAGUGGUCUGAAACCGUAGGUUUUGCACUGUCCAGACGAAUGGUCGCUUAAGCGAAGCAUCCGUCGCUUAAGCGAGCAGUCAAGCAAGCUGCCCAGAAUGCGAUUUUUGCCCGUUCGCUUAAGCGAACCGUGAGCGAACUGGUAAGCGAAAAUUAAGUUUGGUUCUGCCAAGAAUUCGCUCAAGCGAAUGGUAAGCGACCCUGUGAGCGAAAAACCAUUUUGAUUCUGUCCAAAGUUCGCUCAAGCGAACCGUGAGCGACCCGUAAGCGAACUGAGCCCAGAGCCUACUGUAAGCUGGUCGCUUAAGCGAACUAGCCGUCGCUUAAGCGAAGUGAACCUUAGUCAGCCUUUUCUGAACCCUGCUUGUGAGCUAGGAGACCCCUUUUUGUACUUCUUAUGUGUUUCCUUAGCUUGUAUAACUCUUGUUUAGGUAUCUAAUCCUACUUUAAACAUAAUGAUGAAUGGUUUGGUUGAUUUCUAUGAAUUUUUGGGGGUGUUGAAAUGUGUGAACUAAGUGAAUGAACAUGUUGCAUUGAGAGGGUGAUGAGUCAUAUUAAUAUAUAUGUGAUAGUAGAGUUGUAUGUAGAUAUACACUGGUUGGGUAGUUGCAUAAACAUCAAGUGGGAGAGCUUCGGCUCUGGAACGCCUCGUCGUUCAAAGCGGUGGAACACUAGUUGUUCAAAGCGGUGUGGAGCGGUGAGGACUUAGGUCCUGUUGAGAAUGCUUUAACCAUUCGACAGCGGAGUGGGUCACGGCCCUGAAUUACGGUACCACAUGCAUAUUUGCAUUUAUUGAGGAGUUCUAGAUGGGGAUGUCGUGUCAUAACAUGAGUUGCAUUUUGUUGAAUGGAUUCUAUUAUGAAUGACUGUUGUUGAUGAUAAAUAAUUAUGCUUAUUGAAUAAUCUUUGAUAUUGUAAGGUGUUAGAUUUUCAAUUGAUGUUUUUAUAUAUUAUUUUUAUUGAUUGAGAAUCUCACCCCUUCUGCUUGAAAAUGUUGCCCUUCCUAUGGGUAACUUGCAGGUGAUCCUGAGUAGUAGGUGGUGGCUCAAAGUGUCUAGGGCUCUGAUACGUGGGAUGGGAUUUUAUUGUUUUAUUUCAUUCUAUGUAUCAAAUUUUGGUUAAUGACGUUGUAGCCCUACGAUUGAUGAAUUAUUCUGGUUGAGGCUUUUUAUGCCAAGAUAUUGUUUGGAGUUUUAAAUAGUUGUUGACGUUUCUAUGAUAAUAUUCCGCUGCAUAUUAAACGACGAUUUUCUUUGGAUAUUUUAUAAAUAGAUUUUUAUAUAUAUUCUAUUUCAGAAAUUUGAAAAAUGAAGUGUGACAUGCCCAUGUGGAUUUUAUGACUCUGAUGUAUGUUUAUUUAUUUAAAUAAAGUAUAUUCGGGAAUGGGGUGUUACAUUACGCAAUCUUUAUCUUAUUAAAGAAACCUCGCCCUAUUUCUUGUUCACAAAGCAGCGCGUUUUUGUCCAGAAUCAGCUGGAAGAUUUGUUUCUAAAAUAUAAAGAAUAUUUUGGGAUUCCUUGGUGGUGUGUUUGGCGUUUCCUAAAGAUGUUCCUACUUUUUAGAAGUUAACAUAUUUGUGAAAUAUAUUUUCAAAAGAGAUUUUAAAAAAUAUAUUUCUGAAGAAUAUUUGUUUCAAUAUAUUUCUAAAAAGAAUAUUUGAUUCAAAUAUAUGUGUAUUGAUGUAGUAUUUUUGCAUCAAACAAUUGUAAGUAUUUAUAUCGUCUCCUCAGGGACUAGUGCGAUAUCGCGGACCGUUCGACACCAAAUACCAUUCCAAGUUAAAAAGAUAAUUGGUUGUUUGUUUUAGUAUCUCAUUUGCAAACGAUAAAAUUGAGAUUAAUAGGGCGUGAAACUUGUUAGGAUUAGAGUUCCUUGAUCAAGCGUCGCACGUAACCUAAUGAUCAUACAUGGAUUCUAGCUUUUCUUUGAUAUUAUCACGUAUCCCUCGACAACACUAUUCGUGUCCAAACAAUAUUGUGAAAUCAAUUGUAUCAUUCAAUCGUCGAUGUCUCAAACUAUUGAAUGAUUCAAGAGUCGAUCUUAUCGUCCAAUCGAUGAUUUCUCGAUCUAUUGAAUGCUAAGAAAGCUUUAGGUUUGGAUACACAAAGUGAUUAUCAAAACAUCGAUUCCAUGUCUAGAACCUAUGUUUUGAUAGAUGGUUAUUCUAAACCUAGAUUCAAAAGUAUUUCUCAAUCACAAUUAAAUCAAAGAUAAAGAUUAAAGUGCAAGAAUAACAUCAAUAUCAAAUCAAAUGCUAGAACCAUAUAUUUAUAGAUCAAAAGAUUACAUGUUAAGCUAAGAUCAAGUACCUCUAAUCCUAACAAAGGAGAUUUAGCUACUCAUUGUCAUGGAAGCCUUGCAAGAAUGAAUUGAAGGAGAAAGAUUCAUUUACAACUUGUGAUUUCUCAACAAAGAAUGAAGAAUCCACUCUCUAUCACUCUCACUCUAUGAAGAACAAGCCCUAUCUCUCUCUCUAGAAAUAUUACAAGUGAAAAACUCAGAGAAAAACUAAGUAAAAAACUAUAUCAAAACUAUCUUUCUCUGAAAUGGUUGAGUGGGCUAUUUAUAGAAUUCUGAGUCUGCCUUCACUCGCCUCGCGAGCUGCUUCAUUCGCCAUGGUGAGUUGAAGUUUCUUCCCCAUUGGGUUUGUGCCACGUCAGCAUUUAGAGGCUAAACCGCCCUUACUCGCCUCGCGAGUCCUUCCAUUCGCCAUGGCGAGUAAGCUCGCCUUCUACUCGCCAUUGCGAGUUGGUGGCGUGUGAUCUUUGUUGCAUUCUGGAAUUGCUCGCCUUUGCUGCUUGCCAUGGCGAGUUGGAGGCGAGUGAUCUCCUUUUUCUGCCUUUUUGUACUUUUCUCGAUUUUCUUCUCUUUGCUUGAUGUCUUGAGUUCGAAUCCUGCACAAAUGGGUGAAGUAAGAUAGAUAAAGCGUAAAAGGGCAAUAAUCACUUAUUUCUCGGCUUUUCCCUUAAUAACUUGCAAAACAAGUAACAAAAGUGCCUAAAAUAUAUCACUUAAAUUACAACUUUCUAGCACUUAUCAAACUCUCCCCAACUUAACUCUUUGUUUGUCCUCAAACAAAAUCUUGAAAAUCAAACAAGUUAAUAUGACAAGACACAAGUACAAAAGGUUUGAAAACAUUUUUAGAUGAAUGAUUCAAAGAGAAUGCGCGGGCAAGUCUGAGUUUCCAACUAAUCUGGAAUUCUACCACAAAUAUGAAAUGAGUCCUAUGCACAAAGUUCAUGUCAAAUAGUUCAAGUCAAUAAAAUAUUUAUUCACGAACCACACCUAACACACUUCUUUGUAAGUAGAUAUUCAAUUGAAAUCAAAUGAGUGAGGGUUAUGAACACACAUCCGGCAAUCAAGUUAACAUCCAAAUCAAGUUAUAUGUCCAUCCAAUUAUCAUUUCAAAAAGCAUAAAAACAUGGAUCAAAAGGUCUUUUAGGGUUGUAAUUUGGCUUGGCUACAAAAGAAAGGACAUUUGUGGGUCAAUUGAAUUCAAAUGGCCAAGCAUAAGGGAACAUUCCUUCUAUUCACAUUCAAAAGACAAAUUUACUAGAAUUCCCUAACAAACCCUUGGUGUUAAAACAUGAUACUCCUUGAUCUUGACAACUUAUUCUAUUUUUGGAUUUUUCUUUCUUUUUCUUUUUCUUCUUUUCUCAUUUUUAUCAUGUACACAUUUUUCUUUUUCUUUCUUUUUUUAUAUACAAACAAUGUUGUCUUGAUCAAAAUUUCUGAUUACACCAAUUCACUUGACAAAUGAUGACAUCUACCUUUUUCUCCCCAACUUGAAUAAAAACAUACCCUAUUUGAAUGUUCCCUUAAUCUAUGGCAAAAGGGGACAAAUAACAAUGAAGGUUUAGGGUUCAACAAUUAAAACAUAUCAAGGUCCGAUAGUGCAACAAAAAUGAACUGGAUUUUGAAAAAUAUAGGGCGAAUUCAUCAAGCAUUGUGCUUAUGAAUUGACAGUUCAUAAUUGAGGACCUUGCUUCAUUUGGCUCAAGUGGGUUAACAAAUACUCGUUCUUCUCACAAGGUAGGCUAUUUGUGGUCAAGUAUGUUUCUCUCAUUAAACAAAAUAUGCCUUGAUCCUUUCCAUGUAUUUACACAAUUUAAAACAAAUAUUAGAUUUAACAUAAAAUGAUCGAGUUAAAACAAUGAAUGCCGGUCUCCUUGCAUAUAGUACAAACAUUUGAGGUUUCCUCACUUUUUGGCUAGUACUAAGUGGUUCACAAACAAACACAUUAUCGAGGAGAACUAAAUGAAUUGAAAUUUGUGCAAAGUACUCGUUUCCUAUUCAAGUAAAAACCUAGAAAAACUGGAAACUUGUACCUUGGCUUUGCGCUUUAUCACAAACCAUCUGUUAUUAUCAAUCAUCUGAGAAUUUUGCUCAAGUUUUGGCUAUCUUUCAAGCGCUUUGAAAUUUGAAGCUUUGAGCAUUUUCUUUUCAAUAAGCAAGAGUGAUAAACUAAAGAAACUUCCACAAUUUUCAAAAGAAAGUACUUGAUAACACAAAAAUUAAAUUACUAAACAUAUUAUUUUAACAACAGAAUACCACAUUAAACAAUACGGAUAUGAAUACGAAAAUACCAAAAUAAUUAAACAAAAUGUUAACUAAACAAAGUGAGUCAUUGUGCCAAAUAAAACAACAGAAGCAAAUAUUUGUCAAAGUAGCUGGAAAUGAAAGCAAAUAAGGGAAAUGAAAGAAAAGGAAAGAAUCGACUGAAAGCUUAAAAAAAAAAAAUAAAAAAAAAAAUGUCACUCAAUAAAGGUGAGCUUUCACGUCUCUUCUUUUCCUCCUCAACCCUGCAUGUCAUCAUCAUCUGAACCACCAGUUGCACUUGGGACUCUGUCUGGAUCGUCUCUGUCAGAAUCUCCCAUCAGUAUAUCGUCAGAAAGCGUCCCGAACGAUGAGCCACCCCCUCCGUAAGGAUCAGGCCUGCCCUCAGGCCAAGAAACAUGAGCCUGAUAGGCUUCUGGUGUCAUGAAUUGUGACAUCACCUCCGGUGGGUACCCAGCCUGCUGCUGCAUCACAUACUGAGACUGCUGAAGAUAUGUAUUAGCACGGUUGGUUGCGUCCAGCAUGUUCCAUGUAUGGGUAUGGCACUGGUAUUGCCAUUGAGCGAAGCUUGAAAAGUCAAAAGCAGCAGUGUGUGGGUCUAGAUGUGGUGGAAAGUGGGGUUGUGGUUCAGAUGAUGGUUGAGGUCGUGGUGGAGGUGCCCCAGAAGAUGAUGCUUGUUUGCCUUUAUCCUUCUUUGUUUCACCCAUAAUGUAUCGGGUGAUGAAAGCAUCAUUGAUCGGGUUCCGGAUCUUCUCAUGGACACUGGUUGGUAGGCGCAUGCCGGUAUCUUUAAUGAGUCCCAUGAUUAAACCGGGAAAAAAGAGACGAGCUUCUCUUUCACCUCUUCCUUGCAGGGUGACCAUUCGGAGUUCCCAAGCAAUGGUCCGGGCAAUAUCUACCUUGAUCCCCUUGAGGAUGUAGUAGAUUAAAGGACACACCUCGACAACACAAUCAGACAGAUGACUAUUGAGCCUGACAUUAUAAAGAAUGAAUUUUUGGAUAAUUUUGGCCUCAUUGGUCAUGAAUUUGUAUUGGGCCCGAUACUCUCUCCCUGCAUCACUGAUGUCAUAGUUAUAGUCUCCCAACAAGAGAAAUCGUUUGAUUUCUUCAUGGGGGCCCGGGAGGAUAAAGUGGCCAAAGUUUUGCUUCUCAUGAAAGUCAUCAAGGUCGUCUGGGUAGGCUAACUCAAAGGGGUUGCCAAGGUAUGUAUUUAUUGCCUCACGGUCAAACCGGAUAGUUCGACCCCUUACAAAAGUUUCGAAUGUAAAUGGGUCAGUGUGUGGAUUUUCAGGUAGGGCAUUGGCAUAAAACUCACGCACUAACUCGGCAUUAAUAUCUGUUAUGGGUUGGAGGAGUCGUUCCCAUCCUUGAUCGAGUAAAAGUUUGGCAAUUUCUUUAUAGGGUCCCUCGGGAUUAAGGUUAAAGACCCUCUCACACCACAUGGAUUGGUCAAGCAGUUCAAUAUAUCUAUCUUGAUGGUAGCGAGACCUAAAUCUCUCCCUCUCAAAGGCUUGGUUUCUAGCUGGGGGUCGGUUUGCGGAUGUUUCACCCUUCUUUCUUUUUCCGGUGUUGGUAGGUUUCUUUGGAGCCAUGCCUGCAAAACAACCAGAAAGUCCAUACACAAGACAAAAUAAACAAUUAAAUAUCAGUAUGGAACUAUAGGAAGCAAUUUCAAGCUCAGAGAAUUCAUGCCAGAGAAAAAUAUUGCAGGUUCUAUUGCUACUCGCCUCGCGAGCAGAUAUACUCGCCAUGGCGAGUAGUGAUAAUUUUCUGGGUUUCAGAUUGCUCACUCGCCUUGGCGAAUGAUGAAGCUCGCCAUGGCGAGUUGCCCAGAAAAUGAUAAAAAAUCGACCCUUUUUCAAAAUUUCUUUCAAUUUCAAGAUUCCUAACCCUAGAUAUAGCAAUUCCGACCCUGAUAAUGACAAAGAGAUGAACUAAAUCAUGCUUUUGAGUUAAUGUCGAUUGGUACCACAAAAACCCUAUUUUAUUUGAAAGUUUACAAAAGGGUAUCAAAAAUGUGGAUUGGAAUCAGAACAACCACGAAUUUGGGCAUGAUUGUGUUUCAUCUGAGUCAUGUGGGUAUCAGUUUGAAGAACAUUACACUAUCUACUACCCUAGGGUUUUUGUAUGCAAAUUUUGAAAUGAAUGGCAAGAAAGUGAAUACAAACCUGAAUCAGAAGUAAUCUAAGUGCAGAAAUGAGUAUGCAAUAAGCUUGACUUGGAUUGACUUGCUAAUAUUGGAAAAAAAAAAGGUAGUGUUGAGGUGUUAGGGUUUGAGAGAAGGAAGAAAAAAUUUGUGUGGUUGAUGAGAGAGAAAUGCAAAACCGAAAAUGAUGAAUUAAAGUUGGUAAAGGGUGGUUAAGAGAGAUUAAUGAGGGAGUUAGUGGCUUUGGAAACUGAAACUGUCAGAACUGCUGCCAUUCGCCUCGCGAGCAUAUGUAUUCGCCGUGGCGAGAAAUUUGGCAGUCAACGCAGUCAAUGACCAGUUGACUCGCCAUGGCGAGUUGUUUUACUCGCCUCGCGAGUGAUGACAGUUUAGACUGCUUUCUUUUGGCUUCUGAUUUUUGAAUGGUUUUGGUAUGCACAUGACUCCUACACCUAAUAUGCAUUAAAACUGUAAAUAACUUACAAAGUUGGGUUGCCUCCCAACAAGCGCUUGUUUAACGUCGUUAGCUCGACGCCUUUUUCGUUAGGGUGGCCAAAAUGAAACGGACAACACAUCAUCUCUUGUAAUCCUGCGUGUUGGGAGGAAUUCCAUGAAUUUGAAGUAUAAUUGAUGUGGAGUCCAUAUCCUCCCUAACCUGGGUUUGUUGAACAAGGCGCAUAUUUCGUCUAUGACUCGAUCAAUCUUUGCCUCGCUCGUUGUCUUCCCCUUUUGUUCACUUGAUUCUUUCUUGCUAAGUAUCCAUUCCUGUUUCUCUGUAACUAUCAACACUGCUCCAUUAUCAACAGUUUUGGCCUCUUCAGCAUAUGACCUUUCUUGAGGAAGUUCUAUUGGAUGUAGUGGCUCUAAUUCUUCCGUCAUUUUUAUUGUGCUACAUUCUUCUAGUAUUAUGUCUUCCUCGGUAUCCUCAACACCUUUUUCAACACUCGUUCCGACUUCCUCACAUGUAUUUGAAUUAUUUUCUUGUUUUCCGUGAGUGGAUUGAAUGUUGGCUUGAAUAUCCAUGAUUUGUUCUUGCAUCAUUUCCAUUUGAAAGGAUAGAUUCUUCAAUCUCUGAUUGGUAUCCUGCAUGUUUAUCAUGGAUUGCUGCAUGAAGAUAUUCAAAGUAUUUUCCAUCUUUGAUAUUCGUUCAUCUUCAGAGGGAUAUUGUUGAUACUGUUGAUAUGAUUCAUAUUCCAGUGGAGUGUAGAAGUUGUUAUAACCAUGAUCAGCCAUGAUUUCAUUUAUGUAGAGAAUCUGAAACGGAUAUAACUAACAAGAAAUUUUUCUUUGUAUGCAAAGAGGGGUUAGUACCAAUAACUAUACAAAAGAAAAUAUAUUUACAGAGUAUAUACUGAUGCUUAAAAUGAUAAAAUAGUCGCGAUGUCUACGAUAUCUAAACGCCAGUCCCCGGCAGCGGCGCCAUUUUGAUGUAGUAUUUUUGCAUCAAACAAUUGUAAGUAUUUAUAUCGUCUCCUCAGGGACUAGUGCGAUAUCGCGGACCGUUCGACACCAAAUACCAUUCCAAGUUAAAAAGAUAAUUGGUUGUUUGUUUUAGUAACUCAUUUGCAAACGAUAAAAUUGAGAUUAAUAGGGCGUGAAACUUGUUAGGAUUAGAGUUCCUUGAUCAAGCGUCGCACGUAACCUAAUGAUCAUACAUGGAUUCUAGCUUUUCUUUGAUAUUAUCACGUAUCCCUCGACAACACUAUUCGUGUCCAAACAAUAUUGUGAAAUCAAUUGUAUCAUUCAAUCGUCGAUGUCUCAAACUAUUGAAUGAUUCAAGAGUCGAUCUUAUCGUCCAAUCGAUGAUUUCUCGAUCUAUUGAAUGCUAAGAAAGCUUUAGGUUUGGAUACACAAAGUGAUUAUCAAAACAUCGAUUCCAUGUCUAGAACCUAUGUUUUGAUAGAUGGUUAUUCUAAACCUAGAUUCAAAAGUAUUUCUCAAUCACAAUUAAAUCAAAGAUAAAGAUUAAAGUGCAAGAAUAACAUCAAUAUCAAAUCAAAUGCUAGAACCAUAUAUUUAUAGAUCAAAAGAUUACAUGUUAAGCUAAGAUCAAGUACCUCUAAUCCCAACAAAGGAGAUUUAGCUACUCAUUGUCAUGGAAGCCUUGCAAGAAUGAAUUGAAGGAGAAAGAUUCAUUUACAACUUGUGAUUUCUCAACAAAGAAUGAAGAAUCCACUCUCUAUCACUCUCACUCUAUGAAGAACAAGCCCUAUCUCUCUCUCUAGAAAUAUUACAAGUGAAAAACUCAGAGAAAAACUAAGUAAAAAACUAUAUCAAAACUAUCUUUCUCUGAAAUGGUUGAGUGGGCUAUUUAUAGAAUUCUGAGUCUGCCUUCACUCGCCUCGCGAGCUGCUUCAUUCGCCAUGGCGAGUUGAAGUUUCUUUCCCAUUGGGUUUGUGCCACGUCAGCAUUUAGAGGCUAAACCGCCCUUACUCGCCUCGCGAGUCCUUCCAUUCGCCAUGGCGAGUAAGCUCGCCUUCUACUCGCCAUUGCGAGUUGGUGGCGUGUGAUCUUUGUUGCAUUCUGGAAUUGCUCGCCUUUGCUGCUUGCCAUGGCGAGUUGGAGGCGAGUGAUCUCCUUUUUCUGCCUUUUUGUACUUUUCUCGAUUUUCUUCUCUUUGCUUGAUGUCUUGAGUUCGAAUCCUGCACAAAUGGGUGAAGUAAGAUAGAUAAAGCGUAAAAGGGCAAUAAUCACUUAUUUCUCGGCUUUUCCCUUAAUAACUUGCAAAACAAGUAACAAAAGUGCCUAAAAUAUAUCACUUAAAUUACAACUUUCUAGCACUUAUCAUGUAUCCAGAAGAAAGAUAUUUUUUCAAUGGAUAUUUAUUUAUAAAAUAUAUUUUCAAAAGAGAUUUUGGAAAAUAUAUUUUCUAAAGAAUAUUUGUUUCAAUAUAUUUCUGAAAAGAACAUUUGAUACAAAUAUAUGUUUAGCCUAUGACGAAAAUGCCCAUGCUUUGAAUGACCAUAUAAGGAAGACUUGUACCCUAGUUUUAUUCACCAAUUCAAUGUUAUUGAAUUGAGUCAUUAAAGUUUCAACUUGUGCUUGAUUUGUGAGCCUCUCUUUGUAUCACCUUGAUGCAUUGAGCAGGACCUUUAGUUGAGUUGUAAUGUAUCAAAACCAUCGAUCGAUAAAAGAAUAGAUUUUUAGGGUUUUGAGUCGUCUUCCAUGUGUGUUAUUCUCUUGUAUCGUUUGUGAUGCAAGUCUAUGACUGUUUAUUGAGUUGUAAACUCAUGUGCACUACUCUGAAGCUGUGAAGCAAGGGUAGAUUGUGCACUACACCGAAGUUGUGAAACAAGGUGUUAGGUAGUUUGUGUUUGAAGGUAACUUCUACUUUGAGUUUGUGUUUAGGUCUGAUAGGUCACAGUGGCUGUGACUGACCAUUAGGAUAGUGAGAUGAUAUCUCAGAUCUGGGAGUUCCUAGGUUGAAAUCUAUACGGGUUGGUCCUAGGUCAUAUAGUGUAAACGAGGAGUUUGCUGAGAGCUAUUGAAUAAGGACUACACUAGUGGAUUUCCUUCUUGGCUUGGUAGCCCCUAGAUGUAGGUGAGUUGUGCCGAACUGGGUUAACAAACUCUCUGUGUUCUUUACUUUCCUGCAUUUUAUUUUUCUAUUUUGUUUAUGCUUACUGCUAGCGCGAUGUUGGAACUUUAAACAGAAAAUAUGAUGUUUGUGCAUCUGAAAUUGAAACAUCACAUAGAACAACUUCUAAUUAACACGCUAAAAUUCAACAUCCGUUAUAUUUGCCUUGAUCUGUCUGUUUUCUGCUAGCUCGAUGUUAAAACAUCUUACUCGAUAUUCUGUUCGUAUCUGAUGUUGAAACAUCGUAUAAAACAUAUAAAGCUAGCCUACCAGAAUUUCAUAUUUAUUAAAACACUUUUAUUAAUUGUAGUUAGUGGAGUAGUUAAGUUGGAUGAAAUUCAAUAAAUAAAUGUAUAAUAGUGGAAAAAAAAUAUAAUAAAUUCUGCAUAGGUAUUGUAAAGUGACAAUUAUUUUGAGAAAAAGAGAAAAUGUUAAAGAGACGAUAAUUAUGAGAUAGAGGGAGUAAGAAAUAUUGAGUAAAUAGUCAAUUACCCCCUUGAAAUUGUAAGUUUCGUCAAUUACCCGCCUAAAAUUAACAAAAUGUCAAUUACUCCCGUGAAAUUGCACAACGUUAAUCAAUUUACCCCGUCCGUCAAAUUUUUCUGUCAGUAAACAUGACGUUUUGCAAAUACCCCCCUGAAGUUUUACACUUAUGUGGAAAAUGCCCCCCGAACUUGAAAAUUUAUAUAUAUUUUUCUUAUCCUUAACUCAAAGAUAUUAAAGACAAGCAAUUAACAGUUAACUUUAAUACUUUACAUGACUCUUUCAUUUUUAAAGGAGUCUUUUAUUUUAUUUUGUUAAUUUUAUGCCAUUUGGUUGGUCAAUUCUCCAUAAAUUAUGACUUAUUUAGAUAGAGACAUGCCAAUUCACAACAAAGUAAGCUAGAGACACUCAUUCCUCAUGAAUAAUUAAUUCUAAAAGUUUCUUAAGAUAAGUUUGAAUAAAAUUAUUCUAUCUUAAAAAUUGAACUAAACAUGCAUUUUGCUAAAGUAAUAUGAAGUUAUUAAUCAUGCGUUAUUUUUAGAGGAUAUAUUCUUAUUUUAAGCUUAAAUAUUAAAGUUAACUGUUAAUUGUUUGUCUUUAAUAUCUUUUGAAUCAAGAUAAGAAAAAAAAUAUAUAAAUUUUUAAGUUUGGGGGGCAUUUUGCACAUAAGUGCAAAACUAAGAAUUUGACGGAGGGGGUAAAUUGAUUAACGUUGUGCAAUUUCAAGGGGGUAAUUGACGUUUUGUUAAUUUCAAGAUGAUAAUUGACGAAACUUACAAUUUCAGGGGAAAAAUUGACUAUUUACUCAAGAAAUAUUGGAAGUCAAAUUGCUUGUCAAUCCCACCUAACGUGUUGUCCAUGUUGUCCAACCCUUAAUCUUCAACUAAUUCCUUGUUACAUACUUCCAUUCAAUUCACUGAACAAGAAAUCGUUACUUUUUUCGAAACUCCACCCUCAUUCUUCCUACAUUUCCACCUUCACUACGACAUGGCCAGAGGCACUGCUAAGUCUCAAUCGACAACUUCCCUCACAAUUAGUAGGAAUCCUCAUCUUCAUAUCUAUUGUUGCAAUUUUGAGCAACCGUCAAUGUCUCAACUGAGGCAAAUUUUCACUUAAAUUUUUAAUUUUACCUCUUCUCUGCAUCUCUUCACAUUCUCAUUGUAAAUCCCUCACUUUAAAAGCUUCUUCAUUUAUUAUUUGACAUCUUGAUAUGAAGAAUAACAUAUGAUCUUAUUCCCCACAACCACAAGUGUUGAUAUUCCAUACACUAUUUCAAGGUGUAUAACAUAUGAUCUUAUUAAAUACUUUGUUUUAUUCAGAUUUAUUUUGCAUUUUCUAUAUACUGUUUCAAGGUGAGGAAAAACACAAGAAGGUAAAGUUGAAUUGUGUUGGCUUUAUGAAGGUUUCUUUUUCUUUGGUGUUAAUAAUAACCUGGUCAGAAUCUCUUGUUGCAGAUUCUAACUCAGAGUCUGAAUGCAGUGGAUAAUUAGAACACAAAGUUAAAGAGUCAGAGAGAAGGAAAGCAGACACAAAGUAGUUUUUAUACUGGUUCCUCCCACAACACAAGAGUAGUCCAGUCCCCUUGUACUUCUAAGGGAUUUCACUAUAAUCACUAUGGAUUACGCAUUGCUCAAGGACACUUCCAGGAGACUUCUCUUUGUUCAAGCACAACUGCAAGAGACUUAUGUGCUUAAACACACCUGCUUAAGACUUCCACUCUAGGACACUACUUAAGGAUUUCUUGUCCAAGGACAACUCCAAGAGACUUCCAUUUGCUUAAGCACAACUGUUUAAGACUUUCCUUUGCUCAAGGACAAUUCCAAGAGACUUAUCUGCUCAAGCACGCAGGCGAGAGACUUACUAAAAUGUUUACACAACAGUAAACAAGUAAAUUUGUUCUUACACUUGAAUUAACAAUGGUAGUGUAAACUGAACAAAUGAACAGACUCCUUAGGAUUUCUAAGAUAUAAACAUGAAAAUAAAUCCUAAGUGUUUUUGCAAAGGAUGAUAUGAUUCAAAGAAUAAUUAUACAAAUCAAUUAAGCAAAGAUCAUAUACCAGUUAGGUCAAAUAAAUCGAUUCAAAAAACUUCAAUGAAAAAUUUGAAUCAAAUUAUACCCAAAACACCAAAGAUACCUGAGGCAAAGGAUGAUUCGAUUCAAAAUUACUUUAAAACAAUUUGAAUCGAAUCAGACACGCAUAAAAACACAGUUUGAGAAAACUUGACCUCCAAGAAACUCCUAAACAUGAUAUUAAUGUUUGUUAACAUAUGAUACUAUUGUAGAGGACCAGAGAUCAUGGAUUGAUUAGGGUGCUUUAUAAUAUAAAUAAGCUAUUUAAACAAAAAUCAUAAAAAUCAUGUAAAUAAAAAUAUCAUCAAAACCUAAACCAAGGACUAACCACGGCAAAAUUAUAAGAACAACACUAAAAUUCCUCCAAACUUUUAUCCACUUCAUUGUUGUCAUUAGUCCACCCUCAAGUGUGAAAAUCUUAUGUGUUUGAUUAACAAUUGUUUGGUUUUGUGCAUCAAUUAUUCCUUUCUAUUCUUCAUCUUUUUUCAUUUCUUCAACCAAUUUUUGUCCUUGUUUAUAAACCAAUACAAGUCCUUUUCAACGUGUGUUGUUCUCACUCAUAAGCUUUCCUGAAAACUUUUCAGAAGGUCACCCAUCUAAAACUUGCUUCAAGUCAAGUAUGCUUAACUAUGGAGUUCGUAUGAUUUGAGCUACCAGAAGGAAGAUGCAUAUUGUCGAUAUAGAUAAUACCAAACAACUCUUAAUAGCAUUCCUUUAAUCAUUCAUUCCAUACCUACGCGGUCUUAAAAUCCCUCUCAUUCUAAUGUGAAUUUGGUUCACCUAGAAGCUGAGAAGAGCCACUCAUUGUCCUGUCUUGUGCACUGGAGAUCACUCCCUGCCCUCAUCAGUCUCGAGCAAUACAUGCCCACAAGCUUCCGCUUUGUUCGUCCAUGAACCACAUCGUACUAGAAGUGGUUCGCUCUGAUACCAUUUGUAACUCCAAGAGUACUUUCAUAAUUUCCGUAUGAACCCACAAACCAACACUAAUCUUUUCAGCAUGCUUAGUCCUCACUCACAUACCUUUCUGGACAAACCUUGCUGAAAAGAAUUGUGUUGCGUUUUGGGGUCAGUAGGAAAUUAUGAAAGUAGUAUGGGGCAAAAUUAAGAAUAUGACGCUUUCGUAAGCAAAAUUGACAACAAUAAAAUUAGAUUCUAAAAGAAAGCAUUAUUUUACCAUAAAGUGUGUACAACCCCAAAACAAGUUUCCAAAAUUGCCAAUUGUAGCGGCUCUUCGAAGGAUAGCAAAAUCCCCACACCAAAAUUUUUGAGUCCAACAGGGUUUUGAUGUGAGAGAUCCUUGUGAAUUCAUCAUUGAUCCACACUUAACAACAUUUCUCAACUAUUUCAGAAAAGAAGAUAAUGAACCUCAAUCAUUUGACAUUGUAAAUCUGAUGGGGGAGAAGAUGGGUUUCAAAAUCCCUAAUUUUGAUUGAAGAAAUUCGGGAGAAAUAGGUUCAAAUGAACCCUAAUCUUGAUAAACAGAGGCGGGAAGAAGAAGAUGUUGACUCAUCUGCCACAUAUACACAUCCUAAUGUAGCUAGCAUGAAAUAGAUGAAAAUGAGUAAAUGACUGAUAUGGUAUCAUUUAAUCAAAUUAAAGGACUUAAAUGCACUUUUUUUAAUAAGAGACCAAUAUGAAACCAAACAGAGAUGUAAGGGACCGAAAUAAUGUUUAAGACAAAAGUAAACAAAUCAAUCAAUUAAUGUUGGAUCACGAGGGGGAGCCCAAUGAUCAUCCAUAUUGGGUUCAGAGCAACCAUACAAGUGAGACAGCCACCACACUUUAACGUAAAACCUUAAGACAAUAUAUGUAUGGGUUCUCUUACUUAUAAAGUGAUCAACCUCCACUUUUCUAAGUAAUGUGAGAUUUCUAACUCACACUUGCUACACAACAAUUAGGAAUACUAGAGAUGGAGGAGAGAAGAGUAGUUAUGUUAUGCAAAGUAAAUUUCUAAUUAGACUAGGAGUUCUAUUCAUAGGAAAAAGUAAUGGGCUAAUGGCUCAGUAAAAAAAAAAAGUGCAUUAAAAAGGGGGACAUUUAACCAAAACCUUCAAGAGGUAUUUGAAAAUUAAAAUAUGGAAGACCUAAUAUAGUUUUAGGAUGAUACUUAGUUUUUUUCAAUACACUCCCUCACGUCCAUCACUAUUAAGCUUAGUUGGUGGGAUAUAAAGGGUGAGUAGUCCGAAUUUAUAGCCUCUAUAUCAUACAAAAUAAUUCUCGAUAGACCUCAUAGAUAAGAGAAAAAUAUAGAAAAGGAGCAAAUAGAAGAGAGCACAAAGGAAGGAUCAUCCGGCUUCAAAAACUUCCUUCACAGAUAUAUGGAAGAUACCAUCUCUCGUGAUAUGGAUAUUCAAUCAUAUGCUAAAUCAACUAAGCAAAACAUUGUCGAUUAUGGAAUUCUACUAAUUGUUUGUCAAACUAGUAUUUAUGAAGAAGCUUAUGGAGCUUUUAGAUAUGCCAUACAUGCUAUACUUGGAGGGAAAGAUGUAGUGACUAAUCGAAAGAAAUUUCAUAGGCAAGGUAAGACUUAGAUGCCAAGGGUCUAUUGUAGUGACCACAAUGUUGAUGCUCCUUUUAUGAUAGUGAUACAACUUAUGUUUGUUUGCAAGUACUUUUAUGAGUUUGAGACAAUAAGUGUUACAAAAAAGAAAUAUGUAGCAUAUGAUUUUUCAAACAAAAAAUUAAUAACGUGUAACAUGUGAACAACAGAGUUCAUGUAUCAUGUGAAAGGUAAGCCAUCUAUAGUAUUUCCCUAUGUCAAGAUCACCCAUAAAGAUAUACAACUUUGAAUUAUAAACAGAACUGGAUGAUAUAAUCAAAAAAUUGAAAUGGAGAUUGCACAAUUGUGUUGCAUCUCAAUGAGCACAUGAUCUUUCCUUUCCGCAAAUCUAUCAACAAACUUAAGCCUUUACAUAAAACAAAGUGCUAGUGAUCUUCACGAAAGGGAGACGCCGGGUGCCUCAGGUCAAUCAUCCAGUACUAUAACAAAUUGUAAAUCUACAGAUGUCAAAAGCAAAUAUAUAAGUAUACGCAUCACCUUGGAGAAAAGAAUUUGACCAAAAUUCAAACAGAAUUCUAAGCCAUAUUUGCAACAAAGAAUAACUAAGAAAAAAGAUUAUAAGUUUUUAAUGUUGAAGUCUUCCCAUGGAACAAAAGUCAAUCCUUUCUGUUUGGGCAUGACUUUUAUGAGAAUUGUUAAAAUGACACUGAUUUUUCAGAAUCAACUAUUCUAGUAAGCAUUCAUUCCUAAACUGAAACUUUCCAUCACACCAACAGCAUAUAUCGAUAUAACCCUUUGGGAGCCAGCAGAAACUAUCGAAAACAUAGCAUCAUAAAAAGAAAAACUUCUUAAGCCCUUUGCGUAUGUGUAUGCAUGUUUGUAUGUGCAAGAUAAAUUUAGGAUAUUGAUAAAUUUAGGCCCUUAAAUUAUUGAUUGAAAAACAUGAUUGCAGCAUUUUUUUUUUAAUUUUUAAAUUUGAACAUAGUAUAAAUUAUAAUGGGAAAUAUUUCUUCUGUGAAAACAAUCAAUCAAAGCAGGUACAUGUGCAGGUGUGCUCUUUAGAAAAGGUGUUAGGAUGGAGAGAAAGAAAGAAACCUUGAAGUACAGUGUCAACUGCUUCUUUAGGGACAAAAAGCCCUACGAUACGUCUGCUGUUAUCUGAUGUAGUUUCCACACGAACAACGCGUAGCCUCUUAAGAAUUUGUUGGGACUGUACAUAUUUUUAUUUGCAAUUAGAAGUAAUUUGCAUAUGAUAAAAUGACUAUUAUAGUGCUUUAAUGAGUAAACAAUCAACCAGAGGCUCAACAAAAUCAGCACAUAUUUUCAUUAAAAAGUUACUAAAAAAGUUAGUUGUCAUACUAUAUCACAACAAAAGCUAUCUAUUACGAUUUCCACAAAAUAUGAUCAGAUAUAGAGGAUAUCAUAAAGUGACAAAUUGAUACAUCAUACGCGAAUUGAUAAUUUUAGCAUCUGCAAAAUAUGUUCUUUCUCAUGAAUGUUUUAUGAGUUGGUGAAAUACCUUCUUAGAAAUCGCCUUUAAUACGUUUCCCCAAAUAGGAAAAAUGACACCACCUAAGACAUUUACUUGCUGAAGUCUUGAGCCAACUGAACAUAACUUGCCUUUCUUACAAUUAGGACCAUGCAUGCACUGACAACAAAAGUAAUAAGUCAAAAUGUGAAUUUGAAAAAUCUACAUAGUUUCUCACCCCAUGACCAAUGAGUGAGUGCACACCAACAUGUAUAUAUACCUGUUUAGAUGAAACUUCAUAUUCGUUUUCCCAACCAAUUUGGGCCUCCUUCAAAGAUGAAACUUUUGAAUAUUUUAAAGUUAAUUCUGCCAGAUUCAUAUCCCUACAAUUGCAACAGAAAAUGGGUAAACAAGAAAAUUAAACUAAAAGAAGGCCAAGUAACUCAAAUACAUACCGAGUUGAUUCUCCGGUAGUGGGACGAACUAUCUUACACAUAGAUGGAGCAGAACUGAAACAGAACCAAGAACAAACAUAAUGACAUCAGUAAAUGAAACUAGAAAGCUUUAUUAUGUACUCCCUCUGGCCUCAUAUAUAAGCAAAAGUCACCAAAUUCAACUCUAUUGAAUAUUUACACAACAAGGACGACAAAAACUAGAAAUGAUACCUUUCAAAUGCUAAAAUAAAAUGAUGUCUUCCCAACCACUCCCUGUUAGACUUAUAGAAGCCGUCACCAUCUGAACAAAAUCCAGCCUUCUGCUUCUCAUUGAGCAUUGUAUUUGCCAACUGAUGCGUAAAUGAUGUCAGCAAAAUAUGUAUGUUAGAGUAAAGCACUAAUUAGUUAGAACAUCUGAAAAAGCAUAUGCACCUCCCACGAAACCCCACGAUCCAAGGUGAAUGUGAACAGAUCAGCUGAAGCCCCGCUCAUUUGAUCAACAUAGACUGUCUGCAUCAAAGGAAAUUUAUCUUCAGUCUUAAAUUUGCUAUGCAAUAACAUACGAUAAAGAGUGGCAGCCAGAAGUUUAGGAGGAAAAUAAAUACCUUUGGAUUCCCUUGCAGUUCAAUGACGGUAGCUUUCAAGUCAACAAUGCCGGUGUCAAAGUUACCUUCAAUGCGAGCUUUGUGAACAAGAAGAUCCAAAAUAUUCACAAAUAACUCAAAAAGCCUGUUGAUACCCAAAAAAUUAGUGUAUUGAACCAAAUGUUCAAAGUUGACGUACCAAAUCAAUUCAUUCACAAAAUACAAACCUAUUCUGAAUCUCAGGAGCUAUUCCCAAAAGCCGGUUAAGAAAUCGACGAAUAUUGCGUUUAUAUUUAUCAUCCAUGCUGCAAUCCAUAUCACCUCCUUUAAAUAUAAGAAGCCAACAUUUAAUAACGAGGAAAAAUAAAGAUACUGUGGUAUCAUAAACUUCACAUCAGUAAAUGAUGAAACCAUAAAUACAUUUUGAUUAGAUAUUCAAUCUAAUAUUAGACAAGGGAAAACAAUGAUUACCAAGACCGUCGUCCUUAAAAAUAUUAACAGAAACAAGAGCAGCUUUUGCCUGCAUAAUAAAAUCUUUGAUUGUAUCUGGUCUGUCAGAUAAGCAUCCUGGAGGUACAACAGGAAGAGGAUCCUACAUAAUUACAUUAUCAGUUGAUAGAUUGGACUUGUUCAUUUCUUAUUAAACAUAUAGCCAAUAUGAAGAUUUGUUAUUUUAAACGAAAAUUAGAUACCUUUCCUAGUAUUCCACCGUAUAAAAGCUCUAGAGCCCUCUUCCCAUACUCGCUAUCAUAAUUAUAUGCAUUUAACGAAGGUCCAGCCCUGUAAAGUUCACAGGAAGUCGGGAACAACAUUGACUAAGAUGAUAAAUAAAAUUUUUCCAUAUUGGCUCAUUGAAAACACAACUGAUGAAUCUAACAUACCUACGAUCUCCCUGAGUCAAAGCUCCAAGGGAUUCCAAUCUCUUUGCAACAGCUGAUGCAAACCGGCGUUCUCCACCAAGGUUCGAAAAUAAUAACCUGAAGAAAAUUUAUAAGGAUAUGAAAUCGUGUCAAACAACAGCACCUGUCACUGCAACCAUUUUAAAUCAGAUUUAAAGUGCUUCAACCUUACUCUCUCUGAUCUUAUAGUAACCAAUGAAGCAUUGUUACCUUUUCUGGAGCAAUAUUCUCAGUUAUUGUAUUUUAAUCAACGAAACUUAUUUAUCAUUAUGCGAAAUUCACAAACCAAAUUAAUAAAUAAUUCUUAGGGACCUGUAUUCUGGUGCUGAGACUUGAUUUGAUCUAUGAGUUCUUCCAAACUGUUGAAUUGCUCGGUCGGCACUCCAUGGAAGUUCAAGAGUCAAGUGAACCCUUCUUUUCUAUUUUGUAAAGGUCAAAGGUAAGAACAGAAAAAGAAGAAUAAAACAAACAAUUGAAAAGUUCACAAAAUAGUAUAAUAUUACUAGCUUCUGAGCAGACUAUUUGCAAAAAACCAUCAAAAUAAUAGGACAGAGAGAACACUAAUUGAUUACCUGAUUUUUUACUCUUCGGUCAGCCUGUAACGAAACGCCAGCUGAUCCUGCUUCAGAGAUGAUAGCCACUAACUUCGUACCUUCCAUAAAGAGCUUUUUUUCAUUCAUGUUGACCAUGUCGGCAGUGACAUCUUUUCUAAAGGGAAAGAAAAACCCAACUAAUUCAGCUAGCAUGAAACAAUGUUUAUCAAGUAGAUAUGGUAUUGGUGACAUUUUGCAACUUACGAAUAUCGAGUCUGAUAAAACACACCCGUUCCACUAGGGGCCCUCACAAGCAUUCCUUUCCUUCCAGUAAUUUCUGCAACUUUGUCAUGGCCUCCUAACUGCAUUAAAAAAAAAUUCAUUUAUAGAAUCCGGUAAAGAACUAUACUUUGGCGUAUAGCAUUAAUUAUGCAGCAUAAAAUUUCUACAGACAUCUUUUCAUAGCAGUUACUUAACUGCUAUUGGACAAACAACUAUGAUUGAUAAGAAUCGUUAAGGGAAGGUACCAUUAAAGAAGAAGACGGGGAUGAAUAAACAAAUAAUCAUUACCUGGUCAAUAAUAUCAUCCAACGGAUUUUUUGGAAGAUCCAAAGCACAAAUCCUCUCUAAUAUUUUGUGCCUAGACUGCAUGGCUGUGUCAUAACUGCAGUAAUCCCAUGAAAAUAAUCAUCGCUGUCAUACUCUUCUUUUUAUCUAACUUUUUGUUGAUUGUUGUUGUCAUAAAAUGAUAAAUUAUGACAUUGAAACCAGAGUAACAAAUUAAAACAAAUAAAAGUUUUAAACCUCUUAUGGAGUUCAAUUAUGUUUGGUCCAGGAAGGAGAUAUUUGUCACUUUUAUCCUUGCACAAAUCACAAGCCCAUUUCUCAAGAACAAAAUCACCAAUUGGGGGAACGAAUGAUUGAUGAGCGUAUUUUCCACAGAGGGAACACUGCAACAAGUUUUCCAUUUCCUGCACAGAAAAAUAUGUGAAUCCUACGCAUAUGGCAUCAAGGAAAUUCAAGAAAGUUUUUUCAGAGAAAAAUUAAUAAAAAAAUUACCUCUUUAAUUUCAUAUUUCGGAAACUCAUAAUCAGGGUCGGAAGAUUCAAGACCAGAGACAACUGCAUUAAACAAUGGUAAAAUCAAAUGGUUCCACAUAUAUCCUCUUUGAAUAAAUUCUCUCAUUGAAAAAUGAUAACAAAAUAAUUAGAGAAUUUUAAAAACAAUAUUUGUAUCUUUAUAUAUCUAAUAACUUUUUGAAAAUCAAUGUAGUUGAUCUGCACCCUUUCUCACUCCAUAUAAAGGCUGAAAAAAAUAAGUCGGCAUUGAUGCAUGAGAAAGGGUUUCCGUAUGUAACUGACGAAUAACAUACAGAAUGAUAGUUGCAAAAGUUUAAUAAAAAUUUGUUUGAAACUCACUUUUAGAUUCUUCAUCACUUUCAGCAUCACUAGGAGGCUGACACUUGGCUACUUUUUUGACUCUAGAUUUUCCUGAAACGUCACGACUUGCCAAGUGCCUCUUCCUUUGAAGCUCCUUUACACCGUCGUCUGCUAUAAUAGAGUUAAAAGUGAAAACUAAUAAUUGAAAAAUUAUAAAAAUAAAUGAAACUUAUAUAACAAAACACGGCAUGUAGAUACCAUGGAGAAUUUCGGGCUUUUUUGGCAACGGGAAAUUGUCUUCAACAAAUUUUAGCAGCAACUCACGAGGUCCAGAAAUAAAGUCAUCAAGUUCAGAGCCCUAAACAAAAUAAUAAAUAACACAUAAUGCAACUGAAACGAGGAAAAAUGAUUUUAUGUUAAAUGAAAAUAGAUUCAAAUACACACAUAUUUUGUAACAGCAUCCUCUGUCCUUGCUUCCCCUGUACUCUGCAGACCUAUGACUACACACUUGUCUUCCAUUAAUGCUUGCUUCACAAGUCUCACUACAGUAGGGACUUUAGCAGACAUACACAAGUGUCUGAAGAAUCUCUACAGUUUCAAAAGGAAAAGGGACAACCGAAAAACUUCAAUAAAUAAUAAAUUUCUAAUAGAGAUGAAUAACUUGUCUCCAGGAACCAACUUAGACUUAUUACCUGGUGGCUUGCCCAAUAUAAUGCCCAUAUUUUUCUAGUAUUAAUAUUGUUGGUGGAUACUUGUGCACAUAAAUCAAUGGCAGACAGCAACUCCUCAUGCAAAUCCACCCAAACUUCUGUAGCCUUUUUAUAUGCAUGCUACAAUAUUUGAAAAAAAAAGAAAACAUAAUCAGACAAGCUUACUGAAUUCAAAAGAAAAUUGAUAAGAACAUACAUUACUAGAUGAGAAUACUGAAUUAAAAAGACAAAUGAAUGAGUAAAACAAAAUAUAGAUCUGAACUACCUAUUAGACCAUGAUGUUAAGAUUCUAUUAUAACAAUAGCUUAAUACACAAGUAAUGGUAAUUACUAUCAAUAAAGCAAGGCAAUUAAAUUUUUUCUCUUCGUUUAAUUAUCUACAGAGAAAGAACAAGUAAAGAGUUGCCAUCAAUAUUCCCAAAAAAAUUAGUUGGCCAUACCGUCAUUCUAUCAUCUAAUGACGCGUCAACAAUUUCAAACUCAGCACCCUUGUAGCUAAGCGUGCGACAUAAAUACAUCCCUCUGAAAUUAGAAAAUGAAGCAGAAUAAUAUAUCUUUCAGAUACAUAUAGGUACAUAUGGCUGAGAGUGGAUAUGUUUGUAGAAAUAUUAUAACCUUGCUUUCAUGUCCAUUGCAACUAGUUCUAGAGCUCCAACACCCCCUUUCUCAAGAGCACCUGGAUUCAUCACUUUUUAUUAACUUUAAACAAUUACAGGGUAACUUACUAUUUUGAAAAGCAAAAAGUAAAGAUAAGAGAAAGAACACUACCUAGAAAAUCACUAAAAUCAGGGAAACAAGUCCCAGCUCCCCAAAGACCAAGUCGAACCAUAUAAGCCAUAUUGCGAGGUUCAGAUGCACCGGUAGCUGAGCAAUAGACAAUCCGAGCUUCAGGUAGUUGAGCCUGUCAAAUUUUAAAGAAAGAACUUGGAAUAAUUCAUACACUCAAAACUGAUUAUUUCAUUUUGAAGUGAACAUUAACACAACUAGAGUGUACAAACCUGUAUAGCAAGUACUGCUUGACCAGUUUUCGUUGGAUUCUUAUCCUUUUCUGGAACCAAAUUUUUUGCUUUAUGACACUGUAAUGAAACCGACACACUUCAGCAAUAAAGAUUAAACAAAUAUAUCCCUCAAAAUUAAACAGUGGAACUACCAAUUGACAAUAUGAUUGAUAUCCGUUUUAAAAAGUCUAAUACCUCAUCAAAAAUUAUAAGACCGUCAAACUCGGGUCCACACCACUGCACAAGCUGUUGCAUACGGGUACGACCUCUGUCAGAUGAUGCUAUGAGGCUACUGUACGUCGAGAAAAUAACUCCCUCCUUAACUCCAACAGACUUCGAAUCAAGCUUAACAUAAGGCAGUUUAUUCAAAGCAUGCACUGGACAGAUUCAAGAAAGAAAUAUAUUUAAAUGCAUAAUAAAUCUUGCAAUAUACAAAAUAGUGAAAAAACAAUUACAAUCAUCUUUUCACUUCAUUAUUACUAACUUUUAAAUCAUUCCUUUACAACUGACACUGAACCCCUUCUAUCGGUGAUUAAUAGCAUUACGUUUAUGUUAAUAAUAUGAUAAUUACAUCAAACUAUCAAAAAAGCUAACCAUAUCUUAGGACUUUCAUUUGCAAACCCAAAAUGCAUAUAUACCUGCAAUGCAACUUGCACCCAUAUCAUCCAAAUCUCUUCUCGCAUCAAACUUCAAGUCUGAACCAACAGAAAUCCACCUGAGUAAGAUCAAUGGAACAUGAAAAUAGGAAUUAAAAGAUCAACUGCAAGUUGAAAUUACAAACAUGUAUGCAUGCAUAGUAAAGCACAUUGAAAAGUGAAUGUUUAUCUAAAUUCAUAAAAGCAUGCCCAUGAUUACAUGUACAAAUUGUGACCUAAACUUACAGGGCUUUUCUCCUUCCAUGGUGCCAGUUCUCCCAGAUUAUCCCAGCAACUGUUCGACCUUUACCUACACCAGCUCCAUCUCCAAGAAAGAAUCCUGCCCUAGCACCACUGGGAAUGUGUUGAAGGUGUCUCUACCAUGCAAAGAAGCAUCACACAUAUGAAAAUUAAAUUGUAAUUCUAUAUAAUUAUUUAUUAUCGAUAUUCAAUCAUGUGGUGAGAGAAACCUGACAAGCAUAGACCAAUGUCUCAAUCUGCAAGCAUGACAAAGCCUUUGAACGUUCCAAAUCAUUCUUAAUCAUUGGGUCAUAAGUAGGCUCGGGUGGCUGCACUGCAGACAAAGAAGAUGUCUCUACAAUUGGAUCUGGGUGUGGAGGUCCGAUAGAUAGCUUGGAUGGUCGCUGUAUAACGAGAGACGUUGAUAUUAGUUAAAUGUACCAUUCAAUAAAUUAACAGAACGAAGUUAACAUAACUUGCUCCCUAGACCUAGAGUCUUUAACUCACAUAAUCUGUAAAUGUUUCUCCGGCGACACCUCCAUCACCUUCUUCCUGCUCCACUUCUUCAACCAGCUGAUAUAUUUUAAUGUUGACGAUAAAAAAAAAUGAGAUACAAAUACAAGGAUAGCAAAAAUAAUUAGAUAUACAAUUGAAAUAUCCCACGACAUCAAUCAAACCCUUGAGUGGAAAUUAACAAAGUCAUUCAUUGAUUUUCUUUUCAUUUCUUAUUCUAAAUCCUUCUCCAACACACAUUGUUUUCCAACUGUCUCUUUUGGAUUCUUGCUUAUUUGAGCUUCUAUGGGAAAACUUAUGAAAACAACUGAUGACAUUUUAGAAACUAUUUCCAGCUUAGAAGCUCUCCAAAUGGCUUACAAAAACAGCUUAUAGAUUAUGCAAACGAAGCUUGACUUAAUUUAAUCUUGUGUUAUAGAAAUAGCUUAUUCGUAAACACUUAUACGAUAAGUGCUUAUUUUAUAAGCUGCAAAAUAAGUUCCAAACAAUCCCCUAAUAGCAACUAAUCAAAACUAAGUAAGAUAAACAAUCUAAAAUCAUUCUCUAAUCAAUACAACAAUCAAUUUAAGUUACAAAAAUAUUAAGCAAUACAACAAUCAUUAUAAAGCAACAAAUCAAGAACCUAAUAAAAUAACUUAUUUUAUAAGCUACAAAAUUAAGUUCUAAACUGCACACACACACACACUCAUCACUUAACUCAAGAACAACUAAUUAAAUCACUCUCUCAUGAGCACAAAAUUAGGUCAAAAUCAAAUGAUCCACAAAAAAAAUCCAAAGCAAUUUUUCACCUCGUUAACUUCUUCUUCUUGUUUACGAUCAGCAUCACCAACAUCAAGAAUAACAAAACACAGCGGACACGGAAACUGCACCAAAUCACUCGGUCCUUUCACAAGCGCCUUACAGUGGAAACACUGGAUUUUCACCGCAGACGACGCGAUUUGACAUAUAGGACAAGGUAACUGCACCACUCCAGGUGGUGCGGAGAAGCAAGUCCGGCAAUUGGUACAUCGCUGCUUGCGUGCCACGGGAGGUUUUGGUGGUGGCGGUGGUGGUUGAUGAUGCUUUCUGUUAGGAAAAGAGCGAGGGAGAGAAGUUGAAGAGGUGAAACUUGAGCGGGAAGAAUUCGGUUUUGUUGGCGGGUUUAGGGUUUGGGGUCUUGUAUAUGGGUUAUGUCUUCUGUAUCUUCUAGUUUUUAGUUCCAUACGAAGUUGUUCAAGAUUCGGUGAUUUUUUUUUAUUCAUUCCACUCAUUGUUGUUGUGAGAAAGAGAAGAAUAGCGAUGAAUUAAAGAAGAGAAAAAACGAGAGAAGAGAGAAAAAGGUUAUGCAAAGUAAAAGAGUUUCUAAUUAGAUUGGCAAUUCUAUUUAUAAGAAAUUCCGGUGAGUUAACUCAUCAAAAAGUUUUUUUGUUGUUUUGUUUUUGGUUGCAAAAGGAAAAGGAGAAAACAAGAAAAACACAAACGGGGACAAAAAGAAAAACGCCAAACAAAAUCUAGCUAAUCCCUAAGAAAGAAAAAUACACACAUGGACAAAAAUAAAAAUUACAAAAGUUUAUAAGCUAGGAAUUAUUGUCAAAGUUGGAUUUACCGUCCGAAUACUCUAAUUAUUAUUAUUAUUAUUAUUAUUAUUAUUAUUAUUAUUAUUAUUAAUACAUAUCUCUCUUUCCGUUUAUUUUAUUGCGCUAAUGCGUGUAAAUUAUGAACAAUAUUUUAUGAAAUUUUUUAUUUUAAUUAAAAUUAUAAGUAGAAAUAUUUGGGACUUUCAAAUUGUAACAAACCCAAAAAACCAUGUUUAUCUUUUUCAAUAACAAUAGUUACUUAUAAAAUAUAAUAUAAAUUCUUAUCAUUUUUAAUAUCAUCAACAAUAUAACAUUAAUAUAAAAAAAUUUAUUUAAGGGUAUAAUUGGAAUUAUAAAAAAUUCAGUCAAAAAUCUCAAUCCUCUUCAUAUAUAACAUUGAUAAUAUUGUUCCUAUUGUAGGGAGAUAUUUCCUAUUUUAAAGGGAUUUAAUUUUUUAAUUAAAAUUUAAAAUAAUAUUAUUAAAAGAUGAAAUAGAUAAUAAGAUAGUUUAAAUGAAGGAUAAAAUAGGUAAUGAAAAAAUCAGUCUAAACUCAUGUAUUUUAAGUCGAUUUUCUUUAUAUAUGGUAUAGCUUAUUGCUAAUGUUAGACAAGGUGUUAGUAUGUAUACAUUAUCAACGAUAUUUUUUUAUGAGCUUUUGAUUAAAAUUAAUUUGAUUUUGAUCACAGUAAUAGGUAGAGAUAAUAGAUAUUUUAUACUUUUUUUUCUUGCUAAACCAGGAGAAUGGAUAGACAUCAAGGGAAAGCAACGACAUCCCAACUAGGUUGACACCUCGCAGAACCCCCAUCCUAUACCGCCAAUCUCAUAGAAUAUUUUAUACUUUCAUAUUGUAACAAACUAUACUUAUUUUUUCAUCGAUACCAACAAUAUAAUAUCUUUCAAAAAAUUUAACAAAGGGAGUAUCAAAGAAUAUGGUUAUUUGGAAUGAAAGUAAUGAGCACAUAUAAGCAAAAACAAAAAUGUUUCUUUAUAAAUAUAAAAAAUUUAUUAAAAUAAACGGUUUGAUCAAAUGAUUAUCUAUUUGUUAUUUAAAACAUGAAUCAUGUUUAAAAUUUGAAAAAAUCUAUGCUAAAUUCGAUAUAAUAUAAAAUUACAUUUAAUGAAUGAGAAACAAAUAAAAUAGUUAGAAUGAAAACAUGAAAUUAUUUAUACAUAUUUUUAAUCCAAGUGAGUAGCAUGAUGCUAGCUCUCAUACAAUAUACCACAGAACAAAGAUUGAUAAAAAAGAGAGAGGGAGAUAAGACCAAAACCCUAUGAAAAGGAAGAUAAUCUAAAACAAAGUUUGUUUAAGGUUAAACCUAUAUACUGGCUAACUUUUCAGCACAACUAUUUACUUCUUUAUAAAUGUGUGAUAUAAUGAACUUCAUAUGGAUAUGUUUUGAAGAAUGUAGUUGUUCCUUAUGUUUCUUACUUCCCAAGGCACUCAAUCUCGACUUUUGAAAUCAUGUAUAACCAUCAUGGAAUCAAUUUCUAACCAUAUACUUCUCCAUUUCUUGUCUCUGGGAAUCUCAAUUGCUUAGAAAACUCAACAAUGAUAGAGUUUAGAUGCCUAAUCCUUUUGCAAAACAGCGAAUGAAAUAAGCUUGAUCGUCCCUGAAGAUUCCACCACAAGCUGAAAUACGAGGACUUCCCACAUCAACUCCAUAAGUAUUGCACUCAAUCUAGUUGAUUAAAUGAGGUUGCAAGAUGAUUUCCUUAAUGAUUGGAGCUCUUAGGAUGAAUUGUUACUUUGAAAGCUUUGAGAAUAAAAAAUCUAUCAUUGAUGAGGUUGCAGACAAAUUUGAGUUGCUCCAUGCUUUGGAAACAUUAUAAAUUAUUCGGUUAAAUAUGUUUUUGGUCUCUAUAAAUAUACUAACUUUUCGUUUUAGUCUCUCUAAAAUUUUCCUUCAACUUUAAGUCCCUACAAAAUUUUCAAUCACUACUUUUGGUCCCUAUUUUUAAGUUAAUUUUUGUUUUUUUAAAUGAAAUUAUGCAGAAGACAAAUUAAUAGAAUUUUUUAAUCCAAAAUUAUAAAAAUUCAUAUUAAAUUCAUGUUUUGUUAAAAAAUUCUAAUGUUUUUUGGGAGAGAUUGUUAUAAUAUUAUGAAUUCUUUUGCAAAAUUUCAUUUAAAAAUAUAAAUUCUACAUAUGAGUUUACUUUAAAGGAGGGACCAAAAGCGAAAAUGGAAAAUUUUUAAGGGACUAAAAGUUGAAAUUUUUUUUUAGAGGGAGUAAAUCGAAAAGUUGACAUAUUUAUAGGGACCAAAAAUAUAUUUAACCCUAAAUUAUUUGAUUUAUAACCGACUUCCAAUUGAUGAGCUUGUUCCUUGGUCGCCAAAUGAUUUUGAAAAUGAACCAAAGCAGAUUUGAUCACCAAUUUGCACUGCUUUAAGCCACCUCUAUCAUAGAACUCAAUUUGAAUGGCAAUAUUGAACAGUGAAGCAAGCCAACACCAAAUUUUGAAUGCAAGAGGGCAUUCAAAACAUAGAUGAAAUGAAGUUUCCUCAUUUUUAAAACAAAAGUUAAACAUUGUUUUCUAUUUUUUUCCCUUUUAAUGUGUUGUUUGCUUUAUAGUGGUGGCAUUAUGGAGUCAGCGAUGAGGUUCAAUGGAAUGCAUGAUUUAAAAGAAUGAUUUAACUAAUUUCGAAACUCAUUCUUCAUUGCUUUAUUGAAGAUAAAUUUACAUACUCUAAAUGGUUAAAAAGGUUUACGGGGAAUACAUAUAUGUACUGCCAUACGAGGGUGAAAAUAAGUGCUAGAAGUUUAAUACUUUAAUGACAAGAAGGGUAAUAUUGUUAUUUUUGAUAAUUUGUAGGGGUGAAAGUAUCAAUGUAGGGGUAAUUGGGUAAAGUUUUCUUUGUAAGGAUUGGUGAAGAUUGUGAUGUGUAAAGGUCCUCUUCGAAGCACGAAUUCUGCAUUUACUCCAGUCCAUGGACUAUUUGACGUAUAAAACAGCCCAUUGAAAGAAGAUAAAAGAAAAUUAGUAGAAACUUUUAACAUUUAUUCGACAAGUAACCUUUUACCUUUAAGAUGAAUAAGUGACGAACCUCUCUUCAACAUCUUAGUUCAAUUUUCUCCGUGCCAAUUUGGAUGAACUAGUUUAUCUUCUUAAAAAAAGUGAGAAGUUUGGAGUUUGAAUCCCAUUCUCUGUAUAUUUCAAUUUAUGUUUUAUAUCAACCGAAUUAUGCUCACGAGGAUUAAUAGAAAAAAAAAAUUAGCGAAAGAUAAAGAAUACAAUAUAUUUUGGUGAGAAUUACAUUAUAUAUUACUAUAUAUUUGAACUGUCAUAAAUAUACAAAUCUUUAAUACACGGGUGAUGACACACUCAACAUAAUCACAACGCGUGAUGCCGCUGUUAUUUGGAUCUAGCUUUAAGUUGCGUGGUGAUUUUUUUAACAAUCCGAAACCUUAUAUAUAUAUCUUGUCAAAAAAAAAAAAUAUAUAUAUAUAUUUUGUCAAGUAGUGUAGUGGCUAGAAUUCACAUUUUUUAAAGUGAAUAACUGGGGUGUCCGGGGUUCGAACCCUAGCCCACUGUGUAUAGCAAUGCAUAUCCCUACCCCAACUAAACUAAGCUCAAGGGGACACCCAAAACCUUAUAUUAAUUACUCCGAUGAUGAGUAGUAUUUUAUGAAACUUUUUUUUAUUCAGCAGCAUUCAUCAUCGGCUCAUUCCCAAAUUAUUGUGAGAAUUACAUGAUACAGUAUAUUUCAAAAAUUAUAAAUUACUUACUUUUGGAUUUUAUUUUUUUUUCAAUUUAUUUACACACAAACAUGCAUAGUGUUCCAACCAUAAAGGAUGUGGAAGAGGUUUACCGACUGAUCAUCAAAUAGUGGAGAAGGCAGUGGGGAGUUAAAGGCAUCGGGAUCAUGCUUAUAGGACAUGUGUUCGAACCAAAUAAAUUAUUGUAGGAAAUUUUGUGAGGAGUCUUGUUUCAUGUCAGGGACGCUCUCUUUUUAACACUCAUUUGUUUAUUGAAUGAAAUCAAUAUAAGCCAAUAGAUUUUUUUUCUGCCCUACUUUAUGGCAAAAAACACAAAAAUACCAUAUUUUUUCGGAAAAUUGCAUAAAUACCCUACUUUUUCAGAUGUCUCUGGUACCACUCCACUUGGAGUUGCGGAGUACCCUAAAAUGUGACGAAAUUUUUGUCCUUAUUGUACCCCUCUACUUGGAGUUGCGGGGUACUUUCUAAUUUUUUUUUUUUGAAUUUUUUUUAUACCCCGCAAGCUUGACUUGCGUCCUAUAUAUUGGUUUUUUUUUUUUUUAAAUUUUUUAAAUAUCCCUCUACUUGGAGGUAGAGUUAGAGGUGUCAAAUGGGCCGGUCCGGCUCGGGUCCGACUAUAGAAAUGGGCCAGCCCAGCCUGGCCCGUUUAUGAUUGGGUCGUGAAUUUUAGAGCCCGGCCCGGCCCAGGUGGGCCAUGGGCCAUCCCGGCCUGGCCCGUUUAUGUUUUAUUUUUAAAAUUUAUUCAUUUUUUUUUUAAUGUAUUAUGUAUUAGUUACUCACCAUUCUUUUUUUGCUAAAAUAUGAUUGGAUGGAUAUAAAAAUAUAAAUAAUUUUUACAUUAACAUUGAAUAAUAAUUAAACUCUAGAUUAUUCUUUCAAUUAAAUCAAAUUAAUAAUUUAUAAACUUUAAAAUUUUAAAACCGUAAGCUAAAAUUCAUCCAUAUUUAUUAAGUUUUUUUAUUUAAAUAUUUUUUUGUUAAUAAAUUUUAAAUUUGUUGAUAAUUUUUUUAAAAAGUAUGUUGUUUUUUAACAAAAAUAAAAUGAAAUAUGGGCUAAUGGGCCGGCCCAAAGCCCGGUGGGCCAGCCCCGCCUGGCCCAACUUUUGUAUGGCCCAAAUGGGCUUGGGCCCAAAAAAGCCCGAGUGCAUUUUUUGUUUAGUUUUUUAGGCCCGACCCAUGAGCCCGGCCCAUUUUUUACAGCUCUAAGUAGAGUGGUAUAAUAAAGACAAAAAAAAAGUAAUUAGCAUGCAUAAAAAGAAAAUAAUAAUAAUAACUUAAUUUAAAAAAACUAAUUAAAAUUAUAUAACAAAUAAAAUACAAUAAAAUCUACAAUUAUUAUGAAACAUGUAUUAUUUCAUCUACUAUAAAUACUUCCUUUCAUUUUUCAAUUUAUCACACCAUUUCAACUUAUAUUAAUAAUGUUAAUUUAGGCAUUGAUAAAAAAGUAAUUAUAAUAAUAAUCAUAAUAUUUAUAAAAUAAAAAACAUACGAAAUACAAAGUUACUUGUCAUGUGGCCCCAUCGUCGACCAUCACGAUGUGAUUGAGUCCACUUUUGUUUGGGAAUAUUGUCGACCCAUGCUAAAGCCUUUCGGUCUGCAACAACAAUUUCAGAACGGUAGUAUUCGAAUGUAGGGAUGUUCAUGGCCUAACCUGCAUUGUUUUGAAAAAAGUUAGAUGUGUCUUUUUAAAAAAAUAAUAUGACGAAGACCAAGAUGACCCUCAAGUAAAUCGCGGAAGACAUCGUCGAAGACGAGGGUGUGGGACAACAGGGCAUUUAUAAUAAUUGUAGAUUUUAUGGUAUUUUAUUUGUUAUAUAGUUUUAAUUAGUUUUUUUAAAUUAAAUUAUUAUUAUUUUCUUUUUAUGCAUGCUAAUUACUUUUUUUGUCUUUAUUAUACCACUCUACUCCAAGUGAGGGGUAUUUAAAUUUUAAAAAAAAAAACCAAUAUAUAGGACGCAAGUCAAACUUGCGGGGUAUAAAAAAAAAAUAAGAAAGUACCCUGCAACUCCAAGUAGAGGGGUACAAUAAGGACAAAAAUUUCGUCACUUUUUAGGGUACCCCGCAACUCUAAGUGGAGUGGUACCAGAGACACUUGAAAAAGUAGGGUAUUUCUGCAAUUUUCCAAAAAAGUAGGGUAUUUUUAUAUUUUUUGGCAUAAAGUAGGGCAUAUUUUUUUUUUCUUCCAAGCCAAUACAAAGGUGAGUGGUGGAGAAAAUGUUAAAAAGAGAGUAUUGCCAGCACCACUUUUAAUGGAUAUGUUAUGUAUGUAAAUUAAUUUUACUUUAACAUCUAAAAACAAUCAAUUAUUUCUGGACAAGCAUGGUUGUUUUGUACAACAAAAAAAAGUAUAUGGGUGAUUUAACAAAAUACACGGUUGCUAUUGGAUGACAAUGUAAAAUGAUUUUUUGGUGAAUAUCCUAUUUUCUCUAAUUUUAAAAAAUAAAUUGGUUUAAUUAAAGUAGAGCAAGUUGACACAAAUCAGAAGGGUUGCAACGGUUCAUUUGGCAACACACGUAUCUUUUACAACUCUCUAAACAAAACACUCUCAAUGUUGUCACAAUUCAACCAUUCCAUUCUACAGGUAUGUUUUUCUAUAUUGUUUUUUUUCUCUUCAUUUUUCUUCAUCUGGGAUUUCUAUGUUGUCACAAUUGCAUAAUUUAUUACUUUGGUCCAUGCAUCAUGAUGGACGUAAUUGUAUGUAAACUUUUAACUGCAAAAUACUUUUAUUUCCAGGUUUCAAUAUUUUUGUUGUUUUGCUUGAAAUUCUUUUAUUUUUUGUUUCAUUCCAAACUUUCAUUUUCCAUCUUUGUUUUUCUUCUUGUACUUUCUUCUUGUUCUCUUCUGGAUAUAGCAGCAAACCAACGGUUACGUAACGUUAAUUUACUUGUUAUUUGCCCAUUGAAAUCUAUCUUCUAAUAAUGAUGAUAAUAUAUAUAUUUUUUUCUGAUGAUGAAGAAUAUCAAUGAUAAAUGAUAAUGAUUAUAAUUUAUGAAAAUAGAAAUUUAUUCCAUAAUUCAUAUAUUAUUUUUUGAGAGUCAGCACAUAGUGAUCGUUAAAUAGAAAUUGGAUCAAUACAUUCAAAACAUUAUUAUUUUUAAAAAAAAAUAUCAACUUCUCUUUGUACAUAAAAUAAAAUCCUUUAAUAUGUUCAUGAUGAAUAUUGGGAACUCAUUCUCUUUACACAAAUAAUUUCUUUGUAUUUUUAUGCAUCAUCAUUAGUACAUAAAUUACUUGAUUUUAUACUAUAUUUACAGAGGAUAUGAAGUCCCUUCCAAAGUGAUGUAAAUUAUUUUAAUUUUAAUUUAUUAUUCAAAUCAGAUCUGAAAAUAUUUGCUUUUAUCCCUCAAAAAAAAAAAAAUUGCUUUUAUGACUUAGGAAAUAUGUCAUGCUGAGAGAAUAAAAUUAAAAUAAGGAAAAAUGUUUUAUGACUUAGUUUUGGACUUUAUACAAAAAAUUAUAUUACUUUUGGACAACACUUUAUAUUUCUUGAAUUACAAGUUCCCUUUUUUUUUGUUUGUUAACGGACCUUGAAUCCCAAGUUUCUCUUUCUUUAUAUAAUGUAUUCUUUUUCAUCGAUCCCUUUCAACUUUGUUUGAUAUUUAACGAUCAUAUGAUCAAUACUUUGGUACCUAUCAAGGUAAAAAUUUUGAUUUAAUUUGUUUUCAUUAAAGACAUACACAAGGGCAAUUAGUAUAGUUUUCUUCAUAUAUUUUUACUCGAAUUGGAAAAUCACAAUGAGAUUUAAUUUGCCUUUUUUAUUUUAAGUUGAAUUUUAGCUCUCUGUUUCAUUUUUUGCUCACAAGAACAUUAUGAAUAUUGUUAGGUCCAUUGCACAGAAAACAACUUUUACUUUGUUGGAAAAAAUCAUUGCAUAUAUUUUCCAUAUAUAAACAUAUUUGGUGUAUGUCUUGUUUUUCUUCAUAUUUAGUUUUCAUGUGUUCAACCUAAAAAAGUAUGCAACAUAAUUGGUAGUAUGUUAGAAUUGAUAGCAUGUUGAAAUAUUGUUAAUUUACAAUUUUGUUUGAUGCAGGUUUAAUCUUCACCUGUAGAACUUCAAACUCAAAGUGUGAUAAUUCUCAAAUGGGUCUUAGAGUUCAUCUUCUUGUUCUUAUUUUGGUCUCUUUCUCAUUAAGAUGUGAAUCAUGGGGUUGGUAUUCAUCAAAUAAGGAGAGUCACUCUAAUGAUAGGUCUUAUGGAAACCAAGGAACUUUUAGAGGUUCGAGUGCCGAGUUCUCAAUCGAGGCUUUCAACGAUCCAAAGGGAAUGAAGCUAAUAGAGAAUGCUAAGAAUAAAAUGGUUGGAUCAAAUACUUGUUGGCAAAAUGCUUAUCAACAUCUUUUUGCUGGAUGUUCUGAGAUUUUGUCUGCGGAUGAGAAAAGGUCGAGAUUGGCUUGGCAUCUAAGUGAUUGCUUUCAAAGGGAUUCUGGAAGGGUUUCCUUUCCUCAUUGUGACACGAAAACAUCAAUUGUGACAUGCCUAAGAAACUUAGACGAUCUUGCUCAUAAGGUUUACCUUGAAUUCUACCUCGAAACCAACUCUAUUUGUUAUCAAUUACAGUUAAGUGCAUUUGCUUUUUACCAAACUAUUUGUCAAUUCUUCAUUUGAUUUUCUUGUUUAUGUUUUUGUUGCGCUGUCUAAGAAAAAAAUUAGUGAACGAAAAACGCUUAGUGAUAUAUCUCAUUUAUUUUAUGAAGUGAUGUUUUUGUCUCAACCUAAAUAAUGUAUUGUCUACUUUUUCAGGACACAUGCAUUCAAACAUGAAACUGAGAGACUUGUGACUGAAUUGAAAAGUUCGGCUCAGUAUGUCGAGGACAAGUUAGAUAGUAUUGAAGAAAAAUCAGAUAAUUUGUUACAAGGCUCAAAACAGAUUUUUGAUUCUCUUGAAUCGGUUAGUAGUCACACAGCUAGUUGCUCAAACUGUUAAGAAUGUAGAAACUCAUAUUGAUGUGGUAUUAAGGCAUUCCAAAAGUGUUUAUGAACAAACUACAAAAAUUGCAGCAUCACAAUCGCAAUUAGAAGAAGGUCAAGAGGACAUGAAGAGGAAGUUAGAGGAUGGUGUAGCAUUGCUCAAAGAAUCUUAUAGUUAUUUGGGAAAAGAAAUAGAAAAGUUAAGAGAUGAAGCCAUUGAGAUUGAGAAUGAAGUUAUCAAAGUUGGAAAUACUAUGUCAUCAAAGAUGAACACUCUACAAACUAAGGCGGAAGAUAUUGGAAAUAUGGCAGGGGUUUCCUUAGAAAAACAACAAGAACUUUUAGACGGACAAUCCACGGCACUCAAGGGACUAAAUUCAUUGAACGAGGUUCAAUUCAAAGCACUAGAGGAAAGCAGGUAAGAUCGGUUAAAUGUUAUAAAUUUGUCAUAUAUUCAUAAAUCAUAUUAUGCAAAGUGCUAACCUCAUAAUUGGUGAAAUGUAGGAAAAGCGUACAAUAUUUUUCUGAAUAUGGACAUAAGCAACAAGAAGAGCUUUUACAACGUCAAGAGCAGAUGCAAGGUCUUCACGAUCGGUUAAUGGAAAAUUCAAAAACAGUAUUAUCUGCUCAGGUUUGCAACUAUAGUGUUGAAUCCUUAUACACAUGCAUCCUUAAUAAUUUCUUUGAUUAAGAACAUCUACUUAUACUUUAUCUCUACUUAUAUUUUAUAGGAAACUUUUGAAGCAAAACAGGCUACGAUGUUUGUUGCUUUGGAUAAAAUAUUUGCUUUGCAAAAUGCCAUGUUGCUCGAAUCAAGAGUGAUUAAAGCUUUCUUCAUUUAUGCGAUAUCAAUCUUUGUCAUCUUUAUGUUGACUAGCACGAAGCAAACCUACAAUGUUCGACCCUUACUUUAUAUCGGUAAGUACCAGCAAGGAGUUUGUCUCCUAACGCGAGAAAAUUAAAGGUUGAUAUUGUAAUCAUUCAUGAUUUGCUAUGCAUGUACAUAUAAUAUAUAUCAACCAUUGAUUUGUUCGUCAACCAUUUAAAUUUCUCAUCUGCUCUCCAACUCACUUUAGAUAGCCAAAUUUGCCAACUAUGUCUUUAGUUUCUUAAACCUCAAAAUAAUUAUUAGUUAAACAUAACAUGUUAUGGAUUUUAUAUUUACAGAGCUUUGUGUUGCUCUAUUUGUGGAAGUAUUCAUUAUUCGUUUAACAAAUGACGACAUAGAGCAACAAACAUGGAUAAUAAACAAGGUCCGAUUAUUUUUGAUGGUAGCUGCUUCGGCUCAACUUACGUAUGCUAUUGUCACAUACAGGUAAGUAUACAAGCAAUAAACAUUUCAUUCAUAUCUAAGUUUUAAAUCUAUCCAAAACUCAUUUCAAUGUUGGUUGUAAAAACAAUAAAUAAUAACAGAGAAUUGGUUGCUAAUCAUGCAGGGAUUAUGAAAGGUUGAACCAUCAAAUGCUCCUAACACUACUUAAUAAGAUAAACAACAUGGAAAAAUUGAAGGAUUCAAAUUGGGAUUUCGAUACUACUGAUUAUGUGGAUUGGUCUCAGUUGAUAGGUACUGAUUUACCUGAUGAUGUCAAUUGCCUUGAUGAUCCGGACUUUGUGAUUCCAGAAGAAGUUGCAGAGAAUUCAAUCACAAUCUCCACAACAAAAAAUUAUAACUUACGCUCACGCAAUCGUUUACAUUGAUUUUUCUUACCACCACAAGCACACACUACUAUUUUGAACUGGUAAUUAGAAACUUGAAAUAAUCUAUGUACAGCAACUUAUUUCCUUAAUGUAUUUUCAUGACUGUGGAUUAUAUAUACUAAUGAAUAUGUAUGCAUGUGAUCAUAUGUGAAGGUUGACAUUCUGGACACUCACACUUCAGUUAAAGUUGUCAGUUUAGAAUAACUUUAAUAAUGAUGCUCACUCUAUGAGCAACAUCUUAGCAAAACUGAGCUUAUAAUCAGUUUGUAGAGAUAAAAUUUGAUGACAAUGCAUACACCAUUAUUGCUCCUCACAACUAACAUAAUUCCUUAUUUUAGUUUGAUUGUUCUCAAAUUUUGAAUUUAUAAUUUGCAACCACAAAAUGAAAAAUUGAAGAAAAAAAGCUGAAAAUGCGAGAGAUGAAACCAAAGGGAAAAACAUGGGGAUUUUAGAAACUUGAAGUUGUCAGAAGAACAAAUGCAAAAUAUCGCAACCAUUUGAGUCUUUAUGAGGCUUUGAUGACAAUGACAGUGUCGAAGGCAGUGUCAUCCACCGUAAAUGGAAAGUUCUUGGGCGAACCAAAAACGCCCACAAAUAUGGUAGCAUUCAGUUUGCUCAAUGUUCAACAUUAAAGCUUCGUAGAGUGAGGGUGAAAGUUCACUAAAGAUAUGUUAAGUCUUUGAAUUUCAAUAGUAAAUUGUAAAUCAAUUCAAUCUUUAAAAGUUGAUCGUUUUUGGUCCACGAUGCUUACAAAUACAAAUUUAAGUAUUGAGUGUCUUCGCAAAUACUAUUCCUCGCCGUCAAAGAAGAAGGUUGCCGAGGAAGGUCCUACACCUAGAGGCCAUUCAACACCACCAUCAAAAUAUCUCAGAUCUGACGGGAUGUCAACGGGGCAGGGUCGGCAAAGAGUACACUCCAGCUCCUUGUUCCCAUCCCACAUUAGUGAGUCUAUCUCCUCCAUCUUUAUAUAUCUAGAUUCAAUUUUUGUGGAUGAAAAUCUCAUAUGAUUAAACACGAGGACUAGAUGUAGGUAACAAGAUAGGAUAUGCGACUGAAUCAGAAUAAAUCUCGGUGUCAUCUUAGUUACCCAUCUCUAUUUAAAUUUCAACAAUUUAGUUUCAAUUACUUUUGUUCUAUGGUUUUUCAUUGAAUUGUUUCCGGUAUAGUUAAAAUCUGAGAAUUGAUAGAAAUGUUUCUUUCUUUUAUUAGAAUAUGAGUUAGUUACUUUGUGAUGACUCAGCAGAGUUCGUUACAUUUUUUUUUUUUACAAAAGAGUUAAAAAAUAAAGGAUAGGUCAGACCAACUCUAGUUGUCCAGUUUUUGAUUUGUAAAAGGUACAUGACAAACUGGAGGCAAGGGACACGACAAAAACUCAUUUUUGUCCCUCACCAAACCACAACACAACUUUUUGUUCCACGUACAAGUUGUCUAAAAAUACCAAAAUAGCAUUUUGUCCUCCAAAAAUCGUAUAAAACAAAAAAUUACUCAUUGUCAUAAACUUUUUUAUCCUGUGUUGUUAUGCCUUAUGUUGUGUUGUCCUGUCUUGUACUGUUUUGUCCAAUACUUACUGUUUUGCAAACCAAACACACCCUUAGUUAGACAUGUAAGGCAUUGUUUGGCUUAGAGCGGAUAACACCAUGCACUACUAGGCUACGUACUCUAAUAUGUACUUCAUUUAGUCAAAUCUACAAACAAAUAUUCUUUUUUCGAGUUCAUUAAGGCUCUGUUUGGUAAAAAUAGCGGAUAGCUGAUAAGCUAGCUGAUAGCUUUUAACUGAUAAACUAACUGAAAUGUUUGGUAAAAAUAGCGGUUCAACUAGCUGAUAAAUGUAAAAUGACAUAAAGGGUAUUCUUAAUUCAUAAUAAAAAUUAUAUCAUUAAUUUAAGUAUUUGUAAUUUUGUAAACUAAUUUUUCUUUAAAAAAAUACUUUAAAUUUAUUAAUUUAAUAUAUCCUAUGUAUUAUUAAUUAAAUUUUAUUCACUAAAAUUUUAUCUUAUAUUUAUUUUCACUUAAGUGUUUCCACUUUAUAAAAAAAAAUAACAUUUACCUCAAAAACAAAAAAAGAAGGUAGCACUAAUAGAGUAAUACUAAUAAUAGAGAAUAAAGAAAAUAACACUUACCUCAAAAAAAAAAAAAGUAACACUAAUAGAAUAAUGGUAUUUUGUUUCGUAAAAAAAAAAAAAACGAAGGUAUAUAUUUUUUCCAAAAAAAAAAAAAAAAAAAGGCCAGCUGAUAUAUAUACAAAAAUUGGAAUUAAAUGUAUAGUAGUCUUUAUUACGUAGCUUAUUAUAAAAAUUAUAAUGGAUAAAAAUACAAUUUAAAUGAAAUAAUAAGGGUAAAAUUGGAAGAAAAAGUGAGAAGUUAUAAGCUAUAAGCUCAAACGCUACUUGGAAUAGCUUCUGAAAAAUAGCUUAUAAGCUCGUGAAAUAAGCUAUAAGCUCAUGUGAAAAUGUGUUACCAAACAGAGCUUUUUUUGUCAAACGAGCUUAUAAGCUAUAAGCUAAAAGCUCUUUUUUGGGGUUAACCAAACAGACCCUAAAUAUCUGGUAUAUUUGGACUGUAAUAUAGUACAAAUACAUAAUUAUUAAAUGAAUCUAAAAAAGUUAUAGUCGUUUAUAAAUGUUAUUAGAGGGGGUUUGUAUUCUUUCAUUUCAAUGAAAAAUGCUUUGUAAAACUUUUAAAAUUGAACAAUUCUAUUACCUUAUAAAUGCAUAUAAAUUUUUAAAUUUAGCAUUGUAAUCUUAAAGUAUCGAUUUAAGUUACCUUGAAGAUAGUUGUAAAAAUAAUUAUUAGUGUCACUUUUAUUAAUAAUUUUUCUUAGGUUUUGUAAAAGUUUGUUCUAUGAAAAAUUUUAAGGCUUAAAUCUGAUUUGGAGCCUAUCAUAGGCUUAUUUUUGCCUGGAAAGCAACUCUUCUUACUUUCAUUUUGGCUCUUCACACACCGCGAAGAUACCAAAUCGCUCCACAACAUCAUUUUCCGAGCACCAAUUAACUAUUGUGGGGGGUAUUUUGGUAUUUAUGUGGUGUAUGGGAACACAAAUUAAAGUGAGGAGAGAGAGAGAGAGAGAGAGAGAGAGAGAGAGAGAGAGAGAGAGAGAGAGAGAGAGAGAGAGAGAGAGAGAGAGAGAGGGGUUGAAGAAGGGAGGGUGAGAAAGAGAAAUAAAAAAAUGAUGGGAGGGAGCAUGAGGAUUGAGAGUGAGAGAGAGAGAGAGAGUGGAAAAGAGAGAAUGUGGGGAAAUCGGAAAGACUUGUUUUUCUUUCAAUUUAAUUUUCUUUUCUUUUACUUAUAAAUAAAUUAAAAUUAAAUUAAUUUCUAACAAAGCAAAUGAUGCCAGGUGAGGGUGGUACAAGGGGUUGAUGGAAAGAAAAGGGUGUUUCUUUUGGUAACAUGGAAAGAAAGGGUGUUCAUCAAACAUAAUCAAAUAAAUAAUAUUUGUUAUAUUUACUUAGGUAGGUUGACUUGAUAGAAUUAAAAGACUUUUUCUAUGCCAUCUAGCUUGGCCUUAUUAUUAUUAUUUAUUGUUACAAAGCUAAAAUAACAAACAAAAAGCAACCAGGAAGAAAAACAGAAAACUCAAGCUCUUUGAAAGAAAACUCCCAUUGCAUCGUUCCUUAGCAUGCCGAGAAGAUCACGAGGAGGGGACGAAUGAACACAAACUCAAUGUUUGAUGUAGCUCCUAACUUGGCCAUGAAAUCGGCGCAUUAAUUUCCUUCUCUAAGAGUGUGUUGGAUAGUGUAGCUGCGGGUAGCUAAUAUAUCCUUGAUGUCUUUAACUAACACCGCAUAUGCGUGAAAUUUCGAAACCUCUACUGGUAUGAGAUUGACAGACAGCAGAGAGUUCGAGUAACACACUAAAUCUUCCAAUCCCAUGUCCGAUGCUAGUGAAUGGCUGUGAGCUCAACAAGAAGAAAAAAUGAAAAUAAUAUCCUUAGAAUGAUAUUAUUUAAAUAUCCUUCUAAAUAAACCUAAGACUUCUCUAUUAAAAAAAUGAAGGAAAAAAAAUAAAUCAAAUCCUGACAUGGAUUUUUCGCAGGUUAGGUCGUAUGUCUAUGUAAGCAAGCCUAACCUUAAAUAUAAUUUUUUUUUGUAUUUUUUGUUUUAAUUUUACAUCAAUUUAAAUUUAUUUAUUUACAAUUUUUUUUAUCUAAUCAAAAAGUUUUUAAAUGUGAAUGGUAAAAUAAGUUGGUUUUGAUUGUGAAUGGUAAAAAGAAAAGUAGAGUGAACCGGCGAGUUUAUUUUGAACCGGUUGGGUUGAGUCAUAUGGUUAUUUAUUGGAUUUCCCUCAAAACGGUUAACGAACACGACUUUCAAAUAAUCGAAUAUCAAAACCCUUUCCCUCCAAACACCAACAUUUCAACUAACCGCGCCAUUCUCCGACCACCGUAACCGUCCCUCGCCGGACCACCGUAACUGUCUCUGCAUUCUCGCCGGCGAAGCCAACAUCAUUCUUCUCAGAGCACUGGUAUUUCCGAUUGUUUUUCUGUGUUUUCAGUAACAUAACAGUGUGCAAUUCUUGAUAUUGCAAUGAAUCGCGUUUUCGAUCUCACAUUCUUCAUAAAAUGUAGUUUCAGUGGUUGAAUGAUCUUCGCUUAUGGUCCUUGUUGUUUUGAUUCUCUUAACAUUGAAAAGGAAAUUUUUUGAAUACAUUCUUGAUAAAAUGCAGUUUCGAUGGUUGGAUGAAAUUUGAAUAUCGCUUGAUGCAUAUCAUUUUUCGAUUUUUCAAUAGUUUUUGAGCAAUCUUUGGAAUGAUUUAAGUUUAAUCUUGAUUUGAGAAAAUGUGAAUAUGUGUUUCUUCUUUUCAAUUGGUUGUAUACAGCGAGUUUCCCUGCGGUCGAAGCACGAAAAGAAAAGCAAUCUUUGGAAUUUGGUGAUCCUCUACGAGUAAAGGUAUUAUGCGAAGAAUUAACAAAUUUCAUAUUUAAGAGUAUUCAUUCAUAGUGUUUCUGUAACAUAUGCAGUCCUUUAAAUUUAUAUUGAUUUUUACUUCUGCGAAUGUUUCGAUUGAUAAGAUUUUGGACGUUUCUAAUGGGUAACAAUUUAGUUACUUCAUGGAGUCCUUUAAAUUGUAUAUCAUUGUUGAUUUGAGAUUAAGAAAUUUCUUUCUUAUAUGAUUGAUUGUGUAAAAUUCCUCUUCUCAUUGAAAUUCCUCAUAUUCAUUGAAAGUACUUUGAAUUAAUAUUGAAUUUCAUCUGAUAGUUUAUCCCAUGAAUUAAUUAAAGUUAGAUGUAUGUUUUCCAACUACGAUGAAUUCCAAAGAAUCUAACAACUUAGGUGCUUCACUGAGUAAUUUCAUCUGAUUUGGGACUUAAAACAUUCCAUAAUUUCCCUAUUGAUAUAAGGUGUUACAUCCCUUGCCGAGACAUUGUAUAGCAUCAUGCAGUUCCUUCUUUGAUGACUUAUCGCUUUUUGGUAUAUGUACUUGAUUUCUGUUUCUCAAUUGUUACUGUAACCACAAUUCUGUUUGUCUUGUUUGGUUGCAUACAUUUAUAUGCUUUCUUGUGUUGACUUUGUUGAAAAGUUGCACCUUGAUGGGCCAGCUUUCUAGUUGCUAUAUCUUGUUUUUGUAGUCUCUUCAUUUAUCAAUAUUGUUUCUGAUUUGGUUUUGUUGGAUGGCUGUAAUACAGAUGAGUGAUGAUGAGACAGAAUUUCCUGACAGUACUGAUUCAUCUGGCAGUACUGAUGAGUUAAUUGAAAAGCUUGAGGAUGAACUAGAUGAUGAUGGUGCAGACAACUCUUCGUCAGAUGAAGAAGCUGAAAGCCAAGAUUCCAGGUACUCUCCAUCACCUAUUUCAUAUUACAUGUGUUACAGUAUUAGUUAAGCUGUUGCCUAAUUGAUUUUACUAAUUUAUUGAAAUUUAGUAGGUGUGACUAAUUCAUAUUAGGUCGUGAUUUGUGAGAGGACUAUACAUUGUUUAGAUAUAGAGUAUUGUGAUGCUUAUAUAAAUGAGUUUAUCUGAAAAUUUGGUAUUGAUAGAGUGCAAUGACUCUAUUCAGUAGGAACAAUGUUUAUUAUUGUAGUGGUCUCAACUUUGAUAGAGUGAUACUUGUUUCCAAAACCUCAUGAAAGAUUGUCAUGCAAGUUUCAAUUACAUUAAGGCAUUGCCUUUAUUACAAGACAAGAUAAAGGAACACUGAAUAUUACCUAAUUAUGUCAUUUCUUCUUAAGUCAAAUGAUAACAUGUUUUUAGCUAUGGUUUGCUUAUGUAUCUUCACUGCUGUGCGAAAACUUAUUUUUUUGGUUUGUGGAUUUGUGAAUCAUUUAAGCAUAAAGGAAUGUUUUAGAAAAUUAUAUAGCUCAAACUACUGAGACAUAUCUGGACUCAAAUGACCUAUUUUUAGACAUGUUCCAUAAGAUAACAUUUGUGUUGUUUGAUCCAUGUAUUUGACUCCACCUAUUAGGAAAACACUUUGAUUCUUGUUGUUAUUGUGGAAUUGUGAACCAAUUAGCAUCAACCUAUGGGAGAAAUAUGGUUGUAGGGUUCCUAUUAUUUUUUUGCUUAUUUAGGUUGAUUUUGUCUAAGAGACUAUAAUGUAUUCUUUGAUUCAUGUUUUCUGAUCAAAUUUCACUCUGCUACACACAAAUUUAAAUAGAAUUAAAAGACUUAAGUCUGAUAGCACCAGUGAAACUAAGGCGUCUACUUCAGCAGGAACCGCGGAACAAAAAUUAGGUAAUUUUAUUGUUGUUGUUGUUUCUUUCAUUUUCUUUGCUAGGAACAAGAUUCGAUCCCACAUCAAGUACAUCUAACUUUGCCAAAAAUUUAUUCACACAGUUUCUCCUUAAGAGCAAGUAAACCAAAACAUUUUUAAGAAACAGUUUCUCUGCCUUAAUGCUUUUUUGCACUAUUUCAUUGGUACAGCCUUAAGCUUGUUAGACUUGCAUUCUUAAGCUUUUGUUUCUUAUAGAGAAAUGAACUAAUGAUGCAUGCACAAUCAAAUAUUUCACACCUCAUACUACCUUUUCUUUAGUCCAUUGUAUAACAAUACCGUAAAUUUAUUUCUAAAGGCUCUUAGAUUACGCAAAAUCUCUUCCAAAUGUUUGUGAAAAUAUGAUUAUGAAUCACAUACAACUUUGUCACUCUGUCUUAAAAAUGUUGUAACUCUCUCUUUCUCUCACUCUCUCUAUAUUAAUACUUAAUUGUUGGAGUAUCAUCUGUGAAUGUAGAUGGAUGUAUGCAUCCUGGAUCAUUUGGAGGCAUUUGUAUACAUUGUGGACAAAAGGUGGAUGGGGAAUCUGGUGUGUCAUUUGGCUAUAUACAUAAGGUACAAAAAAUUUCAAUUGAUUAUCUUGGGGGUACUAAUAACAUAGAUUUGGAUAGUUGUUGUUGCCAUAUGUCGCUAUUUUUGAAUGACUUAGAUCAAAUUGAAAUAUUUGUUUAAAAGCUAAUUCCUGAUUCAGUGAUCAUGCCCAACAAGUAUUCCUGAUAUAUAAGCAUACAGCUGAAUGGUUGGUUAAGGAUGGCAAGGUAGUGUCGGUCCUCGCACAUGCUAACCGCACUGCAACAAAGAAGUUCCAUAAGUAAAUAUAAACAUUGAGCCUAUAAAAGUACACCACAAUAAGGCAUUACGAAUUAAAUUGGUUCUUGUGUUCAAAUCUUUAAAUCGAAUCCAUAACACGGUAAUUCCCUAUGGACUUACAAAGUUCCCACUACAUUUUAAGUCAUGAAUGAAGUCAUAAGACCCUGUUUGAGUAAGUUUGUUCUACAAUUUUUUUUAUGACAUAUCCUCAUAUUUCAAGUCAUAAGACCCAUAUUUUUCACCAAGACCACUCGAGCAAGGUGCUGUUAUUGAUGAGGGAGAAUAAUUUGGUAGCCAACUAGAAUUAGGAUUAAGGAUUUGAUGAGCUCAGGUCAUUGUUGUAAGUCAGAAUUGGGACAGUCUAGAAUUUAGCACUAUUGAUUCAAACAAAUUUCAUAUAAGAUCAUUUAAAUUCUUUUUUGUCUUUACCUUUGAAUUCUUGUUGUAUCCUAUCAUAUACACAACCCAACUAUUUAUUCUGCAUAUAAUUUAUCCAAGCAACAAGUUAUUAAAUAUGGAAAUUUUUGUAUGUUCAGGGACUAAAACUUGAUGAUAAGGAAAUUUCUAGAGUGCGCAGCAGAGACGUGAAGAAUUUAUUAAAUCGUAGAAAGCUUUGCUUGGUUCUUGACUUAGAUCACACACUGCUAAAUACCACUUCCCUUCAUCGUUUGAGCCCAGAAGAAAUGCAUUUAAAAACCCAUACAGAUUCUCUAGAAGGUAAUAUGCCAACCGAUGCACCUUUUCUUUUCGUAAUUGUCAUUAUUAGUAUUUAUUAGAAGUUUUGAUUUAAUGCAUUUCCUCAUCAUUUUUGUUUUUAUCACGUUAAAGUUCAUCUAUUUUUCAUUGUAACUUACUGUCAUAGAGCAUGAGACCUCGAUCUUAUUAUUUUUUUCAUCUUUUGCUGAAAGGCUAAAAUGCUGGCAUUAUACAGCUUUCUUGGUUUGCAGUUGUGUCUGUUAAAUGCUUUUGGAAAGCUUACAACAAGCUUUAUGCAUUCUUUGUUUUCGAUUACACUGAAAAAUUUGCAGAAUAAACAUUCGUUCGUGUUCUUUGGUUGCUAAAAGACAGAUAUCAUUGUAUUAUUCUGCAUUUGCAAGUACCAUGCUGCACAUCAUCACAUAGAACAUCAUAAGUUAUAUAUAGAGUAGAUUCAUGUCCUCAAAAUUACAUCUCCUCCUAUAUCGACAAUAAGUUUUUAAAUAGAUUGAAAUACUUACUCAAAUUCAUACAUUUUAGUAAAAUUAGGGUAUUUCAAACUCAUUUAUAUGUUUCAUCAUCAUGAGUGCAUUUUCUUACUACUCUUUCUUGAUUUCACCUGAUGUUCUGGGUUUUUAUGGCUUUCUUUCUGAACUUGUAUACAAUGAAACAAUAGAUAUCUCUAAAGGUAGCCUCUUCAUGUUGGAGCAUGUGCAAGUAAUGACCAAGUUGAGGCCCUUUGUCCGCACAUUUCUUAAAGAAGCAAGUGAAAUGUUUGAAAUGUACAUCUACACCAUGGGUGAUCGGCAGUACUCAUUAGAGAUGGCCAGGCUGCUUGAUCCUCAAGGGGAAUACUUCAAAGAUAAGGUAAUUUCUCGAGAUGAUGGGACUCAAAAGAACGUGAAAGAUCUGGAUCUUGUGUUGGGGACAGAAAAUUCUAUCGUAAUUCUUGAUGACAAAGAAGAGGUGAGUGCAUGUCAGUACUCAUUAGAAUAAUUGCUGAUAGUUAAUUUAUGUGGAUGAUAAUCUCAUAAUAUUUUUCUUUUUACCUAUAUGUAUGAACAAAUUAAACACAGUUCUAUAAUCAAAUAAAUCUACAAUCAUAUGAAUAUAACCUUGAAAAACUAAUAGCCAUUCUACCACUCUUAGUUCUUGUAAACAUCAAAUGCAAGAAAAACUAAAUUAUUAAUUCCUAUGCCCUAUCUCUCAUUUCAAAGUUCAAUUUUUAGGUUCAUAUCAAUUUUUAUUAACUACUACUACUAGCAUAUCCGAUUCUUGUCUUUCUUGCGUAGUAGUUUUUCCUGAUUUUUUUAAUGUAGUAGUUUUUCCUGAUUAUUGGUUAACUUGGUGUUUUUAUUUUAAUACUUUUUUCAAAUUAUAUGAAUCAUUCCUCUAAAGUUUAUUCUCUAUAGACAAAGUUCAUAGAUUCAAAUGUGCAAAAGAUCUAUCCAUUUAAUGAUUCAUAUGUCAUUGUUUAUCAAUAUUUGAGGGGUUUGUCUAACAUGUGCAACAUUGCACAUGUUAAAACAACUAAUAGUAGUAACUUUUUCUUGGAAAACUAUAAUUAUUUAUUUAAAAGUUUUAUAUUUAAUAUUAAAUGUACAAGUUCCAAUACAAAAUUUCUAUUUUAAACUUCUUAACAUGUGCAAAUUUGCACAUGAUAGAAAAACCCAUAUUUGAGAAUCAAUAAACCAAAGUCACCUCCUUUAUUGAGAUGUAUGAAAAUGUUGUAGGUAUGGCCGAAGUACAGAGAUAAUCUGAUAUUGAUGGAGAGAUACCACUUUUUCAAUUCAAGUUGUCAGGACUUCGGCCUCCAAUGCAAAUCACUUGCUGCAUUGAAUAUUGAUGAGAAUGAAAUUGAUGGUGCGCUUGCCAAAAUACUCGAAGUGCUAAGACAGAUCAACUACAAAUUCUUCGAUGUAUGUCAGAUAAGUUGUUGAUAAAAAAUUUGUUGUAUUUGAUAUGUUGCUAAAACUGUGUUGUGGGGAUUUGUAGGAACUUCAAGGAGAUCUUGUUGAUCGAGAUGUGAGGCAGGUAGUUAGUUAUCUUUUUAUUCAUCUUUCUUCUGGUUCGUGCAUUUUGCUGAUGGAAAUAUAAGUUAAUUUGUCAUCCUAGUGUCAUAUUCUGAUAAUGUUAUGUUAUGCUUGCAAUCAAUUCUUGUUUUCCAGGUUUUGUCAUCAUUUCGAGGUGAAGUCUUAAGAGGAUGUGUGAUCGUUUUCAGCCUUAAUUUUCAUGGUGACUUGCGAAUACUCAGGAGGAUAGCAGAGCGGUUAGGAGCUACUUGUUUGAAAAAACUUGACCCCACUGUGACACAUGUAAUUGGUACAGAUUUUGUAACUAAGGAGUCCCGGUGGGCCGUGCAAGAGAAGAAGUUUUUGGUUAGUCGUCGUUGGCUAGAGGCUGCAAAUUUCUUUUUGCAAAAGCAGCCUGAGGAGAACUUUCUUGUCAAAAUACACUAGUUUCUGGUAAUUAGUUAAAGAGUUCUGUUACAAGGAUUUUGUGUUUGUGAAGAUGUCUGUGGAAGGAACUGAGUUUCAUUUGAUACGUAGGUCUCACUGAUCUCAUAAUUGGAUUGCUACAUAUGAUAUUCUGAAUGUUUGGAUUUGCUUGCUUCACUCAGGAAUAUUGGAGUUUAGGAUUUUACUCAGUAUAGAGAAAGCCAUUAUUUGUGACAUUUUGUUGUUCUCAAAAGUUUAGGAUUUUAUACUUCCUAUGUUUCUGGUGUUAAAUGUUUUUAAACAUCAAGAAAAACAAUAAAUAAUUGCUUGAAUGAAACAACUUUAUUAAUUUGCCUUGCUUAUUUAGAAUAUAGUGCAACAACAAUACAUGUAAUGUUUUUUUUUUUUUUUUUGGUACAAAAGAGGGCAAAGCCCAAACAAUACAUGUAAUGUUACAUUAAAGGGAAAAUUGAAAUAAUCGAGGCUUUUGUCCUAUAAUAUGUUCGAAAAUUUUAAUCGUUUCACUAAAUUAUCCCUUAUCGAUCAUGUGCUGUUGAAAUCUCAUUACCAUAAAAACAUAGUGGAUUACAAGCUUAACUAGUUAGUUACUAGACUGUGCAAUUACUUGUUAGACAGGUAAUUGUCAUAGUUAAUUAUCUAAUUACACUUCCCAAAGUUCAUCACCAACUCCAACUAGAACUAUAGCAAGUGGAUAUUUACUGUAUCGUAAAUAAAGAAUGAAAGUUACGAAGUACUUUAAAAACAGAACAAUAAGAACAGAAAAGAGUUUCAUAAUAGUCCUAAAUAAUGAAAGUUAUGUUCAUGGUUUCUAAAUGAAAUUUAGUCCUAAAUACACUUUUUUUAACCUUAAAAUCCAACAAAUUCAUAUGAAUUGACAAUCACAUGCAAAGAGUUGAAGAAAUUAAUUAAUUCAGUCAUGGAAUUGGCCUAGCGGCAUUGUUAUCGGAAUUUCGAUGGGGAGGAAGAAGAAGCGCGAUGCUUCAAAGGUCUGGUGUUAUUACGCGAUCAUGAAUUCGAUGACGAGAAGAUCUUGGUUCAGCAUCAGAAAGCCAAGCACUUUAACUGUCAUGUUUGUCAUAAGAAGCUUUCCACUGCUGGUGGCAUGUCUAUUCACGUUCUUCAGGUCCACAGAAAACGUCACCAAGUAUACUCUCAACUAUGUCUAUUGCAGCCUCUAUCACUGGUACUUCACAAAAAAUCCAAUAAUAUUCCUUAAUUCAGAUGUAUAGUUUCAAGUUUGGAACUAUAUUUUUGUAGCAAAUUAAAACUUCCUCAAAGCCAUGGCAAGGUGAGUGAUCACUAUGAAAGCUGAAUACUCCUUGAUCAUGUGUGUUAGCAGUAUGAUGAAUGGCAAAAUUUGAGCAUUAGUUGAAUUGGAAAAACUAUUAAUUACUACUCUAAGGAUUAAUAUGGCCUUCUCAUAGGGGUUCUAUCACCAAUUCCAUGCAGGCUUCUCUUGUUAAAUGAGACUUUGCCUUCAUAAGCGAACAAUUUGAAAAAGAAAAAUAAGUUUAAGCCAAAAUUGUAAUCAAUGUUUUAAAAUUCAACCGAUGGAACCAUGACACUGUGUUUACGCUCCAGUUAUAAUUAAUUUGAACGUUUCAAUUGAGGCCUCAUCCUAAUUCGAGCAGUUUAAAACAGUUGAACCAUGACCUCGAAAAAUCUCGUCAGUUUGAUGUUGAUUUGAUUUUUAUAACAUUGAUUAUAACCAAAGCUCUGUAACAUUUAUAAAAUAAGGAUUAAGGAUUAUUGGCCGUUGGGAGUAUUUGUUGGACUUAAUAAUCUCCGGAAAACAGUCAUUUUUGAGGCAGUAUUGAUAUAUGAUGAAACGAUACCUUUUCAGUGGUUAUUUGAAACUUUAGUGAUGCCAAUGGAUAAAAGCCUAAAACCAUUAUAUCAGAUCAAGAUGCCAAAAUGGCAAAGGCUAUUUCUUUAGUGAUGCCGGAAACAUUUCAUGGAUUGUGCACUUUACAUAUAAGACAGAACAAUCUAAGGCAUGUGAACCAUCUAUAUCGAGAGUUCACAUUUUUGUUUAGAUUUUGAAAGAGGCAUAGAUCUACAUGAAGAGGGAGAUGAAUUUUUGAAUGCAUGGAACUCUUUACUUGUUGAGCAUAAUGUUAUGGAAGGUUUGUGGUUGCAUAUGAUAUUUCAAUUGAAGGAAAAAUGGGCAUGGCAUGUGUUCGGAAAACAUUCACUGAAGGUAUGAGAUCUGAAUCAAGACAUAAGUUUCCUAGAUUGAAAAUGAAGAAGGCUCGUCCAAGCCGGAAAUGUUUACACUCCAAAAACAGUAGAGGAAUUCUAAGAGGAAUAUGAGGAAUGUCAAGACACUUGCAUAAAGGUUUUGAAAGAAGGUUUGUAUGUUGUCACAAAUUAUGAUAAUGUAAAAGAGAGGACAGUUAUGGGAAAUGCUACGGAACAAAAAGUUUCUUAUGAUUGUCAUAAAUUUGAGACACAUGGCCAUCUUAUGUAGUCAUGCUUUGAAACUUUUGGAUGUCAUGAAUAUUAAGUUAAUUCAUGAACACUAUAUACUAAAGCGAUGAACAAGAGAUGCAAGGUUGGGAAGUAAAUAAAGAUUGGAAAGUGAUGCAUGUUGAAUCAGACACGAAAGCCCAUUUCAUGAAGCGAUACAGUGAGUUGUGUCCUUGAAUGGUUAAAUAGACCAACGAAGCUUCAAAAACUCAAAACUUACAGAUAGUUACCCAAGGUCUAUGAAGAGUCCAGAAAAAUAUUUGAAGAUAUAUUGGCCAAAAAAUACGUGGAUGGAGAAUCCAGUGGGAUGGUUCAUGUAACCAUAUCAAUUGCAAUUGAUGCAAUUGACAACAACGCGGACACCGUUGUCGGGGCAAAAGGCAUAAAGAAGAGAUAAUGUUCACGUUCUACUAAAAAAACAAGCCAAAUCUUGGGUUGAGAAAGCAUCUAGGAAGAGAACCAAAAACUGACACUCCCCAAAAAAGAGAAAAUCGCAAGAAAAUGUAGUACAAUAGUUAUCGGUAAGUGUUGUUCUUUAUUUUCUUAUCAAUGUUUUAAAUUUUGUUUAACCAUGUCAUUCAUUUCACUUUUCUUAUAUUAUGCAGCAACCACUUGACUAAAAUUCAAUUUCUCUCAAUUGAACUCAAUGUCAAGCUACAAUCCAAGGGACACAAUGAAGCAAAAUUGACACAUUGGCAUUUCAUAACCUUUCUAAGAAAAACAAAAAAUGAUUGCUUUGAAUGAAACAAUAUUAUUAUAUAACAAUACAUAAAAUAUUACUUUUAAAGUAAAAUUGAAUUAAUAGUGCCUUGAACAUAUAAAAUGAUAAUGAAUCUAAUUUUUUUAAAGAUACAAUCAAAUUAAGGAAAAAAAUUUAUGUGCAAGAUAUGCAUUGUACAAUUAUCAGCCACUGUACACUCUAAGACGACUAGUGAUCCUGUGUCGACAUAUUGGACAAUGUCUUAACCUUGAUCCACAAUCUCUGCAUGUCUGCAUUCCAAAAUAUUGUAUAACAUAUCGUUUAAUCUUAACAAUUAUCAGCUUAAUUGUUUCAUUAAUUACUCUAAAAUAAAAUGAAUCAAAAUAAGCUCACCAUGUGCCCACAUCCAAAUGCCAAAUCCUUUGCAUUGGUCAGACAAACAGGGCAGCAGGCCUACAUAAUUCCAUUGAUCACAUAAACCAUCAAGCAACUUCAAUUUAGUGAAGAUAAGAUAGUAACAUUUGAUUUGAUGCUUACAGAUUGAUUUUGGUCAUCUGUUGUCGAAUUACUAUGUGCAGGCCGAGAGUAAGGUACAGGAGAUGGUUUUGGAACUAUUCUCUUCGCUCUUCCUGUUACAUGUCUGUUAUCAAUUCAUAGACACAAAUAUGACAACAAAAGUUAAUUUCCAUAAUAUCACUUGAAAGAAAAAGUUGCAUUGUUAUGCCGCACAUAUCAAUGAUAUCAUUAAUAGAAGAUUUUUUAUAGAAUUGUUUAAGGUUUAAGAUCGUACCCCAGUUUUCGAAAUUCAACACAUGCUUUAUAUUGGAAGGGAAUCUCCAUGAGAGUGUUAACAGCAAAAGCUGCUUCUUUUUCUGCUGCGCUUGUGUUUUUAGACAUUAUUUUUGUGAAGUUAACGAACUGCACAAAACCGAAAUAAUGUGAUCAAGCGAUGAAAAAUAAUGAUCAGUUAUCUUCACUUAAAUAUAGAUCAUUAGAUUAAUUCAACAGCUAGAGAGUUCGGCAUAGAUUAUAGUAAUACCGGAUACGAAUUCAAAUAGGUUAUUACUUGAUACACACAUUUUUAUGGUUCUAUUGUAAUACCUGAAAAUUGUCAAAAUCGCGUGUCGGAAUUUUGUCAUCAAACUUUUCCAUGUCUUCCCAAGGUCCAUCACCAACUCCAACCAGAACUAUAGCAAGUGGAUAUUUACUGUAUCAUAAAUAAGGAAUGAACAUUAAUGUAUAUUAAGCACAUGAAACUGUUUUGAAAUUAUUGUAAAAUCAGAACAAUAGAAAAAAAAAAUUGCGUCUUAUUAGGCCCUAAAUAAAUAAUGAAGGAAAAUGAUAUAUGUAGCGAAAAUUUCAUGCGAAAUCAUCCCCAGCCCAUGCAUUCCAACUUUCAAGUGUUUUAAUUGCCUAACCAUUGACCCCAUCCACGCGAAAACGUUAAGUGGUUAAACUUAUUUCGCUAUGCAAUCAUGAUACAAUUGCUCGCGAUGCAUAGCACUCCUCAAUAAAAAAUCGCAUGUGCAUAGAAAAACGUAUACCUUGCAUCAGCAAUUGCUUUGAUUGUCUUCUUUUCUUGAGGACUGACUUCAUUAUCUACACUUUUUGUAACCUUAAAAUCCAACAAAUUAAUAUAAGUCAGAAUCAUAUGCAAACAGUUGAAGAAAUUAACUAAGGUAACAUUUUAAAUAUACCUGACCAUCUGCAAUGAUAACCAAAACAUGAAACUGGCCAUGACUUUUCUCGACUAUGUCUAUGGCAGCCUCAAUCACCGGAGCAUAAGAAGUUGGUCCUUCACACAAAAUCCAAUUAUAUUCCUUCAGUCGUGUAUCUUAAACCAGAUAUUAGUCUUGAUUUAUCUCAACGAUAUAUCAAAUAAUUCUAGAUGUGCAUCAAAAUUUAUACACAUGAUCGAAACGCUAUAAACUUCAACACAUAAAUUUAUAAUCCAAUUAUGAUUUUUGUAAUACAUAGUUUUCAACACAAAAGCGGUUUACACCUAACUUUUACAACAUAGUAAAAAUGAUAGAUUGCAAUAAGAUUAUAAGAAUAACACUACCAAAAAAAAAGUGAAGAUGAUAUAAUAAUGACCUGAGAGUUUCAAGUUUGGAACUAUGUUUUUGUAGCAAGCCAAAACUUCUUCAAAUCCAUGACAAGGUGAAUGAUCACUAUGAAAGCUGAAUACUUCUUGAUCAUGUGUGGUAGCUGUAUAUAUAAUGGUAAAAUUUGAGCCAUUACUUGAAUUGCAAAAAACAUUAAUUACAUUCUUUUUACAUAUUCUACUCUAAGGACACUAGCUAGACUUUACCAUCACCAAAGCCAAAGCAUGGAAUCAAGUUGUCUUCAUCAAAGGGAGCCAAAGUCUUGCCAACAAUUGAUAUGGCCUUCUCAUAUGGGUUUGGUGUAUCUCCAAUUGCAUGCAGGCUUUUCUUAUUGAAUGAGAUUUGGCCUUCAAAAAAAAAAAAAAGGGAUGCAUUGGCUUAACAACGAACACUUUGAGAAAAACAAAAUAUGUUCAAGCUGAAAUUAUAAUCAAUGUUUUAAAAAUCGAACCAUGAAUUGACACUAUCGAUGGUCCGGUUAUAAUUAAUUUGAAGGUUUCAAUCAAGGCUUCAUCCUUUUUGAGCAGUUUAAAACAGUUGAACCAUGACCUCGAGAAAUCUGGUCGGUUUGAUGUUGAUUUGAUUUUAAAAACAUUGAUUAUAACCAAAACCCUCAAACCAUAUUAUAAAGCAAGCUUUAGCUCCUAAUCAUGCCUAUAAUUUAUAAUAUCAUUGAUGGAAUAACUUGACUAAAUUUUGUUCAUGUAUUACAACUUACCAGUCCACUCAUUACUCUUUGUAAAAUCAAUUCCAAGGAUGAGAUUUGAUGACUCUAAACCUUCUUUCCUAAGUGCUACAAUAACCUAUAAAAAAGGACAAUGAAAAUUAAAUAAAAUCAUCUACAAAGUACACAUUGCCAAUAACAUGAUAGCUUAAAAGAGUUACAAUUCAAAUAUGAUUACUACUUAAAAGAUCUAGUUCAAUUGUGAAUUUUUUUAUAAAUAAAUUGGAAGGCCGAACUCAUUCUAUAUGAGAAAAAAUUAUUUUAUUUUAUUUUUUUUAUAAAAAAUGAUAAUUUUUACUUUAUUAUUACAUGAGCUGAGAUCCCUUCUUUUCCUCAAGAACGAUAAAUUUAGAGUGUACAAAAGCAUCACUGUGUUUGUUUGGCAUCCCAACUUUGGCCCGAAACAAACAAAAAUUAUAUAGUGUACACUUAAAAAAUUUAUUAAAAAAAAUUAGGUAAACCAAACAUAUGCCUAGUGAUUCUUAAUAUAGAGUGUCCUUUUAAAAAAAGUUGUUCUUACAAAUUAAGCAAACAAUAACAUGCUUCACCAUGUCAGAGGCACUAACAAUUAAUUCCAUUAACAAACACUUUCGUUGAAUAGUUUAAAAUCGUCAAACCCUUUGCUGAUAGCUUAAUUUGGAUCUAUAUACUUUUUUGUUUUUAUCAAAAUGGAAAACUUUUAUUAUUAGUAAACAGCCUUAACAUAUAGUAGACGAGUAGACCAAAAUAUUUUCAUUUUUUUCUACUUUUUUAGACUUGUGAUUUAUAUAUUUACAUAUAUAAAGUUUCAUCUUCAAAUUUGCUUUAGACCAACAAAUAUAUUGGAUCGGCACUAAUUUUGAUAUACAAAUUCUGAAUCAAAUUUUGUUUUUUCUUUAAAGAACUUCCCUAAAUUGUACUAUAAAAAAAAAAUAACACUACCAAAAAAUAAAAACAAAAGAAAGAAAGAGAAUGAAGCAGCAAAAGAAAAAACAUGACGGUUAGGUUUUUUUUUUGUGGUGGCCGGGGUUUGAACCCCGAAGACGAUGGUUAGGUUUAUGAAGACAUGUAAAGUACUCUUACAAAUUCUUGAUUACUAGUAUUUAAUAACAGUAACUAGAGAGACAAUAAUUAUAACUUUGAUAGGUUACUUUAGCAGAGGGACGGUUAGGUUAUUGGUUCAACUAUCUUCUCUUACAUUCUAAUUAAUUAAUAAUUACUAAUAUUUGUGGUUAAAUAAUAAUAGAGAAACAUAUAUACCUGUUCAAGAGUUGUGAAGUUAUCUUGAAUCAAAUCAUACUUCUUGAGAGGUUUCUUGGUGUUUGAACUUUGUCCAGAAAUAACUUGUCGUGGUAGUGGUAAUGGGACAGGUUUGUGAGUUGGAAAAUUAGAUGAAGAGAUUCUUUCAUCUCUUCCUUUAGGAUCAUUGAAUUCCUAGUAUCUUGAUGCUCAUGCUUUUUGUUUUUACCUAAGAGGUUACCCAUAGCAUCAAUUCAACUAGCGUUUCUCUACAUAUUGAAAGAGAGAUGUAUAUAUAUACACGUAAUGGAAGGUAGAAACGAAAUACAAACGAAGGUGCAACCCGUGUGUUUCCUAGAAAAUCAUGUUAACAAAAAAGGGGUGAAUUUUAAAACAAAAAAAAUAUUAUAAUUUCUAAUUACUAUAUUGGUAUUAGAUUCUAUUCUUAUUGGCAUCGGGGCUUUAUUUUGCUUUUUAGCUUUGUACAAUAUUUAGUGUUUAAGUUUUUUUAUUUUUUUUAUUUUUUUGACAUAAAGAAGCUUAUAACUUUUUAUUAUUUAUCAAAGUAGUUAUACAAUGUGCAAUAAUAUAUGUGGAAUAAUUGUCCUCGUGAACUUAGUUCAGUUGGUAGGAACAAUGCAUAAUAUAUGCAAGGUCUGAGGUUCAAACUCCGGCCACCACAAAAAAAAAAGCAAUUAUAAAAUGUGGAAUGUUAUGAUGAACUUGGAAACUAGCAUGAUUUAGUGCUCCCUAGCUAAACUAUGGGCGGCUCUAUUGGUUUGUCUUCUAAUGAACUUCAAAUCAGAGUUCACUAAAUCAAUCGUCAACAAGUGUCUACAAUCACGAAUUAUAGCCAUAAAAUCAAAAACACUGUCCCCUUUGUAGAUACUAUCUGCCACAACUUUGGAAUCAAUCGUCUAAGACUCUCGGUCUGCUUUUGUUCAUGGCAGGCAAAAUUUAGAUGGUAUUUUAAUAGUUAAUGAGAUGGUUAGCAAGGCUCAUCGUUUGAAAAAAGAGUUGUUACUUUUCAAAAUAGACUUUGAAAAGGCUUUUGACUCUGUUGACUGACAAUACUUAAAUGUUGUUAUGCACAAGAUGAAUGUUCCCAAGUUAUGGCGUAAAUGGAUUAUGGAAUAUGUAUCACUACAGCUUCCACUUCUAUCCUAGUAAAUGGAAGUCCAACAGAUGAGUUCCAAUUUGAACGACGACUUCGCCAAGGUGAAUCCUUUCCCCGUUUCUGUUCUUAUUUACGGCGGAAGUCCUCAAUGUUAUGAUGAAUGCUCUUGUCAAUCUUUGCUUUUUCUUCAACUACCAGGUGGGUCGAACUGAUAUUGUUCGUAUUUCUCGUUUGCAAUUCGCUGACGAUACUUUACUUGUUGGAAACAAAAGUUGAGAAAAUAUUCGGUCUUUAAAUGCCUUACUUCUGCUUUUGGAGGUGGCUUCAGGCCUUAAGGUCAGUUUUCAUAAAAGCAUGCUUGUUGAUGGUAAUGUUCUGAACAGUUGGUUAAAUGAGGAUUCUAUAGUUGUGAAUAGCAAAAUUGGUCAUCUUCUGUUCAUGUACCUAGGUCUUCCAAUUGGAGGUGACUACCGAAAGCUUAAUUUCUGGAAACCUUUGGUUGAGAAGGUUAAUUCAAGAUUGUCUGGAUGGAAGAGUCACAAUUUAUCUUUAGGUGGUCGUUUAGUUCUUAUGAAGUUUUUUCUAUCUUAUCUCCCGGUUUAAUUCACUUCCCUUGAAUCUAUUUUUAAUUGUUUUUUUUUUUAAGUAGGAUGGAGGUAUAUGGGUCAAGAUUCAAGAAGAUUAGGGAGUUUAACUUGUCUUUACUACACAAAUGGUGUUGGAGGUUGAGGCAGGAAAAACGUUGUCUAUGGUAUAGUGUUUUAGCAUCGCAUUAUGGUGUAAAGGGUGGAUCUCUAGGCAAUGGGGGGAGAAUAGCUUCGGUGUGGUGGAAUGAUUUUCUUACCAUUCAGAGAGGUGAUGGUCAGGGGGUUGGUUAUUGGUUUACCGAUCAUAUUCGGUGUGAGGUUGGGGAUGGAGUGAAAACUUUAUUUUAGUGGGAUCCUUGGUUGGACGAAGGAAUUUUAAAGGAUAAAUUUAAUCGCCUUUUUUAUCUUUCUGAUAACAAAUUGACAACUGAGGCAGACAUGUUUUUGUUAGGAUGUGGGGAUGGAGGAGAGGCUUGGAAAUGUUGUAGGAGAGAUUGUUGGCUUGGGAGGAAGAAUUGGGGAGGGAAUGUUGUGAGCUUUUAUUACCAAUUGUUUUGCACGCUGAUAUGAAUGAAAGGUGGAUUUGACAACUUCAUGCCUCUUCAAAAUACUUGUUACUAGUGUUUACAAUUUUUUGACAUCAAGGGAUUAACCUCCAAACAAUGAUGACAAUUCUAUUAUUUGGCACAAGAGGUUCCUCUAAAGGUUAACAUAUUUGCUUGGCGUCUUUUGCGAAACUGCCUUCCAACAACUGAUAACUUAAUCAGGCAAAGGAUCCUUCAACCAAAUAUGUUUUUUGCUUAAGAGGUUGGGGCUCACAAGAGAAUUAUGGUCAUUUUUUUGACCUGUGACUAUUUUGGACAAAUUUGGUAUGAAAUUUAUAAUUGGCUUGGAGUGGUUUCAACCAAACCAGCUUGAGUAAAGGAUCACUUUCUUCUUUUCCGAUCGUUGAGCUGCUUCUCAAAAAACAUUUGUUCUGCUUUUUAUUUAAUUUGACUUUCUUCCAUUUGGAUUAUUUGGCAUGACUGGAAUGCAAGAGUUUUUCAAUAAAAAGGAAAUUCAAUCAUCCAACUUAUAGAUAAAAUUAAGCUUCAAACCUUCUAGUGGUUGAAGGCAAAUCAUCAUAAUAUAUGUUUACUUCUGUAUUUUAAGUGUGCAUGCAUCAAGGCCAUAUCGUUUUUUUACCUUUGAUAAUCUGAUGUAACACACACUUCUUUUUAUCUUAGUUCUUCUAUAACACUCCUUGUGCUUGAGAGACUUAGCUUUGGCUAAUAAUCCAUCCGUUCCAAAAUAAGCGAGUCUUGUAUAAAGAUAAUAUUGUCCUAAAAUAUCUGACUCAUUUCACUUUUCAAUACAGUAUUAAUCACUUUUUUCCAAUAUUAAUCACUUCUCAUCUCUAUUAUAUUCUACUUUGCAUUUGUGAUAAUGGUAAAUGCACCAAUAAUUGACAAAAGAAAAUUUAAAACCAUUUCUCUAUCUCCUUCACCAAUACAUUUUUCUUAAUAGUGUGAAAUGAACAAAAUGCUCACUUAAAUUGGGACGGAGGGAGUAUAUUUCCUUUUAACUACUUAAAUAAAAACUUUGUACGUCAAAAAAAUCAUAAUUGUAAAUUAAUACUCAAAUAAAUCAUGAUAAUAAAAUAUUUUAAGACCUUUCAAAAAAACUAAUUUUAAGGUAAAGAAUAUAGUCCAAAUACAUCAUAUAAUAACGUAUUGAUAUCCAAUUAUGUUGACAACUUUUUUUUUUUUUUUUGGAAGGAAUGUUGACACCUAAAUGCAGUCAUUUAUCAUUUCCAACAACUUAAUAAAUAUCCCUUAUUCUAAAUGCUUAUUAGGUCUUGCUACUACUAAACCUAAUUUUUCCCUCUAAUUAUCUAGCAUUAAUUGUAAUUAGUCACUUUAGGCUACAUAUUUUCCCUCCACUUAGUUGAAAUUCAAGUAGCUUAUUGUUUUGACUUCCUGAAUUUCGGCCUUCCAAACAAUAAACGUGAGAUGCAUGUAUUCUUUUGUGUGCUAUUUAACUCAACCUUUGCCAUACCCCAUACAUUGUAAAUCGGCUAUCCACUUCUCCAUGUUGUUUCUGUUUCCAACACAUCUCUUAUUCCUUCAGUUAUGAACUAUAUAUAACUAACAUACACACCAUGUUUAUUCUCAUUCAAAAAUCCUCCUGCCUCAUUCAAAUUCCCUCCUUUCUAUUUCGAUAUUCCAAUGUCUGGACGCAACCUAGAAAUCAUGCUCUCAUUCCAUUGCUUGACUGGUUUGGUUUUAAAUUUUUUGAUUUUUUGUUUUGUUUUCCUUGCUUUUGUUUACCUUUGUCUAUGUUUAAUCCUUAGGUGCAACGUAUUGCUCUUCACCCUCAUAUCUUUCAUCUAUAAAUACAUUCCAAAUAACAAUAUUCCUUACUGGAAAUGUCCUUUGAUGAGUAAUCCGGUUUCAGAGAUGGACAGGACUAUCAACAACCUGCGUAUGAGGAUUUGUUGUUUUAAUCUGUGAUGUUGCCCAACAUCUUUGCUGCGGACUUUGGAGACAAGGUUAACUGGAUCUGUUUUUUUAUUUUUUCUUCCAAUGGAUCCCUGUUUUUUACCAAAGAUCAAUUUUCAGAUUGAUUUUGAGGUUGUGGAGGCACGCAACCUGUAUGAUGGUGUUAGGAUGAGGAUUGGUGCGCCUGUUGUUGGAGGCAACGACACUAUCUAUGUGACUGUGAUUAACAAUAUGAACCAGAUGUUUGUCCUUUUAUUUUUCGGCUACCUCACAUGAUGUGUGCAAUUGUUCCGUUAUAAUUUAAAUUAACCUGUUAUCAGUUUACUUUUAAUUUUUUUGAAACAUACACCUGGCAUACAAUUCUGUAUGAUCUUAUUUUAAAUUAAUCCUGUUAUCAGUUUAUUUUAGAUUAUUAUUAUUUCAGGUAAUAAAGAAUCUGAAGUAUCACAUGCUACUUAGUCAACAAAUGCAAUGCCCUUAUUUUAUCACUGUUAACAUUAGUGAUUGUUCUAUCACUCAUGUGCAGAUCUAUUGCUUCUGCUUUUCUGUCAUUAUCAGGAAUACUAUCUUCAAUUUGAUUGAGUAAGGCAAUUGAAUCUCUUGAUAAUGCAAUGCCAGAUUGAGAUUUGUAUAUUAUGUCAAAAAAAAAAAAAAGGCUUAAUUGCAUUUUUGGACCCCUAUAUUUUCAAAAGUUGCGGUUCUGGACCCUUAAUUAAUUUAAAUACAAAACAACCCCCUAUGUUUUGAUUCUUUGGCAGUUUUGGACCCCCAGGGCAAAAAAAAAUAAAAAAUUUGACACGUGGCACCUCACUUAGGGUGCCACGUCAGCGUUGACCGAAUCAACAACGGACUGGGGGUCCAAAACUGCCAAAGAAUCAAAACAUAGGGGGCUGUUUUGUAUUUAAAUUAGUUAGAGGUCCAUAACCGCAACUUUUAGAAAGAUAGGGGUCCAAAAGUGCAAUUAAGCCAAAAAAAAAAGAUUGAGAUUUGUAUAAACUAAUAUUAUACUUAAGCUUAAUGCCAACAUGUUCUUGGCUUCUCUAUUCUAUACUAUACUAAUAUCAAAUGAAAUUAUUCUCCUUCUCCCCUCUAUUUACUGUAAUGGAUUGAAGGAGUUAAAUUUUGAAAGUAUAUGUUAUUAAGUUUUUCUUAAUUAUUGGCUUAUAAUAUUAUACCCUUUGUCUAACAUCACUUAGACAGUCACAUUAAGGUUUUUCUUUAAUUACCGUUGGCUUUAUUAUGAUUUAAUGUGAUACAACUUUAUAUGAUAAAAUGCAGGGUACUGUUUUUUCUUUGAAUAUCGUAUGUUUGAGUGACGUAAAACAUCUACUUUUCUAUAUGCAUAGAAUCAAAGGUCCUAUUUAUAAUUGCUAUAGAUUUAAGGAAAACUAUGCAGGUAGGUGCAAGUUGACUGCUACCUGCAAAUUCUACAAAAAAAAGUAGCAAAUUUUCAUCUUUGAAUUCAUAUUCUCUUUUUUCUCUAAGUUAGUCCCUUACUUAAUGUUGUUGGCGUCCACUGUCAACUAAAUUCUUAACAUAUAUAGCAUGAUGUUUUGGGAAAUUGAGGUUAAUAUAAGUUCAGGUUUUAUAUUCUAAAAUGAUAUAUAAAUGGUUCAAAUGUAAGCUGAAUAUAUUUCAAUUUGUAAUUUCAUUUUGAUUGAAAAAGUAAAUUGAGGGUAUAAGUAAAUUCUCAAGCAUUUGAACACUCCCUUCGUCUCAGAUUGAUUGUCGUUUUUAGGUUAUGCACAGUUCACAAUCUAAAAAUUAUUUUGUUGUUAAUGAAUUUCAGAAGCACUCCCUUUGUCUCAGAUUGAUUGUCGUUCUUAGGUUAUGCACGAUUCACAAUCUAAAAUUUCUUUUGUUGUUACGGAAUUCCAAGUACUCUUAUAUAGUCUAACAUGUUAAGUUAAAUAUCAAUUAUUAAAAUAUAUUAGAGUCUUCAACUCUAAAACACCCGCGCGACGGUCGCGUGGGUCAAGAGUCUAGUAUUAAAAUAAAGGGAAAUGCUAACCGGUGCCCCGGGGGCACCGGUUAAGGAUAAUAAAAAGGGAAAUUAUAUGUUAAUUAUUGCAUUGAAAAUUGUUUAAUUAAUCCAUAAAUAAGUCAACAAAACUUCCUUUUAUGGUAAGAAUUUCCUUUUUUCGUAUGCUUAACCAGUGCCCCGGGGGCACCGGUUAGCAAGACCCUAAAAUAAAAUAAGAAAAGUAGUUUGCGUAACUAGGUCAAAACCAGAUUUUGAUUGACCGGAGUCAUAAAAAUGACAUGGUAACACAAUCAAACAAACUACAGUCAUCUGAUUAAAUCAAGGGUGCAAAUUCACUUUCUCUCAUUUUUUAAAAUUAGCCCACUACAUAGGGUAGUAAAAACAAAACACCUCUAUGUAAUCUUCUUUCUUUCCUAUUUUACCCUUCAUUUAAACUAUUUUAUUUAUUAUUUCAUCCUUUUAUUAUAUUAUUUAAAUUAUUAAUUAAAGAAACCAAAUACAUUAAAAUGGAAACUACAACACCGAACAUAUUAUACAUAAAAAAAAAUAGCUUAUUUAAUUGUUUUUAGGUAACAUAUUUUAAUCUUACUUGCCAAAUAUAUUUAAUCAUAAUUGGUAUUUUAUUUUUGAGUUUAAUGGUGGUGAGUUGACAUUCCAAAACAGUUUUGCACGUACAACCAAUCAAAAUAUUCUGAAUCGCCACGUUUGGUCCAUAUGAAUUAAAAUCGUUAAUUGAUGUGGUGAUUCUAAAUGUUUUGAUUGAUUGUAUGUUCAAAACUGUUUUGGACUGUCAACCCACCACAAUUAAACUUUUUUUUUUUUAUAAGCAAGGAGAUUAGACAUGCAUAUAUGGUUAAAUAAGUUUUUAGUCCUUAUAAAUAUAGUGAAUUUUAAUUUUAGUUAAUAAAAUAUUAAAUUGAAUAUUUUUAUCGUCACAUUUUUUUUAUUUUGUUUUUGGUCCUUAAUGGCCCAUUAUAUUCAUAUGAAUGUCAAAAUUAUAAUUCUUUUAUGUUCAAAUUGUAUUCAUGUUAUGUCCGUCCAUUAUGUUUCUUAAAAAAAAAAAAAAAUGUCCGUUCAUUAUGUUUAACUUUUAUAUAUUCAUAUUAUGUUCAAAAAAUAAAAUAAAAAAAACAUGUCAAAAUUAUAUCAAUUAGGGACCAAAAACAAAAAAAAAAAUGAUGAUGAUGAUAAUAUCUCAUUUUUUUUUUUAGGGACUAAAAUCCAAAUUUGACAUAUUUAUAGGGACGAAACACUUUUUUAACCCGAAAAAAUAUUUUGAUUUUAUUAUAACUCGUUUUACAAUUUCAAAUACAUUAUUAAUAUUACUAGUUGACUAAUGAUAACCCGAAAAUUGUAGCUGGACUAAAAGUUUUUUUUUUUUUUUUUUAUCAUAUCCUUUUCCAUUUAUUAGUCUCUAAUUUUUCCAUUCUUUUAAUCUAUUUUUUUCUCGUAUAAUUAAUGAACAAUAAUUUUAUAAAAUCAUUUAUAAUUUAUCUUUUCAAUACAAAAUUAAUUACAUUUCUUUAUAUGUGUGAAAAUAUAAAAACAACUUAUAAUAAAAUAGGGAAAGUGUAAAUUGCUAAGAUAUGAUAUGAUUGAAAAAAAAAUUAAAUACUAUAAAAUAUAUUAUAAAAUAUUAAAGAAAAUCAAAUAUAUUUUACGAUUUUUUUUCAAGUAGUUUAAUAGGAUCCCAGUUGACCUUGUGAAGAGUAGAAAAUUCUGGAUUUGAAUUCAAACAUAUUUGUCUCAAUCUAACUUGCUAGCUGAACUGACAAUGACUCUUUUAUGUAAUUUAGUUACACAUAUGUGUUAAUUGUGAAACAGGUAGGACAUAGAAUAAAAUAAGUAGAUGUCCAAAAAUAGCCAAUGUCCCAAUUAUGGAAUUAUAUGACUUGACACUCCACACGUAUUUAUGGUAUAUGUCACUAUCAACUAACUCUAAAACUUACGGUCAAGCAAAAACAUUUUCUAUACAUUGACUGACUUCAUAUUUGAAUUAUAGUGUUGAGGAAAGUUCAUAGAGAGUCUAAACUACACACAAGGGGACAAACAACAAAAACGAACAACCCAACAAGGUAAAGGGAUAUGAAGCGUGAACUUCGACACGGAUAUCUAAUACGAUACUAACACGGAUAAGUCGAUACCGUUAAUGUAAGAAAUAUAGGACACCGACACAUCUACGUAUAUGUUAAUUUAUUUAAAGAUAGUCUAAAAUUAAAAUUAAAAUACAUAUAUAAACAUCUAACUUGAGAAAUUUAUUUCAUUAGAAAAAGUUCUCCAACAAGAUAUCAUAGUAUUUGACCUUUAUUUAUUCAUCUACUAUAAAAAAUAAAAAAUAAAAAUAAAAAAAAAAAACUUAAAAUGAUAUAAUCAACUAUAAUGUAUAUAACCCCUAAUUGAUCAACAUUUUUCAAAAUAUAUAUAACUCUUAUAUCUAUGGCGUGUGAAAGCAAGAGAGAAAAAAGUAGUUGUAGAUAUUUGUGUAAGUUUUCCGACACAACUCGUAUAUGAGUGUUAUAUAGGUGUCGGACACUUCAAAUAUAUUAGAGUAAAUUACAAUCCCCUCCCCUCAAAGAUGCUUGAAUUACACUCCCCUCCCCUCUUAUUCAAAACAUAUUAGAAAAAUUUCACCCCCCUCCCCUAAGAGAAGCUUGAAUUACAUCCCUCUCCCCUCUUAUGUUAAAAUCUACACUUUACUCCCUCAAUAUUCUUUUUUAUUAUUUUUAAUAAUCUAGCAAAAAAUAAUAAUUUAACACACUUAAAAAAAAUAUUAUUGCGGGUCUAUUUUAAUAUAAUAAAAAAUUGAAUACAUAUUUUUCGCUAUUUUUUAUUCACAAUUUCAUUAACAUGUAGUUUUAAACUCUAUUAUGAAACAUGAAACAUGAAACAACCCAAAACGAAAUUAAAAUAUGUGAAAAAUUACUAAAAUCAUUAAAACAUAAUUAUUUAAAAGUUAAUUUUAUACUCUAAUUUAUAAAAUCAAUAGCAAUAUAUUUAAAUUUAAUUAUCAUGACAUUUAAACAAUAAAGAAAUGAAUUAAUUUUUCUUAAAUGGUGAUUCAAAAUUAAUAUAUAUGUAUUAUAAGAAUAUUUAUUUAUGUUCAAAUAGAUUAAAGUGUAGUACAUAUUUAAUUAUUAAGGGAGGGGUUUGUAAUUCAAGCAUCUUAUAAGAGAGGGGAGUAUAAAUUUUAACAUAAAAAAAAAUAUUGAGGGAGUAAAGUGUAUAUUUUAACUUAAGAGGGGAGGGGAGUGUAAUUCAAGCAUCUUUGAGGGGAGGGGAGUGUAAUUUACUCAAUAUAUUAUGGUAUGCUUUAUCUCUCAAGUGUGUCAUUCAAUAGUGGGUUACAAUCCAUUUUUAUGGUGAAAUUGAAACCCACCCAACCGCCUCAGAGCAAAAAAAAAAAAAAAAAACUAAGAGCAUGUUUGAAAUAGUUUUUGAAAUAUACAAGUUCUCUUCUCACAGUAGUUAUUCUUUUAUAUGUUUUAGUUUUAGUCUCCAAAACUAAAAAAAUUCAAAAUAGUUUCCAAAAUUGUAAUUUUAAAAAAUAGCUUACCAAAAAAGUUUUUAAUUUUCAAGUUCUUAAAAACUAAAAAAGAGUUUUUGGGAAGUGUUUCAAACAUGUUCUUAGUCUAUGCCUACGUUGAUAGAUUACCAACACACCCAAUUGUUUUGAAUAUGAACAAACUAAUUUGUAUAAAACACACUACUACAAAACCCCCCCUUUAAUAGCGUUCAUUUGAGGCGUUUAAUAACGCUUGUGAAGUGCUAACAAAGCCCCUGCUAUUAUAGGUCAGAACCCUGAUAAGUGCUAGAAAGUUGUAAUUUAAGUGAUAUAUUUUAGUCACUUUUGUUACUUGUUUUGCAAGUUAUUAAGAGAAAAGCCGAGAAAUAAGUGAUUAUUGCCCUUUUACGCUUUAUCUAUCUUACUUCACCCAUUUGUGCAGGAUUUGAACUCAAGACAUCAAGGAAAGAGAAGAAAAUGAAGAAAAGUACAAAAAGGCUGAAAAAUGAAGAUUACUCGCCCCCAACUCGCCAUGGCCAAUCAAAGGCGAGCAAUUCCAGAAUGCAACAAAGAUCACACGCCACCAACUUGCAAUGGCGAGUGGAAGGCGAGCUUACUCGCCAUGGCGAGUGGAAUGACUCGCGAGGCGAGUGAAGGCGGUUUAGCCUCUCACAGCUGACGUGGCACAAACCCAAUGGCGAAGGAACCUCAACUCGCCAUGGCGAAUGAAUGAGCUCGCGAGGCGAGUUGAUGCAGAGUCAGAAUUCUAUAAAUAGCCCACUCAACAUACAUAGUUUGAUACUUUAGUUUUUCUCUUAGUUUUUCAUUCUACAAUAUUUUUAGAGAGAGAGAGAGAGAUAGGGCUUGUGCUUCAUAGAGUGAGAGUGAUAGAAGUGAAUCCUACAUCACUUUGUUGAGAGAUCACAAGUGUGUCAUGGAUCUUUCUCUUUCAAUUCAUCCUUGCAAGGCUUCCAUGACAAUGAGUAGCUAAAUCUCCUUUGUUGGGAUUAGAGGUAUUUGAUCAUAGCUUAAACAUGUAAUCUUUUGAUCUAUAAAUAUAUGGUUCUAGCAUUUGAUUUGAUAUUGAUGUUAUUCUUGCACUUUAAUCUUUAUCUUUGAUUUAAUUGUGAUUGAGAAAUACUUUUGAAUCUAGGUUUAGAAUAACCAUCUAUCAAAGCAUAGAUUCUAGACAUGGAAUCGAUGCUUUGAUAAUCACCUUGAGUAUCCAAACCUAAAGCUUUCUUAUCAUUCAAUGGAUUGAGAAAUCAUUGAUUGAACGAUAAGAUCGACUCUUGAAUCAUUCAAUAGUUUGAGACAUCGACCAUUGAAUGAUACAAUUGAUUUCACAAUAUUGUUUGGACACGAAUGGUGUUGUCGAGGGAUACGUGAUAAUAUCAAAGAAAAGCUAGAAUCCAUGUAUGAUCAUUAGGUUACGUGCGACGCUCGAUCAAGGAACUCUAAUCCUAACAAGUUUUACGCCCUAUUAAUCUCAAUUUUAUCAUUUGCAAUUUAGUUACUAAAACAAACAAUCAACUAUCGUUUAACUUGAAAUGAUAUUUGGUGUCGAACGGUCCGCGAUAUCGCACUAGUCCCUGAGGAGACGAUAUAAAUACUUACUAUUGUUUGAUGCAAAAAUACUACAUCAAACCCCUACAAUAGCGUUUUCUAAAACACGAUUAAAUAGUAAGGUUUCAAUAGUGCUUUCAGAAAAGCGCUAAUAUAGCCUUAUUUUUGUUCUAUUUUUAAACAUAUCUUUCUUAGCACUCUUUCGGAAAUAGCUAUCUUAACUAUCCCUCAUUUAUAUAAAGGUGUGCUAUUAUAAGCUUUUCUUUUUAAAUCUUGCAUUUGAAAGUUCAAUAGUGCAACAAAUUAGCAAAUCAGUCAAACAUCUCAUUGCAUCCAUUGGUAAAAAAUAAAGCGUCAUGCUAACCGGUGCCCCCGGGGCACUAGUUAAGCAUACAAAAAAUGGAAAUUCUUACCAUAAAAGGAAGUUUUGUUGACUUAUUUAUAGAUUAAUUAAAAAAAAUUUAAUGCAAUAAUUAACAUAUAAUUUCCCUUUUUAUUAUCCUUAACCAGUGCCCCGGAGGCACCGGUUAGCAUUUCCCAAAAAAAAUAAACACCAGUAAUAUGUUCAUCGAAAACUUGGUUACAAAAUAAAUCUCAUAUAUUAAUCAAUCCUAGAGAAGGACAUCUAAUUUACAAAACUAAAAUUGUAAGGCUAGUGCACAUAUAGCAAAAGUAGUCGCAACCAACAAAAAAACCCAACUGCAAAGGUACUCAUGUCAAGCGAUCCAACGUCUAGAGGUUAAAGCUAACUCUAACAAAUGAUUUCCUGUGUCAUAUGGAAGGAAAUUUUGUAUUCGAUUUCCAGCACAAAACCUACAUGCCCAAGAUUUUAUCUCUCAACCUUAAUAAAAAUGAUAGAGUGAACUAACCUGAUUCACGAGAGAUGAGGAUAUUCAACGCAAAUGCUCAGUGAAGAAUCAGUAGAAAAAAAUCAGAAGCACGAGAUAUUCUACAAGCACAAGUAAACCAACAAAAAAAAACAAAGACAUGAACUCAGUUUAGAUUUAUCAAAGUUAGGUAUAGAUAAAAAAAAACCAGUAAGUUGUGCUUAACUUUUCUUUAUAAUACGCAAACGAACUACAAAUAAUGUUCACAGAGGACUAAUUUACCUUUUCAAGUUUCCUUUGACUGACAAGUUGAACCUACCGUUCUUUUGAAAUUUUGAUUUUGCGGAGAGUUUUUGCUUUUGCUGAAGAUUGGGGAACAAACAUGACAUUGAUACCAUUAAGUAUACAAGUGUAAAAUUAAGUAUAUACCGUCCAACAUCAACAUAUGAGAUAAAAACAAAGAAAUAUCAUUGAUGGUGAUGAUGACUCAAACAACCAUAGGUAUAUGAAUUCUACCAUUCAUUUUAUAAAAAAAGUUUAGAAAAGAAGUUUGAGUAUGAUUAUAGAAAUCUGGGAAAAUUUAUAAAUUUGGGGAAAUAAAAAAGAGGAACAAAUAAAUUUGGAGAAAUAAAAAUGAAAUGUUUGAUUAUAAAUUAACGAUGAUAAAUAUGUUUCUUAAUUAGGUGAUAGAGAGUAUUUUGUGUAUAUUAAUUAAUUUGAUGAUAGUUUUAAACCUUUCAAUUAAAUGAAAUGAAUGAAUAAGAUUUGAUGUCAAACUAAUUUUGACACCAUGGUGUCAUUUGAUUCUAACCCCUGAAAAUUUUAGGAUGCUCUUAUUCUAUGAAAUAUUUUGUAAAUAUUUUACAAAGAGCAUUGCUAUUUAUUCAGAGAGUUUUUAUCAAGAAUUUAUCAAGAAAUUGUCUCAACUAAUUAAAUUUGUUAUUUGGCGAAAAUCAAGGGAUGUAAUGGUGUGUAUUUAAGAAAAGGUGUUAACAAAUACACUAUCUUAAAAUUUUCUUGAUAAAUUUUGUCACUGUAUCUAUCAUUUCCCUUUUACAAAAUAUUUAUAAGCAGGACUCUUGAUGAACUUUAAGUACAAUUGAGUUUUAUCAUAAAUAAAACUCCCUAAUCAGAACUCUUGAUGCACUUUAAAUAAAAUUAAUGUUUACCAUAAAUAUAAAUACGCGUGUACUAUCGUCAAAUAAUAACCAUAAUCAGGACACUUUUUUUUUUUUUUCUAUGAGAAAAUAACCAGGACACUUAUGCGUCUAUAUUUUUUGACAUUUACUUAUUUUAUUUUAUGUCUCUCUCUUUUGUAAACAAAUUAAUUUAUGUCUCUUAGUAGUUAGUACCUUUUCAAAAAUUGUCAUUAAAUAUUUAUAAAAAAAAAGGUCAUUAAAUUGUAACUUAGAAAAGAAAAUUAUAUCUAGUCUUUAUUUUUGGUACACAUAGUUGGUGGUCGAGUCCGCUUCUCUGUAUGGGCAUUGACUAUCUUUGAUGUAAUCUUGACAGGGUUGUAAUCUUUUGGUGAUUGUUUUGCCACGUCUUGUGCUUCAACACUUACAGUGUUCAUUGUAAUAUAUUCCAUUUUUGUUUCUUAAAAAAAAAAAAAUUAUAUCUAAAUAUCUUUAGUAUUUUAUGUAUCAAAUAACUUGAUAUCUUUUCAAUAAUAUAUAUAUUUUCAUCUAAAAAAAAAUAUAGAUGAACUUCUAUAGUCUAUAUAUUGGAAGCAUACACUUUUUUUUCGGAUGUUUGGCUUGGUGGGGUGUCGUCUAGAGUCAGGUUCAACAAAUUAUUAGGUUGGAGGGGGGGUGUGUGUGUGUGUGUGGGUGGAUGGUGGAGGUGGUGAAGGCAGAGGUUGUUUGUGUGGGAGGAUGAGUUGGAAUCAUCUCAUGCUUUCUUGGUUCAUAGUGUUUAUAAUUUCCUAACUAUUCAACCUCCUAUUGCUUCCGCGGUGGUUGUUUCAUCUCUUUGGCAUAAGGAUGUCCCUAUGAAGGUAGUGUUGUUUGCUUGGCGGUUGUUCCGGGACAGGGUGCGGUUCGGUUAAAUCGUCUUAUCAUUUAUUCUUACAUUGUAAUAUUUUGGUUCUGUCUGGCAUUUUAUCUAUAGAUGGAUGGACAUUUCUGCGGUCGUCCCUCUUUAUGUGCCAGAUCAUUUUAAUCAAUUCAGUUAUAGUGGUGGUACCGCAAAGGUUAUUUGGUUUGCUACUAUUUGCUUUCAAUAUUAUAGGUUAGUAUUUUGUUUGCUACCAUUUCGGAAAUUUUGAAAGAAAGAAAUAAUAGGCUAUUGAAAGACAAAGAAUGCUCGGUAAUACACGUGGUUGAUAAGAUUAAGUCUCUCACUUUUAGGUGGUUGAAAGCAAAAUUUACUUCUCUUCCCAUCAAUUACCAUGGUUGGUGGCUUAGUCUGUUUACCAUACUGGACAUAGACUAAUAGUUAUUUCUUUUCUUGUUUUUUUAUUUCUUACUCAGAUUCUUUUUAGUAAAUAUUAUUUCGACUUUGUUGUCUCUUCCUUAAUACACCUUGUGUUAAGAAUGAAACUUUGAUUUAGUAAUAUAUUCCAUUUUAGCCUCUUCAAAAAAUAAAAUCAUCAAUAUUAUAUUGUUGUAUCUAAGUUUGUUUAUAACCUUAUAAUAUCUUUGUGGAAAAAUGUUAAGCCUGGUUAUAAAUUUGAUAUCCUAAUUUUACUCAUCAACAGAAAUUGGUCUCUAAAUUCAAGAUGACUCAAUUUCGCUUACUAUAUUAGAUUUUUGUACUUAAAAAAUGGUGAAAUUGAAUGUCAAACUCAAUAUUUUUAAUUGAUUUUGUUGUAAUUUCGCAAGUGUUGAUAACUCUACAUUUAAUGUCGUAUGUCACGUCAUUUAUAAUUUGUCAAAUCACAAAUUUUAAGUACAAAAAUAUGAUGCAGCGACAAAAACCAUGUGAUUUUAUAAUGAGAGACCAAUUUUGUGAAUGAGUGAAAACAGUGAAUCAAAACUAUAAUCAAGCCAUCUGCCAAAAAAACAAAAUCUAUAAUCAAGCCAAAGUCUUAUAAUAUCUUAGAUUAUGUCCUAAAUAGUUAUUUUUUCACAAUUUUUAUUUUUGGAUUUAUAAUAGGUCUUUACCCAUGUAAUAUAGGUCAUUUCCGGUUUCCUCUCUUGUAAUUUUUUUUUUAUUUACCUCCUGUGAAAAAAAUUUGUUUUGAUUUACCCCCUAAUAGGCCAAACAAAAACGAAAAUUUCUUGAAAAAAAAUAAAAUUGAUUUUUGUUUGGCCUGUUAGGGGAUAAAUCAAAACAACUUUUACAGGGGUUAAAUAAAAAAAAAUUACAGGGGGAAAAUCGGAAAUAACCUAUAUUACAGGGGGUAAAGAACUAUUAACCUUUAUUUUUUGUAAUAAAAGUUCAAAUAUAUAUAUAUAUAUAUAUAUAUAUAUAUAUAUAUAUAUAUAUAUAUAUAUAUAUUUGAGGUAUAUAAAUGCUUCUAUAUCAUUUAGCAUCUUAUAUUAGGCAAAGACAGAAGAAUAUAAUUGUACAAAACUAGCAAGCAAAAGAAAGUGUCAAGAAUAGAAUCAGAUACCAAGAUAUGGUGGCAUUUAGGGUGGGUAGAGGGAAUACUUUCCCACCAUGACAAAGUACUAUUUCCAAGCAUUGAUAUAUUAUUAUUUUAAAUGAAUGGUUCAGAUUGACUCAAUUUUUUUCCCGGCAACCUCUUGGUAACUUUUUGUAACAGUGCAUGUGACAAAAACGACGGGCCCACAAGUAAUUUUUUUUAUUAUAAUUCAAGCUGGGCUCAAUUUGCGCUUUAUUAGAUGAUUUUCAUAAACCCACCUUGCAACUAAUUGUCGCCCUCCUCCUCACCGCCGUCCCUUCCGCUGCUGCCGUCGUUAUUCAAAGGGCCUCUCCUCCUCACUGCCGUCUGCCUCACCCUCUCCGACGUCGUCACCAUCACCGAACCAUCUUUCUCAAGAUUAUUACCUUUUAUGACCAACACUAACACAAUGUCCACUUCUUCUUCACCCAACUCCAUUAAAACACAACUUUCAAUUUUAUUUAAAGCCUUUAAUUUAUUUAUUUACCUUGUAGUUCUUUCAAUUGGCUUUAUUAUCUCUUUUUCAAUUUCAAUUUUUUGAGAAAGGGGUUGGUGGAUAUUCCAUACUGGAUUCGCAAUUUCUAUUUUCCACCGUCUGUAAUUUUGUUUUCUUUCUUCAAUUCCAUAUUUACAACACUAUGGCAUCCUCAAAAUUACCAUUGUUGAAAUUAUUAAGUAAUCGAACAAAAGAAGAAGAAGAAUUGAUGUUUAAAAUGAAAUUUCAAUUGAACAAUAGUAGGAGAGUAUACUUUGGAUAUGUUAAGCCUUUUUUUUUCCUGGGUUUUGUUAUUUCGCAUUGUUCUGGAAUGUUUAAGAAGAAGAAUUGAUGUUUUAAUUCUUCAGUACUAAAAGUGGGUGAGAUAUACUAUGUGCUGUUGUGAAAAAAUGGGAGGUGCAGCAGUAAUGUUACAAAUAACAUUAAAAAACAAAACUGAGUUUUUUAUUUUUUUGGACAUAGCCAGUUAUAACUGACAGCUGUGCUGGAAAAAUGGACUUUCCCAUGGUGGGAAAUAAAUGUUCUUUCCUAGGCUAAAUGCCACCCCAAGAUAUAGUACAUAAUUAAUAUUUUUUCAGGUGAGGUUUAGCAUGGGAAAGCUACUUUUUUCCCACCAUGGGAAAGUUAGUUUUUGAUCAUUAGAUCAAAUCAAGAACACGUCCUUAUCAUACUCUCUCAUCACUAGAUUUUAUAAUUUUAAAAUUAAAAAAUAUAUUUCGUAAUUAAAAUAAACAUCUAAAAAUAAAAGUAUGAUUGAUACGAAAAAAAUAUUUUCAGAAAUUUUUACAUUUUUUUCGAAAUAAAAAAAUUCUAAAAAUAUAUGGAAAUUAAUUUUUGAAAAUUACAAAAAUUUAAUCUUCGAAAAUCAUAAUUAAAUUUUUUGAAAACAAGUUUAUUUCAAAAAGUUUAUUUAUAUUUUUUAAAAUUUUGGAAAAUUUAUUUCCAUAUUUUUAAAUUUAUUUUUUAUUUUUAAAUGUUUAUUUUAAUUUCAAAAUAUAUUUUUUGUUUUUAAAAUAAUAAAACUACAAAAUCUAGUGAUGAGGGAGUAUGAUAAGGAUGUGUUCUUGGUUUGAUCUAAUGGUCAAAAACUAACUUUCCCAUGGUGGGAAAAAAGUAGCUUUCCCAUGCUAAACCUCACCUAAACAUAUAUAUAUAUAUAUAUACCUCUAAAUCUUUCAUUAUGUAGAAAACCAAUUUAAAUCCCUUCAAACAAAAAGAAAACCUAGUCGAACUUGAUUCCAUGGGAAACCUCUUGGGUAAAAGUAAAAAGCGUAAUCCUCAAAAUUCUAGGAGUGAUAAAGGAGGAAGAAUAUUGUCCAACAUUCCAGUUCAUGAACCUAUCCCAUUACCACUUACACAACAAGUUGCUUCAAUGUCUAAGAAAUCAAGUUUUGGGACACAUAUAAUUCUGGACAAAGUUCAAAUACCAAGAAACCUCUCAUGAAGUAUGCUUUGAUUCAAGAUAACUUCACAACUCUUGAACAGGUAUAAUAAUUUUCUCUAUUACUUUUUUUAUCUCAAAUAUUAGUCAUUAUUAAUUUAAUCAGUAUUUUUUUUUGCUUGCGUCGAAAAAAGAAUUACUUUUAUUAAAUCAUGUAAAAAAGAACAAGAAUUACUUUUCUUGUUGUUUCUUUUGUUGCUUCAUUCUGAGUUUUGCUUGUAUAGUACAAGUUAUGAAAAUCUUUCAGAAACAAAAUUUGAUUGAGAACUUGUAUAUCAAAAUUGGUGUCGGUCCAAUACAUUUGUUGGCCUAAACUAAAUUUUAAGUUGAGUUUAUUUUUCUUGUCAAAAAAAAAAGUUGAGUUUAUUUUUAUUUUUUUUAAAUAAAAUUUUAUAUAUAAGAGUGAGCAACAUAAAAAGUUGGUUUAGCAUAAGGGGUUAAACAUGCUAAGGAAAAAAGUUUGAUAAAGUAAAACAUACUGGAAGCAUAUAGGUCCACAUUAAGUAUAUAGCAACAACUUUAAAGAUUUUAAACUCUGCAAUGAAAGUGUUUGUUAAUGGAAGUAAUAACUAUUGAACCAUGGACCACUCAUUUGGUAUUAAGAUGUUAGUGUGUUUGGCAUAACAUUUUCUAUUUAAAUUUAAAUUAAAGGGAAAAAGGAAUACCACAAUAUGGCUAUGCUUGUUACUUUUUGCUUAAUUAGUACUAAUAACUUUAUUAAAAGGACAUUCUUUAUUAAAAAUCACUGUUUCAUUUUUAAAAGAGAUAAAAACCAAUAUUAUUUAAUUUUCAUUGUCCUUUUUUAAUAGGUUACUGCAGCCUUGAGGAAAGAAGGUUUAGAGUCAUCAAAUCUCAUCCUUGGAAUUGAUUUUACAAAGAGUAAUGAAUGGACUGGUAUGUUCAUGUACAUGAACAAAUUUUAGACAAGUGAUUCCAUCUUUCCAUUUAAGAGUUAAAAUUUUCUAUGCAUGGUUAUAAUCAAUGUUUUAGAAAUCGAACCGAACAUGAGUCAAUAAUAAGACCUAUCAACUAUGGUUCAACGACUUUUAUCCGUUUGAACUGAAAUGAAACUGGGGCCAAACAAAUCAGUGUAAUAACUGAAUCGUAGACAAUGUCAGUUCACGGUUCAAUCGGUUGGGUUUUUAAAACAUUAGUUUGCAUUUGUUCUUUGAAAUGAUUUUUUUUUCUUCUGAAUGCUCCCUUAUAAAGUCAAUAUAUUCUUUUUUUAAGGCCAAGUCUCAUUCAACAAGAAAAGCCUGCAUGCAAUUGGAGAUACACCAAACCCAUAUGAGAAGGCCAUAUCAAUUGUUGGCAAGACUUUAGCUCCCUUUGAUGAAGACAACUUGAUUCCAUGCUUUGGCUUUGGUGAUGGUAAAGUCUAGCUAGUGUCCUUAGAGUAGAAUAUGUAGAAAGAAUGUAAUUAAUGUUUUUGCAAUUCAAGUUAUGGCUCAACUUUUAUCAUUACAUAUACAGCUACCACACAUGAUAAAGAAGUAUUCAGCUUUCAUAGUGAUCAUUCACCUUGCCAUGGAUUUGAAGAAGUUUUGGCUUGCUACAAAAACGUUGUUCCAAACUUGAAACUCUCAGGUUAUUAUUAUAUCUUCACUUUUUACAUAGUUUUAUUCUAAUAAGCUUAUUACAAUCAAUCAAUUCAUUAUAUUGCAAUUGUUAGACUAGCUUUGUUAGUUAUGUGUGGUAAAACAAUGUAUAAUCGUAGUUAGGGAUGAAUCUUCGACUACCAUAACAAUUUCCCCUACCAAGCUACCAUGAUUCUGAUAUUUCAGUAUUACGUCAGUAGAAUUUGAUCUAUUAUGAGUAUUGCUCUCAAAAUUUAAAAUAUGUAGAUUGUUGUCUUUUCUUAAGAUACGUGACUGAAGGAAUAUUUUUGGAAUUUGCGUGAAGGACCGACUUCUUAUGCACCGGUGAUUGAGGCUGCAAUAGACAUAGUCGAGAAAAGUCAUGGCCAAUUCCAUGUUUUGGUUAUCAUCGCAGAUGGUCAGGUAUAUGUAAUGUUACAUUAAUUAAUUUCUUCAACUGUUUGCAAAUCAUAAUCUUAUGAAUUUGUUGAAUUUUAAGGUUACAAGAAGUGUAGACUAUGAUGAUAAUGAACUCAGUCCUCAAGAAGAGAAAACUAUCAAAGCAAUUGCUGAUGCAAGGUAGCUAAUUUGAUGGACUAGAUGUCAUUUAAUUUAGAAAUCAUGAAUACAAUUUUCAUUAUUUAGCGACUAAUAUGAUGCUAUUUAUUCUUUUCCUAUUGUUCUGUUUUUAUAGUAGUUCGAAACAGUUUCAUGUGCAUCAUAUAUGUUAAUGUUCAUUCUUUAUCUACGAUACAGUAAAUAUCCACUUGCUAUAGUUUUGGUCGGAGUUGGUGAUGGACCUUGGGCAGACAUGGAAAAGUUUGAUGACACCACACGCGAUUUUGACAAUUUUCAGGUAUUACUAAGAAAUAGUACAGUCAAAACGUUUGUCUUAAGUCAUAACCUAUUUUAAUUCGUCCGAUAUUACUCUACUUUGAUGCAACUCUUUUCGGUGAGUGUAAGGCAUCAUAUAAUCUAAUGAUCAACAUCUGGCCGAAGAUAACUGAUACAUUAUCUUUUUCAUCAGUUGGUCACAAUAUUGUUUUUUUUUUCUAUAGUUUGUAAAUUUCACGAAAAUCAUGUCGAAAAACACAAGCGAAACUGAAAAGGAAGCAGCUUUUGCUUUGGCUGCUCUGAUGGAGAUCCCCUUCCAAUACAAAGCAUGUGUCGAAUUUAAAAAACUUGGGUAUGAUAUGAUCCAUAAACAUUAAGCUAUGUUAUUUUUAUCUAUUUUAUAAAAAGUCUUCUACCAAUGACUUGUGCAAUCCACGAAAUCUCUACUAUAUAAUAUUGAUAAUAUCUAUACUUUUUCUAUGAAACAAUGCAACUUUUUCUUUCAAGUGACAUUAUUUAAAGUGAUUAACUUUUGUUGUCAUCUUUGUGUGUCUGUGGAUGGAUAACAGACGUGUAACUGGCAGAGCGAAGAGAAUAGUUCCAAAACCAUCUCCUGUUCCUUAUUCUCGGCCGGUACCAAGCAAAUCGCCGGCAUCAACAACAGAUGAUCAAAAUCAAUCUGUAAGCACUAACUAAAACUUAGAAUGCAGUAUAUUAUAUGAAGUGAGCAAUGCAGUCUAGAGUAUGCAUAUAUUGAAUCAAUGAUUGAUAUUGUGUAUGCAUAUAUUGAAUCCAGAGUUCAGUAGGUAAAUCAAUUAAUAUACUUAGACCCAAAAAAUAUUCAUGAAAUAUAUAUCAAUCUUUAUUUUUUAUUUUUUUAGCACCCCGGAGUACUUUCUUUGGAGUAGUCAAAUCCUAAAUCAGUUACUAGAGAAUACUAGGUAAAUUUGAUGUCAAGAAAAAUAUGUUAUUAAGAAGUUAUUUUAUUAAACAUACUGUGUAUUUUUAUUCAUACACUACUGCCUUCACUUCAUCAAAUGAAAAAAGCUUAAUCAAACCAGCCCCCUCUCCACGAGACAAAGUGCGAAAGUGCACGUUAUCCAUAGAGGGGUGAACAACACCACUAGGACGAAAAUGGGUAGAGAAAUAGUUUCUUUGUGGUUUAGACAGGACAAACUGUUUAUGUACAGUUAACAAAUAAAUUAAUUGCACUUUUUGAAUGUGCAAGUAGAGAUAAUGAUAUAGAAAUGUUGACACAGUCACAUCCUUUCACUGUAUUCAGUUUAUCUAUGCAGCCACUGAAAUUCUAUUGCCUUCCAAUUAUCAUUAGUUAUUUUAGUUCUGAAUUCAACAAGCAAUGCUGAAUAAUAUAUAUCCGAGACCGAUUCAGCAUUGCAACAUGCUCAUAUUUGUGUGGAAAAGAGGAAAGGAAAAUUAUUUACCAACACUUCACCCACCCACACAUCCGACCAAAACCAAGUAUUCUCCCCAUUACCAACACCACAAUGGACAUUAUCCAUAAACCACUCCUCCCUACUCAACACCUUUACAUCACGCCACCACAAAGAUGAGUUGCGCCCCCCACACCGCAACCGCCCCUCUGACAAGGCAUACCGCGCUGACAGCACCCCUAAACCACAUACUCUCCCUCUCCACCAACAUCCGCCAACACCACUUCCUUAACAACGCACUAUUAAACUCCCUAAUUCUCCUUACCCCCAAACCAGUAACCUCCUUAACCAGACGACCGCUGAAGGAUAAAUGUUUGGAGUUCCAGCUAGAUAGUCUAGAUUUAAUUCGAUAAAGUAAUGGUUCCCAAAAAGCCAACCGCCUCGCAUUACCACCAAUGGGAAGCCCCAGAUACACAAAAGGGAUGGAACCAACCUUACAAUUCAACACCAUAGCUGCUUCCGCUAACCAGGAGGCUGACACGUUAACCCCAACCAACUGGCUCUUAGAAAAAUUCACCUUCAGCCCAUAUAGAGCUUCAAAGAGAAGGAGAACCGCCUGCAUAGCUCGAAUAUUGCCCCAAGACUUCUCACCCAAAAUAAGAGUAUCGUCCGCGAAUUGAAGAUGAGACACAACAACAGGGGUGCUACUACCCACCUUAUAACCAACAAAUAAACUAUUGUCUGACAUAGAAUUCAUCAACACAUUGAAACCUUCUGCAGCCAAAAGAAAUAGGAAAGGAGAAAGAGGGUCACCCUGCCUCAAUCCCCUCCACAAAGAGAAUUCAUCCGUUGGAGAGCCAUUUACCAAAACAGAAGCGGUAGCCGUCUCAAUGCAUUCUUUUAUCCAUUUGCUCCAAAGAGCCGAAAACCCCAUUUUCAGCAUCACAUUUUGUAAAAAACCCUAGUCAAUAGAGUCAUAUGCCUUUUCGAAGUCCACCUUAAACAGUAAAAGAUCCUUCUUGAGUCUAUGAGCUUCAUCAACUAUCUCAUUAGCCACCAGAAUCCCAUCAAGAAAUAACUUAAGGAAUCACUGACCGAAGUCUAUUAGCUAACACCUUAGCCAAAAUUUUAUACAAGCUUCCCACCAAAGAAAUGGGGCGGAAAUCAUUCAAACGUUGAGGACUGUCAACCUUCGGAAUGAGAGCAAUAAAGGUACUAUUUAUCUCCUUAGCCAAUUUCUCAUUCCUAUGAAAUUCUUGCAAAAAAACGCAUCACAUUGUCUUUCAGAAGGUCCCAAUUUUUUUUAAUGAAACUAAACGAUAUACCGCCAGGACCGGGACACAUAAAAUUGUCACAAUCCUACACUACUGCCUUCACUUCAUCAAAUGAAAAAAGCUUAAUCAAACCAGCCCCCUCUCCACGAGACAAAGUGCGAAAGUGCACAUUAUCCAUAGAGGGGUGAACAACACCACUAGGACGAAAAUGGGUAGAGAAAUGGGAAAACACUACACUCGAACAUUAUUGACACCUUCAACCAACACCCCAUUCACCAAAAAGAAAGGAAUAGUAUUUCGACUGGACAUAACGCAAUGAAAAAACUUGGAAUUUGCAUCCCUUUCACGCAACCAUUGCAUCCUCGAUUGUUGCCAACAAAUACUAGAAUUCAAGCGCGAUAAUGAAAACAACUCCUCAGAAAAACCAUGAAGGUCCUCGACCUCCUCCUCCAGUAAAUCAACUGAUUCACCUUUUAAAUCAAUAGCUGAAAUUUUAUCUUUCAAAGACAAAAUUUUUGCAGGUAAAUUUUGUGUAUGAGUCUGACAAAUAUACAUCAGGGCCGAACAUUUUUCAUGCAUCUGUUAACAGCAGCAGUUCCCCUAUUUGGUCUUCCAUCAUCCGUGCUAAAGAGAUUCUAAAAAAUGGCUAUUCUUGGCGCGUAGGGUCUGGCUCUUCUUCUUUCUGGUUCAGCCUUUGGAGUGAUUUUGGCAUUCUUGGAUCUCAAAUCCCCAUCAUAGACAUCCAUGAUCUUCAUCUCAUUGUUAAAGACGUUCUCACCUUAAGUGGUAAUAGAGCUCAAUUGAUGUAUACCACUCUCCCUCAAGCUGUGUCCGAUUUCUUCAACAAUGCCACAAUUAUGUUUAAUGACGCAAUAGAGGAUGCUUUUGUUUGGCCUCUCAACAAGAAUGGAGUCUAUACCACCAAAAGUGGUUACAAAUGGCUUCUCUCUCUUCCUGGUUCGAACAAUAAUACCAACUUGAAUUCUUCUUGGUCCUGGAUUUGGAGACUUAAAAUUCCUGAAAAAUUCAAGUUUUUCAUCUGGCUUGCCUGUCACAACUCUAUCCCCACCUUAUCUUUGCUUAACCAUUGUAAUAUUGCUCCUUUAGCAACCUGCUCUCGUUGUGGGCUGCAUAAUGAGACAUUUUUUCAUUGCGUUCGUGAUUGCAAAUUUUCUAGAAAUAUUUGGCAGCAUAUGGGUUUUAUUGAUCAUGCUUUCUUUGACGAAGAUUGUGUUGCUAAUUGGCUUAGGGAGGGAACAUCUCAGGUACUCACACCAUUAUUUUUUCAGCAUGUUUGUGGUGGGUUUGGAGAUGCCGCAAUUCUAUGUGUCUGAGCAAUGAGCAUAUGUCGUUAACGCGGUUGUCAGCAAAUAUUAUGAGCUUAGUUGAGGACAUUAACCUCGCCUUUUCAUCUCCAAUUCUGGUCUAACUUAAAACAUAUUUAAUAAAACAUGUGUAACAAUUAUGAAUAAAUAGCGAAGCAAACAAAGCAUUGAACAUAAUUAUGAUCGGAUCUAUGGCAUGUUUGAUUUAUCAAGGAUAUUAACAAUUAGAUCCGCUAUGUUUUUUUUUUUAUUACACUAAUGCUUAUACUUUUUGUUUUAGUGUUGCAUAAUAUAAUAUGUAUAAUUAUUUUUAUAAAAUUUAGAUUUUAAUUAAAAAUAUAAGUAUAGAUGCCUAAAAAAGUUAUACUUAUAUAUAUUUUUCACCUUUAUAUUGUAACAAACUAUGCAUAUCUUUUUCUUAUUAAAAAAAUCCAAACAUAUAUUUUUCAAUGACAUCAACAAUGUAACAAAUAUAAUAUUUAAAUUAAAUUUAUUCUUAUGUGUUAUUUGUGAGGAAAUUUUUAAAAAGAAAAAAGCGGAACGGUUGUUGGGUCGGUCGGUUUCUUGUUCUUUUUUUAAUAACCCUUCUUAUCUCGUAUCUAGCGCUGAGUUUUUGUUUUACAACAACAACAGACGCAUCGCAUCGGAUCGGAUCUGAAUCUCCAUGGCAAACGAACAUGAACAUGGAAUUCUGGGGUUUGUGGAGGAAGUAAAAUCUGUGUUUCAUGGUAAGAGGGAAGAGUAUGAAGAGUUUAUAAAAGACAUAGAUGCUUUUAAGACCCUGAUGAAUGAUCAUCGAAUCACCAGACUUCCAGUUCAAAAUUUCAAAGGAAGGAUGAAAAAGUUACUUAAAGGGCAUAAUCGUUUAAUUUUUGGAUUCAACGCCUACAUGAAGGAUCGUCGUAUCACACUUCCAAUUCGACAACCAGUACGAGGAGGUCAUAGUAAUGGUUAGUACUUUUUUUUUAUGAUUAUGUUGAUUUUUUUUUUCUUUCUAUAUUAUUAUAUACACUUUCCUGGGGGAAAUUUUGACUCACUUCCAGUGUGUUAUUUGCAAAAUUGAAUACAAUUUCUCCAACAAAUAACUGUCUGCUGUUUGUUUAAAUAUUAUUAUUCGUUUGUAGCUAGGUAUGAUAAUAGAUGAGUUUCCUACAUGAGUGAGUUACUGUAUAUAACAACAUUAUCAACCCCCUCAAUCUAACUUUUUUAGUGUACCAAAGCUUAAAUCAUGAACUAUCUAAUUCUUUUUCCUUUUCACCCAACCAUUUAGUUUCUUAUAUGCACAAAAAUAAUCUUCCUUCUAGUCAUAUAUAUUGUCCACUAUUUUCAUAGGGAAUUCCAUGUCCAAAAAUCAAUCCUACUUUCACGAACCCAUGUCUUUACCCACACCCAUUCAUGAAGAUGUUCCCGUUCAUUUGACAUUGUACUUAAGCUAUACAACACAUUGUUUCCGGGAUACGACCCAACAUUCACACUAUUAAGUAAAGUUUUACCGUUGUUGUUGUUGACGCCUAACACAACCCUAUCAUUCCAUCUGGAAAUGGGACCGGCUAUUCAUUGCAAUGCUAUAACUAGGUAGGAUUGGAAAUUAAACAUCAAAAAAUAAGGAUAAUACAUAAUUAUAUUGUAUUAUAUUUAUAUGUUGGUCUCAAUAUUUGUUUAAAAAAAAUGGGAAAAUAAUAUUUCUUUAUCUCCUCAUUUUCUAUGAUAUUAUGGGUCCAUAAUAAUAAUAUAGAAAGAAAAAAAAACAUGUUUGUAAAUCACCUAACAUCGUCGUUUGUUGUGAUACAAAGGACAAAAAAAGAAGAAGGUAGAAGAGAACUGUCAACUUCCUUGGGAUUUGCUUGACAUCAUUUUGAGGAAUCUAGAUUUUGAUGACCUCUUUCAAUUUGGUAGUGUAUGCAAAAAUUGGCGAGAAUUUCAUAAAAUUUAUUGGAGGAAUUUCAUGGCAUCCGAAGAACCAUUACUUAUCCAAUGGUGCGCUGUUAAGAGAUCUCUCAACUUCUUCAGCUUACCUCACGAUAAAGUUUAUCACUCAAAGAUGAUCAAUAACUACUUCCGAUUUGUCUAUCAUGGGUCUUCUAGCGGAUAUUUCAUCAUGACACGAAAAGAUAAUUCAUUUAUACUUAUUAAUCCAUUUACAAGAAGAAAGAUGCUAAUCAAUAACUCAGUCUUCCAAGUUAAUUUCAGUUAUUUUUCCUGCAAAGUCUUGCUUGCUUUUUCCAAAGGCUCAAAGGAAUUUGUCUUGGUGGUUUCAUGUAAAAAUUCUGAUAAUUUGCAUGUCUAUCAAUCUCGAAAUCUUUGUUGGACUGCUUAUUCGACACCACAGAAGGUUGUUGACUUUGCUGUUUUAAAUUCUAUCAUAUAUGUUGUCACUGACAAGGCCAGCAUAGGGAUACUCAGCUUGAAAUAUGCAAAUAUAAAUUUUUUAGAACUGAAGAGUACUCCUGGUGUAACUUCUAGUCGUUAUUGGUCACACGUAGGGUUGGUUAGUUGUGAUGGAUAUCUUUUAGUGCUUAAUUUUAUGUCAAAGGUAACGUAUAACGUGUACAAGAUAGACUUCUCUACCAUGGAUUAUGUCAAGUUGGAAUCUUUGGCUGACAUUGCAAUAUUUUGUGUUCCGCCGAAAAGGUAUUAUGCACUGAGCAACCCGCACAUGUGGGGUUAUGAGAACAAUUCUAUCUAUGCCAUCGAUGUUCCAUGUGGCAAAUACACGGUGUAUAAAGGAGAUAACAAAAAAAUGCCAGAAUUCAUUAUUCCUGGUUUUAAACGUAGUGAACUUCCACAUCCUAUUUAUUGCCGCUCAAAACAACGUUACAUAGAUUGGUGUUUUAGACAUCUACAAUAUGAGGUAGAUUAUACUCUCGUUGAGUAGCAUGCUUAUUACCCUACACUUUGGGUUGGACCUUGUUCUAUUUGUUUUUCUUUUGAUUUUCGAAUAAAUGGACAUGAUUUAAUGGUUUACGGUGUUAUUAUUGGACAAGUUUUGAGAUAGUAUAGAGGAUUUAAUGUACUUUUUCCUAGCUUGUAGUUGUAGCAUUUCUUGUCGUGGAUUGUGGCACAUUGAGGAGAAGCAUAUCAACCGAUUUUAUAAUAGAAUUUUGAUAUGAUUUUUUUUUACCAUUAUAUUUUUCUCGAAAAUGAAAUUAAUAGUGAUUCCUUUCCCUUUGCCUUACAAUACAACAAGCAUUUUACGAGAAUCUGAUAUUAAAUUUUGAGAACUAAUGAGAAUCUGAUUAAAUUUGGAAAACUAAUGAGAAUCUGAUAUUAAAUUUUGAAAACUAAUAAUUUAUUUAUUUAUUUUCUUAGAGAACUAUUGAUUUUUUAUAUGUAAAUUAGUGAUAUUAAGAGAUUCAAAGAGGUCCUUAAAUAAAAAGAAGAUGAAAUGAGAUUAGAAUAAACUAUUUUUCUAAAUUCAUGGCAUAAAAUAGUAGUAUAAACUUUUUUCCUAUAUUAUUUAUGCCAUAAUACAUUACUUUUUUUAUGAUUAUGUUGAUAUUUUUUUAUAUUAUAUACUCUAGGCGUCUGUCCGUUGAAAUCUGACAUAUGUUUUGGGGGAAAAUUUGACUCACUUGUGUUGUGAUACAUCUCUAUUAUAUAUUUACAAAUAUGUUCAAAAAUCAAUUCUAUCUUUACCCACACCCAUUCAUGAAGAUGCGGAAACCCUUGCUUAUUUUUCACUGAAUCGAGGUGGCGAGUUCAUUUGACAUUGUACUUAAGCUAUACAACACAUUGCUUCCACAAUACGACCUAGCAUUCACACUAUUAAAUAUUUGGUCCAUGACAAAAGUUUUACCUUUGUUGUUGAGGCCUAACACAACCCUAUCAUUCCAUCUGGAAAUGGGACCGGCUAUUCAUUGCAAAGCUAUAACUAGGUUGGAUUGGAAAUUAAACUACAGCAACUAGGCAUGAUUGGAAAUUAAACUACUUACAGAAAAACAUAAAAAAAAAAAAAGGGUAAUACAUAAUUAUAUUGUAUUAUAUUUAUAUGUUGGUCUUGAUAUUUGUUUCGAAAAAAUGGGAAAAUAAUAUUUCUUUAUCUCCUCAUUUUCUAUGAUAUUAUGGGUCCAUAAUAAUAAUAAUAAAAAAAAAAUCAUGUUUUAGAAAUAUAGAAAGAAAAAAAAGUUUGAAAAUUACCUAACAUCGUCGUUUGUUGUGAUACAAAGGACAAAAAAAGAAGAAGGUAGAAGAGAACUGUCAACUUCCUUGGGAUUUGCUUGACAUCAUUUUGAAGAAUCUAGAUUUUGAUGACCUCAUUCAAUUUGGUAGUGUAUGCAAAAAUUGGCGAGAAUUUCAUAAAAUUUAUUGGAGGAAUUUCAUGGCAUCCGAAGAACCGUUACUUGUCCAAAGGUGCGCUUUUAAGAAAUCUUUCAACUUCUUGAGCUUACCUCACGAUAAAGUUUAUCACUCAAAGAUGAUCAAUAACUACUUCCGAUUUGCCUAUCAUGGGUCUUCUAACGGAUAUUUCAUCAUGACACGAAAAGAUAAUUCAUUUAUACUUAUUAAUCCAUUUACAAGAAGAAAGAUGCUAAUCAAUAACUCAAUCUUCGAAGUUGCUUUCCAUUUUUUUUCGUGCCAAGUCUUGCUUGCUUUUUCCAAAGGCUCGGAGGAAUUUGCCUUGGUGGUUUCAUGUAGAAAUUCUGAUAAUUUGCAUGUCUAUCAAUCUCGAAAUCUUUGUUGGACUGCUUAUUCGACACCACAUAAGGUUGUUGACUUUGAUGUUUUAAAUUAUAUCAUAUAUGUUGUCACUGACAAGGCCAACAUAAGGAUACUCAAUUUGAAAUAUGCAAAUAUAAAUUUUUUUAGAACUAAAGAGUACUCCUGGUGUAACUUCUACUAUUUCUCGGUCACACGUAAGGUUGAUUAGUUGUGUUGGAUAUCUUUGAGUGCUUAAUGUUAUGUCAAAGGUAACUUUUAACGUGUACAAGAUCAGGGGCGGACGGUAGUACAAGGGAGGGGUAGCCCUUGCUACCCCCAAAAAAAAUAUUUUUCUGAGUGAGUGGGUAUAUUUUUAUAUUUAGCUACCCCUAAUAGUAUAUAUUUAGCUACCCCAAGUUUAAUUUUAAGUGAAAUAAUUUUUUCUAUCUUUAUUUAACUUUCGAUCGAACUUCAAAUUAUUUGAUAAUAUCGUAUAGGAACCGAAAGAUUAAUACCAAAAAGAGAUAAAUAAUAAAUAAUAACAAUAUUUGAUUUAUUUAACAAAUAAAGUAAUACAAUUGUAGGCUCACACACUCUCAACCCACCAGCACCACACACUUUAUAGUUUUGUUUGUAUUGGUUUGAUACUUCCCGUCUCAAUAACAACAAUAACGAAAACUUUUUCAACAAUAAAAAUGAUCAUGACAAUAGUCAUAGACAAGUUAAAUGUACAAUGAGUUUCUUGCAAAUAACCUAUUUAUUAACAUUUAAAAAGACAUUAUUAAUCUAUUAUGGCUUAAAUAUGCAAAUUGUCCCUGUAAAUUGGGCUCAUUUUGAUUUUCGUCCCUGUAAAAAAAAAAAAAUUAAUUACAUUCCUGUAAAAAAAAAUUUGUUUUAAAAAUGUCCCUGGCCCCACUUCACUGGUGAUGUGGCAUAGGUUUUGCCACGUGGCAGUUGCUGACUGUGCAACUUCUGCCACGUGGCCGUCCACAUGAUUAAAAAAUUAAAAUUAUUUUUAAAGUUUUAAAAAUUAUUAUUUUUAAUUAAAAAAAUAUGAAAAUAAAUUCAAAAAUUAUUUAAAAAAAUCGAAAAAAAAACUGUUAAAAUUAAAUUUUUGACUUUAAUUUUUUUUUAUUUGAAAAUUAUAUUUUUUUUCUUCAUAUUUUAAAAAAAAAAUCAUUUCAUUAAUUUUUCAGAAAUUUCAGAUUUUAUAAUUUAAAAAAAUAAUAAUUUUAUUUUUGAAAAUUAUAUGAUAAAAAUAAUUUCAGAAAAUUAUUUUAAUUUUUUUUUCAGAUUUUUUAAAAUGUUUUAUUUUAUAUUUUUAAAUUAAAAAAAAAAUUUAAAACUUUAAAAAUAAUUUUGAGUGUUUCUUUUGAUUCGAUUGGGUAAAUUCAAUACUCGCUCCGUUCCUUUUUAAGUGUUUCUUUUGAACAAAUAUUUUGUUUCAAUUUAACUGUCACUUUUAAAGUUCAACGUAACAUUAAAUGGUGUUUUAUCAAUAUUAUCCUUACUUAUUUAUUGCAAAGAGAUAAAUAUAUGAAAUUAGAUAUUGAAUGAAUAAGGUUAUUAUAGUAAAAAUAUACAUUGUUGUAUCAAAAGUAGUAACAUUCAUUGAAUGUCUUGGUUUGUAUAAAAUAUCAAAAAUGAUAAUUAAAAAGGAACGGAGGUAGUAACAUAUGAAGUCAUCAUAAGUUAGCUUCAAUCGGCAACCAAAGUACACAACCAUCAUCAUCCAUGGCCUAAAAAUGAUUUCUUCUCUCUUAUGUUUUUGUAACAUGGCCUCUAAUGAUUUUCUUUGAUUCGUUGUGGGAGGAAUUGCUAUGUGAAAUAAAAAAAAUUACAUUGUUCAGAUAAAUAGUUAACAAUCUGUGGCUUUUCUAGGCAUUAUUCUUCAAUGAAAGAAGUGAAUUAUGAUAAUCGAGAUAUGAAAUAAGGAAAGGAAAAACAAAUAUAAAAGAAAAACUUACAAACAAAUGGCAGAAAUAUUUGUUUAUUGGAAGAAGAUUUUCUUCAUCCAUAGAAAUAGAAAAGUAGUACACUUAGCAGAAUAGUUAACAAUGUUAAGUUGAAGAGGGAGGUGUUUAUCUAUUAAAAAAAUCUCAAGGGUUUCAUAUUUUGAAGAAAAAUAAGCUCCCCAAAGCUCCUCCUUUCAAUGUCUUCUAUUUCUUACACUUACUCCUUUUUUUUUCCAAACCCUCUCCCUCCCUUUCCCCUCCAAACUCGCAAACGCCUAAAGCUCUGGCUUUGGAUUUUUCUUUGAAGAGAUCGCCUUCUUUCCCUUCCACCACUGUUGAAUAUGAUUGGAAACUUUGGUUGCAUGUUUCUUAAGCGCCGUGCUUGUGUCCACACUCCACAAUUCCUUUUCUUAUCUUCUGUUUCCAGUCACCUUUUUCAUUUUCUUUUGAUCUCAAAACUUUUCCCCACAAGUUGCAGUUUACUCCAAACAUCAGUUAUUCUAAAACAUUUUAAGUCGAGGUGAUCUUAGAAAAACACAUUUCAAUCACAAUGAAAUAGAUGAUUGUACCAAUUUUGAAGGAAAGUCUGCCUCAUCUUCAUCCUCAUCCUCAUCUUCAUCUUCAUCUUCAUCUUCAUCGUCGUCUUCAUUUUCAGCACCGAAAUUCUUUUACAUUAAAUCAUCACUUGAGUACAUUUUCAUAUCGGGCACUCCUGGCAUGCCCUGAAGCAAGAGUCAAGUGUGGUAUGAUCAGAAUGUAUUAUUACUAGCAACAGAAUGCGUCAAGCAAAGUCAUGUAAAGAUAAAGAAAGAAAGAAAUAAAGCAAAAUACCUCCAUAGAUUUUAGAAGUUUUUCCAUUUCAGCCUCAUUAGAAGACUUUGCAACAAAUGGUUCACCAGGAGUCCUAGUCCUGUAACACGCAAACAGAACUUCUGAUGAAAACUUAAGCAAAAGGUUCAUAGGGUGAAACUGAAAUACCUAAUUCAAACAGUAAUACUAGAUGCAUGUGAAGUUAAAUACUACCAUAAAAGAAACCAAGUUCUAGUUUCCAAAUUACAAUAUUACAUAGUCCAAAGUAAGGAUAGUCUAACUGAUGUAGCAGAGACCUUACAAUUUUGUCCAAAUAAAUCAGCCUUUUAGACUUUACAAUUGUAUGGGUCGGUCAAUUUAGUCCCUGAGCUUUGUAAACUAGCAAUUUAGUCUCUUAAAUUGAACAACACCAAUCAAUACAGUCCUUUAUUCAAAUUUAACACCACAAUUUUAAUAGUCUUGUGCUUAUUUUAUUACAGCAAAAGACUAUUCAAGUCAAUAUUUAGAUUUUUCAGUGAUUUUUAUGGAUGAUUACUAAAGAGAUAUUUUGAAUGAGUGACAAAAUUGAUUGGUGUUAUUUAAUUUAAAGGACUAAUUAGUUCUUUUGUAAAUUUAAGGAACUAGAUUGCUUGACUCUUGCAAUAUCAAGGACCGAAAUGCUGAUUUACUCCAUAAAAUCCAAACACAUGGACAUAAAAUCCAGUUCAUAAGAAAUCAAAGGGAAGAGGGGAGAAGCAGGGUUCCAUGGCACAGGAGUUAAGAACUCACUGACGUGGGACAGUAUUUCUCAGAUUGAUAAUAAUAAGCAACGAAACACGUAUAAACUUCCCCUAUAUUUGAGUAAACUAAAAUAACAUUGCUUUAAAUACCCAAGAUAAAGCAAUAUCAGUGCUAACACACAUACUCAACUUUCUUUGUUUUUUCUAUUUUGUGAUUUGCAAUCAACCCAGAUAAGUUAAUUUUAUCAAAGCUUAGGAUAAUCAUAAAAAAUAUUACUGGGAGCAUCAAUUUCAGUAAAUAAUUACCUUAGGGACCGGGGGUGGCUUGGUAUUGCAAGAUUUACUAAGGUCUUUGCACAGAUAAUUGGUCAAUGAAUCAAUAUCAGGCUUGCAACUAUAUAGGUAUUCAGCAACAUCGGUAUCAGAAUAUCCCAUAACCUGCAAUACCAAAUUACUAAUUUAGUAAUCACAAAACCAACAAAGAACUGGAAGUGAAUAUAUUUGAAAUAUAGAAAUACAUAACCAGCAGAGAAAGCUCAAUUCAGAUCAUGAACGGUGCACCGUCAACACUGUUCUGAAUUGAUAGAGAAUAAACAGUAAUGAAACUUGUUCCUUUUUUUUCUUCUUUUCCUAUACUUUUUCCGUUUCAGAACCAAUAGAGACAAAAAGGUGCAAUUCGUUGGCAAGAAAGUAUCAUACCUCCUGACAAGCACGCUCAACUGUCUUGCAUUCAGAGUUGCACUGUCCUUCAGAGUCAUGUUCUUCUUCUAGCUGGUAAACACCAAAAAAUGUCGCAGCAAUGUCAAAACUACAAAACAAAUAAUCCAUAAUUAACUGAUCAUACAUAUUGAAAAGUUGGAUCCUCUUACCUCUAACCGAUCUGCUUUUUCUACAAUAUCUAUACGCAAUAUCCAAUCUGCUUCAACCUUUUUCAGAUUACAAACAUUCUCUGCUAUCUCAAUGAUCUGGUACUCCGAGAUCUAACAACCAAUAACACACAAAAACAAUUAUAGUGCAUAGAAUCCACAAAAAAAACUUCAACUACACAAUGAAGUACAUAAUAAAAAUAAGGAUUUUUCUAACAUGUGCAAAUUUGCACAUGUUAAGGAUACUAAAGUAGUAAGUUUAUAUUGGAACUUGUGUAUUUUACAUUAAAUAUAUAUUCUUUUUUAUAACAAGUGUGAUUUUCAAUAAAAAGUUGCUUCUUUUAGUAUCCUUAACAUGUGCAAAUUUGCACAUGUUAGAAAAAUCCUAAAAAUAAAAGCACAAACGAACAACCUUCUUGGGGGAAAUCUCAGCUUUCUUGCUCUGAACUUGCUGAUACAACUGUUUAGCGAGUAUCUCACAAACUUGACACUUUAUGUACGGCACAUCCUCCUUUCUAGCGAUCCCAACUGGUUUUUUGGCGCAGUGCGAGAGAGGAAUCCAAGAUGCAAUCGCCACUGGUACAACUAGACGCUUGACCCCCGCUAUCGCGAGGGUUUGUUAUAGACUAUUGAUCAAUAUGUUUUGAUUACAAUCAACUCAAUCAAUUUGAAAAAUAUAUCAUGUGUGCAGAAGAAAAGGUCCAAUCACGAGAGAUGUCUUUUGAAAUUGGGGUAAUAUGACCAAAAUGUUACUUUUUGGACGGUUUGCAUAAGCUUUGUCCCUCUACACACUCUAACCAUGGAUUUCUUCAAGAACUCUUGAAAAUUAUCACAAAACAAUGAUGCACAUGUGACAGCAAAAUCUUUCAUCUAGAUAUGGAAGACCAUAAAUCUGACGUAAAUUGCAACUACCCUAUUAAUUGCCAAUUAACAUGCCAUAGCUUUCUACCAUAGAUCUCCACCGUACAUAUCAAUAUAAACACAAACUAAGUAGAAACAACCCAUCAUUCAAACCGCCAUAAUUUCUCUAAACCAUUCCCACAACAAUUACUCCAUGAAUAGUUUUAGAAGAAGUUAAUAAGAGAGGGCCAGUAUUGCAAAUGCAUAGUUGAUAGCCAAUUAAAAUAAUUUUGUUCUGAUACUGCCAUCUUUGAUGCAUAUAAUUAUGUCUAUCAUCUAUAAUAAACCUCUAAUCACAAUUUAGAGAAACCCUUGCUAAACGUAUGCUCUACAAUUGUUCACAGUCUGAGUUAUAACAAUAAAGAAAACACUAACAACAAACAUGUAUUUGUAUCAUAAUAGUAAGCUUUUGUGUGCAUCCCAAACACAGGUGGAAUUCAUGUUAUGUUUCUGAUAUUAAUUCAGGCUAUUUAUACCGACAAUAUUGCUUGAAUCCACUUCAUACAAUGAAAGAUAAACUGAAUUUCAAAUGGCUGUACAUUUCAAUGAAUCAUGCUGCACAAAGAAUUACAACCAAAGAAAAAAACAGCAACAAUUGAGCUGAGUAAAGAUUGUGAUCAUGACUCUCAAAUGAAGUAUACACAUGCAAGUGCAGUCACUCCAUUCAGACCCUAUGUUAUUUUACUACUUGCAUCUGUCUACAUGAUUGACAUAAGUACCUUACCAUUGGCGCCAUCAACCAAGACCUGUGUGCACUAUAUUCUCGUUAAAACAUUCAUUCAAACAAUGAACUUGGAUAAAUCAACACAACGGACAUUCUUGCAUAAGUAAGCAUUGAUAUCCUGCUCUUAAGUAGCGUAAAAACAGACAAUUAAAGGAAUGGCACAAUUACAUGCAAGAAAAAAAAAUAUACGAGUUCUUCUGCCAUGACGAAAUUCUGCUGCAUGGACUCCAUAAUUAAAAACCAGAUUAUAUAUCAUUAUUGAAUAGCAAGCGGAGAAAGCACUUACAUAGAAAAAGAUGCGUUCCUUUAUUAUGAAAUAAGCUGCAUGAGAAUUUGUAAGCUCAUCUGAAGAGGGAGACUUCAUUACCAGGUAGACAAUUCUUCUUAAGCCAAGAUCUCAAGACUGGAAAGGCUUGGUAAUAGAAAAAGAAAACUUCAGCAUCUUCAAACUAUAUAAAUGAAGCAACAAAAAAUUACUGAAAUAUAAAAGAGACAGAACACUAAGAUUUACUCUACAUCCUCAAGAGCAAUGUCAAUGACUUUCUUCUUUUUUCCAUUCUUCUUUUUAAAAUGACCAGACAGCCUCCAUCGCGUCUCCUUGUACCCGUGUUGCUGCCAUAUUUACGUAGAAACAUGACAGUCCAUAAAUAGAUAUGGAACAUAAGAUAACAAAAUACUUUUUCAAUUUGUUGGUGAAUUAGGAUAGAUAUAAAAUAACUUAUGACAUGUCCAUAAGCUGUUUCUAGCUUAUUUCAUAAGCACUUAAUGAAAUCUUUAUCCAAACAGAAUUAAUAAUAAUACAAUGUAUGUCUGCAACAACAUAAUUGUAUUUGAAUCAAAUCAAAAGUUUGUCAUCAUUGAGGCAUUUCAUCAAACAUCUUGCAAACAAAACCCCCUCAUGAGCAUAUAACAUACCAAGAACAUAUAAUAACAGUAAUUAACAAGAGAGUUGAAAGAGAUGGUUUUGUUACCAAUAGAGUGUUAAGCAGAGCACAUUACCUGAGAUGAAGGAUUUCUGAAAUCCAGUCAUGGUGGUGAAGGAACCAUCGAUUUCCCUCUUAUAUCAGAUUCACGAUCCUCAAAUUGCCCUUGUUCUCUAGUCAUGUAACACCUUCAUCUUGUUUUUUAUUUUCUUCUCUCCCAAAUACGAGCCAGUCACGAUGGAUGAAAGGAAGGCGACAUUCGGAAUGGUCGCGGACAGUCUACGGUGGAGUGCUUCAGACGAGAGGUUUUUUUUGGGUUGGGGGAGGAAGAGAUUUGGAAACUGAGUGAGAGCUUUAAGAGAAAUGAAGAAGCAGGAACAACAAUCAAUGAAUUGUUGACCAAGGGCGGUGGAGUGAUGCAGACACUAAACAUGUGAACUGAGUUUUUUUCUUUGAAUCAUGACUCCUAAUGUCAACUUAUAUAGAAGAAAGUGAUUCACAAGGGUUUGUAAUGAUGACCCCGCAUUUCAAACCUUCAGCAUUCAGCAAUGCAAUUUGUCAAUUCUGCAGUGUGAACCGUCCAGCUCUUGUGCAGUGUGCACAAGCCAAUGCUUUCCACCAAAAGGGUAAAACGGUAAUUGGCAGACCAAAUUGAAAAACCUGGGGUUUUCCCGCUUCAAUGCCAUCAGUACAAAAUGGUAUUCCUUGUAAAUGUAUCCAAACAUAAACCACUAUACCUUCAACUCAAUUUUAGCCAGAAUCAAUUCACUCAAAAUCAUUUUUUCUCGCCGCAGAACCAAACAUACACUAAGAAGUGAUUAUACAAAAUAAAAAAUGAAGAAAAAACAAUCCUUUAUAACAAUUGCAUAAACAAUGCAUGCAUAGUUUCAAUAAACUCAAUAAGGCAAAUGUAGGGAUUAACACUGAAAUUGAAAUUGUAAAGUUCAUCAAUUGAUUCAAUUCAACCAAUCAAUUAGCUAUUUUAAACCAUAUCACAUGAAAUAAAAAUUUAAAAACAGAUUAGGAUUUAUUCAUUAAUCUAGGGUUUUGUUAAAAAUAAGAUUUGGAAAAAUUGAAAAGGGUUAAUGGGAAGAAGAGAACAUACCAAGAUCAAGGAGAAGAGAGAAGUGACGGAAGCUUGAAGAGAGUAACACUGAAGAAGGAAGAAAGACUCAAAGGUUUCUUAAAAAUUGCAUUUUUAUUAAUUUGUGAAUUGUGAUUGGUCCAUGGAAGCAACAAAAUAGUGGGUCCCAAUUUUUCAACCAAUAAGGAACAAGAUCCCACAUAUUAUGAUUCAUAUUUCCAAAUUUUCCAUGAAUUAAAGUCCAUCUUUGAGUUGUACCAAAAAAAAAAGUCCAUCUUUGAGUCAAUGCUCCAAAUCCAAUCAACAAAAAUAAAAUGUUGGAGUCAAUGCAAAACUAAAAAAAUGUACUUAGGAAAAUCAUGACGUGACAAAAAUUUCCGUAAAUAAAAUCAACCACGAACACAACUUUUGUAGUUUAACGAAUUAUGUAGCACGACACUUUUAAUCGAAUACAUUUUUUUGUCAUCAACAUAUCUUUUUACAUUUAAGUGUUUGUUUUUCAAAUAAUUAAAGGUGUCGACAUCUUAAUUUCAUUCUUAUGUUCAAUGUUCAUGUCAAAGUAACUUUCAAAGAUGGAGACAAUGAUACAUGUUAAGAUAUUAGUAGUAAAAUUAUAAAAAUAUAAUGUUAUUUCAAUAUAAACUUGCGCACAUGAGAGAAACCAUAAUAAAAUUUUGUAAUUUAUGUUUAUUAUUUUGAUCAAUAAUUUUGUUGUCUAAUUAAGAGUGUAGUGUAAUAUAAAUUUUUAUGUGUCACUUUCUCCAAGAUUUUUUUAAAACUAAACCCAAAAAAAAAAAUAGAAGUAGCCCAAACCCUAAAGCAUGAUAAAUUGCAAAAUUCCCAAUUCAUAAUCCCUAAAAAAACAAACUUUAACAACAAAAAACCAAAACCCUCGUAUCUCUCUGUCUUUGUUCUCAUGGAAACCACUGGUUUGAUUCCUCACGUUGGUGAAAACUACACCCUCAAGCUGAAAAACACAAUGCAAGAAAUUCUAUCAGAACUUCCCAAAGAAUCCCCUGAAUUUUCUCAUUCCAGUGAUGCAUUACAUGAACUGAUGCAAACCAAAGUUGACCCACCUUUUGAUGUGAUAUGGGUCUAUUCUGCAAUCAAAUUUGGUUGCAGAAAAUCUCUUAAAGGUGAUAUCUUGGAACAAAUUUCAGCUGCAAAAGCACUUUUUCAGCUGAUUUCUGCUUGUUCAGCUUUUGUUGGUGGUUCAAAGAGUAUUGCUUUACUUGCUCCUGUUGUUUUUAUAAUACAUAGUGUUGUUAAGGAACUUUUUGAAGUGAAAAAGGAGAAGAAAGUAAUGAAGGAAGUGAAAUCUCUGGUUGAUAUGAUUCUUGGGUUUAUGAGUAUUUGUUGUAGUAAAAUUUCUGAAGAGAAAGAUUUGGAUUUGGUUUUGUCUUUGAAUGAUUUGGCUCGUCUUUGGGUCGUUGACGACGAUGAUGAUGAUGAUGAAACAAAUGAGGGGUUUGAAACUUUGUUGCCUCUUGUGAGUAGUGAUGUUUGUGGUUGGAUUUGUGGUAGAGAGUUUCAUGUUGGUUAUUUGGCUGGUGCUGUUAUGAUGGAAGUGUUUUUGCUUAAAUUGUGUUUGUUUUUUGAUAUGGGAAUGGAAAAGAGUGAAUUGGAAAUGUGCCUUAAGAGUUGGAGUGUUGGCUCAAUUUCUAGCUUUCAGAAUGUGUACUUUUUGGGUGAGGUUUAUUUUGUUUUUGGUUUUAAUUUCAAUUUGGCAGUAAAUUUUUUAUUUUAGACCGUAAAACCUACGAAACAUUGAUACCGACACGUUGACACCAAUAAUAUACUGAGAAAAUGAAAUAUUUGAAUAUAACUGUAUAUUUGUCUGUGUCAUGUCGGUGUUGCAUAGCUUAAAACUUUUAUCUGGAUGAUGGAUAAAUUCCAUUCAAUGUACUUUUUGGGUGAGGUUUUAUUCUUUUUUCUGUUUUGAAUAUCAAUUUCCUACUGCAUAUUUUAGCUUAAAACUAUGAAACACUAUAAAGACACCUACAUAACACGUAUUAAGACCAAUAAUAAUUUGAGAUAAUGUAUCGAACCACGUGUCUGUGUACCGGAUAUGCCUUUUGUGUGAAGUGUCAGCACUACAUAGCUUAACUUUUUAUCUAGAUGAGGGAUGAAUUCAGUUUAUGUUUGGAUUGACGACGAGUUCAUUAAAAUCACGGUGGUGUUUUGUGAUGCUCCAAAGUAUAGCUUUUAGCAAAAUCACGAUGACUCGCGGUGAGUCUGCCAAUUUCACCGCCAAUUCAAACAGACCAAAUCAAACAUACUUUUAUUUUGUUUAGCUUGUUUGAAUUGUGUUUCUCAUUUGUGUUGUUCUUUGUUAAAUGUGGAUUUAUCUUUUGUACAAUCAGAGGUUCUUAUGAGGACAACAUUGGAGACAUCUUUGCCUCUGAACUCAAUAUUGGUUAGUAUUUCCAUCCUUGUUAUUUAUUCCAUAUCUGCAGUGUUAUUUAUUCCAUAUCGGUUAGAGGUCUCUAUAGGGGAGUAGGUAUGCAUUUAAAUCUGCUUGUGUUUGGAACUGUUAAUUCAGCAGCAGUAUUGUAUUUCACUGCUGUGUUGUUAUUGUAGAACUUUUAUGUUAAUCAUGGCCACAGCUCCGACACUCUUUGGAAUAUUCCCAUACGCGGGUUUGAAAUUCUACUUCUAUGAGGAAAUGAAGCGCCACGUCCCUGAGGAUUACAAGAAAAGCAUCAUGGCGAAACUGACAUGUGGAUCCGUGGCCGGUUUAUUGGGUCAGACAUUCACAUAUCCUCUUGAAGUUGUCAGGAGGCAAAUGCAGGUAACGUGCUUUAUUUGGUCGGCUGGAAAUUAUAGAUGGAUAUUUAGUAACAUGAUACAAAGUUAACCUGACUAGGUUCAAAACCUUGCGGCAUCUGAAGAAGCCGAAUUGAAAGGGACUAUGAGAUCCAUGGUUUUGAUUGCUCAAAAGCAAGGCUGGAAGACCCUGUUUUCAGGGCUGAGUAUCAAUUACAUAAAGGCGGGAAUAAUCAUAGAACAUUAAAGCAAUUCACACUAUAGGACCAUUCUGUGUAACUACGCAUUUUUUUUUUUGUUGCAAUUUAGGUUGUUCCAUCUGCGGCCAUCGGCUUCACAGUUUCUGAUACAAUGAAAUCAUGCCUGAGAGAGUACCAUCAAGAGAUGAAGUGGACUAACAAAAGAAUCAGCCAACCAUCCUCACUUUAGGAAUAAGUUCCUAACUCCUCUCAGGCUUCAAACUGGCUUCUUCUUCUCAUUCUACUCACAUUGUUUUCACAUAUUAUUUUGGCUGCACAUUGCAUUCUUUCAGAUUGUAAAUAGAGAUAGAGGUUAUUAUGCACUAGACCAACAAACAAUACCCUGAUUCUGAUCUCAUUGGUUUCAUUAAAGUAGGAAACAGUUACUAUGUGGUUUAGACAGGACAAACUGUGUAUGUACAAUUAACAAAUAAAUUGCACUUUUUGAAUGUGCAAGUAGAAAAAAUGAUAUAGAAAUGUUGACAUAUAGUCACAUCCUUUCACUGUAUUCAGUUUAUCUAUGCAGACACUGAAAUUCUAUUACCUUCCAAUUAUCGUUGGUUACUUUAGUUCUGAAUUCAACAAGCAAUGCUCAAUAAUAUAUCCACAGAAACCGAUUCAGUAUUGCAACAUCCUCAGAUUUGUGUGGAAAAGAGGAAAGGAAAAUUAUUUACCAUACUGUUGGUUACUUUAGUUUUUUGUAGUCUAACAAUCAUGUAGGAUGCGACAAAGGAAAUAAACUAUAUAGGUUAAUUGAUUGCUGAAAGAAAACUCUGUUUGAUCUUCCCAAACAUGGAUUUCAACCUUAUGCAUUUUGGUAGCAAACAAAACAAUCUAGCGAUAUAUCACCAGAUCAGAGUAACUACAUUUGAGUACUUUUUACCAACACUACAAAUAAUAUCUCCACUGGAACAUUCUCAUUUUUUUUGCGGCACAUUGCAUUAUUUCAGAUUGUACAUAGAGAUAGAGGUUGCUAUGCACUAUACCAAUAAAAAGCACCUUGAUUCAGAUCUAAUUGAAGUAGGAAAUAAUUUUUAUGUUGUUUAGAUAGGACAAACUAUGUAUGCACAAUUAAAGGAUAAAUUGCACUUUUUGAAUGUACAAGUGUGCGGGAAUGUAUUCGGUUUAUUCUUCUAUGCAACCACCAUAUUUCUAUUACCUUCCAAUUAUCUCUGGCUAUUUAAUUCUCAACUUAAUUAGACAAGCCACGAUCAAUAAGAUAUCUACAGAAACUGAUGUAACAUUACAACAUGCUCAUGUUUGAGUGGAAAAGAGUAAAGGCAAAUUAUUAACUAUACUGUUUGGCUUUUGAACUAUUUUCGUCUUAAAAACAUGUACUCCCUCCAUCCCUAAUUAUAAGACCCAUUUGAUAAUUUUUUUUGUCCCUUUUUAUAAGACCCAUUUGUUAUUUCCAACUACAUUAAUUAUUUCUUUACCUACAUGCCCCUAUUUAUUAUACAUAUUUUUCUUCAAUCAGCAAUAAAUAGCAUAUGGAAAACAUAAACUAACUCUCUCUCUUAAGGAUAAAAUUGUAAAAACAAUAGUGAUUAAAAACAACUUUAAUACAAAUAUUGACUUUCUUAAUUCCCGUGAUUUUAGCAAAAGGGUCUUAUAAUUAGGGACGGAGGGAGUAUAACAAAUAAAGGAAGCUAAAUAUGUUAAUUCAUAAAUGGAACAAAUUUUUUUAUCUUCCCAAACAUGUAUUUGAACCUUACACCUUUUUGGCAGAACCACAACAAUCUAGCAGAACCUUACACCUUUUUCCCAAACAGAGUAUCUACAUUUGAGUGUUUGUUUUCAACACUACGAAUAAUCUCCACAGGAGCAUUAGCUACAUAGAUUAAUUCAUAGAUGGAACAAAAAUUUCUUUGAUCUUCCCAAACAUGGAGUUGAACCUUACACAUUUUUGGCAGCAAACAAAAAACAAUUUAACAAUAUAUCAUCAGAUUAGAGAGUAUCUACAUUUGAGUACUUUUUACCAACACUACCAAUAAUCUGCACAGGAACAUCCUUCUUCUUAUUCUAUUCAAAUUGUUGUUCACAUAUGUUAGUUGCACAUUGCAUUCAUUCAGAUUGUACAUAGAGAUUGCACAUUUUCCAUCUUUGAAAUGAUGAAAUCUCUUGUUGUCCCUCACAAUGAGUUUCAUUCCCACAAUCUUAGACAUGAAUUUGAUAGCAUUGUGACAGUCUCCACAUAUACGUAGAUUCUUGAUAAUUCUAAGCAUAGUCCUUGGCGGAGUACUGAUGAGACCAUAAGCUAUUGCCAAACGCUCGCUAUGAUAUCGCAAGGCUUUCUCCUUUUCCUCCUCAUCAAUAUCAUGGAGUACGUAUCUCGUAUCAGGAACAUAACCUGCUUCCCUAAUCUGCCCAGUCAAACCUCUCAAUUUCACAUCAUUGUCUUCUUUUAUACGGCAUAUUACACCGAUAUUCACUUACUCUAUUCUUCUCCUCCAGCAUGUUAAUUGCAGACUGCUUCUUUCUCUGAGGGAGAGGCAUUUUAUCAGCAGCAGCUUUCGAAGGAUCACGAACAGUUAACAACUUAGCACGAUCCUCGCGUUCUAAGUCUCCAUAAAUUCUCGCAAAAUUUCGAAGAGUCUCCCAAACAUCAACCCCGGCUUCAAUUGGCAUAUUCUCAAUAAACUCCUGAGCUUCAUCCAACGGACCAGCACAUCCAAAAAUAUUAUCAACCCCCAAAUAAUGCUCCAUCCCUGGAACAAUUCCAUACUCCUUCAUCGAUUCAAACUGCAUUAAACCUUCUUCCACACCGUCGACCAACGCACACACAGCCAAAACCAACGCAAAAGUUUCCUCAUCAGGCACUACCCCUUGUUGCCUCAUCUGCUUAAAAACCAACAAACCAUCAAUCCCUAAACCAUUCACAUUAUAUCCACCAAUCAUCAAAUUCAACGAACCGACAUUUCUGUCAGGCAUUUUAUCAAACACUUUCCGCGCAUCCUUCACACUACCACAUUUCACGUACAACCCAAUCAAUCUAUUACACAAUUCAACAUUCCCUCCGAAUUUCGACCUUCUCAAGAAUUCAUGAACCCUUUUCCCUAAUUCAAGCGACUUCAAAUCCUCACAUAAUUUCAAAAGCGAAAGAAAAUCACUGUAAUCAGCAAAAGCACCUUGACCCAUUAGUUCUAAAACUUGAUUUACGUUACCCUCUUGAAGAAAAUGCGCAAAGUUUACAUUUUUAUGUUGAUGGGGGGCUUGAUGAUGGUUCAAUUUUGGUUGGAUUGAAGGGUUACCCAUACGUAAAGGUUGAGUUUUUCUGGGAGUGAAACGAGAGUUGUUAGUGCCGUUUUGACGAGGGUGAAGGUUGGUGGCAUGGUGAAUAGCAUAGGUGCAGAAAGGAGUGGAAGAAGAUGAAGAUGAAGCCAUUGAUGCUUGAAGUUUAAGCUCCAUGGAAAUGCUACUGUUACUAUCUUCUAUCCAUUCGUGAAAUACAAACUAAGAUUAAUUUUGAUGAGUAAAACUCCUUUUAUUUUAACAAAAACAACUAAUAACCAAAUUUUUAAAAGGUGGCCGAAGUUUGAAUCAGAUAUAUGCCUUUAUCAACUGUGUUAAGUCUCAUGAGGAUGAAUAGUUGUUAAAUUUGUUUGUAUCGAAUUAAUUUAUAGCAUAGACUAACUUAAAAGAUUUAAUAUAGUAAUGUAGUCUAGAGAUUUGUACAAAAAAAAAAUAUAGUUUAGAGAUUACUUAAUAUUUUUAUAGUUUAUAGAUAAAAUUGAUUGUUUAAUUUAUUUAUUUGGUUACAACUUAUUGUUUAUGCAAUGCUCGAGAGAUUAGUUGCGCGUAGAGGAUAUCUGAUUUACACUAAACUGAUUGUUUAUUCAAUAAUAAGAGUUAUUUUAUACCUCAAUUAAAUAAGUUUUUUUUGUUAACAAAUCAAAAUGAGAUUAAAAACAACCUUGGAUGUUUCCACCCGUGCAAAGAGGAGGAACACCAUGUUCAAGUAUUUAACAAAACUAAAAACAUUUGUUAAUAGUCUCAUUAAUGAUUAUUGAAAUAUUCGAUCGAUGGCAAUAAAUAUCUAUUGAUUGUUUCUUUACUCUAUUAAUACAUAAGGAAAUUCAGAUGUGGGAUGUGGUGGUAAGACUGUAAAUUGAUUGUCAAAAUUUUCAAAAAAGGAUGUCAAUAAUCUCAACAUUUAACACCCGAGGGAACAUCUUAAACAUCACUAUAGUUUAGCUGGUAUACCCUCACUCUCAUACAUAAUUGCCUCACUGAUAAAAUACAUGUAGAUAGCAAAUCCUUGAUUGGAAUAUGAAUCACUCAAAAGUGGUGAUUGUAAAGUCCUCAUUUGAUUGCUUCAGAAUAUUCCUACUUCCAAUCUCUCUUGGUCUCUUGGGUGUAGUACAUGUAACAAAACACUGGAAAUGCCUUGAAAAUAUUCCAUAAUCAGAAGAUGCAGAUUUAGUUUAUGAGGAGCUCUAAAGCUCUGACUUCGAAUUCUUCUUUGAAGAGGUUGUCUUCUUUCCCUUCCACCACCGUUGAAUAUGAUUGGAAACUUUGGUUGCAUGUUUCUUAAGUGUCGUGCCCGUGUCCACAAUUCCUUUUCUUAUCUUCUGUUUCCAAUCACCUUUUUCAUUUUCUUUUGAUUUCAAAACUUUUCCCUGUAAGUUGCAGUUUACUCCAAACAUCAGUUAUUCUAAAACAUUUUAAGUCGAAGUAAUCUUAGAAAAACACAUUUCAAUCACAGAAUGAAAUAGAUUAUUGUACCAAUUUUGAAGGAAAGUCUGCCUCAUCUUCUUCCUCAUCCUCAUCUUCAUCGUCAUCUUCAUUUUCAGCACCGAAAUUCUUUUUCAUUAAAUCAUCUCUUGAGUACAUUUUCAUGCCGGGCGCUCCUGGCAUGCCCUGAAGCAAGAGUCGAUUGUGGUAUAAUCAGAAUGUAUUAGCAACAGAAUGUGUCACAAAGUCAUGUAAAUAUAUAAAAAGAAAGAAAAAAAGCAAAAUACCUCCAUAGAUUUUAGAAGCUUUUCCAUUUCAGCCUCCUUAGAAGACUUUGCAACAAAUGGUUCACCAGGAGUCCUGUCCUGUAACACACAAAUAGAACUUUUGAUGAAAACUUAAGCAAAAGGAUCAUAGAGGGUGAAGCUUUAAUACCUAAUCCAAACAAUAAUACUAGGUGCAUGUUAAGUUAAAUACUAUCAUAGCAGAAACAAAGUUAUAGCUUCCAAAUUACAUAGUCCGAAGUAGGGAUAGUUAUAGAUAGAGUACAGAGUCCAAAGUAAGGAUACUCUAACUGAUGUAUUAGGGAGUUUGGGUCCUAAAGUGCAAACAAGGUGAGUGUAGAGUGGGGUGUGUUGUUUGCCGAUAGAAUAAUAACAGUUUAGAACAUAAAAUCCAAAUAAAUCAGCAUUUUAGUGCUUAAAAUUGUAUUGGUCGGUAAAUUUAGUCCCUCAAUUUUGUGAACUAGAAAUUUAGUCUCUUAAAUAGAACAAUGCCAAUCAAUACAUUCCUUUAUUCAAAUUUAACACCACAAUUUUAAUAGUCUUAUGCUUAUUUUGUUUUAACAAAAGACUAUUCAAGUCAAUAUUUAGAUUUUUCAGUGAUUAUGGAUGAUUACUAAAGAGAUAUUUUGAAUGAGUGACAAAAUUGAUUGGUGUUAUUUAAUUUAAAGGACUACAUUGUUCUUUUGUGAAUUUAAGGAACUAAAUUGCUUGACUCUUACAAUUUCAAGGACCAAAAUGCUGAUUUACUCCAUACAAUCCAAACACAUGGAUAUAAAAUCCAGUUCAUAAGAAAUCAAAGGGAAUGGUGGAGAAGCAGGGUUCUGUUGCACAGGAGUUAAGAACGCAUUGACGUGCGAAAGUAUUUCUUGGACUGCAUUAGUGUCGGUUGUGGCAUUCUUUUUUGAGAGGGUCUGUUGUGGCAUUGAAAAUAAUAAGGUAUGAAACACUUAGGUAUAAACUUUCCCUAUAUUUGAAUAAAAUAAAAUAAUAUUGCUCUAAAUAUCCAAGAUAAAGCAAUAUCAGUGCCAACACACAUAUUAAACUUUCUGUUUUUUGUAUUUUGUGAUUUUGUUUUUGUUUUUGUUUUCUUGUUCGACAAUGAACCCUAUAAACUCAAGUUGAAUACUACAUAAAGUGCAUACACCAUACAUUGCUGAUUUACUACAUAAAAGACAAUUAAAAAUAUCUAUCACAAAUUCGCAAUCAACCCGGAUAAGUUAGUUACUGGGUGUAUUUAUUUCAGUUAAUAAUUACCUUAGGGACAGGGGGUGGCUUGGUAUUGCAUGCUUUGCUAAGGUCUUUGCACAGAUAAUUGGUUAAUGAGUCAAUAUCAGGCUUGGAACUAUAUAGAUAUUCAGCAACAUCGGUAUCAGAAUAUCCCAAAACCUGCAAUACCAAAUUACUAAUUUAGUAAUCACAAAACCAACAAAGAAUUAGAAGUGAAGAUAUUUGAAAUAUACAAAUACAUAACCAGCAGAGAAAGCACAAUUCAGAUCAUGCAUGGUGCACCAUCAACACUGUUCUGAAUUGAUAUAGAAUAAGCAUUAAUGAAACUUGUUCCUUUUUUUCUUCUCUUCCUAUACUUUUUUCGUUUCAGAACCAAUAGAGACAAAAAAGUGCAAUUCAUUGGCAAGAAAGUACCAUACCUCCUGACAAGCACGCUCAACUGUCUAUCAUUCAGAAUUGCACUGUCCUUCAGAAUCAUGUUCUUCCAGCUGAUAAACACCGAAAAAUGGGGUAGCAAUGUCAAACUACCAAACAAAUAAUCCACAGUUUAUUGAUCAUACAUAUUGAAAAGUUGGAUCCUCUCACCUCCAACCUAUCUGCUUUUUCUACAAUAUCUAUACGCAAUAUCCAAUCUGCUUCAACCUUUUUCAGAUUACAAACAUUCUCUGCUAUCUCAAUGAUUUGGUACUCUGAGAUCUAACAACCAAUAACACACAAAGUCAAUUAUAGUGCAUACAAUCCACACAAAAAACCUACACUAGACAAUGAAGCACAAAAUAAAAAUAAAAGAACAAAAUAACAACCUUCUUGGGGGAAAUCUCAGCUUUCUUGCUCUGAACUUGCUGAUACAACUGUUUUGCAAGUAUCUCACAAACUUGACACUUUAUGUACGGUACAUCCUCCUUUCUAGCGAUCCCAACCGGUUUUUUGGCGCAGUGUGAAAGAGGAAUCCAUGAUGCAAUCACCACUGAUACAACUAGAAGCCAAAACACACCCUUCAUCCUCCCAACCAGUAGCGUGUCUAGAACCCUUGGUCAGCGGGGGCAAACUAUUUAAAUAAAAGUUAAUAAUUAUAAUCAUACAUAUGAAAAUAAGAUCAACAAUAUAUAUUCCAAUUUAAACUAUUCUAACGAUUACGUUACUUUUUUCGUUAUCAAUAAAUACCUCUGUUCAUGCAAUAAAAAGGCAGUAAAUAUUUCAUAUCAUAGCUCAAUUAAGUGAUAACACCUUAAACAAAGAGACACAAUCCAGAAACUGUCUUUCAAAUUUUUCUUAUUAGGUGCUCUCGAUUUAUAUUUCACAAACCAAGAUGAGUUAUCAAUUAAAAUCAAUAUAACAUUCAAGAACAAAAAUAAGGAAAAAAAACUACAGAAGUCUUAAAGAAUACAUAGCCAUAAGACUAGCCAAUGUUUUGGUUAAAUACCAAAGUUCCACUUUUGUUGCCUUAUCUAAAAUCAACAAAUUGAAAUUCACCUGUUAGGAGAAAUGCAUAAAUCACUUGAUCAUAUAUGUAGUCAGAUAUUUAUGAAUAUAAACCCACUGUUUAAGUUUCCUAUUAGGAGAAAUGUAUAAAUCACUUAAUCAUAUAUAAUUAACUAAAUACCAAGUUAGUCCUUGAAAUUGUAGGGUUAUAUCAACCUAGUCCCCUACAUCAUCAUUAUCCCAAACUGAUCAAUGAAAUUUCAAAUGCAUCCUUGAUACUAUUCACUUAGUUUCAAAUUCAUCUCUAUAGUACCAAUUUAAUGUCAUUCUAGUCCUUACAAAUACCAACAGAGGGACAAUUCAAUUACAAUUUCACUAUUUCAGGGAUCAUUUAGGAAUUUCGAUAACGUGCGAGACUAGAUUGAUUCGGUCCUAUAAUUUCAAGCACCAACUUGGUCAUUUAGUCAAUUAUAUAUGAUCAAUGUUUCGUUCCACUUUUGGAGGACCCAAAAUUGAUUCUAAAGGUGUAGAAUUGAUUUUGACAUGUUUGGUUCCUAUAAACUAGAAUUAAUUUUGCCUCCGGAAUUGAUUCUACAUGAAGCUAGAAAUCAUAGCUUCUGAUUCUAGAAUUGAUUUUUACACUAAAAUUUAUUUUUCAACUCACUUUUACAUAAAUGUAUCCAAACAUAAAUCACUUUACCUUCAACUCAAUUCUAGCCAGAAUCCAUUCACUCAAAAUCAUUCUUUCUCACCACAACCAAACAUUUCUCCCAACAGAGUGGCUUUAUACUCCUAUUUUUUUUUUCAGAAGCAACAAAAAAAAAUAUAACACUAUAUAACAAGGACAGAUUAAUCAUAAGCACAAUAUAUGUUGACAAAAUCAAAAAAGAAAAAAAUAUAUCAAUUGCAAAAAAAAAUAAAAAAUGCCAUAUAUAAUUUCAAUAAACUCAACAAAUAAGACAAAUGCAGGGUUUAACAGUAAAAUUGAAAUUGUAAGGUUCAUCAAUAGAUUCAAUUCAACCAAUCAAUAAGCUAUUUUAAACCAUAGUCACAUGAAAUAAAAAUUAAAAAACAGAUUAGGGUUGAUUUAUUAAUCUAGGGUUUUGUUAAAAGAAAAUUGGGAAAAAUUGAAAAGGGUAAUUGGAAGAAGAGAACAUACCAAGAUGAAGGAGAAGAGAGAGAUGGCGGAAGCUUGAAGGGAGUGACACUGAAGAAGGUAGAAAGCUUGUUGAGGUCAAUUCAACCUUCAUUAGCACCCAUUAGCAAAUAUUCACAUGAAUAUUUCGUCAACAAGCAUACACAUAGGUCAUUUUAUUGCGUUUGUAGGGGUAUGAAAAAUAAUUGAAGGGUUCAAAUUAAAAUUUUCAAAACUAAACCAACGAAAAAUUGAACUAGCCCAAAUCCUAAACCAUGAUAAAUUGCAAAAUUCCCAAUUCAUAAACCCUAAAAAAACAAACUUUAACAACAAAAAACCAAAACCCUCGUAUUUCUGUCUUUGUUCUCAUGGAAACCACUGGUUUGAUUCCUCACGUUGGUGAAAACUACACCCUCAAGCUGAAAAACACAAUGCAAGAAAUUCUAUCAGAACUUCCCAAAGAAUCCCCUGAAUUUUCUCAUUCCAGUGAUGCAUUACAUGAACUGAUGCAAACCCAAGUUGGACCCACCCUUUUGAUGUGAUAUGGGUCUAUUCUGCAAUCAAAUUUGGUUGCAGAAAAUCUCUUAAAGGUGAUAUCUUGGAACAAAUUUCAGCUGCAAAAGCACUUUUUCAGCUGAUUUCUGCUUGUUCAGCUUCUGUUGGUGGUUCAAAGAGUAUUGCUUUACUUGCUCCUGUUGUUUUUAUGAUACAUAGUGUUGUUAAGGAACUUUUUGAAUUGAAAAGGGAAAAGAAAGCAAUGAAGGAAGUGAAAUCUUUGGUUGAUAUGAUUCUUGGGUUUAUGAGUAUUUGUUGUAGUAAAAUUUCUGAAGAGAAAGAUUUGGAUUUGGUUUUGUCUUUCUCGUCUUUGGGUCGUUGACAAUGAUGAUGAUGAUGAAACAAAUGAGGGGUUUGAAACUUUGUUGCCUCUUGUGAGUAGUGAUGUUUGUGGUUGGAUUUGUGGUAGAGAGUUUCAUGUUGGUUAUUUGGCUGGUGCUGUUAUGAUGGAAGUGUUUUUGCUUAAAUUGUGUUUGUUUUUUGAUAUGGGAAUGGAAAAGAGUGAAUUGGAAAUGUGCCUUAAGAGUUGGAGUGUUGGCUCAAUUUCUAGCUUUCAGAAUGUGUACUUUUUGGGUGAGGUUUAUUUUGUUUUUGGUUUUAAUUUCAAUUUGGUAGUAAAUUUUUUAUUUUAGACCUUAAAACCUACGAAACAUUGAUGCCGACACGUUGACACCAAAUAUACUGAGAAAAUGAAAUAUUUGAAUAUAACUGUAUAUUUGUCUGUGUCAUGUCGAUGUUGCAUAGCUUAAAACUUUUAUCUGGAUGAUCGAUAAAUUCCAUUCAAUGUACUUUUUGUGUGUGGUUUUAUUGUUUUUUCUGUUUUGAAUAUCAAUUUCCUACUACAUAUUUUAACUUAAAACUAUGAAACAUUGAUUCGUAUUAAGACCGAUAGUAAUUUGAGAUAAUGUAUUGAUCCAUGCAUCUGUGUACCGGAUAUGCCUUUAGUGUGAAUUGUCGGUAUAGCUUAACUUUUUAUCUGGAUGAGGGACGAUACAUUCCCUACAAAAAAAAAAAAAAAAAACAUAAACGAUAUAUAUAGACAAUGUAACACACAAUUUUUUAAAUAGUGAAUGUGCCUUUUCUUUUAUUUUUUAUUUUGGUGGUGGUCGGGGUUCGAACCCCAGGCCUUGCAUAUAUAAUGCGUUGUUCAUACUAACUGAGUUAAGCUUACAAUGACCUCUUUUUAUUAUUUUAAAAUAGCUCAUCAGGCUUUCACACUAAAUGGAUUCAUGGUCGUUUUUAAUAUAAAAUUAGAGUAAAAAUAAUUUUCUUUCGAAAGUGUUUUACAAGAUAAUAAUCUGAAUUAAAUACUAUAUUUUAUUAAUCAUUUUCGGGCAAUAAGUUUCAAAAUCCAAUCAUACACUUUGUAAAAAAUAUAUAUGAAAUAGUGUAUAAGUAUUUAUUUUCCAUUGCAAUAUCAUUUAUAACUAAUAGCAUGUUUAAUUACGCAUCAAAUAAAAAAUCUCGCGUUUCGAUGCCGAUUUCACCUAUUAGAUCAAUAGUGUAUACUAUUGAUCAAUAGCCACAUGGCUUAAUAUGAGAAAGGAAGGAGUUGCAAGCUUUGGAUGCCACACAACAUAUCGAGAGAGAACUUUUUAUCACAAUCUUGGGUGACGUUUGGAACACCAUGGAGCAUGCAUCACAAGGCCAAGUUCAUCAUGUUUUGGAGAUCGUGGAAUUGAAGGGAUACAAGCUACGACCGUGGAAAACAACAACACUUGAAGAUAAAUAAAUUGAUAAUUAUUUUCUUUUGUCUUGAUUGUUUUAUUCUCAUGAAUAU
rnacentral:lncRNA from 1 species